UUUUUUUUUUUUUCGAGCACUCCAAUUAUAUAUAUAUAUAUAUAUACAUGGGUAGUCUUUAUUAGAAUUGUGUAUACUCCACACAAAAUAUUGCAACAUGGGUAUUAUAGCGGAGUUUCAUACUCUGAAAAAUCCAAUGUUUGAAAUUACAAGAUUAGUAAUGUCAUCGUCCACCAACAGUUUUCUUAUCUUCGCAAACAAACACACAAGAAAGAACAACACAUACACACACCAUUCUGUCGAACUCACUUGUUAUUGUUGUUACUAAUCAAUCCAAACACUUCAAAACUUUAAUUGUUGAAAAACUUAGUCCACAUACUUCAUUACACCAUUCUGCGGAAGAUUGCACUACUUAUGUCCUCCGUCUUGUACUCAAAAUCACGAACACAUCCCGGAACCAGUAAGACGCGAGACAUCAUCACUUACAUGGCAAACUCCAAAGAGAAAUCUACAAUACAUAAAGGCAAUACCACCACAUGAACCUUAACAAAAACGGAUAGGGAUACACACACAAAAGCUGCGAAGAGACCAACUCACAGAGCAAUCAAAGUCUGUCUUAUCUAUCUUGACAGAUAGACAAGGGUGCCAGACCAUCGCAGAGGAAUGCAUGAGGUUGAGUACGGGAGCUAGAGGAGCUCCAGCUCGAUUGAGGACAGACAGCGACAGAGCUGUUGCAGAGCUUCAAGGACACGGCUGUAGCCAGGGAACAGCCAACAGCGAAUGAGGCCUGGUUCUGACAGAAUGCCUGCCAGCCAGCCAGCCAGGAAGCGGGGCGGGAUUGGACUGAUGUGCACCUGGGACGGAGGGGUUUGGCAUGUGAGGUACAGCGAUCACAGUUGGGUCAGGAGCUUCAGUGCAGACUGUCAUGACAACGGCUACUAUUGUUUAAGGUGGUAGCAGCACUGCAAAGAUGCGGCAUCAGAUGGUGAUGUAAGGGUAAGAAUAGUUAGAUACUGCCCCACCGUGCACAAACCCCCUCCACCUAGUACCAUGGGGAAGAAAAGGGUGGAGGGAAGAUGAAUAAAUUCGCUUACACUGUUAUUCUGUAAGGAUUACUUACGGUAUAUCUUGGAAACUUUGAGCAGACCGACUGAGAGUAGAAAAAGGUUCUGGCCAGCCGGAUGACGACAAAGAUGAGUUAGCCCGCCCGGAGUUGUUUACCUCAGAUACAGAGAGAAGAUCAUUUGCUUAUUGUCACAUGUGCAGAGUUGAUGAAACAGUAAAAGGAAAUUGUCAUACAGGUGCGAGUGUAACAUGCAUGUCGAAACUCCGUGAAUCAAGCAUGUAACACACCUACAGCGUACAAUUCGGAAAACUUCCAAAACAAGAUUUCCAUGCUCAUCGUAAAGAAAACAUUACAGUAUACACAAGCAUAUAAGGCAAAAAGCCAGAGAGAAGAAAUUUAAUUAGGAUGAAUGCUCAUCGUUUUAUUGGACAACAGGUCCACAAAUAGAACCUUAGAGAGAACUUCGAACCUGUGGACGUCUUGUCACGUAUUAUGAAUGAAAUCACCUCUAUCAAUGGUCAUGUUCACAGGAGUCGCUCCACUGGGAUAUAGGGCAGUGGAGGCGCACCUUCGAUCAAAUCCUAGCCUACGUUUUAUCACAAAUUUUUUACAGCCGCUCAAAUCCUAAGAAAAUAAGCUUCCCGGCCGCCAGCAACCUUCUACCGAGCUACAGCCCAACUGUUGCAACAACAACGCAAGCUCAAAAACCCAGCCGCUCUAACAGAAGACUUUGGAGGAAAUCCAUCACCGUGACGUUUGACAUCGUCCUCCGACAGUAAAACUCACAAAAAACCGCGCCAAGCGAAACGGCCAGUACACAGAUCCUUCCACCCCAGAAAACCAAUCGUCUCCAAAAUAAUCUCCCACGUCACAUCCUGAAAAAUCAUCAUCACCUGUGGAACGCCCAACAACCUCCGCGCACUCUCAACAUCCUUACCAAAUGUGGGCACCAACGAACGCCAAGGCAGCGAAGAUCACCGGCGCCACCACGGCGGGCGCCACGGACGCCGCGUGACUUUCCGGGGGUGGGGCGGGAGCCAUGGCCUGAGCGCUCACGCUCACGGCCAAGGAGCAAGCAACAACCACAGCCACGAGGGCGAAAUUCUUCACAGAUCUCAUCGUGGAAGCCAUUCUGCAGUGAUCAGCGACCCUGUUCCGCAACCUGGAGAGAUGGUUCACAGUGUUUUCCUCGCAAGCCCAACGCACAGUAUUUGUCUCUGACAAGAAUGGAGGCUUGUGGGGGCAAUGUGGGGCGGCGAUAAGAGACGUUGGAGGCGUCGGAGAGCUCAAAGCGUGAGAAGCUACAAUCGAUGAAACUAAUAUACUGCAGAGCGAAGAAGUGGGGGCGCGGCUAUAAAGAGCCUCGAGCUGAGACCCGGCGGGGACGCCGAAGCAGGCCAAGCCGUGUGCAGCGGGCAGCGGGUUGUCUGCCCCGCCAAAAAGGGGGGCAAAAAAGUAAAACGUUUUUCCUCACCGCCCCUUGAUCCCACCGCCUAUUCCCGUGUCGCAGUCUUUUCCCAGUCAAUAUACGCGCUUUCGUCACGUAAUUCCGCGCAAAAUUGGGUGAAAUAAAUAAUUAUCUAUUAUGAAUGUAGGUCUGUCAGGUUCAGUUGGGUUUCAACUGUGCUCCUACAAAUCCAACUCUGUUCUUUAUUCUUUUUUCUUCUAUAAGUCUAAAGACCGUUUCUAAUUUGCACGAGUGUGUGGAUGGCUUGCUUAUAUCCUAAAGUAAAACAGUGGUUUUAUAAAUUUGGGGAUUAGUUGUACUUGUUGUUGCAUUAUAUAUUGGGUUAUGGCAAAGUGAGACUUGGGUGUGGAUUUUCCAACCGGAGCCGUGAAAGUAAAAUAUAUAUAUAUAUAUAUAUGUUCUUUAAAACACUUACCUUGAACAAAAGCUGUUUUUCUGUUGAUGUGGUUAUUUUUUAAUUUUAUUGCUGAUGUUUUUGUUAAGCACUGUUGUGUUACUUGGUUAGACAGAAUGUAAAUUUGUGUUAUAGUGAGGUUGCAAAAUGUAUUGAAGGAUAGAAUUUUUAUUUAAUUUUUAAUUUUUAAAAUUUUAAAAUUUUUCACUGCCAAUCUUUUCCUUUGAUACAGUGUCUAUUUGUUACAUAUAUGGCAUAAAAUCGUAUUUACCUUUGAAAUAUGUAGUGCACAUUUUUAUUUUUACUUUUAUUUUUUCAUAUGUGCUAGCAAGUAGAAAGCAAAUGCAAACAUGCCUUCAAAGUCACAAGCUACUAUGGACAUAGAAGGGGUCUAAAACCCAUAUUCCCUAUUGCUUUUUUGUAACCAGGCACAUACACAUUAGAAGUAAGGAACAUGGAUUCUAUGUACUACAUUUGUUUGUUUAUUCUAUUCUAUUAUGAUUAUUAAUGUUGUUAUAGCAACAUGGCAUGAACAAAAUGUGGACCUUCCAAAAGAUUUUGAAUCCAAACGUAGAUGCCUACACAAAGUCAUACAUAGCAUUUCUGCAGAUGAAGAGAAAAUAGGGGAAAAAAGAAAAAUAAAAAAAAAGUCCACUUUGCAUUUGACCACCAAGUAGUUGCAAUUCCUCUUGACUUCCAAGCUCAAUAAUGGAGUAGAUGUAGAUUGGUUGGAACAAAGGCAUACGCACAUGGUUUGUUUUUCUUUUCCCCAGUACAAUUUACGUGUAUUUCCCCAAUUGCAAAAUUCCAAUCACCUACAAAAAAGCCUUUUGAGCUACCACCCCACAACACUCUUGUAGAAAGGAGAUAGAAAGCAAACUCAUGCACUCCAAGGAAUUGCAUCUUCAACUCCUCACUUCGUUUCCACUCCUUGUAGGCAAUUCAUAAUAAAAUUAGAACUAAAAUUAGAACCAAAAUUGAAACUAAAACCUCCAUCUUUAUCUAUACCCUUGUUUUUGAAGUUGAACAAUUGAAUCGAAGUAGGUCUGGCUUCCCUUCAAAACAUGAUAGAAACCCAGCAAUAUUCAAUGGUCCAACAGAGUCAAACUUGUAUUAAUACAAGUUAGGCUUUCAGUGAAGAAAAAGAGCAAGUCAACAUGUCUUUGUGCUUCUUUUUUGUAUUUGUUUUUUUUUUGUUGCAAAACCGCAAUAUUCUGUAUAAAUGAGGGGAUGCCAUCUCACUAGAUAUGUGGGAAAAAGGCUUCAGUCAUGAGAGACUUGGUGUAUAGUUUUCUUCCAAGUGUAUGUGAGAGUAGAUGAUUGAAGAAGACGAGGACGAGAGUCUAGGGAUCAAGCGCGCGCGAGUCCCACCAUGAGUGAUGGUUGUGGUGCCUGCUUUGCCCUCAUUCAAGGGGUCAAUCAUUUUGUGCAUCUACCGAGGACGUUCAACUAACCCAGGUUUGGAGAUGGUGGGGUGGGGGUGUUGUGCAGAUUCCAAGCAUGGGCUGAAAGAAUAAUCAAUGCAGACAGAUUCUGUAUCAACACAUGCUUUUUCUAGCUCUUAAUGUAAUUGAAGAAAAUAACAGAAAAAAAUAAAAAUAAAAAAUAAUAAUAAUUGUCUUCAACUCUUCAAGUGUAAAUUCAACUCUUCAAGUCACACUCAAUGUCUAACCCUUCAUAUGUUUAGAGUAAAAAAAAAAAAAAAAAAAAAAAAAAAUCUUACAAAUUUUAUUUUUUUCAAAACAUUUGUAAACUUGUUAACACAAAAUUCACAAUAAUAUAUUGUACGUGAAAAUUGAAUGAAAUGAAUGCCAUGUAUUUUUUUUUAAUUCAACAUGAUAUUACGUAGUACCCACUGUUUUUGAGAUUGUCCAUACAGUGGUCUAUGCCAUUUUUUGUUUUUAUUUUUUUCCAGUACAAUAUUGUACUGAACACGUGCAAUCACAUGAUGGUAAAUUUUAUUGAACAAAAAUGAGAGUGAGGCAAACAUAAGAAAAAUAGGUAAAUAAAUAUUUCAGGAAAUAACAUUACCACUGUAAAUAUUUGUUGAAUAAGACACUAAAGAAAACAUUUUAAUUUUAUUGAAUAAUAAUCAUUUUUUAAUGUUGUGAGUAAAUUUAGGUCUUGUUCCUUUUCAAAAGAUGACCAUGGUCUCAACACUUGCUUGAUAAAACUUUACCAUUUUACAUGACAUGCUUAUCCCAAUGCAUGUACUAUUAGUUAGUCAUUAUAUUCCUGCUACAAGUUUAAUAUUUUAGAAGGUUAUUUCAUUGCAACAAUAAUCUUAUUAGCAUGUAUUGGAGUGGCAAUGUUUUAAAUAUCACUAUCACCAUCAAAUUCAUCGUUUUUGAUAUUUAUCAUAUUUACAAACAUUUAACAAGGGUGUGUCUUGUGUUAAAGAAAAAUAGUGGUAAAAGUGAAACUGUCUAAAAAUUUUAAAAAAUAAAAGCUGUAAACUGAUAUUCUGAAACAUUCUUUACAGGGAGAUAAAAACAAUAAAAAUGAUUGGGUUGCAUGAAUUAAAAGCUAUAAAGUGUGUGAUUCCAUCACCAGUCGUAGAUGUUUUGAGUGACCUAUUUUUAACCUGUUGUGAUGUAACCCAAACCAACGUGUGUAUUUAUUAUGUAAGGAUAAGGAUUGUUAUUUUUUGAACAUUUGAUCCCAUCUUUGAAACCUAAAAUAAAUGAGGUUGGAAUCAACAGAUUGUGAAAGAUUGUUCCAAAGUAAAUGGGAAUGAUUUAUUAUGGAAUCCUUCAACUGAACCAUCUUUUUUUCUUUUUAUUCUUUUUAUUUGUAUAAAAGUAAUCCAGCCAAAAUCAUGUUUAAUCAACCUAUCAUUCACUCUUAAUGGAAGCUUGCAGGACCCAAUUGUAAGAACUUACCCAACAAGAGGUGAAAUAUUCAAUCUCUAUUGGCUGCAGAACUUCAACUUUAUUUUAUUUUUUUGCUCUCUGUCCAUUAAUAUUAAAAAGUAUACAAAUAAAUGGUUACUGCAUGAAAGCUCAACCACUAGGGUUUGAAGAUUUGGUGUGUUGUAUAUGAUGCAGCUCUUCUUUUUGUUGAAGCCAUGACAGGUUUCAUGAUUUUAUGUCACAAUGGAAUCUGACAUUCUGACCUGGCCAUUUCACUUGACUGUGUGCCCUAAAAUGCCCUCAUCUGCAAAAAACACAGAAGUAGGAUUAAGAAGUAAAAGGGUAAAAUAUAUAUAUAUAUAUAUAUAUAUAUGAAAAUGUGUGAUUUAUGCAACAUUAUUAACAUGUAGAAAAGAAAUAAAAUUAAAUAAAACAUAAUCCAUAUUACUUGUAGGGUUUUGCUGAUGCCCACCAUAGUCUGUGGUUCUAGUUAUUUUUUUACAUUUGUAUCCUUUUUAAUGAAUGGAUUGUGACUUUUUAUUCCCCUUGUUGCAUAUUUUAUUGUUGUUAAAUAUAAAAGAAAAUGAUUGACCAAUGCAUUGAACAGCAAUUCCUUACAUUUCAAUUCCUUUAAAUUUCAAACCACAAACCAUUUUUUAUUUAUUCUUCCACCGUACACAUCUUCAACGGUCAUAAACAUGGUAUUCUUUCUUACUCUUUUUUACUCUCUUCUUUUUUUCCUUUUUUUCUUUUUGAUGUUUUCAAGAUUGCAUGAUGGAAUUUAUCAUUCAGCAUUCUUUGACAUGGUCCUUCAGCACAAUUUGAUUUUUGUGAAGACCAAACAAAUUCAAAAAGCGAAAAAAAGAAAGAAAAGAAAAGAAAAGAAAAAUGAAGUGGUCUCCAACCUUCAAAGACAGUCAUUUUUCUUUUUCUUUUUCUUUUUCUAUUGUUGAUAUUAUUGUUACUUAAAGAUGUCAAGCUGCUAAAAGGUAUUGGGCAAGAGGGUAGUUCAUAUGUCACUCUUUCUCUCUCUCUCAAUAUAUAUAUAUAUAUAUAUAUAUAUAUAAUAAUAAGAAGAAGAGGGUGAGAGAAAAAAGAAGAAUCCACACUUUGCUAGUGUGCCAGCCCCCAUUCUUCUUAUGAUUGUAGCUUUUGCUCAUAAUGAUAUGCAAUGAAUCAUCUUGUGGGCUGGAAAGAUAAAAAUGGCUCAUACAGAUCCAUAAUGUCCUUCUGCAUUUGCAUCAUCAGCAUGCACCUUCAUUAGACACACACACGCAUAUCAACAUGGCAUGGUUUUCAUUUACAACAUGUGUGGUUAAUAAAACACACACAGUUACAGUGAAUGUACUUCAAAGAAAAUCAUAAAUUCAACAACAUGUUGGAUGUUUCCUUGCCAUGAAAACAGUUCCACCAUAUGCAUUCAAAGUUGGCAAUUCAACAUAUAAAGACAAAAUGAAAAAAACAAACAAAACCAAAACAAAAACAAAAACAAACAAACAAUCACACAAGACAGAGAAUAAUCAUGGUGUCAUUGUGCUGUUACUGCAACUCAUUACAAGACAAUGACAAUGUCAUUGGUUGGCAACAAAGUGCAUCAAUAAAUAAAUAAACAAAGGUAAAGAAACAAUGUGCAUCAAUGGAAUCACAAUCACAAUCACAGUAGAUAUAUGCUACCUCAAUGCCUCAGUGUAAGAACACAGCCACACUGAGCAGUAAAGAGAUUAUCGAAAACAUUGAUACCAAGUGAUUCACUAAUAAGAAUUAUCCAAACCAUCUUCCCCAUUAAUGACACCUCUAAAAUUGUGCACUUACUUAACUGAUCCUCACUUCCACUUCCACUUCCCCACAUUCUCCAGAGAAUGUCCUGUACAAAGGGGCUUUUCUUCUUCUUCUUCUUCUGCUUCUUCUUCGUCUUCACUGUAAAGCUCAUUCAACACGGGGCUUAGAAUCUCCCUCGUCAAUGCCCCUCCACACCUCUGUCCAAAACUGGCACAUCGUUUCAUGAUAUCUCCAACAAGCCACUAUCAUAUGGGACACUUCGUACGAAGGCCAAGUGUCGAGAUCGAUGAAACUAGCUUUACGGGAAGCUUUGAUCUCCACGGAAAAAUUUAAACGACUCAGGGCGGAGCGUCCAAGACCAGGGGAUCGGGGAAGGCGGUUGAAGGGUUCCACUUCAGCCAGCCAGCUCAGCAGCCAGCUAAGCGCGAGGGGGCGGGCGUGCACGUCCGGGCAGAGGAGUGGUGCAGUGUGCCAGGGCUGGUUAGUCAUUGCCCAUGUUCCUGCUGCCGUCGGAUGGACGACGGAGAUUCGUUCCCAUGAAAAGAAGACUAUAUUUGAACUUGUCCAUGUGGAGGUUCUUCCGGGGGUCUUGUGGUUUCUGCUCUGUUCUUGGUCAGGCCUUCCUAGGCCUCGUUUUUGUGAAUUUUAGUGGGUUUUGUUGGGUUGCUAUAUAAUUGCGGUUUCGAAAUUUGGGGAGGGAGGGGAGUUCGGGGGUUUUUCUGGCUCCGUCAGUAGUUGCGAGGGAUUUGUCAUGGUAUUUAUAUAGUAAGGUAUGGUAAGUGUUGGACUUCUCCAUGGAAACGCAAAAGCUGGUUCCGUCACCGUAGUCCUGCGAAGGGGGGGGGCAUAUUCCGGGGCGGUAUCGGUGGGGGCUUUUUCCAUGAUUGCAUGUGUUCCGUCUGGAUUUGUCAUCAUCACUCGGGGUUGCACCUUUCCACCCCCCCCCCCCUCUCGCUCUCUCCUCUCCCACGCCCCAGUUCUGGUGUGGAGGUUUUUCCGGGGGUUUUGUUUACAGGUUUAGGAUUUAGAGUUUUUGAAUCUAACAUAUUUAUUAUUAUUGUUAUUGCCAUUGUUACGUUAUGUUCUAUUGGGUAUUAAUGUAGGCAUAUAUAUAUAUAUUAAAGGAAGUAUUGUUUCUUUUUACUAUAUCUCACUAUUUUUUGAGUUACUAUUCACAUGCAUUUCCAUAAUACAUACCAUUCAGCAUAUUCCUUAAAGAAACGUUGCAUAUAAAACGUGAAUUUGUGAAUGUUUGGAUUUUGAACAGGUUGUAUCUUCAACAUAAUGAGGAACACCAAAAUCAUAUAUUUAGAAGUAGAAAUUAUACUACAGUAGUAUUGAAUAGAAAUAGAAGUGUUAAAAAAUCAAGUAUUACUCCAUGUAAAUCAUGACAAUCAAUAUAAUAAUCAGAAAUGCAACAGAAUACUCCUUAUAUUUGUUGUUCACAACGUCACCAUCACCAUCUGCAAUACGAUGUGUACACAACCCUAACUUGUGCGAAUUUGUUUAAAAAUAUUUUCCAAUAUUGAUUUGUACGCUGAAACUGGCAACAGCCCACCCGGAAUAAUAAAAACCAGCUCAUGCGACAAAUAUACAAGCGAUAGAAUAAACGCCAAUGCGGUGAAUUCGCGCGUUCCGUGGCACACAGCUGGCCGCCAUGUGGACGCUUCAUUAUGGAGGGACGACUCACAAUAGGACAAAGAUCGUGCCUGCCUGGCGAAGCGAGGUUUAUGCUUUGGCUUCGUGUUCGAGCAACGGGGCAUAUCUCCAUGGCCCCAUCACCACUGUCGAUACCCAUGGCCGUUGCAUGUGCAAGGGCCCAUGCCGCCGCGGCUCCCAUGUUCGAACCCUUGUUUGCAGCUGACAGGUUCCCGAAACCCUAAUUUGUUGCCGUUGCGUAAGGUUUAGGGUUUUAUAGCCCAGGGACUUGCGGAUCAUCAGCUUUGCGCUGGAGCUUAGCAAGCGCGAGACAGACCCGAGCAGCACAGCACGGCAGGCUGUCAUUUUGCCCUGCAAUCCUCACCAGUUGUGCGACAAUAACCCUCAAUUGAUAGGCAUUCAUUCUGUUUUUUAUUUUAUUUCUUUGUCUUUUAAAAUAUUAUCAGCCCAAAACACAGUGUUGUCCCUCUCAGUGUCUCGCUCUCUGUCCGUCCGUGGUCUUGUUUCACCGUCACAUCCUUUGGAAAAAUUUUCAUGGAAUUUUCACCUCCAAGCAUUGGGCCAAUAAUUUAUGCGAGAAUCUUUGGGACGCAGAUAGCAAGUCUGCCAUCCCGUACUUGCUUCCUUAGUUGUUGCAGAUCGAGAUCACGAAUGUAUGGAAGUAUGCUUGGAGCUCUUUGUGGGCUCUUUCGGAAUAUCUGUGGGGAGGAUUUUAGCUCUGCAGUUGGGCUUGCGAUCUCUCAGAUAAGUAUGUGUUGAUUCCGUAGCUGAAUAAAGGAUCCAUAUCUCGGUGAAUGCCACCACGGCCGCACAGUGUGAGUACAGGUCCGGAUGCCUUCGAUAUUACAGUGUGUAAGUAUGUUCGCUAUUUGGGUUUGUGGUAAACUCGUUAACAGCAGCAACAUCUAAUGGAGGUAAAUAUAGAUGAGUGAUAUUAAUGGAGUCACGGAUUGAAUACGACGUGGAAAAAGAGAAUUAAGAGAGCCCCAAUAAUACCAUUGUUCCAGGUGCUUGGAAAUCUUACCUGGAUGGACACAUUGAUGGGCACCUCAGGAUUUAAACGUUCAGAUCACAAGGACACACGCCAAGAAUAGGUGAAUGUGCUGUGUCCCGCCUUGUUUUCUCUUAAAGUGAUUGCCCCGUUAGAAUUUCGCUUCUGAAUCGUUUCUAAACCCUAAACCCUAAACCCUGAAUUUGCGGUACUGAGACACUCACAUAGAGAGCCUCGAGCAGGUGACAAAAGUACUAGUAAAAAUUUGUACACAAGGUUGAUGACUACGAUGUCAGAUGUGGAGCUGUGUACUGUUGCAACCCAUCAUCAUUUCCGAAACCAAUGGGAAGAGCUCGAGGCUCUCUUUCCCAGAUUAUCUCACAAGAGCCAAGCCGGCAUGCAACCCAGGCUUGACCUUGGGAUUCGCUUAACCUCAGGGCCCCGCGAACAUUCGUCACAAGAUUUUUACUUCUAUGGGGGUACAACUGGCGGUGCCCAUGAAUAAACACUGCAACAGUGAACUCUGCGUGUAUUGUGGAUGGAAUCUGCAAGCGUUCAAUGGAUGCUGUCUAAUUCACAGCUAUCACCGAGCGUAUGGCGUUCGCAGCAAAUUGAACAGAGAUCUGUGGCUCUGUGAUUUUGUUCGCAUGAACAGGCGAUGCAACGAGAGAGGGGCGUCUCGGAGUAAGUUUGCAGCGUUUUUUUCGAUUCUGUUCGAAUUUCGUCAAAUCGGCAAAAGGGAACAGGAUGUAAUAUCAUUCAUAAAGAGGGAUUAUGUUUAGUAUCGCAAAACCAUGAAUAUCACACGCAAUCAAGCUUCUGAAGUUGCCAGAAUCAAAACCAUUUACUAUUGAGUUAACGGAGUUUUUUGCACAAUGUUUAUGAGCAAGGAAUUAGGUUCUGUGCGUGAUUUGGAGAGUAUCAGCGAGCAAUCAAUGAUCGGAAGUUUCUCUCACCGAAUGUGGAAUUUAACCAAGAGAAAAACAUACGGCAAAGGUGGAGAGACGUGAAGAUUGAAGUGCAUUCUACCAGACUUCUCAAACAUAAAUGAAGAUGCGAUAACUUUCCUGACAGGAGAAUGCGUUUGUACACAUCCAGGACAGAGUCCCAACAAGCAGAGCCUCCUCCUCACUUUUUUCUUCAGGAGCAUUGCACGGACAUACUUUUGAAUCAUUAGGCGUGAAAGGCAAUUCCUUCCAGCUGGAGCGUCUGUCCUUCGGCUUGGACCGGUGCGGCUUAUUCAAAGCACCUUUCAAUGAUCUCUCAACAAGACACCAGCCUGUGUGAAAUAGAGAAAGAUUCAUGUAAGAAUCAUUUGAGGAGAUUAUGUUAAGAUUGUGAAAUGUCUCCUCACGAUGGCGAAGCCUGUGAAUGUCAAUCCCCUGCAGAGGCUUGGCCUCCUGACGCUUUUGCUGUCAUGAAACAUCAGUGCCAGAAAAAGCAUGCAUUUCACCGACCUCACAUUUGGAGCCAUCUUAAAAAAGAAUCGCGCCAUUGAACCUUAAGAGAUUCAGAAACUUCCCACUCAUGUCGACCAACCUGUGGAGAGUUGAGAAAGAUAAAACCCAUGACUUCAAUCCUAAGGAAGAUAACAGCCUUUGACCUUCUGCUUAAAUCCAACCUUGAUCAGACAUGGUCGUUGCAGUGAUAUUUGUGAUGCAAUAAUGAUAGACGCCAGAGUUUCUACGACCGUAACGCCAUAACGCCAGAGAAGGGUUAAAAUUCCGACUCAAAUACCCUUAGAGAGAGAGGGAGAUGUUUACCGGUGUUAUGGCACAUCUGCGAUCAGCAUCCAGAUUUGUAUCCAAGUUCUUAUGUGAUCAAAUCACCAUCUACUCGGCGCCAAGUUUUGUGAACAGCAUGCAUGCGUGUGAAGCCGUAGAUGCACUGUGACUGGAGAGCUACACCACCAGAGCGACUUCGGGGUUGGAUAUGAAAAUGGCCACCAUUCCUACAGCGUGCAUCAAAGCCAUCUGCCAGGAUUGUCUGCUGUUACUAAGGUGUACUUCAAGGGACUGACAGGCAGUCUCUCAGUCUUGUAACAGGAUUUCAAGACAUUGACGAUGUGAACUCUGCUAUCUCUCCUUGUGCCUAUUGACCGAAUAACGAGGAAUCAGAUACGAGGUCCUGCCUCCAGAAAAAUCCCAUUAUCCAUUCUUUACGAACUAUGCAAGUGAGAUGGCGAGGAAGGCCAGUGCUUACAAGAGCUGCUAGCUUCUGGUGCUCGACGAGUGCCCCAUUACAUAGAGCUGCAUUGAGAAUUUCCCAAUCAUUGUUGUUGAAGUGACCAUGCCGACUGUGACAGUUCUCCCUCAGGGGUUGUCGACUGUCAGCCAUGAUGAUGUUAAAGGAACACGAAUGACCCGUUCCUUACUGGGUUUGUCCUCACGAACGAAGUCAGCAGGGGAAUCGACGUCCGGUUCUGUUUUUCUGUGAUUUCCGCCUCGACCUUGCGCCACUUCAAACGCAGAGUCACCAGAUUGAUGUCAACGUGGAUGUCAUUUCACUCGUUGGCAUAUUUCACAUGCGAGAGAAGAACUGCAUAUUCUGUGUAGGUGUGCAUUUCUGCGCUAGAAUGAACGUAAGAAGGCUCAAAAGACAGGAAGACACAUCGGCAGACUGAUCACCACUACAACGUGUGUCUCUGCUGGAGUCAGUGUGGAUUCAGUAAGACCUGAGCUCACAAUCGGCAACAAAUGAAUGUUACAUUUUAUUUGAAAACGAAGCACAUACAACCUCCACAUUCAAUGAAGUUAAAAUGCUUGGAAAACAGGAAACUAAAAGAAACACUCACGAUAUGGGUCCCGUCGACUCGCACCGAUUCUCAGAUACUCCGUUGUCAUCAGGCUGCUGCAGUGAGCACCUCGGCCCUCACCACCCAAACCCUAAUUCUGCUUCGGAGCAGUGGAAGCCUGCCCAGAAACACACACGAAAACUCAUGAAAACGUGCAGCCAGGCUCCACCCACCCAUCCACCCGAUUAAUCUUCUGAGGCUGCUUCCGAGGAGUCCCAUUCAUCAAUCGCACAGCAGCAGCGACGUUUCUUCUUACAUCGUUCAACUCGCCCAUCGUCUGCGUGUGUAUCGAGCAAUUCCAGGGUUUUUGUAGCUUGAACGUGCAUUGUGUGUGUGUGUGUGAGUGUGUGUAUGUGUAUGUAAACGCGGAUCUGCCUCCGUUUUAAAUUGUUUCAGUUUUUGUACACCUUACUUGAUUAAUCGGUCAUUAGUUUAAUUUGCAUUUUUACGUUGUCGACAACUCUUUCUAGUAACCUUGAGUAGUGACUGCUGCCGACAACAGGAAACACCAAGUGUACUGGAGAUACCGACGCACAUGAAACGUAGAAAACGACGCAGUAAAGUAGCUUCUGCUAUUGGCAGGAAUGAUGUAUACCGGUUUGAGGGAGGGGGGGUUGUCUUGGUGGGUGUUAAUUAAUUGUUGGAGGAAAAAGGACAAACCCUAAAAGCCAGCUGCAGCUGAGAGAUUAUCUUAAAAUCAGUUAAAGAAAAGAAACAAAGUCUAAUUGUAGAAGUGUUACAAAUGCAUGAAGUGAAUCAAACAACAAUUGUCAAUAAUUAAACAGAUAUAACAACCAAGAAAGAAACAAUAGAAAACAUAACUUUAUUAUAACAAAUAUGAAGGUGAUUUAUACAACAAGUACCACAUUACAAAAACUUAGCAACAAAUGUUGCAUAUAACUUACAAAACAAAUAUCGUGGUUAAUCUAUAAGAAAUAUGAUAAAGAAAGCAAAUAUCAAAGCAACCCCAACAACACUAAUUGUGUACAAUUCAUACAUCAACUAAACUUUAUAAAUUCAUAAGAAAAGUAUAAUAAAGAAAAAAAAAAAAUCUACCAUCUUAAUUUUGUGUGAUGGUAAUAAUAGAUGCACUUGUUUGAUUAAAUUUUGAAACUCAAACUAAGUUUAAUGAGUAUACAAGAAUCAAUAUGAGUGGGUAGGCUCUAUGGAUAUUAAUGCAAAGGCUCACAAUUGGAAGUACAUUUGUCUUUUAAAAAAAACAAAACAAAACAAAACAAGAUAUAAUUUAAAUUUAUGGUUACACUUUGCAAUCAAAAAAACUUUUGUUAGAGUUUGCAUACUUCUAAGAAACUAUUGUAAAAGCAUCCUAUAACUUAGAUAUUUGGUGUAAAAGUCAUAUAAUCAAUAAUAAUCUUUCAAGUGGCCUUAAUAAUAAAUUAAGACCACUAUUAUAGAAAUAUAUUAAAAUUUGAUUCAAUAAAAUGUCUCAUAAAAAUUUUAAAAUAUCAUUCUGGUUUCAUUAUUUGCUAGAUUGUUUGUGUAUUUAUUUUUAAAAAAAAACAUGGAUAUUCCUUAACAAUAAUUUAUUAGCCGCUGCAUAUAUUAAAAUAAUUCAUAAAGAUGACAAGUUUGUUUAAUUUGUUUCUAAUGGCAUCAAAAUGCCAAAUAAUGGAUUUAACAAUACCACAUUACAAAAACUUAGCAACAAAUGUUGCAUAUAACUUACAAAACAAAUAUCGUGGUUAAUCUAUAAGAAAUAUGAUAAAGAAAGCAAAUAUCAAAGCAACCACAAUAACACUAAUUGUGUACAAUUCAUACAUCAACUAAACUUUAUAAAUUCAUAAGAAAAGUAUAAUAAAGAAAAAAAAAAAUCUACCAUCUUAAUUUUGUGUGAUGGUAAUAAUAGAUGCACUUGUUUGAUUAAAUUUUGAAACUCAAACUAAUUUUAAUGAGUAUACAAUUUGCAAUUCUCUUAAAACCAUUCUUGUGUUUUUUUCUCCUUAAUUUUUGUGUUCUUUUGUCAAAGCAUCACAACUUGGUGUACGGAAUAAAAACUCUAAUAAUAUCAAUGGAAUAUUUUUAAUUUUUUUGAUAUAAUAUAACUAUAUAUAUAUAUAUAUAUAUAUAUAUAUAUAUAGGUAUGUGUAUGAAUGUCUAUAUGUAUAUAUAUGAAUUGAAUAUAUUUUAAUUAGAUGAUAUCAUUUUUUUCAUUAAAUACCUCCAAUAACUUAAAUAUUGGAGUUCAUACAAAUUUUAUAAAAAACUUUAAGACUAAGUUUAAAAUCAAUUUACACAUAUGCUAAAUUUAUAGUUAAGAUUAUUUUAACAAUCAAGCUUAAAAAUUCAAGCUCUUUUAAGUAAAAGUAAUAAAAUUGAUUUAUAAUCUUUUAUUUUUAGCACAAUGAGACUAAUAUGUUAUUGUUAAUAUAACAUUAAAAAACUUAAACAAUGGCCCUAUGUAUAAGAAAAAUUUAGAUAGAAAGAAUUCAAAUAGGAAAUAUAAUUUCUUUAUUUUCAUUUCUUCUUAAUAAUAAAAGUCUAAAAAAUUUGUAACUUUAAAAUUCUUAAGUAAUAAUAAAUUUGAUUUCUAUUUAUAAAUUUAAGAUAUUGAUAUUCUAUUUCAUUAUGUAUAGAUGUUCAAUAAAUAAAAUUAUAAGCAUCUUUUGAACUCUCAUAUGUAUUUGUAUUAUUUUUAUAAUUCUUAAGAAACAUCUUAAAUCUUUUAAAACCUUCUAAAAGACAUUUAAAAAAGUCAAUUUUUUAUAAGACUUUCAUACCUUUCUAAAAACUUUAUAUGAAUCAACUAUGACUUCUUAAAAGUUCAUAUAGUUAUUUGAGAUCUAUUUUUUUCUUUUAGCGAAUUUUGUAGAAAAAGUAAUAUAUGCUUAUAAAAGCAUUUGUAGCAUUCAAAAUCUCAUCAAAAAGUAUCUUUAGAAACUAAAAGUUUAAUAUACAUAGUUAAGUAAAAUAAAAACAAAUAAAUAAAUAAAAAAUCUGGAAUCUUAUAUAAAUAAGUUUUAGAGUAAUUUAAAUAUUAGCAUGUUUCUAAUUUUUUAUUAAGUCUUAGUUCUACUUUAAAAUCUUAUCUAUGUUACUUGUUAUCUUCUCAUAGAUACAUGUGUUAGUUAAGUAAGUUAAAUAAACAGAAAUAAAUAAAUCUGAAAUAUGUAGAUAUGAUCUUUCAAUAAAAAUAUGAAAAGAACAAGAAUAAAUUAAAUUUGUGGAUAUAUUUUGCAAUCAAAGAAAAUUAUGUUAGAAUUUACUUAGUUCUAAGAAUCUAUUGUAAAAGCAUUCUAUAAGGCUAUUGUAACAAGCAUCCCAUAGGUCACAAGAUUAUAAGGCUUAGAUACCAAAUUUAAUUUAGUGACUUAUCUUGUAAUACUUUUAAAAAAUAUUAUGUUGGUAUGAUUUUUUGUUUUUUUGUUUUUUAUUUUAUAAUAAUAAUAAUAAUAAUGAUUAUUAUUAUAGAUAUCUCUUUAUAUUAAAAGUUUAGAAAAAAAAAAGAUUUAUUUUAUUCAUAAAGAUGUCAAGCUUGUUAAAUUUAUUUAUGGACGUACCAAGUUUGUUACUAUUGGGUUUAAUAAUACUUUAAAGAAUUAUACAAAAUCAGGACUUGUAUUGGGAAUUUGGAAUAUAAACAAUCUCAUGCCAUUUCAAUGAUGCAAAUAGCAGAUGUCUAAACAUAUUUGUAAGGAGGUAUUGAAUAAUGCCAAUUUGAAGUUGUUUAUGAUUUUUGUAAUAUCUACAAAUCUACAAGUUGGAACAAUGUGAGUUUGGUACACAAUCAAAGGACUUUGAAGAUCAAAUUUUUAGUAGAAGUUACUAGUUAAAGAAAGAAGGUUAUUGUUGGAACAUCUCUAUUAACUUUCAAGUUGGUGGUUGAGUGAAAUAGGUGGGAUUGUUAUGGUAUUUUUUUUACAAUUUGUAAGUUAAAUUGAAUUGAAUUUUUAUAAGUAUAUAGAGAGCUUAUAAUAGCAUUAUCAAAAAUAAAAAUAAAAAACAAAAUAUACCAAUUAGGUAGUUAAAUUUGGACUUAGAUCUUAAUUAAGCUUGCUAAGCAAGAUUAAGAUUUGUAAGAAAAGAUUGAAAUAGUAAAAUAAUUGAAUCAAUAAGAAAAUUAAUAUUUAUACAUGAUUGAGAUUGUAAAGAAGAGUUUCUUUUAGCUCUUUAUAUAUUUUAAAUUUUAAAUUAGAUUAUAUUAUGAUUUAUUGGCCAAAAAUUAUUCAUAUUUAUCAUUAAUUGUAAUAUAAAACUUUAUUUUCUACAACUAGAAGUAUGAUGCAUAUCUACAUAGACAACAUAUAAUACAACAAUGUUGUCAAAUUCUACCAUAUUUGCCUUAUGCAAAAGUUGGUGAAAACUAAAAAGUUAAAUGAUAAUUUAGGUACAAGUAUAAUAGGUAUUUCUAAAUUUUGUGUAGAUAAUGAAAGUAGUUUAGCAAAAAGUAAAAUAUCAUAGUAAUUUUCAUACCAAUGGUAAGAUUAAUAUUUAAGAAGUAAUUUUUUUUAAGAAAAGAUCAAAAUUAGACUCUAACAUACAAACUCAAAGACCUAAAAUGAAUAGAGAAUGUAUUUUAAUUGAUUAUAAUUUAUCCAAUCAAUUUAUUGAUUUCUUCUUUUUUACAUCCACAAAUUCAAUAGUAUAAACAUUCAAAUUUACCUUCACCAAAAAUAUAUAAAUUCUUCUAUAACUAAGUAAUUGAAUUCUUUUUGUUGAUAUAUGAAGUAUAUAAUAGUAUCUUAAGAUCUAUUACAAAAUCAACAAUAAAAACUUAUCAUAUCUAAUACUACAACAUCAAUAUCAAUUCUUUCAACAAUUGUUGAUGGAUAAUAUGGUUGAACCAUAAAACUUUAUAUAUGAAAUUUAAAAAAUAUUCAUUUUAUAUUAAUUACUACAAUUCUAAUGGAAGAAAAACAUGUACAUCUUAAGAGCAAUUUUAACAUCCUCAUGCAAUCUCAUGUCAAUCAUUCUUCUUAUUGUUUUGUUUGCUUGAAUUAAUUUGAUUUGAUUUGAUUUGAUUUGAGAUAAGAUGAUUUUACUUUUUUAUUCUUUUUCCAAAUGACCUUCCAAUAGAACUAAGAGAAUGUUUUGUAGUGUGGUUGAUUUAAGAUGCCAACUAUGUUGUGAAGGAUGUGGCACACCAUUGGCAUUGAAAGUGCAGAAAUAUAGAUGAAAGAGGGUAUGUGGAUGUGUUGGCUUGCAAUUAAGGAUGCAAAACAUAAUGUGGAUACAAAAGCUUGCAAUCAAGGUGUUGAAUGUGUGUAAGUGGGAGUUGGGUGUUCCUUAAGUGUAGGAAAACACAAUGUUUUGGAGGGGGCAAGGAUUGAGGGGUGUUGAGGCAAUAGGGGUAUUUUCUUAUGUGGUUUUUGUUCCAAGGGCAAAAAAAAAAGUAGACACAAGAAGAUGAUGAAAAUGAGGGAGGUGGAAAAUGUUUGUAAUGUGGGGUGGAUGUGUGCAAGAGUGAAGGGAUAUUAGAGGCAUGAUUGAAGUUUGGGUGAGAACAUGAAGCAAAAUGUGGGCGAACGAAACUGGUGUGGUGGGAAAGCGGGGUGACAAGAACUUGAUGCGUGCGCGCCAUGGGGGUGGACGAGCGAGCGGGUGAGGAGAACGAAAGAAAUGGAAAAGGCAGGGAAACGGUUGUAUUCAAUGUUGCACCGGCCGGGAAUCGAACCCGGGUCUGUACCGUGGCAGGGUACUAUUCUACCACUAGACCACCGGUGCUAUUUUGUGCAGCAAUCGCUGCGACGCCUACCACAGUUCGAACUCAGCUCGCUCGCGAAUCGGGCGGUGUGGUACUCUCUAUCUCAAGGAAAUGUCUGCUGACUAGCAGGUUACUCGCGGUCUCCUCCCAGGAUCCGAACGGCAGCAGCUUCUUUCACACUGCAUGUAUCACAGCCCGUCUUUUUCCCGCACCGACCCCACCUCACCACCACGCCGCAUCACGCGGCCUCACUUCACCUCUUGGCCACGGCCCGUUCGUUCGUUCGUGCGGGCCAUCUCCCACUCUCGUAGAAUUGUGUCGUAGAAACCUCCCUGCUCAAGUGGCUAGCUACUCAGAUUCAAUCUCAACCGCCGAUCGGGUUUUUGGGAACGAAGAGAGAACAUAGGGGAACCAUGCAGGCGAGCAGGUUGGAGGGCGGGCAGUUUGGGAGCUCAGAACCCAUUCCUCAUUGGGCCCGUUUUCACUGGGUGCUGAAGUUUGUUCAGUGGCUGCCUCUCAAUCCCAAUUUUCAACCAUUACUCUUGCUUCAAACAGUAUAUUUGUGUUGUCAUAUACAACAGUACUCAACACAACAACACUCAAUGUACAUGAUAUUUUUGUUUACAGGAAGAAUUAAUGCAACUCAAAAAAUUUACUCAUUAAUUUUUUCUCAAACACAUAUUUUAUACACAAGGAUUCAUCAUUGAUUAUUUUCUUUGUACAAGAAAUAAAAUAUAGAUUGGCUAAAUUUUAUUUUAUUUCAUUUUAUUUUAAUAAAUAUUGAAUUUUCCCAUUCUAAAUUGAAAAGAUUGUAAAAUAUUAUUAUUAUAUUUUAAUAUUAAAAAAAUUAAGAAAACUCAUUUACAUGAGUUUUUCUUAAAAAUAUUAUUCUGGUAUAAGAUAUCAUAUAGGUUUGUUUUUUAUUAAAUAUUUUUGCAAAUCAUAGAAUAUUUUCUACAAGCAUCAUGUAUCUAAAUAGUUUUACAAUUAAAACAAAUGCAAUAACUAUAAUAGUGUGGUCAUAAAUACCACCACUAAAACGAGUCUUUAUUAUAUAAUAGUAAAUACCCGCACAAUACCUUACUUGCAUUGCCAACUUCUCCCAAGUUCAUCUAUUUGCCUCUAUGUUCUUCCCAACGAUCCCCACAUUCUUGACAAAUCUUGUAACAAUUAAAAUUGAAACUUAACAUUUGACGAUGUUAAGAAGAUGAGCCUCCUUGAGAGAAUACAAAGUUCUUGAUUACAAGUGGGUUGCAAGAAGUACAAUGUUGUCCAAAUGAAGUCAAAUAUAAAAGGAUAGUCAAAGGCUAAGUAUAAAAUUUAGACUAAUUUCUUUCUUACGCCAAGAUAUAUCCAAUCCCUUAAUUCAAAUCUUAAAUCUAAACCUCAUCUUAUUAAAAUAUCUAUAACUCACUUAUUACUAAUCCAAUCUAGGUAAAAUUUAGUUUAUUGAGCUUAAUUCAAGCUACAAAUUUCAAAUUGUUAAAGUCCAUGAAUAAAAUCUUGAGGAAAUAAGAGCCAAACCAAGGAGGAAAAAAAUUGGCCACUUCCUACAAUCACUAUUUCAAAACCCCUGUCUACAAAUUAACUUGGAUCUCUAUUGUCACAACUUAUCUUCUUGCAUGCUAAGGCUUAUUGAAAAGUUAAAAAUGAGCUCUAGCUUUCUCCAAAUUCUCAGAAUAAAAAAAAGACAAAUCUAUUAAAUGGCAUAAAAAGUCCUAAACCAAUCUUGAAUUCCGCUAUCCAAAAACUCCAGUAAAUCCCCUCCAAAAAAUUUAUAUGAAUCUCUCUCAUUACAGAUCUUCUUCUUGCAUGAAAUAGCUUGUUGAAUAGCUAACAAUAAGAUCUAGCUUCUUUUAAAAUUUCAAAAUAAAAAGAUGAAAAUUUAGAAAAUGCAAUAAGAAACUUCAAACCAAUUUUGAAUCUUGCCACCCAAAAAAUCCCGGCAACUCCCAUCUCACAAAUCUACUUGGAUCUCCUUGCUCAUAGAUUCAUUGCUUGCAUGAUAUAGCUUAUUGGAAAUCUAACAACACAAUCUAACUUCCUCGAAAAUUUCAAAAAUAGAAGAAGAAAAUACGAGAAAUGGCAUAGAAAUUCUUAACUAGUCUUAUGUCUUGCUACUUGAAAACUCCAAUGACCCCCCUUUCACAAAUUUGCAUGGUUGCCUCUCUUCAUAGCUCCAUUUCUUAAUUACUAUAGCUUGUUGGAAAGCUAACAAUAAAAGCUAACUUCUCUCAAAAUUUCAGAAUAAAAAGAUGAAAAUUUUGUAAGUGGCCUUCAAAAUCUAGAAUCGGGCUUGAAUCUUGCUCCCCCCCCCCCCCCCGCUUCCGAAAAUUCCAAAAACCUUCUUUUCUCCUCUUUUUGACCCCCAACAAAUCUUCUCUCUCUUCUCUCCUUCCACCCAAAAAAAUUAAACUCCUUGAUAUCAAAAAUCCCUAUCCCUAAUCUUCUUCCAAUAUCCAUCUUGGACAACUAUAAAGUUGGAUAUUUAUCCUAAAAGACAAUACCUUCAAGCUUGUAUAAUCCAUUCAAGACAACAAUUUCAUAUUCUAAAUUCUAUCCAAAUUUGUAAAUGUAUUAGUAUUAUAUUAUAUUAUAUUAUAUUAUUUAUUUAUUUCUCUCUCUCUCUCUCUCUCUCUCUCUCUCUCUCUCUCUCUCUCCUCUCCCCUUUCCUAUAAGAAAAAUUAAUUACUCUCUAAAUAUCUUUGAUGCAUUUAAAUUAAAUGCAUCACAAUGAUGGCUACAACGUCUCAAGUCAAUUGAUUGAAUAGUGAAGUUUUUGCAAUACAUAAUGAUGAGGAUCUCCCACUUCCACUCCAUAUCAACCUCUUCCACCAUUUUCAUCUUCAUUUCAUGCAUCUACUUUUUCUUAUUCUUCAUCUUUUUUAUAUUAUUCAUUGCUUAGCUCUUUGUUUUACAUUGUUGCAAUUGAUUUCACUAUCUUUUGCUUACUUGCCCAAAUAAUUGCAAAGAUCAAAAUAAGAAGAUGCCUUAUAGAAAGUAUUUAAAAAAUUAUUAAAAAAAUAAAAGAUUUUAUAUUACUCAAAUAUGAUGUAGUAGUAGUAUGGAGUAUACUACUCAAAGUUAUAAACCUCAUUGAUGAUUUGUGGUUAUAAUCUAACAUUAUCAAGAAUAUUUAUCUUUUAUUUUUAACUUUAAGAAUUUUUAAUCAAUUCAACCAAUCAAAGAUCUUUAUUAAAAUAGAUCCUUGAAGACCAUACAAUUGCAUUGUAUCAAAGAAGGAGAUAAAUAAAAGAUUAUGUUUUAAAUAAAGUAUAGAUAUUUUAAAUUUAGUAUUAUGUCUUUAAUAUUCACAAAUGUCUUUGGAACAUUUUGAGUUUAAUACCAUAUUUGAUAAGUUAAGACAUAUGUCUUACAAAUUUGAAAAGUGUUUAAGGUCCUAUAUAACAUCGCCACUUAGCUUGUAGUUAGAUAGUAUAAAUAGAGACAAGAGUGAAGCCUUCUUCACUCUAUUCAACAACAUUUUAGUCCUUUAGUGUUUUUUUUAAGAUUUUUUAAUCUUCUUAUCUUUAGUAAUAGCCAUUAUAAUUCAAUAUUAUAUUAUUUUUGAGUGAUUCUUUUAGCCUUUUUGAAUGAUACGAGAAUAUAUUAAUAUUUUAGUUCUUUAAAAUUCACGUCCUUAAUAAUUUGAAAAGAGUAUUAAUUCAUUAUUCUUAUCAUAUUUUUAGAAGUGAAUGGACUACCACACUCCUAUUAUAGUAUUUUGAAGUUUGUGGACUAUUCACCUUUAAUUUAAUAUUUUAGUCUCUCAACAAUGAUUUAUUUCUUAUAAAGCAUGGACUACCCCUUUUUGUAACAUUUUUCUUUUGAUAUUAGAGGUUGCGGAUUAUCCUCCACUAAUUUGACUAAUAAAUUUAUUUGAAUGGUCUAUAGAAGGAAAAACCAUGGAUGCUAUUCUUAGCAAAAGAGUGAAUAGAUUUUUUAGAUUGUCUUCACGUAAUACAAUAUUAUGACAUUAUAAUUCUUUGUAUUGAUAUGUUCCUAUUGCUUUGGUUGUGAUUUUUAUAGAUUUUGAAAUAUUUUAUCUUUUUUUUUAUAGACAUUGUUUAUAAAAUUCCUUAAACUUUAUUACUAUAUUUGUAAGAUGUUUUGCUUGUAUUUAUGUAUAUUUAUUAAUAUCAUUUUUAUACAUAUUAUUAAGAUGUUUUAAUCUGUUUUGGCUCUACCUUUAAUCUAAGACUUCUUCUAUCUCAUACUCUUGAUUAUUAUUUUCUUCUAUUAAAAAAGGUGGCAUUUGUCUUUUUUUUGAUACAUUUACUCUUUCAUAUUACUCAAAAUGAGUCAUGUCAAAUAUAAGAUAUAUCUUUAUAGCUUUUGACAGAUAUAAACAAUAAGCAUCAAGAUUGAUUCGUUUAUAAAUAUAAUAAUCUCUAAGCCUAGAAUAGUCCAACUUAUGAUAAAGAUCAAUAAGCUUUGUAUUGCAACAAAGUAGCCAUACUUUGUCACUUAUUAAAAAUUAUAGUUAUUCCAUGCAAUAAAAAUUUAUAUUGAUUUUUUGUCAUUCUUAAGUUUUAGUAAGAUUUUAGAAAAUCUUUUUAAAUAUAUUUUCUAAAAUCGUAAUACAAAUUAAGUCCCCAUAUUUAAUAUAGUAUCUUUAUGUAAUCCAUGAUAGCAAUAGAUGUUGUCAAAAUAAAACUUAGUCAUUUCUUCACAUGUGAUAGAUUUUGUACAUUUUAUAAAAUAUACCAUCUUUAUAAAAUAAUCUACUAUCAUGAAUAUAGAAUCAUAUAAUCUUAGGAUUGGAAGAUCUAUGAUAAAAUCUAUUGAAAUAUAAAACUAUUGUUGUUCUAGAAUAGAAGUCAUAACUAAUUUGAAGAAUAUAUAAUUGUGCUACAUCUUCUGGAAUAUGUAAUUGUCUUUCAAAAUAGAAUAGAUUAUUUUUGAAAAUAAACUUAAAAGUAUCAAAAGACUUAAAAGAAUUAAUUUUGAUAUCAUGAGGAGUAAAAUUAGAGGACAUAUUGAAUUGAACUAACUUAACAAAAAUUAAAUCAAUUAUUAAUGUUGAUUUUAUUUAUCAAAGAUGAAAUAUUUUGGCAUCAAAAAAAAUUUUCUUUAUCAAUUAAAAGCUUUAUUUCUUUCUUUUAAUGAAAAAUAAGAAUUUCAAAAAAGACAUGUGACAAAUUUUGUUGAUUUUUGUAUCAAUAAGUGAUCUUAAAUUCAAACCUUGAUAAAGACUACUCUAACAAUCUUGGCUAUGAUUCAAAACAUGUGCCAAUAUGAAAUACUCAAGGCUUGAAAAUCUAACAAGACUAACUCUUUGUAAUUAUUUGACUCUAUAUUAAUUUCUAUUAUAGAACAAGGAGAAAUUUUUUUAAAAAAUAUAGAAUUGAUAUAAGUUAUUAGAUAGGAAUUAAGUCAUAAUAUUCCUAUUAUAAUUAGAGUAAAUUAUUUUUUUAUCACAUUUUCUUUUUUAAUUAUUAUAAUCCUUAUUUUGUAGAUAUGAUGUUUCUUUGGAUAAUUUUAAAACAAAUUCUCAAAUUUCCAAUAAUAUAAUUAUAAUCCUUCUUUGUAAUGACGAGUCUUUUCUUAUGCAAUAAGAUAUUUGAAAUAUACCAUGUCAAUUUGCGUAAGAUCAUGUCUAGAAGAAUAAACUAAGAAGCUAUCGCUAUGAUUUGAAAUGUAUAUCUUUAAUAAAAUCUUGAUCUUUGGCUCUUAUAGAGAGUUGAUUAUUACAUAUAAUGGCUUAAGCAAUAAAUUGCUCUAUAGAAUAUGGCCUUGACAACAUCAAUGGUAAAACAUUAAUAAUAUUUUUUAAUCCACAUCAAAAUUAAUUUAUCAGAGUCUUAUCAUAUUAAUCCAUGUUGCAACUAAGGUUUUAAAAUUAAGCAAUAUAUCAGAGGGCUAUUCAUAAUUAUUGUGGUAAAUAUUCAAGUUUGAUCAUUCCUACCUUUUUUCAAUUACAUUAUUUUUUAUCAAAAUUAUUAAAACUUAAAUCUGAUUCCAAAAAACUUCUUAAAUAUAUACAUCUUUGCAUCUUUCAUACUUUCUAAUUAAGAGCUAUGUGGUGAUAUUUUGUAGGAACUUCAAUAUGUAUUGACUUUAUUAAUUACAUGUCUUAACUUGCAAGGCAAGUUAUCUAUGUAUGCGCUGUCGUUUUACGUGCUUUCCUGCUUGAGAACGCACCGGUGUCGUAUUACGUGCUUUCCUGCUCGAGAACGCGCCGGGCGUCUAGCUGUAGAAGGUAGUAUGGAGAUUUGCCGAUAGUCAAGCAGUCUAUCAGUUUUUGACUGCUAGAAUAUAAACGACUGCAACAAUGUACCGUAAAUCUAUACGGAUGCUCUUUGACUGCUUGUCAAAGUCUUUUUUUUUUUUUUUUUUUUUUUUUUUUUUUUUUUUUUUUUUUUUUUUUUUUUUUUUUUUUUUUCCAGCCGAUAGGUCUCUAGACGUUACAGAGAACCCCGAACAACCCAAAUUGUUAAUCUUCAAUACCCCUUUGUACUUACGAUCUUGUAUCCACUGACUGUCCUGUUAGAUUAACCCAAUAAAUUUCAUUCACUUCGCAUACUCAAUCCUAUAGACACCCUUUUAAUCCUUCAAUCACAGACGUAACUCGAUUUUACAAAAUAGUCAAGAGUAUUCAAAUCCACUUCAUUUAAAAAUCCCGAUUCACCAUUACAACACUGACUUCAGCAGCGAUUGCCUCAGUCUUCCCAAAACUCUACAAAGAAGAAAAAUCCAAAUUCUAUGUCUUUCCUUCCCCGACCCGAAGCAUGAAGCUCCUCUCUCUAAUUCCCUUGAUCUUCCAAAAACCUCCAAUGAAAAACCGAACUGGUAACCUUGCAAAAGCUUGAAAACUCGCUCCCCCCCCGAUUCCCCCCGAAAAAAAAACCUCCCCCCCUCAAAACUAUAUCCCCCCCUAACCUUAUCCUCUGAAUUUCUUCAAUCUUCCGUCUUAGAUCCGGAAUUGGCUCCCACCUCAAGCUUGGAUCCGAAAUUGGCUCUCGUCGUCAAGCUUUCUCCUCCGUUUUUACCUUUAAGAAAUCCAUUUACCAAAAACAAUGUUCCCUAAAACGGCACAGACAACAGGACAACCUGAAACAGAAUCGAACCCCGUAAUCGGGACCACAUUGAGUCGCCCGACCAAUUCAGGUCCUAUAUUGGGAAAGAUGCCCGUAGUAACCUGGAUGUUCCCGUAAUUGGGUCAAAUUGGUCCUCACGUCAGAUUCGCUAAGACCCGUAGUAAGACCUGGAUUUCCCGUAAUUAGACUGCAUUGGGUUGAUCGGCCAAUUCACGUCUCAUAUUGGAUAAGAGGACCCAGAUUGGAUUCUCGAAAUUGGAUCCAAUUGGCUCCUCAAACCCGUCGUGUGAAUUCGUCCUUCUCUUCCUGCUGACUCCCGUUAUUGGAAUCGAACGGAGCAUUUCAGUAUGCCCCGGCUGACUGUAACGGAGUGACUGAACCUGACCACUCAGUAUUUGUACUGGAGUUGGUUGAUGCUUCCAAUAUUCGAGGUAACUGAAUAUUAAUAAAAUUCCCCUUUCUUUUUAUUUUCACUGUAUACUCGUGUUACAACACGACACCGGGCGUCUGGCUGUAGAAGGUAGUAUGGAGAUUCGCCAAUAGUCAAGCAGUCUAUUAGUUUUUGACUGCUGGAAUAUAAACAACUGCAAGAAUACAUCGUAAAUCUAUACGGAUGCCCUUCGACUGCUUGUCAAAAUCCUUUUUGCCCCAGCCGGUAGAUCUCUAGACGUUACAGAGAACCCCGACCAACCCAAUCUGCUAAUCUCCGAUACCGCUUUGUACUUACGAUCUUGUAUCCACUGACUGUCUUGUUAGAUUAACCCAAUAAAUUUCAUUCACUCCGCAUACUCAAUCCUAUAGACACCCUUUUAAUUCUUCAAUCACAGACGUAACUCGAUUUCACAAAACAGUCAAGAGUAAUCAAACCCACUUCAUUAAAAAAAAUCCCGAUUCACCAUUACAACACUGACUUCAGCAAUAAUUGCCUCAGUCUUCCGAAAACCCUAUGAAGAAAAAAAACCCAAUUCUCUGUCUUCUUUCUCCACCCGAAGCAUGAAGCUCCUCCUUCAUAUAAUGGAUCCGCUAUGUGAGCAUAAUAAGGGAUCCAGAUUCGAUAAAAUACACAUGCACCCAAAAACCUGCGAACCUCUGUUAAAGAAUCACAAUCCUCUUUCAUCCUUCCAAUUGCAUCAACUUUAGUCCAAUCUGGUUUUCUUCCGUAAGAUCCACAUAAAUGUCCAACAAUGACAACCUCUCGUAUUCCAAAUACGGACUUCAUACCCGAUAAUGUAAGAUGAACUUCUCCAAGUCGAGUUAAAAUCUUUUCACAAUCUUGUAUAUGAUCAACAACAUAUCUACGACACCCCCUCGUAUCUAAAGUUUCAUCCUUGUCUCCUUCUCUGCACCCUUUUAUAGGAACAUCAUCCAGAAAAGGCAUAGUCUUUUCCGGAAUAAAAUCUCUCAAUACCUUAUUUAUCCCAUUCAUCAUAUGCGCAACCGAGUUGGUCGCGCCUUGAGGAAGAGUGCACAUUCUAACCAAUCCAAAUGGUGUUCUCAUUAUUGUCAUAUCUCUACUUCCUUCGACAAGUUGAAAUUGAUCAUAACCUGAAUACAAAUCACCCAUUGAAUAGAUCGCCCUUCCAGCAAACGCCUCAGCAAAUUCAUCCACAAUAGGUCCAAUUCCAGCAUUCCUGACAGUUACUGCAUUCACCGGUUGCAUAUCUUGAAUAAACCGUAGUGACCCAUUCUUCUUAGGUACCGUAAUCCAUCGACUAGAAUACGGCGCAAAUGAAGGUUCCAAUAUUUUCAUCUUUAUCUUUUCUUUUAAUAGUUCCACCAAUUUAGGUAAAUGUGCCCUCGGUACUGGAAUCGGUCUUACUAUUAGACUCUUAUCCAAUAUGAGACCUGAAUUGGUCGGGCAACCCAAUGCAGUCUAAUGACGGGGAAAUCCGUGUCUUACAAUUGGACUCUUAUCUAAUAUGAGACAUGAAUUGGUCGGGCGACUCAAUGAGGUCCCGAUUAUGGGGUAUCGAUUCUGUUUCAAGCUAUUCUGUUCCAAUCUUCAAUUCUUCAAAAGUCUCUUCAGUAAACUGAUGUCCAAUACUCAUUGGAUCUCUUAAACUUGCUUCUUUUGAUGCUUCUCCCAUUUGUUCUUUAGAAUCCUCUGGUAAUGGUCCGGCAACAGGCUUUACCUUCUUAUCUGCCGUUUUAUAUCUCGUCUCUACUGUGACUUCUGGUGCUUGAAAAGAUUCAAGCAUGGUAUAGACCUCUCUUGAAUGAAUCUCAACAAUCUUAUCAUUAUCCCCUAACCCAAUAGAUGUAAUCAAUUCCAAUGAAUCUUCCAGUCCAUUUUCUUCAUAAACACCCAAAAUCCUCUCAUCAUCUUGCAAUGUACCUAUCUUGCAUAAUUGUCCUUUAAUAUUAUAUAAUCUUUUUCUUUCUUUUCUUUUAAAAUCAUCAAGUUUCUUAUACAUAAUAUUUCUAUUCUCCAAUAUACCAAUAAAACUCGCAUCAAAGGCACCUUCAUCUCGCGAGAGUACCUCCUCUUUUGUACCUCUAUAAUCUCACUUUACAGUGGUACCUCCCCAAAAUCCUUAAAUCCUUCAACAAUCUUUGGCAAUGGUUUCUCCCUCAACCUAUCUCGAUUCCGUUCAUGGUUAGGAGGUACUGUUAGACAUUGUACAGCUUUCCUCCCAUCUUCGCUCUGUACCCUUGCAUAAGCAGAACCAUCGUCAAGUACUUUUGUUUCCAUCCGUGUUGCCNNNNNNNNNNNNNNNNNNNNNNNNNNNNNNNNNNNNNNNNNNNNNNNNNNNNNNNNNNNNNNNNNNNNNNNNNNNNNNNNNNNNNNNNNNNNNNNNNNNNNNNNNNNNNNNNNNNNNNNNNNNNNNNNNNNNNNNNNNNNNNNNNNNNNNNNNNNNNNNNNNNNNNNNNNNNNNNNNNNNNNNNNNNNNNNNNNNNNNNNNNNNNNNNNNNNNNNNNNNNNNNNNNNNNNNNNNNNNNNNNNNNNNNNNNNNNNNNNNNNNNNNNNNNNNNNNNNNNNNNNNNNNNNNNNNNNNNNNNNNNNNNNNNNNNNNNNNNNNNNNNNNNNNNNNNNNNNNNNNNNNNNNNNNNNNNNNNNNNNNNNNNNNNNNNNNNNNNNNNNNNNNNNNNNNNNNNNNNNNNNNNNNNNNNNNNNNNNNNNNNNNNNNNNNNNNNNNNNNNNNNNNNNNNNNNNNNNNNNNNNNNNNNNNNNNNNNNNNNNNNNNNNNNNNNNNNNNNNNNNNNNNNNNNNNNNNNNNNNNNNNNNNNNNNNNNNNNNNNNNNNNNNNNNNNNNNNNNNNNNNNNNNNNNNNNNNNNNNNNNNNNNNNNNNNNNNNNNNNNNNNNNNNNNNNNNNNNNNNNNNNNNNNNNNNNNNNNNNNNNNNNNNNNNNNNNNNNNNNNNNNNNNNNNNNNNNNNNNNNNNNNNNNNNNNNNNNNNNNNNNNNNNNNNNNNNNNNNNNNNNNNNNNNNNNNNNNNNNNNNNNNNNNNNNNNNNNNNNGCCUCUUAGAAGAAUUUCCUUCUCUAGUAUCAUCAAAAUUUCCUCGUUUCUUUUCUUCCAUCAAAGCUUCAUGUUGGCUCUUAGCAAUAUAUGCAUGAACUGAAAGAGACUCAACAGGAUCCUCCCAACCUGUUCUAACUUGUAUUGUAGCUGCAGUUCUCAAUAAUGCUUCUCGAGGUAAUUUUCCUUCUUGCAUUGUAGAAACGGCAGAAGCCCAAAACUCACUAGUUUCUGUACUUCCACCAAUUUCAUCAUCUACUCUAGCACCAUAACUUGCACUUUCUCGUGCUGCUGUUUCAUGCUCUUUUAGGUAAUCUUGAACCAAUACUUUCAUUCCUCCCUUGCCAAAAUUUGUUUGAAGAAGAUCCUCUCUAUUUUUCAAUGCUAUCUUCCCAUCUUUCCAGCAAAUAAUUCCCUGCCGUAUCAUAUUAUUAAAUUCAUUGCAAUCUUUUCUAGUGUGUGAAGCAUCAUCACACCAAAUGUAUCUUUGUACAUAUCCUUGUUUUGAAACAUUCUUCAAAUUGUUUAUAGAAGUAUUCUCUUUAAGUCUUGUCAAUUUGAUUCUAAGAUCUCGCAUUCCUUGUAUAAUUUCGUCCAUCUCCAUAUUUGCUUUCUUUGAUAAGGAUGUCGAAGGUUGAACUGUAGGCAUUGUUGGUGGUGUUGUACGUACUCGAGCUUUGGGUGCUUGUAUUGUUUUCAGAAUAUUGCUCCUAUCCUUCCUCCUUUCUUAUUUUGUAAGCAACUCCACCGCAUCUUCAACGUUCUUCCACUUCGUUGUCAAUCCUUCAUCUUCUUCUUUGUCUUCAAGAAGGGGUUCUAAUUUCUCUUGCAAUUCUCCAUCAGCAGCUUGAAGAAAUAGAUCAACUUUGUUCGGCUCCAAUGUCAAUUUUUCUACCUUCGAUAAUUGAGAGUACUGCCUCUCAAAUUCCCUUAGUAGCUCUGUUGCUUGCAAAUUCUUAUUGGGCCGUUCAAUCCAUCCCAGAAACAGCUUCUUAGUAACGCGAUCAGCAUCUUCCAAGAAAUAUUCGUCUUUCAAUGCAUGUGAAAAUCCUCCCAUGAUUCCCAUAAUGAUCCGUAAUCGAUAUAACGUGGUCCGUUAUCUCCGGUAUCGUGGCAAGUCCAUAUAACUCACCUGGUUCUUCUCUGAAACCCGAUNNNNNNNNNNNNNNNNNNNNNNNNNNNNNNNNNNNNNNNNNNNNNNNNNNNNNNNNNNNNNNNNNNNNNNNNNNNNNNNNNNNNNNNNNNNNNNNNNNNNUAACAUCUUAAAUACCUUGAAAUAUUCCUCCUACAAAUGGAUCAAUGUUAUGGACCACUGCUUGCAAUGCUUUGGUUGCCAAAGCUUCCUUUCGAUCAUUGCUUUGCCGUUGCUGCAUUGAUAAUGAGAAGGCUUCAAACAUACUAGUAAAAGACGGAUCCAUGCGCAUAUCUUGUACUUUAGAAGAAUCCUCACCAGAAACUCCUCCGAAAAAUCCUUCAAAAUUUUUAUUUUUGUUUUCCAUAAAAUAAAGAUAAAAUCAACCGAAAUCCGAUACCUUCCAUCUCAAGCUUUGACGUUGGAUUCACCACUUUGGCUGUAUUACGUGCUUUCCUACUCGAGAACGCACCGGGUUUCUGGCUGUAGAAGGUAGUAUGGAGAUUUGCCAAUAGUCAGGCAGUCUAUCAGUUUUUGACUGCUGGAAUAUAAACGACUGCAAGAAUACAUCGUAAAUCUAUACGGAUGCCCUUCGACUGCUUGUCAAAGUCCUUUUUGCCCCAGCCGGUAGGUCUCUAAACGUUACAGAGAACCCCGAGCAACCCAAUCUGCUAAUCUCCGAUACCGCUUUGUAGUUACGAUCUUGUAUCCAUUGACUGUUUUGUUAGAUUAACCCAAUAAAUUUCAUUCACUCCGCAUACUCAAUCCUAUAGAUACCCUUUUAAUUCUUCAAUCAGAGACGUAACUUAUUUUUUACAAAAUAGUCAAGAGUAAUCAAACCCACUUCAUUAAAAAAAAUCCCGAUUCACCAUUACAACACUGACUUCAGCAACGAUUGCCUCAGUCUUCCCAAAACCCUAUGAAGAAAAAAAAACCCAAUUCUCUGUCUUCUUUCUCUGUCCGAAGUAUGAAGUUCCUCACCCCCCCCUUCCUUGAUCUUAAAAAAAACCUCGAAUGAAACCGAACUAGUAACCUUGAAAAAGCUUGAAGCUAGCUCCCUAAUCCAAAAAAAAACCCCCCACAAAAACUUAUUCUCCUCCUAACCUUAUCCUCUGAAUUACUUCAAUCUUCCAUCUUGGAUCCGAAAUUGGCUCUCACCGUCAGAGCUUUUUCUCCCGUUUUUGCCUUUAAGAGAUCCUUUUACCGAAAACAACGUUCCCUGAAACGGCACAGAGAACAGAAUAGCUUGAAACAGAAUCGAUACCCCAUAAUCGGGACCUCAUUGAGUCGCCCGACCAAUUCAUGUCUCAUAUUAGAUAAGAGUCCAAUUGUAAGACACGGAUUUCCCCGUCAUUAGACUGCAUUGGGUUGCCCGACCAAUUCAGGUCUCAUAUUGGAUAAGAGUCUAAUAGUAAGACCGAUUCCAGUACCGAGGGCACAUUUACCUAAAUUGGUGGAACUAUUAAAAGAAAAGAUAAAGAUGAAAAUAUUGGAACCUUCAUUUGCGCCGUAUUCUAGUCGAUGGAUUACGGUACCUAAGAAGAAUGGGUCACUACGGUUUAUUCAAGAUAUGCAACCGGUGAAUGCAGUAACUGUCAGGAAUGCUGGAAUUGGACCUAUUGUGGAUGAAUUUGCUGAGGCGUUUGCUGGAAGGGCGAUCUAUUCAAUGGGUGAUUUGUAUUCAGGUUAUGAUCAAUUUCAACUUGUCGAAGGAAGUAGAGAUAUGACAAUAAUGAGAACACCAUUUGGAUUGGUUAGAAUGUGCACUCUUCCUCAAGGCGCGACCAACUCGGUUGCGCAUAUGAUGAAUGGGAUAAAUAAGGUAUUGAGAGAUUUUAUUCCGGAAAAGACUAUGCCUUUUCUGGAUGAUGUUCUUAUAAAAGGGUGCAGAGAAGGAGACAAGGAUGAAACUUUAGAUACGAGGGGGUGUCGUAGAUAUGUUGUUGAUCAUAUACAAGAUUGUGAAAAGAUUUUAACUCGGCUUGGAGAAGUUCAUCUUACAUUAUCGAGUAUGAAGUCCGUAUUUGGAAUACGAGAGGUUGUAAUUGUUGGACAUUUAUGUGGAUCUUACGGAAGAAAACCAGAUUGGACUAAAGUUGAUGCAAUUGGAAGGAUGAAAGAGGAUUGUGAUUCUUUAACAGAGGUUCGCAGGUUUUUGGGUGCAUGUGUAUUUUAUCGAAUCUGGAUCCCUUAUUAUGCACACAUAGCGGAUCCAUUAUAUGAAUUGUUACGCAAGGGUUACCGAUUUAAAUGGAAAGAAAGGCAUAUUCAGGCAAUGCAAAGAGUGAAGAAUUUAUUGAUGUCACCUCCAAUAUUGAGGAAGGUUGAUUAUAAGUGCAAUAGACCAGUGAUUCUUACUCUAGACGCUAGUCCAAUUGCCAUUAGAUGGGCUGUGGGUCAAGAUGAUUCAAAUGGGAGUAGAUUUGCAGUUCGAUUUGGGGCUAAAGUUUUAAGUAUUUGUCAGCGUGCAUAUUCGCAAGUCAAAAGAAAACUUUGGGAAGUCGUUUCGGCUAUGAAAGCUGAAAAGGACUAUUUGAUUGGGGCAGUAGUAGUAAUUGAAACAGAUUGCUUGCCAUUGCUUGGAAUGAUUAUUAACUGUUCAACGCCAGAUAUUGCAAUGUUGAGAUGGAUUGCUUAUAUUAAGUCACUAAAUCCAGAAUUUAAGCAUAUUACUGGGGAGGACAAUUUAGUAGCAGACAUGCUAUCUCGAGCAAGAUACGAGAGGGAGGACGAAAUGGUUGAAGACAUUGAUGAUGUCGGAUUGAAAUUCUAUUCAAUAUCAAAUCUCAACAAAGAAGACAAGCUAUUUCUUGAAGAAUCUUAUGAAGGAGAAUUAUUGGAUAUUGGUCAUUAUUUGAAUACCUUGACUAAGCAGGGGAAUUGGUCCAUAGAAAAAUUCAAACAAAUAAGAAAAAAAGCAUAUGGAUUUUUACUUCAAGAUGGAUUCUUAUGGAAGAGACCGAAGAAAGGAAUUGGGAUUCCACAACGAGUGAUAGGCAAAAGGGAAGAAAAACUAAAAUUAUUAAAGGAGUUUCAUGAUAGUUUAUGGGCAGGGCAUAGAGGAAUCUGGGCUACUUUUGCUAAACUCAAGGAAUGAUAUUGGAUGAAAAAUAUGUAUCGAGAUGGUCUUCAUCCUACGUAUCCUCUAGCUAUUCAUUUUAAAUGGGUUGUUGAUUUGGUUAUUAUGCCGGUUAGGUUAUGGCAGAUGAGAUAUUUGGUUUUAGCUCGUUAAGAUUUAUCAAAUCAAGUAGAAGGAAGAGCAUUGAGGACAAAAUCUACAGAGGAGAUUUGUAGGUUUUUGCUUGAAGAUGUCAUUUGCCGUUACGGGUGCGUAGGAAAAAUCACUGCAGAUCGUGGAGAAUUAAAUGCACAAGAAGCUCGUAAGUUCUUUGAAAGAUGUGGAGUUAAACUAUCAUUGACUACUGCUUAUAAUCUAGAAGGGAAUGCAAAAAGCGAACGUGGUCACCCGCCGAUUGUGAAAGCAUUGGUUAAAGCUUGUAAUGGGAAAGUUAAAGAGUGGCCACGGCUUUUGUCAUUUGCAUUAUGGGUUGAUCGAACAACACAUAGCUUGGUGACAAGAUAUAUGCCAGUAGAACUUAUGACAGGUCAAAAACCAAUUAUGCCGAUUGAAGAAAAGGUACUUACUUGGAAUAUGCUACCAUGGAAAGAUGGAUUGACAAGAGAAGAACUUCUAGCUAUUAGGAUUCGACAAUUGGAGCAAAGAACGGAAGAUGUCCAGAUAGCAUUGGGAAGGUUAAAAAAAGCAAGGUUAUAAAACAAGGCGCAAUUCGAUAAGCAACAUCGAUUGAGAUCAAAAGCAAUUGAAGAAGGUGACUGGGUACUUGUUUAUGACAAUAGUCUGGAUAAUCAACAUAGUACUUUGCGGAAAUUCUCAAAACGUUGAUUUGGACCAUAUGUGGUAACAACUGUUCAUGAUAAUGCGACUUACUCAUUACGGGAGUUAGAUGGUACAAAAUUGAAAAUACCAAUUGCAGGGAAGCGAAUAAAAAUAUUUAAACGAAGACACGCAGAGAUGAAUAUGGAAGACCUUAAUGAAGGUAUAGAGAUUCCGCAGCAAGAAGAUGAAAGUGAUUUGGAUAAUGAAGGUGACGAAGACGAACUGGACAAAGACGUAGAGGAUAUAUUCUGAAUCAAACAGCAAUUGGAUAAAUUGGUGCAUACCGGAGGAUGCACAGGUUCAGAGGGGGUGGAUGUCGUGUUGUAACACGAGUAUACAAUGAAAAUAAAAAGAAAGGGGAAUUUUAUUAAUAUUCAGUUACCUCGAAUAUUGGGAGCAACGACCAACUCCUGUACAAAUACUGAGUGGCCAGGUUCAGUCACCCCGUUACAGUCAGCCGGGGCAUACUGAAAUGCUCCAUUCAAUUCCAAUAACAUGAGUCAGUAGGAAGAGAAGGACCAAUUCACACUACGGGUUCGAAGAGCCAAUUGGAUCUAAUUUUGAGAAUCCAAUCCGGGUCCUCUUACCCAAUAUGAGACCUGAAUUGGCUGGACAACUCAAUGCAGACCCAAUUACGGGAACAUCCAAGUUACUACUGGAUUCUUAUCCAAUAUGAGACCUGAAUUGGCCGGUCAACCCAAUGCAAUCUAAUUACGGGAAAUCCAGGUCUUACUAUGGAUCUUAGCUAAUCUGACGUGAGGACCAAUUUGACCCAAUUAUGCGAACAUCCAGGUUACUACGGGCAACUUUCGUAAUAUGGGACCUGAAUUGGUCGGGCGACUCAAUGUGGACCCGAGUACGGGGUUUCGAUUUUGUUUCAAGCUAUCCUGUUCUCUUUGCCGUUUCAGGGAACGUUGUUUGUGGUAAAUGGAUCUCUUAAAGGUAAAAAUGGAGGAGGAGACCUUGAUGACGUGAGCCAAUUUCGGAUCUAAGCUCUGACGGCGGGAGCCAAUUUCGGAUCCAAGACGGAAGAUUGAAGGAAUUCAAGAGGAUAAGAUUAGGGGGAGAAUAAGUUUGAAGGAGAAUCGGGAGAGCGGGCAGAAAGCUUUUGCAAGGUUACUAGUUCGGUUUUCAUUGGAGGUUUUUGAAGAUCAGGGGGGGGGAUUUUCAAAUUUUUGCAAGGUUACUAGUUCGGUUUCAUUGGAGGUUUUUGAAGAUCAGGGGGGUUUUCAAGUUUUUACAAGGUUACUAGUUCGGUUUCAUUGGAGGUUUUUGAAGAUCAGGGGGGAUUAGAGAGAGGAGCUUCAUGCUUCGGAUCGGGGAAGGAAAGACAUAGAAUUUGGAUUUUUCUUCUUCGUAGAGUUUUGGGAAGACUGAGGCAAUCGCUGCUGAAGUCAGUAUUGUAAUGGUGAAUCGGGAUUUUCAAUGAAGUGGGUUUGAAUACUCUUGACUGUUUUGUGAAAUCGAGUUACGUCUAUGAUUGAAGGAUUAAAAGGGUGUCUAUAGGAUUGAGUAUGCGGAGUGAAUGAAAUUUAUUGGGUUACUCUAACAAGACAGUCAGUGGAUACAAGAUCGUAAGUACAAAGGGGUAUUGAAGAUUAACAGUUUGGGUUGUUCGGGGUUCUCUGUAACGUCUAGAGACCUACCGGCUGGGGCAAAAAGGAUUUCGACAAGCAGUCGAAGAGCAUUCGUAUAGAUUUACGGUACAUUGUUGCAAUCGUUUAUAUUCCAGCAGUCAAAACUGAUAGACUGCUUGACUAUCGGUGAAUCUCCAUACUACCUUCUACAGCCAGACGUCCGGCGCGUUCUCGAGCAAGAAAACACGUAAUACGACACCGCUCAAGAAUCCUACGAGGCGUCUGCAAAUAGAUUUCAGAAUCAAGCACCUACUUUCGAAAUUGGAGAUAAAGUAUGGCUUCUUCGAGAGAAUAUCAAGACCAAGUGACCAUGUGAUAAGUUCGACUAUCAAAGAUUGGGACCAUUUAUCAUCCAGAAGCAAAUCAAUCCAAUGGCGUACCGUUUGGAAUUACCGGUUUCUAUGAAGGUACAUCCAAUCUUUCAUGUUUCUCUAUUGGAGCCUUAUCAAGAGUCGUCUUUUCUUGGAAGAGUGCAAUGUUCACCACCUAGUAUUGAGAUCGAGAACCAUGAGGAAUACGAGGUUGAAAAGGUGUUGGAUUCACGGUGAAGGUGGGGCAAGUUGGAGUAUCUUGUUCAUUGGUGCGGCUACCACAUUAAUGAGCGAACGUGGGAGCCAGCUGAAAAUCUCGCCAAUGCAUCAUAAAAGGUAUAGGAGUUUCAUCAACACAUCCUCGUAAACCUAAGUCUGUUCAACGAUAGCUUCCCUUUGAACCUUGCUCAUCCAAGAAUAUAAAAAAAGAAGAAAGCACCACCAAAAUUCGUAGUUGAUGUAGUUAUUUUCUCCAAGAUAAAAUAGAACUUUUUCAGUAGCCAUAGUUUGGUCUUCUGAUAUGGAUAGCUAAGAGAUAGAUACUAUGCCAGUCAGAUUAACUCAACCAACUAGUUCACGAAGGCGACCCCAAGAUGAAGAACUGCCUAAAGCACGAUGACGAUGGAGGAUACCGAGUAAACAAUCAUUGGUGAUUGUUAUUGAGUUCGAGCCUACUCACGAUGGUCAGCCAAAAGGCAUGUUUGCAGGACAAUUUCACAAUGAGGACAUGGAAGUUCAUACUUGGUCAGAAGUUGAAGGCGUGGGUCACUACCAUUGGCUUUAAGGGCCAAUGAAUUACUUGCCUCGUGAACAACAGUUGGAGUUUAUAGCAGACGUUAUGCCACAGAUCUUUAUUUUCUUGCGUUGAUACUGAUUAAUAACAAUAUUGCUUCUCAGAGAUCUCGAAGCUAAAGGAGGGAGUAAUGUUAGGGACAUUGUCCUAAGAACCUUCUAGAGACAAGUUUCUAGAACCUUCUAGAAGCAAGUCUCUGGAACCUUCUGGAAGCUUCUUAGUUGAUGGAAAUUGCUUGAAAAGCUUCUUAGUUGGUAGAAGAUGUUUGGAACAUAGUCCUUAGAACCUUCUAGAGACAAGUUUCUAGAACCUUCUAGAAGCAAGUCUUUGGAGCCUUCUAGAAGCUUCUUAAUUGAUAGAAGUUGCUUGAGAAGCUUCCUAAAUAGGAGUAUAUAUUAGAAUCAAGGCUGAAGAGUUCUUCAGUCUCGACAAUACAUCUUUUAGGGCUCUAGCUCACCUCUCUGGUGUUGUUCUUGUAUUUAUCUGAUUAAUCUAGUUCUUGCCAGUUCUUCUUGAACUUCUUGUUAGGUCUCGAGCUUGUAUUUCUGUGUCCGUGACAGUAAUGGUCUAUAAUUGAAUAUUUAUUUUUAAUAAAGAAGAUUCGAUUAUAAGCUCAUGUACCUAAUCAUUAAUAAAUAAAUACAAGUGCACCUUUAUUUCUACCUCCAAGUCUACUUUCACUUAUAUUAAUUCAUUUAUAAAUAUAUAAAUUAGUAGAAAUAUAAGUAAUUGAUAAAUCAACAUUGGCUUAGAUUCUUUUUAAGUCUUUUACAUCUUCACCUUGUAUAACACAUGUUUUUUUAUACAAGAACUUAAGAACUUAUUAUUGUCACUAAAGCUAUAAAAAAAAGUGAUACUUAGAAGUAGAAAGAAGCAAUAGACUUAGAGUAUAAAAGUCUUAUAAAUAACAAGACUUAGAUUUUAAUAAAUUUAUUAAUAUGUAGAAAACUAUUGGAUAUUAGUAGAUUUUUAAAUUUAAAUAUAAUAUAGAUGAUUUAAUAGAUUAUAUGUAAGAUUAUAGAUAAGGCUUAUUGCUAAAAGUUAUGUGUAAAAAGAAGGUAUUGAUUACGAUGAGACUUUUACUCUAAUUGCAAAGAUGACUUCAAUUUGUAUAAUUAUUAGACUUGUUGUAGUUGAUGAUCUGGAGAUUCAUCAAAUAGAUGUCAAGAAAACAUUUUGGAAUAGAAAUCUUGAAGAAUUUAUAUAUAUAUAUAUAUAUAUAUAUAUAUAUAUAUGGAUCAACUUAAAGCUUACAUAUCAAAAGGCAAAGGUUCUUUGCUUUGUAAGCUUUUCAAAACUCUACAUGGACUUUAGCAAUUUUUAAAGACAUUGUAUAAGAACAUAGACGAGUAUUUUAAUUCACAAAGUUUAAAGAAAAGCUAUGAAAAUCCUCAUAUUUAUAUAUUGAAGAUUACUAAUGGGUUCAUUAUUAUUGUAGCAUACAUAGAUGAUUUGAUUAUAAUAUGCAAUAAUAAGAGAUUUCUUUCAAAGACUUAUUUCAGUUAGCCAAAAGAUUUGAAAUGAAGGAUUUAGAAGAAAUCCAUUAUAUUUUGGAUAUGCAUGUUAUAAGAGAUUGAGAAGAUCAUAAAAAUUUAUAUUAUUCAACAGAAAUAUUUAAAGAAUAUACUUGAAAGGUUUGGCAUGGAAGAUUGUAAACCUUUGAUUAAACUUCUAAAUUCUAAUAAUAAAUUAUCAAGAAACAUAAGUAUAUAAACUCUUAAAAAUAUUGAAGUAAUAAAAUUUGUUCCAUACCAAAGUAUAGUUAAUAUCUUAGUUUAUGAAAAUGAUAGACACUCAAGCAAAUUGUUGCAUAUGUAGUAGAAGUUGUUAGACAAUACAUAGAAAAUCCUAACUUAAAUCAUUUGAUUGUUGUUAAAGAAGUUUUUUAAUAUUUGAAAGAUAUAUUGAAUCAUGUAUUACAAUAUAGUAGAAGCUCUUUAGGUUUGUAAGUAGUUGAUUAAUGCAAUGCAAAUUAUGCAAGAGACAUUGUUGUAUUAUGUAAAGCCUUGCUUAAAAAUGCACUAAGCACUUGGCUAAAGAAUGUAGAAGGAGUAUUGUAACAAAAAGAUUCUAAUUCUAAUAUAGUCUUAAAUAAUUCUAAUUAAAUUUUAAUAAUGAUUAUUAAAAUUUAAUUAAAAAAAAAAAAAAAAAAAAAAAAAAAAAACUCAAAGAUAUUACAGAAGAAGUAUGAAAAAAUCCUAAAGAAAUUAAAAAAAAGUAUUAAAAUAAAAUCCAAAAUAUAUCUUAAAUAAAUUCCAAUCAAAUCUUACUUUAAUCCUAGUUAAAAUUCUAGUGAUCUUUACUUAAAUCCUAAGUCAAAUCCUAAUUAAAUCCUAAAAAAAUUCUAAAUCUUAAUCAAUUCCUAAAUCCUAAAUCAAAUCCUAAUCAAAUUAAUUUAACCCUGGGCAAUUUAAAACCUCAAUAUCUAUCAAUUAUACCAUUAAUCUUUCUUAAGAUUUUACACACCUUUGAAAAACUAAUAUGGCAACAAGCACAAAAAAUUUGAAGAAGAUCAAACUUACCAAACAAAAGAUCAACCUUAAAUUUCACUUUGGUGUUGGCUAGCCUCCUACUCUAAUUUGAAUGUUGAAAUUCUAGUGCCAAUAUUUCCUUCAUGAACAAUUGAAUUGCCUCCAAAAUACACUUAAAUCAUGGAAAAUCAAAUUUAGUAUCCAUAUAAAAAAAUUCACUUCAAUUCAAUCAAUAGAUUGCUAAAGAUCUUAAAAAUACUCACUAACCCUCAAAUUCCAAUUUAAGAGACCUCAAUCCAAAAAAACCUUCACACACUUUGAUCUAACCUUUUGAUUACCUCAAAAUCUUCACAUACACUAACAACUAGAAGACCAACAUACUAUCCAAUAUUUAUUCAUUCACAUACCACAAAACGCAGGUAAUCCUCAAUUUUAUAUACAUAAUUUUAUUUUUCAAAAUCUAAUCUAAUCAAGAAUAUUACUAACUUUGAAAAUCUCAUAAAAAUUGAAUAUUAAAUCAAUUGACAUAAAAACUGAAUACUAAUUAAAUUGACAUAAAAACUAUGCUAAAAAGUCUCUUUGCUAGUAUGUUCUCAAAUUCCAAUCUCUGAUCUACCAAAGAACCCUAGAGAUGGCAUAAGUAUGUAGAUUUGUGCCUCGGGGUCUGAUUUUGACCCAAGUUGACAACUAGCCCUCUCUGGAUAUCAAUAUGUGAUAAUUUGAGAUAAUUCUUGCUUGAACCUAUUGAUAUCUUCCUUCUAAACAUAUCUAUAUUAAUUAUUUAACUUAUUUAUUUUUAUUUGAGGCAUUUAUGCUCCUACAAAGCAAAUAGAAGUCCCUUUUUUAAAAGUCAAUAUUAAGACUAAACUUUUUAUUACCUUCCUAUCAUUUAUCUUUAUUUUUUUACCACAUCUUCUUACUAGGUUCUUCUAUAAUAACAUCCAUGUUUUUAUUUUUCACUAUAUAGUCGUAUUACAACAUAAUAACAUUGGCACUUGAUAUUUUAUUAAUGGCUAUGUAUUUUUGUUGACUAAUGGUAUAAUUAGUUGGAAUAAUAAGAAUCAACCAAUAAUUACAUUGUCUAUCCCAAAGUAAAAUAUAUGGAAACUAUGCAUGCAAUAGUCUACUAAGGUAAUCAUAUAAUAUCUAAUAGAAAUUAUACAUAUAUGUAAAUAAUCUUUUAACACUUUCACUGAAUGACAUAUUAGUUUAAUUUAAUUUAAUAAUUUCCAUCAUCUCUUUAAAUUUACAAUGCUCCUCAAGAGUGAGACUUUUGAUCAAAACAUCUCCAACCAUAUCUUCAAUCUUGCAAAAUUUAAGUGUUGCAUGCAUAGUUGCCAACUAUGCAUGCAACAAUGGUAUUUAUAAUCCACAAUGCUUAUUCUAAUGUAACUUUGUAAUAUUAAUUAUUUGCAUUGUUAGUAUCACUCUGAGGGGAGCAUAGUUCAUCUUAUAAAAUUUCUUCCAAAGCAUUCAACAUUUGUGUUUAGAAAUAGUUUUGAGAAUUAUUGAUAUUUUCUAUAAAUUUUGGAGGAAGUGUAUUAAGAUUUUAUUAGGACUUGCCUCUAAACUGGAAAAACAAUAUCUUAAUAGAUUGAAUUCUAUUAGUUUCUGCAUUUGAAUUUUUAAGAUCCUCCAUAACCAAUCAAGACUAUUAACCUACAGAUAAAAAUAUAAAACAACCAAACAAUAAAAGUAAAAAUUAUGGUCAUCUAAUGUCUUGGUAGUCUUCAAUUAUGGAAGACCAUUUUCAAUGCUAUGUAAAUUCAAUUAUGGAAGACCAUUUUCAAUGCUAUGUAAAUUCAAUUAUGAAAGACCAUUUUCAAUGCUAUGAAAUACCUCUGUAAAUUCAUUUUAUUCAAGCAACAGAAUGUUUUCAAAAACAGUUAUGCAUUGUUUACAAUUUUAUUACAUUAGUUUUAAUAUUUUUACAAUGAUUUUUUUUUUUUUUUUUCCUGCAAUAAAUAAGACAGAAGGCACUAAGAUAUUUUAUGAAAUAUACUUUAAAAUGAUUUUAUUUAUUGAAAAAAAUUCAAAUUAUACAUAUUACAAAAAGUAUAAUUUAUGUUUAUGUUAUCAUUAAAAUAUUAGGCACUGCUAUUUGUUAAGCUUUUUUAAAAAUGCUGUUUGGAGCAGAUUGUGCAAUAUCUGCUCUUCACACUAUUAAUCUAUAUAAUUACUUUUCAUGAUUACAAUUAAAUAAAUUUAUUCUGGAAACAUGAAUUUAAAAAAUAUUGAUAACAGGGUUCUAAUGGUUAUUAGAGUGGAUGUUAUUAAACACGACUUUUCAAUAUUGAUCUAAAACAAUUUAAACAUGUUUCUCAAAACUAUAUCAAAUUCCAUAUAGGAUAUGCUCCAUGAGUGAUUCAUAAGUUUUAAAAUUAAAUUGCUGAGAUGCCAAUAAAUAAAAGUGAAUUCAAACCACUACUAAACAUAUCCUUUGCAAUACUCUGAUAUUUAUACACAUUGAAUUUUUACAUAUGAGUUUUGGUGGCCAAAGUAUUUAUGCCAACUUUUCUACAGACCAUCAAAGCAUAGUAAGUCUAACAUUGUGAACAAUAUUGUAACAGUAAUAAGGAUAAAAAUGAAUCCAUCAUUUCAUUUUAUAUUUUAACCAACAAUUUUAAAUCCAUUCACAUGAUUGCAUUUCAAUUGAUUAAAAAAUAAGUUGAAUUGCAAUUUAAAAAACCAACUUAUUUUUUAAUCAAUUCACGUGUACAAAAUCAUGUUAUAAAAAUUUACAAAUAUUUUAUGGAAACAAAAUAUAAAAUUAGAUACACAUGAAACACAAUAUAAAUGUGAAUGGAUUGAAUAUUAUACAUUGAAUGGUUGAAAGUUGGGUUGUUUUAGGUGCACUAAUGGUAGCAUUGUUUGGUAUGUUAUACCCUCAAUCACAUCAUGCAUGAUACACAGUUCAAUUUUGUUCUAUUCCUCAUGAUUGGAGACAUUAAUUCAAAGAUUGACAACAACAUUUUUUCAAACAAUAUGACUUUGACUUUGCAUUAGUUGGACAAAUCCCUUCUCAUAUAUUCAUUUAUCUUGGCAAGAGUCACUUGACAUCAAGUUUUGAUCUUAAACUUGUCAACAACCUUUGAUGCAUAGAUCAACCAAAUUAAACCAAAUGAUCAUUUCUACAACACGAUUGUAUGGACAUUAUGUAUAAAAUCACAUGUUACAAUUAAGAACAUUUGUUUAGCAUCAACUUUAGAAAUCACAAUAAUGUUACUUUUACAUGGACAAGGCAUGUAAAUCAAAAGAUAAGAAAAGAGAAGAAAAAGAAGGGAAUAUUGUUGUAAAAGUUAGCAAAAAUGUACAGUGAAAUGUAAUAAGAGAAGCCCUUCCAUAACAAAGGGGAUAUAUAUAUAGAGAGACAUAUAUAUAUAUAAUAUGCGAGAAGCUUCCUACCGACUUCUACGGCGGCAAAAAUAUAUAAUAAUAAAAUUAGGAGCAACUGGAGUAAGCAUUAACCCCCUUUUCCCAUCACCAGGAAAUACCCUGCCAGCGUGGAAUCUGACGUGGCAGGCGGAGUCGCGGGUGCGGAACCGCCCUGCCCCAAUGAACGAGGUGGUAAGGGAUCCAGCCCGGGUGCCCGUCCCCGGCAAGCGCCUCCCCCCAUCCCUCCCUCCCUCCCUCCCUGGGCGCCCCUUCACAAAGUGGGGGAGCUUCCGCACCUUAAAGCAGAGGAUGUAGUAGUCUGCUGAUCCAGUCUGUGCUGCUGCUUCUGCUGCUUAUGUAGCCGUUGCCGUGGCCGAUCGCAUUCUGACAUCUGCCUGCUGUCUGGACUCUUGUCUGUCGAGCUUCAGUUUCCUUAUUCUUCUUCGCUUUUCGUGCUUUUAAAAUUCGCUGCUGUCAAGCAACUGGUCCGUAGUCGAAGUUUCAGAGCUCGCAAUGGCUUUCUCCGCUGUGAAGAGGGUUGCUGUUGUCUCAUUCGUGGUGGUUGCCACCAUGGGAUCGGCCGUCGUAGCGCAGUCCGCUCCUAGCCCUGAGCCGCAGAGUAGCGACGUCAGCUCUCUCGUGCCUUCCUUGAUGGCACCUGUGAUUGGCUGCGUCCUUGCCUUGGUCGCUGGAAAGAUAUGGUAAGCUUGUGGAAGUUCACCACGGCUUUCGGAGCCGAGGAGACGACUUUCAAUCGAAGUGGAGCAUCUCCAUCUGCGUUGGUUGUUGAAAAAGGGAUUUAGUCAGAGGAUUCGAUUUUAUAGAAUGCCAAAGUGUGAGGAUACAGGCUGUCCGCGGGUAAUAACUAUCCACGGACACAUGGAGUGGAUUCUUGUGCGGGCGAGAUGCAGUGAGCAUCUGGAGGUGGAAAUGUGCGGCCUCGUUGCGGACUGCUUGGCGAUUGUAUCUUUAGCAGAGACAUUCUCGAAGUGUGCUAGUUUGUAGGAUGCGUACUGUGCUUAUUACGGCACUCCCGCUGUAAGAUCUGAAUUGUGGGAUUCUUUUCAACUAAUUUAAACGGAGCGUGUGGCGUCCACCUUGUUGUUCUGAAAAUACAUUGUACUGCUAGGGGUGUUUUAGUCGCCAGUACUGCUAUUUUCGCAUCUAUAGUCUAUCUGCUGUUGAAUCGUCCUCAAGUGCCGAUAUGUCUGUAUAGAGUUAAAUGCUGUUGGAACAUUUUACUGCCUUGAACUCUGUUGGAAUAAUUGUGUCAACCGGAGUCCUACUUACUCUCCUGGAUCACGACUAUGCCUCCUACAAACUCCUACAGGUGUGAGUACGUUUGGGUCUACCUUUGCGUGCAGUUGCUUGAGGCGUAUCUAUGUUGGGAUGCAUGAGUAAUGGUAGUGGUUAAUAUGUUGUAGUGACAAUCGUUUACUUUGUGUCGCUAUUUCAUUUCAUUUCAUUUCUUUCAAUCACCAGCAUGGAAACGAUUUAAAGCUGCCCGAAUGUUACAAUUCUUUGUUGUCUUCUCUCUUUUCUAAGACUUUGGUUGAGAUGCGUCGUUUUGUGAUGAUACACGGAUCACUUAUUUUUGAAGUCUAAUUUGUUACGAGGAUCGUACACUACCUCUCUCAAGGGCCGUUUAGUUAUUUUCAUACUGAAUAGUUGUUGAGUAUUUCGAACAUCACACUCAUGAUGAAGACCUUUUGUAAGUAGACAAUUCUAGAGCUAUCAGAAUGUUCCAAACGAAUGGUGUUUCUCAGGGCCGAUUGACUCGGACAUGUGUUGUGCGUAUGAUGUUACAUAAAGCAGUUGCGUGUGUGGUUGCCAUUAAUACCUUUCCCUGCUGUACUGACCUUCAUUAUACACCUACGAUUGUGAGGCAUUACACCGUCUCUAAGCUCGGACGUUAAUUUGCAUCCAUAGUGAGUGAGAAAGUAAGUACUGAACAUUCACUAGGUUUUUUUAAACCACUCGUGUUUUGAUGUUAAUAGAAUCCAAACUGAGACUGGUCAUAUCAAGCAAUUAUGAGAACUGAAGGCUCGUCCUAAUAGGACAUUUUCCUUUUAGUACAGUGCCCAAUGUGGUAUGAAUAUUCUUUCAGACACAUGAUUCUUGUUUGUGGAGAAUUCUCGAAUGAUUCAAACCUUGCUGCCGACAGCUGGUGGAGAUGAGGUCAAAGCAGGAUCCAUCAGCUGUCCAUUUCUCAGUUGUCGGAAUUGGCUGGUAACUACCAGCACAGCAACACUUCCGAACUGACGAGGAUAUUGUUUGUGAGGACAGGUGAGAAUAUUUCACGUGACGGCACAUACCCAAUGCUCUUGUAAAAUACACAUGCAUUGAUCGGAAUCGCUGUCGAAACUAAAGCUGUUGUUCAUGCUCUACAAGUAACGAAUCAGUGUGAUUUUUGAAGUUCAACAUGUGACAUGUAUCUACAACACACGAACCCGGAUCGUUCAAAUAUCUCAUUUCAGUGUACCCGGUAGACCUUGCAAUGCCGCCAUGCUGAAUAAUAAUAAGAUCAAUUCUCUCUUUCCGAAUAUUCCCGUCACCUCCCUAUCAUAGUUCUGCAGGACACAAACCAGAUUUCCUUAAUCUUCGAUGGGAAGGACUUCAAAUGUUUGGGUGCGUUUCACGACUCAUGUGAGUUGAUUGCAUCACCUCAGCUGGCUGGCAUAGAGCCAGAAACGAUUGACAGGUGAACGAUUCAAGUACAGAAACUGUAAAAAACAUCCGUUCAGCAUACGAAUUCCGCUAGUCCUGCACAGAAAUGUGUGCAAGAGAUGGAACCAGGCGAUUCUGGAGAGAUAUUUCGAGACCAAAGCGCUACACUGGUGACUCUCGAGAGCAGGUGCACCGGCUUGCAUCUCUUCAACUGAAUUCUUAUUCAAAUUGCACUGUUUGAAUCUCACUGUUGGCGCCACACCCAAAAUCUAAGCGCAUACACAAAAAAAUUGAAAUAGAAAUGGCGUUGCCAAUCGAGAACAAUUGCCACUGCAGUGCCUACACACGCAAGGAAUUCGUUUCCGGCUGUCAUAUGAUGGUAAAUCAUGUAGAUGAAUGACGAAUUGAUUUCAAAGUGCAGAAUGACAGGUUCCGCACGCAUGGGUUCGCCGAGUACCGAGAUUUCGAAGGAUGCGAAGAAACUCACACAUCUUGCAGUCAAGGUGGGAAUGCGACACUAUAGUUACUUGGCGGCGGGAAUUUCUAAGGAGGGUUUUAACCUGGCUCCUCGAAAUGCGAUGAGAGUGCGGGUGGGUGGUCAUCAGCACCGAGAAAUACUCCAAUGGCCACAGUCCACGUAAAACGGGGGGCCAUGGACACGGUCCUCCGUGCAACUGUAGCGAGACACAGCUUCCGCGAAUAUCAUUAUUGCUCCUGCAUCUAUGUUACUCGCUUCGUCUGCAUCUUUUGUGCCGGUUGCAUUGUGCCCUAACAUUAGAUUUGGGUUUGUGUUCCUGGAAAGCCGAAGCUGCAGGGUGUUUCAGUUCCCGGGACGUUCAAUGCCGUGUAGCUUCGCAUUGGAUUUUUGAUUGUGAAGUACUGCUUGUGGUGAAGAGGCUGAUUUUGGUCUAAUGCAGUGGAUGUCUCGUCCUCUGUGAAAUUUCGUUUGUGGAAUGCCCAUCACGACAUGGGCAGUUUGAAGAGCAGGGGCUACAUAAGUGGCCAGGCGGGCUAUGGCGAUAGAGCGGCUGUACCUUUGGGAAAGGGCGCGGGGAAGGCCAAUGUGUUCCGGAUUCUGAUCGCCGUUGUGGCUGUUUUUUUCCUGGUCGAGACGAUAGCGAAUGGGCUCGUGUUCCUCAAAAUGCGAGAUUCUGACUUGCAGGGAGGAUCUCUGAACUUCUUCACAAGAGCUUCUGAGACGAAGACGGUGCGGCCCGGUGAUGACGUUCGGUUUGUCCCCCGUCUGCUGCUGUCUAGAGGGAAGGCCACUAUGGCCGAGCUGAGGAGGGAACUACGAACUCCUGUGCGGCCUCCGUCGUUGGCAUUUGUAUGUACCCGCAUCGUUGUGUAUCUUCAAGAGUGGUCUUUAUUCAUUGUUUGUAGUAAUUGGGAUAAUGUAUGGCAUUUUCUCUGCUUCAGAUGGCCUAACGUCCAGCCGGACAAUGCCCAGUGAUUCUACCUGAACCACUGCAUCGGUCCUCCUCUGCCGUUCUAGGUUGUUGUGGUAAUCCUCAUACUAUAAAUUUUAGGUUAACAAUGUCUGAAUCAUGAUUCAGACAAAUAUGGUGAAUAAGCGUCAAUGUAAUGCCCGUUGUCAUCAUUGAUAGUAGCUUAUGGUACAAUUAAUCGCUUGGCGAUUUGGAAUGAGGAUUGCAUGAGUGGCUGUGGUGACGGUUGAAUCUUAUUGACUCCUCCUUUUCUCUACAUGUUACCUCUCUUUUCGCAGAUAUGCCCAAAUCUUGCUUUAAGUUCUCUAUCUCUUUUCGUGUUGUCGAUCGCGACAGGAUUGAGAGAAAUUGGCUACCAUGUUGAGGUAAACCCGUCUUUCCGAUGUCGAGUUUUUAUUUUAUUUUAUUCUAUUGAUUUAUUUAUCUUCAUGAACUUUCUGCCCUAAUAUUGAAGAUCGAAUUCCUUAGUAUCUACGUGUGAAUACACGCGUUUAUUGUGACUUUACUUCCAUAUUACUUCCUUGUGUAUGUAUAUCCAUUUUUAAGAUGUCUUGUUCCCUACGUGUGCAGGUCCUCACUCUAAAAGAUGGGGAGUUUCGAUCCACUUGGGAAACCAUGGGUGUUGCUGUCAAGCUUUUGAAAGCCAAUUCAGAGAAUGUAACAACAGUCGAUUGGCUUAAGUGAGAGCUGGAUUCCAUUUGAACGAAGUUUAAAUUUCCUUGUUCCAUUAUCUAUAUGCUCACGUUGUCACACCUGAGUGCCGCUAGUUUUACGAAGACUAAAGAAUUACAUGUAGAGAGUAACAUUCUAAAUGUUGCAAGAUCUUGUAAGAACAUUGCAUUUGAUUAAUCUGAUAUCCUUCGAUACGUCUUGGCGUUUGGGAACCAUGUGCGCCAGAUCUUGAACAAUAUUUGCAAUCUUAAGUCUAAUACAUGAAUUUCACUAAUCGUGUGCAGCUACGAAGGUGUGAUUGCGGUUUCUCUUAAUACGAAGUCUAUUCUGGACAGGUUUAUACAGAAUCCUUGUUUUCUAACUGCUUUUCUAAUUAUUAUUGGAAGGACUGCUUUUCUAAUUAUUAUUGGAAGGACUGCUUUUCUAAUUAUUAUUGGAAGGACUGCAUUUCUUGGCUUAUUCUUUUCUUCAUAACUGCUUCAGUGCAGAAUUCUCAUUGAUAGUCUUGCAGUGGAAAGUCAAUGCUAAUCAAACCCCUCAUUGGACAGUCUUGCACAGGAACCGUUCACGAAAGUACCAGUUAUUUGGGUAAUUACUGACGAUGCACUAGGACGACGUCUUGGGAAAUAUAAAGCAGAAAAUUCGACGGAACUAAUUACUGAUUGGAUACGAAGUUUCAAACGAGCUGAUGUCGUAGUUUUCCCAGACUAUGCACUUCCGGUGCGUCUCACACGGCCUGUUCAGUUCUCUAGCAAAAUCUAUUUUUUCUACAGUAAUUCAGCCAUCAUUUCAAGUUAACGUGGCUCGUUCUUAUUAGAGCUGAUAGCAUAACUUCCAUUAUUCGUAUUGCGAAAUUCGCCCCUUAAACAGAAAAAGUAACUUUCAAAUUUUUAUUUAUUUUUUAUAAUGAGCUUGGCGAUUAAUUCCACAAAGCAGCAGCAGAGGAGUCGGUGACAGUGCGUGGUUUUGUCGUUUGUUCACUUACAGUUAUAUGGGCAGAUAAUUUCUUCAGAAAUGUUGACAAAAUGCGACUGUUUAUGUGUGGCUCUUUUAGCUGAAUCACUGCUGCAGAUCGGGAGAAACAAAUUUAGUGAUGGCUUGCUGACUGCUAUAGUUCUGAUUGUGUUGUGUGCGUUCCUUCAGAUGAUCUAUACCACGAUGGAUACCGGGAAUUUCUUCGUCAUUUCAGGGUCGCCUAGAGAAGUGUGGACAGCUGAGGAGUAUAAGCUUACGCAUUCUCGAGACAGCCUACGUGCACAGUUCGAAGUGCAUCCUGAUGACUCCGUGAUUGCUGUUGUUGGGGGUCCUUUUCUUUACAAUUGGCGCUGGAGAGAACAUGCUUUAGUGAUUCGUGCGUUUACGAGGACUGUAUCAAUGCUGGGUAAUGCAUCUCAAAAAGGUGGUAGGCGUAUUCAGCUAUUUAUCAUCGGCCAUGGCAACCACUCAAGCAGCUACGGUGCUGCCCUGCAGGUACUGUGGUAGAUAUAAACUGCCUCUUCAAGUGAUGUGCCCAACACUUUAUAUCACACUGCCUUGCUCCAAAUUAUACUUGUAAAGUUUACCCUGAGAAGCCGGAAGCUUAGAAGGUGAUUAAGUGCCGGUUCCAGACCUGGACAAAGUACGUUUGCUGUAAUGAAGUGUUUUCAGGUUUUUUAGGGCAAUAGGGUUCAGAUGAGCUUAUUUGAUUUGAUAACUAAGGUUCUCCCUGUUGGCAGGGAGAUGGGGAAAUAAUAGUUUUGUUAAGGCAAAUGUGUGGUGUCGGUAUUUGUUCUUUGGGUGCGUGGCUUGUAGCAAUGACAUGGUUGCUUGGUGAUGGCCACAGGUUAUGGCAGAUCAUCUCAAGUUGAAGAAUGGGACAGUGCGCUAUGUAGGUGCUGGUGAGGACGUGAUAGGCGUUGUGUGGAUGUCGGAUGCUGUUGUGUAUGGUUCGUUCCGUGAUGAACAGGCAUUUCCACCGAUACUGGGUCUGGCUAUGAGCCUUGGGCGGCCUGUAAUCGCACCUAAUCGGAGAGCCUUUCGAGAGCAAGUAAGAUCAGAGUAUAUGGUAGAAAAGAUAAGAUGGAACACAGGAUUCCGUUUUGUUUUGCUUUUAUUUUAAUUUUUGGUCCUAUAAAAUGAAGGAGUUAGGGAUGUGCGUGAGUUUGAUUCUGUAUUGUUUUUUUUGUCUUAUUUAUUUAUUUAUUUAUUUAUUUGAAAACACAUUGUUGUAUUUUUUGUGUGCAAUUUGACACGAUGUAGGUGAUAGAGCUUGUGGGCAUGAUAAACUUGUGGAUCGUGUGUUAGUCUUACAGUAUAGAGGUAUUGUUGAUUGCUAUGUUUUUUCAAGUGCAGUUGCUAACAAUCGGUACAUGUGACUUGUUCAUUUUGGGAAUGUGGCACAGAUUUCCGAUGGAGAAAGUGGCGUGUUAUUUCCUGUGGGUGAUGAAAUGAAACUCAGUGAAGCUAUGAUACGUGUAUUAGGAGACAAUACACUAGCAGUUGCGAUCGCGUUGACUGGGCAAUGGAAGGCUAGGAACAUGCAUGCUUCGAAUGUAAGUCUGGGUUACGGUGAGCUUCUGGAGAGUAUUUUGGAGUUUCCUGCUGAGGCAGCGCUACCGCGGCGAUUAGAUGAAGCUGAGAAGAGUUUGAAAGGAGGAUGGCGAUGGGAAAUGUUGUUUCCAGCGAAUACUUCCUUCCAGGUGUCUUUUCAGUCCCGGAUGGGGAAACGAGUCCGUGAGAAUGAUGACGUGGGUUCUGGUGUCAUCGAUACUUUGGAGGUGCACUGGAAGUUAAUUAAUAGUGAAAGUCGAAAUUUCGCUGAAGAAAUUGGCUCUCAUGCUUCCAGUGUAGACCUGGAGAUUCCGAGCCAUUCCGAUCUGGACGAAGCUAAAGCGAUUCAGGAAGACUUAGUAGCAGAGAAAAUUGAACGAGAAGAGGUAUGCCUAUUUCAGGUUUUCUGUCUAUACUUUUAAGAAGUGUGCAUAAGAAUCAGACCAUGCAUAUGGGACAUAAGGCCAUCAAAUCAUCUAAAAAUUAACUGAGAUGAGAGAUGGUUGAUUUGAAUUAAAUGGCUUUCGUUUACAUCGCUUCUCGGCCUCGUAUUUUUCUUGCCUGCAUUGAGUUUGUUUAGCGGGUCAUUUAUCCAUUUAUUUUUAAAAAAAUUCUGUUCUUUUCAGCUGGAGUGGAGAAAAGAAGUAGUGCAAACUUCUUUGGAAUAUAUCACAAAGAUGAUUCGAAAGACCGAGGUCCGCAAGGAUGAACUGAAAGAACGAUCUGAUGCAGAAAUUCAGCGCAAUGCACAGCCCUUAACUAUAUAUGAACCAUAUCAUGGCAAAGGUGCAUGGCCCUUCCUUCAUGAGGAGAACACGCUCUUUCGAGGCCUCAGUCUUGUAAGGAAUUUUUCUUACCUGUUGCUUUCAUUGUUAUUAGGUACCUGAGCGUUUGGAUAUUAUGACUUGUGUAGACCUGAAUGUUCGAUUAGACCUGAGCAAAUCGAUGUUCUGUGCAUAGUGUAAGUUGUCCAUCAUUUCAAUUCGAUACCUACUGGAUCGAAAGGUUUUGAGGUGAUACUAAAGCCUUUUGUUUUAGUAAAUCACAAAAGCAAUCAAACUUCUAAGAAAUAAGUGUUGUUCUCCUGGGGUUAAACGGUUUUAUUAACUGCUUUUAAACUGCUUUUGCACAUGACAACCUUAGUGGAUAGUACGCAAUGUUUCAUUACCAGGGAACGAAGCUGUAGGUUGUGAGAACAGUAUGUUAUAUAACACUACUAUUUAUCUAUUUAUUUCUCUUUUCUUUAUGUAUUUUAUAUGUCUGAACUAGUGAGUUAUCCUGAAGUUUGCCACUAAGAUAGUGAUAGUGAUGAUGCUUGUGACUGUUCUAAUACUCUGACUAUUAUGCUUUUUGUAGUCAACGCUGGAUAGGCGUCCAGGAGAUGAUGAUGUUGAUGCAGAGGUGCGACUGCCUGGUCUCUUGAACGAAACAUACUACCGAAACUUGUUGUGUGAAUAUGGAGCCUUUUUUUCCAUUGCCAACCGUAUUGAUUUGAUUCAUAGAAACCCAUGGAUCGGCUUUCAGCCUUGGAGAGCUUCAAGUAAAGAUGUGCGUCUCUUUCACCUCUUUAUUUGGAAGAAUGAAACUCGUGCUACAUUUACGAUGCUAUAAAUCAAAUUCGACAAUGCAUUGCACUUUGAGAUGAAUAUGGAUUGUUAAGCAUUCUUAACAAAAGCCUGUGGAAUCCAGGUUGCAUUGACACCUGCUGCUGAAGUUGCUUUGGUUAAAGCAAUUAGUACCGGAAGGGAUGGUGAUGCUGUUUACUUCUGGGCUCGUACCGACGGCCAUGCUGGUACGUGGCAUCGAGAUUCUUCUGUAGAGCACCCAGAAGAUUUCUGGGGUUACUGCGACUCUGUUAACUCUGGGCGGUGCAGGCAUGGUCCCUUUACUUCAGCCAUGAAUGAGUUUUUGCUAAUUGACUUCUUCUUUUUAUUUUUGUUAAUUAUGAUAUUAUUAUUCUUUUAUGCUCAAUAAUGUGGUGAUGUAAAAUUUUAUGUUUAUAUCUUUUGGCCGUUUGAAUGUGAAGUGGACGUUGAGGGUAACUUCAUUAAAUAGUGUUUUCUUUGUAGAUAGGGCAUUUGCCUUUGAUCAUUACGUUGCCCGUACAGUUUUCAGGUUAGAGGUGAACGAGAAAGAAGAUUUAUAAGCUGUGUGUAUCAUGCAGAGAGGCAUAUUCUCGGUGUUGGAGGCAUAUGUAUGGGCUGCCUACUACUUGGACAGAUUUGCCACCGAUGCCAGCUGAUGGUGGCACUUGGUCUGCUAUGCACUCCUGGGCUAUGCCUACACCAUCAUUUGUGGAGUUUAUGCUGUUUGCGAGGUAAUUUCUUAUUUAUGGUGGACUGGUCUGUAUGGAUAGAUUGUUUCUCCUACAUCAUACAAAGACUUAGUAAUUAAGAACAUGUAUAUUUUUUUGCUAAUGGAUCUUGAUGUAAUCUAGAAUGGUACUUUUCUUUAUCAAGUUUGUUCUUUAAGAUCCAUAUGUCAGAAGCAUUCUUAACAGCGUGUUGAAAUCUUUCCAUUCUCUUUUGGCUGACUUAGUGUACAUAACUGAAUGCUUCUGCUUUGGCUUUCUGUCCUUGCCUUGCAGUUUGGGAAUCGUCGUGCCUUAUGGCUUUUCUUACUACAUGUCACCAUGUAGCUCUACUCUGAUUAUUAGUAUUAUCAAAUUUGUUAUGCUUGACAGAAUGUUUGUGGACGCACUAGAUGCUCAGUAUUACGAAGAGCAUCUUGAUCUUGGAAGGUGUCCAUUUGUUAAGUUCCCGCGUGAGGUAAAAAUGUCAUUCUGAUUUCUUACCUCUCCCUAGGUUGGGGAGCAUCGUAUUGAGGAAGAACAGCUCAUACUAGCAGAAUUUUCAAACGUGCCUCUUGAUUUGAUCCAUAGCAGAGAACGCUUCUUGUUCCGAGCUGAUGAUUCUUGUUCUCUUUUUCAGGGUCAACAUUGCUACUGCGGGCUACUUGAUGGUCUAGUUAAUGUGUGGGCAUAUCACAGCGCGAGGCGUUUGAUUUAUGUGGACCCCAAAACAGGAACAAUGGAAGAGCAACAUGCGCUUGAUUCACGCCAUGGCAAAAUGUGGGUUAAGUUUUUGAGCCGGGAUACCCUCAAGGGCAUGGACGAAGAUCUUGCCCAGGCAGCCGAUGAUAGCGACCUUCCUAGAGAGAGAUGGUUAUGGCCUCUAACAGGUGAAGUGUUCUGGGAGGGCAUUUUUGAGCGUGAACGACUAGAGCGAUGGAGAUUAAAGAUGGAAAGAAACCAAAAGCAGAAAGAGAAGCAAGCUUUGAUAAGGAGUCGCAUGAAACAACAGGCCAUCGGAAAGGUAGUGAAGCAUCCUCGUGCGGGAGAAAUCAAGCUUCCUGUCGGUGCAUCUCAGCAAGUUGAUUGAACCAGACAACUCUUUUACAGAAGAAGCAACUUCAUGGAUGUAGCUUGGAUCAAUUUAUCCAGCUUUCGGGACUGAUGGCAUAAUCUGUGAAGGUUCUCCACUAAAGUCGAGUGCGGAUGCAUUUCAUACAAGCAAAUCGAAGUGGUCCAAGUUUCAGUGCAACAGAUGGUAUGUUGUUUCAUUUCCAAAUAAACUCGUUAAGUUUUUCAAGUUAGUGGAACACAAGAUUUUGUUAACAUGAGACGCCAAACAGAAGCCAGUAAAACUGUUUCACUCAAGUAUCACCCAUCCCAUGGGCGAAUCGUAUCCGCCUCAUGACCUUUGCAAACGGUUUACUAGAAAUGAUGCAGAUGUGGAUUAUCCUGCUGCAGUGCUGUCUUCUUGGAGAUGCAGAAUAUCCUAUCCACUGGUUCUAGAAUGGUCUAGUUCACUUGCCUUGAUAAGAGUGAAAGCACCUAGAAACAUCAAAAUCACAAAUUGCAUUAUUUAUGCCUACAGAAGUUUUGAAAGUACUUGUCCGCUCCUUGAAGAGGCAACUUCCAGGAAUAUACGGGCAUUCGAAUAUUCCAAGAUGAGGCUCUAGGGUGAAAGAGGAGACGUUCUUUGAAUGUUGAAGAACAGUACAGGUUUUUUCUUUUGCAACGUAUGUAUCCAUUGUUUCACAUUGCUUAAGUGUAGGAUAGGAAUCAGCAGCGUUGAUUCAAAAAAGGACGAAAUUUUUUACAUGCCAGUGCUUGAAAAGCUUUUUUAUGAUCCCAGGGCCUGAAUCGGUAGGAUGAAGGAACUGUACCAUGAAUUACAUUGAAUGGGGAACUUCAAAUGUGGCAUUGUUUCAAAUGUCAUUGGGUCUCUUUUAUUUUGUGCAAUCGUGGACUUCCGAGGAAAUUCUACAUGUGGUGAUCAAUGAUUUCUUUUCGACUAUGGACAGUAACUGUAUUUGUGGGGCUACAUGUUGUUGACCGGUUCUGAUUUUUCUCCGACACUAAGUUUUGCGUGUGGUUGGUUCUGUGAUGGAACUGAUACAAGCUCCUGACAGCAAUAUUCUCGAUCCGGAUUGUAAGUUUGAGUGUUGGUUGUUCUUUGCGAUUUCGUGUAAGGGGAAACAACAUACUGCUGCUUUUUUUGAGAGGUAAAUCUCUUACUAUUCACCCUAUUUUUAUCUGUUUGCAGUGCAUUAUAAUCUUGUCGUAAAUACCUCAAUCAUAGUUCUCAUAUUAAUUUUACGCUGAGGGAAGCCUUGUGAGAAAAUGAGAGAAAUGGUAAUGUGCGGAUAUUAUAUAUUAUAUUUGAAUAUCACAUCAUAUAUAUUGUGGUUAAACUAAUAUUCUUGUUUGUGUAUAUUUCUAUGUGUAAAUAGUGUUAACAUUGUAAGUAAAUUCUGAUAAUCAGAUCUGUCGUUGUAUUCAUAUUCAACAAUGAUGAGUGGUGCAAAGUGCAAAUAGUCAUGAUUGGUAUGUGUAGCUAAAAACCAUUCAAAUCAUGUUUUUGUCUUAUAUUGAUUCUUUUUAAAAGUAUUUUAAGCAUUAUCAAAUAUGAAUUAAAUGAACUUCAGACAAAAAAUGAAACUUAAUUUUGUAACUAAAAUGUAGUAUGAUAUUCGAUUGAUAAAUCGAUCCAUCAUGUGACUAGCGUGAUCUUCGCGCAUGUUCAAUCGAUAAAAAAUGAUUUUCUUUCAAGUCCCACCAAAGCGCUCAUCUUGUAUCCAGUAGCAGUUUCUGAAGCUUUACAGCCGGGAAACACUGUCAAAAAUGAAACCCAUGACAGUCACGCCAAUUGUUGCUUGAUGGGUCAAUUUAUGAAAAGGUGGGUCGAUUUAACAAUUUUCUAAUUAAAUGACGGGUUGUAUAAGCUAAUAUUAUUUGUCAAAACUUGAACAACUGGUUGAAAGGUGAGUUUUUCACUUUGUUUUUGUGCUGUGAGUUUUUAGAAAACCACUGGAAGCAAGACACCAAUGUUAACAAGUGUAAGUUCUUUGAAUAAAAUUAAACCAAAUUUCGUUAAUGUUUUUCUUUUGUCAAAUCGGAAUGUUUGAUUUGCUACUAGAUUUUCCUUUUAUGUUCUCAAUUUUAUGUUAAGAUCCUUAUUUUAGUAUAUUUUAGUAUAUUUGGUAUUGGUUUCCUUUUUAUUUGUUAUUUUUUUAUGUAACUCAAUAUUUGUGUUCUAUGUUUUGAAUUUUUAUAUAAAUAUGAACAGAUGUUCAAAUUCAUUGUGACGAUGUUAAUGUAUUAUGUGGUUGUGAUAUGUGUACUGAGAUAUAUAUGCAUGUGCAUAUACAUGUAUAAAUACAUAAACACAUAUAAUUAAUAUCUUUUUAUUAAACUGUGACCAUAAACAAUAUAACAUUUUCUUUUAAUUAUAUAUAUUUAUAAUGAAUUUAUAAUUAUUCACAAUAUAUUCCAAAAAAUAACUCUGAUAAUUUUGUAUCCUUACUAUGACCUAUGACUACUAUCAGGAAUAUGAUUUGAUAUUGUAUCCAAUAAACCAACAUAUUGUUGCAAAGUAAAUCUUCAUGCAAUAUAAAAAGGUUAUGUUGUAUCUGACUAUAAAUAAUAAGAAGUUAAUUUCGAAAAUGUAUUUAGUUUGAUCUUCUUUGUAGUUUAUAUUGAAAAUUAGGAACACAUAUCAAUUUUUUAAUAAUUUCAGAUUGAAUAUUUAAGAAGAAGUCUAAGAUGAAGAUAUUGCACUAAUCUUCCAGAAAAAGGUUUGUGUUAGAAUAUGUUAAUUGAGUAAUUUUAAAAUAUUGUUAAGACUUCCAAAUGAAUUUAAGUUUUAGCAGGAAUGAAGUUUCAGAAACAUGUCUUUAAAAUGCUUAUGACACUAGAAAGACAAGUAUGAUUUUUUACUUGUGUAUAAUAAAACAUAGAGAAUUCUACAGAUCUUGGGUUUUGUCUUUGUUGUGAUAAUUUUAACUUACAAGAAUAUUAUAAUACAAAUUGGGAAAGUAAUACAAUCAAACGUUAAUGUGCUCCAGAUUAUGUGUUUGUUUAUUUUAUUGUAGCAUAAUUAUUUUUAGAAAAUAGCAAAUCAUACUUGAUAAGUAUGCAAUGGAUAGAAAGAGGCAAAAUUUAUAACAACAGGCCAAUGUAAAAUUGAAAUCAUUUCACUUGUUCGUAAAAAAUAAAAUAAAUAAAUAAAAUGAAAAAGACAAACAAACAAACAAAAAAUGGAUUGCAUUUGUAAGAAAUCCAAAAUACCAAUUGUAUACUAAAAAUAUUGAUAUACUUUAUUAAUUUCUUGAAAAAAAUAUAAAGAGGAAAUUCAUUAAAAAAAAAAAAAAUAGGUUAUAUUGUUAUUCUUAUAAAUUUAAUAAACACAUUGGAAUUGAAAGAGCUAAAUUAACUUUUAAAAUAAGAAUGAAAGAAUUAGUACUGAUAAUUACAUUAUCAGUACAUAUAAUUAAGUAAAAUAAGAGAUUUUUACUCUUAUCACUUUCUGAAAAUAUUUUUUAAAAUUUUUAUUGGUUCUUUGCAUACAAUAGUAUGCAUAAAUUUUGUAUUUUAGCUUUAAAUAUACUAAAUAAAGUUAUAUUUAUUGUAAUUAUAAUAUAUUUUAUGAAUAGUGAAUGUUCAAAUUACUUAAUUUCCAUCUAAUAUAUCUCAACCAACUCCUAAAUACACUUAAUAUUGUUUUUUCUCAUUUAAGACUAAUUAAAAUAAAUAAAACAUGUCUCAAAACAUGUCAAGACAUAUAAUGUGUGUUUUAAUGCUCUAAGGGGCAUUUAUAAUCAAAAACCCACUUUGAAAGGCAAUGGUUCAAAAGCCUUACCAUGGUUCUGGGCUUGGUAAAGAAAUCCCUCUUUUGGAAGUUUUAUUUUUUAGAUACAAUACAAAGUGCAAAGAUGCUAUAAAAUAGAUCAAAUUAUUCUUUUAUUACCAAUCAAAGUAUGUCAAUGUAUAUCUUCAUUCAAAAAAUUAUGAUAAGUAUAGGUUUUUAUUUUAUAAUUUAAAUGAUUAUUUUAAGAAUUGUUUACAAGACUUCUUUUUUUAAAAAAAAAAAAAAAAAAAAAAAAAAAAAAAAAACUCACCUUGAGUUGGAUCGAAAAGGAAUUCCAAAACACUACAUUAUCUAUGCCAUGUAAGAAAUAAAUGUAUUCGACCUCAUUUUUUUCCUCUUAGGACUUAUUUAACACCUAAAAUCAAUGCUUUAAAACUCUUGUACUAGUAAAAUACAUGUAAUCUAUUUUUUCACGAUGUACAAUAUUAAAAACAAAUUCUUAUAUUUCAACACUUUGCCAUGAGAAAUUCCAUAAUCUAUUCUAAAUAAUAAUAAUAAAAUCAAGAUUUUUUUUAAUAUAUAUGCAAAUUAAGAUGACCUCUCACUUCAAAUACUUUUCACUUUUGGUGAAGAAAUAUAUCCUACUAUGGCUUUGCUUAAACAUUAUGAUAUUUCUUCAAACACAUGAUACAUCCAAUACAGUCUUUUUAAAACCCUGGGUACCUAAAUUCUAAAAUUUAUCCAUAUCUUAUUUCUAACUUGUCUGAGCUGAUGCUAGUUAUUGAUUGUUUUUAUUUAGAAAUAAAGUAUCUUAUACUUUUUAAGGUAUUAACUAAAUUAGAAACUAAACUGUUCUUUUGUCAUCAAUAGUAUCCUCAACAAUGUUAGUGUUACAAAUUAACUUCAUUACCAUCAUAUGAUAUUUUAUAUAUAUAUAUAUAUCUAUAUAUAUCUAUAUAUAUCUAUAUAUAUCUAUAUAUAUCUAUAUAUAUUACAAACAACACAAUAUGAUACAGACACCUAUUGUAAUACCCGAUUUAGGUACAUAUAUUUAGUUUUUUGUCUUUCCAAUAAUAACUAAGUAGAAAAUUAAUUUUAAAAUAAAGAAACAUUAUAAUUGCACUAGAAGUGGCAACAAGACUUUAGUCCUAAUUGCAAGCAUUCAUAAUUGUUUUUAACCAUUUAAAAUACUUACUUUCUCCAACCUUAGAAAAAAGUUACAUCCUCUAAUUUCUAUACAAAUGGCAUUCUCUCGAUUAGUCUAGGAUUCAUUACAUGUUACCCUGCAUUUCAUUAUCAUCUUCUCACACACACACACAUCCCAAUCAAUCAGAACCAAAACCUUCAGCCUAAUUGCAACGUUCUCCAAUACCCACAUGGUGGAGACCACAAGGCUCAUGCUUUCUACAACAAAAUGCACACAAUGAUACGAAAUAAUAAAAAUAAUAAAAACUUUAAAAACAAAAUGCUAGAACAAAAAGUCUCCAUGAGUGAGUUUUCAAUUUUCCCAACCUUUUGUCUCCGGGAAGCAUUCAAUUCAAAAUAAUUGAUAAUUAUUGUCGUCUUAAAGGGAAAGGUCACAAGCAAUUCUCGCACUGGCAAAAACGAAGACUGCAGUGAAUAUCCCUGUGCUACGCAGCCAUCCCCAACUGCUGGUUUUUAAUUUUAUUUUGUGUGUAUAUAAGUGUGUGUAUAUAUAUAUAUAUAUAUAUACAUACUUUCUUUGCAAUAUAUAACACAAGACCCCCUUAUCAUAUCUGCCUCUCUUUUCAAUUUUUCUUUGACCCGGAGAACAGGUGAGAAAACUGGCAGUUUUGUCUAUAUAUUUAUCCAGGGUGUCUGGCAAGCUCAUUCAUCAUUGGGAUUCAUCCACUUCCUUGUGGCCUGCUGCUGCUUCAUAAUGCAAUUGGCUUCACUUCGUCAAGCUCGACGCUGAACACAUUUUUUGGCACUAACACUCACUGCGACCAUCGUCGAGCUCGCUCUCGCUCUCUUCUCCCGAGGUAUGUGAUUCUGUCUGUGCUGGUGAUUCCAGUCACCAUUGCUCAACUAUCUUGCUGCUGCUUCUCCUGGCUGAUGGUGGUGGUGGUUUCCAUGCCGCCUUCUGUUGCGUCUGCGUGUGCGAUUACGUUGCGUGCGAGUCUUUCCCUGGAUGGUGUGGAAAAAUCAUUGCAUUUUUAUAUAGCGAAACAUGGGUCAUCAGCACACGUUGCCCGCGGUAGAUCCACAUCUGCAAGUUUGGAUUUUGUCUCCCCUGCUGUUGUGUUGUUUUACUCUAAUCUCUGGAUAUAGAAGCUGGCCGGGAAAAAAGAAAAAGAAAAAGAAAAAAAAAGAACCAAAGCACGAUCUCAAGUUCAUGGGUUAGCCUCACUGACACCCCUUGCAGAGUUGCGUUGGUUGAAAGUGCUCGUCGACGUGAUGCCAUGAAAAGGCUUAAUCUGGGCGAGCAUUAGAGAUUAUAUAGCAUCUUUUUUUUUAUAUUCUCCUUUAUCUCACCCAACUCUGUAAUUACCCAAUUAUUCAACGUCUCGUCCCCUAUUCGCUUGUGGAUAAUGGAACUGCAAUGACCCCUGAGAGUUAUUAUCACGCACAACUGAUCCUAGAUGGACAAAUAUUAUCGAGUAUGGCUUUGAGGUUGACUGAAAUGGAUUGGACAGUGUCUAGUCAUGUCUUUCAGUUGUCAUUGCUUAGUCGAUAAGCGACUCUGAUUCCUUGUUGCUUUCGCAUUACUGAUAAGAGCGACACAUUUUACUUUUGGAGUGUGAUCUUUUCGCGGAGAGUCCUUGUCGAAUGAUGGUUUCCUGCGGACAUACUCAUUUGACAAAUACGUACGCUUUGUUUUGUUUCGUGGAUCAGAGCUAGCAGCGAGGUCGUCUCUAGAGGAAGCUCACCAUGGCUGAAAAUCUGGCGUCCUCCAUGGCUAACCUGCGCACGCCCAGCUCUGGGGGGAUGAUUGUUUCUUUCGGGGAGCUCCUCAUCGACUUCGUGUCAACAGUUGCCGGUGUAUCGUUGGCUGAUGCGCCAGCUUUUAAGAAAGCCCCCGGGGGAGCCCCUGCCAAUGUCGCCGUGGGAGUUAGCAGGCUUGGCGGUCGCUCAGCCUUCAUUGGGAAAGUAGGCGACGAUGAGUUCGGGCGCAUGCUGGCGGACGUGCUGGAGAAGAAUGGUGUGAACGUCAAGGGACUGCGCUUCGACAUCGUCGCGCGCACCGCACUCGCUUUCGUUGCGCUGAAAGAAUGCGGGGAACGGGAAUUCAUGUUCUUCCGAAACCCAAGCGCGGACAUGCUUAUGGUCCCCUCAGAUCUCGACGAGGGAUUGAUCCGAAACGCCGAGGUGUUCCACUACGGGUCGAUCUCGUUGAUAUCCGAGCCGUCGCGCUCGACGCAUCUAGCGGCCAUGAAGCUGGCGAAGCAGAGUGGAGCACUGAUGUCUUAUGACCCCAACUUGCGGUUGGCGCUCUGGCCAUCCCCCGAGGCUGCUCGGAGGGAGAUUUUGAACAUCUGGAAUGAGGCCGACAUUAUCAAAGUUUCGGACGAGGAGGUGAAAUUCCUGACCAACGGAGGGGAUGACAAGUUGGACGAGGUGGUGCUCGGGACUCUGUGGCACGACAAGCUGAAGCUCCUGCUGGUCACUGAUGGCCCCGAAGGGUGUCGGUACUACACCCCCACGUUCAAGGGCCACGUCGACUCCUUCAAGGUGGCGGCAAUCGACACUACGGGAGCGGGCGACGCUUUCGUCGCGGGAUUGUUACAAACCCUUGCGCAAAACAAGAGCAUCUUGUCCGACGAGCCGGCGUUGCGAGCUGCAUUGCGGUUUGCGUGUGCGUGCGGGGCGAUCACGACCACCGAGCGGGGCGCAAUCCCCGCCAUGCCGGACUUGGCCGCGGUGACGAGGUUUAUGGGUACCGUGGCCGCUUGAAUCGGGGCCAUUUCCAUGCAACCGAGUGAAUUCCGAGAACCUAAAUGGAUAGUAUCCUCAGGUGAUAGGAUUAAUAUUUCUAGAGAUAACGAUAUCGCUCAAUUUACGUCUCCAGGAGUAGUGCUGAAAAACAACGCUAGUUGUUGUGUCUCCGGUACGCCGAGGAGGGGUCAUCCUUGCCCACCGGGAUUCAGCUGUAACGAUGUCUGCUAUCGCUCUCUUCUUGGGAGCUCACGCAUUAUACAAAUCAAACAAAUCAUUCAAAUCCUCGCACCGAUCUUCCACGAUUCUCCGUCAUUUUCCAAGUAUUUUACCUCGAGUCGUCUGUGCGUGCGUGCGUGCGUGCGUGCGUUAUUCGGUGCGGUAGAGAGAUCGCGUAGCGCCAACUCAAGCGCAUGACGGGUUGCCACAAGCAUCUGCUAUGAGAGCCUAAUAGCGCGAUUAGGGUUUUUAUAGGCAAACCCUGAAGGCCAAAAGCACCAAAAAGUACAAUGAAACCCUAAAAGUAAUCUUUGUUUAUUUGAGAGCCACGCUGCUUGUCAUGUGAAGAGUCGAGUGAUGGAUAUUAAUGACCCUCAUCAUUAUUAACUAUUGAACAAUUCAGAAGUCUAUUUUAAGAAUGUUUUUUGUAAAACUAACCAUGUAUAAGCAUCAUGUAAAAUAGAGAAUUAUUUAAACUUGUUUAUAAUACAUGUAUUAGUAUCUUAUUCCCUUUAAAUUUAUAUAAAUAUAAGCAUUGUAUAAUACUUAAUAUAAUUUUAUACAUUAAAUGGUAUUGUUGUGUAUGCAACUUCAAUUUUUAAUGCAACAUAUUAUAAGUAAUAUAUAUAUAUAUAUAUAUAUAUAUAUGAUUGUAAAUAUUAUGGUAGAUAGUGUUAUUAUUCAAGAAUUUUAUUGCAUAGACAUGCUUUAAAAAUAUGUAGAUAAUUAACAAACUUUUUACAUAGUUCUAUCAUAAAAUAAAUAUGUGUCUAAAUAUAUAAUAGAUAUCUACUUUAAAAUAUAUUUAUGAUUGCAACAACUUUGAUAAGUUUUCUUAAUCAUAGAUAAUAGAAUUGCACAAUAAAUAUUUACAAUAAAAAUAUAGUACUGUUUUAAAAUAAUUCUAUAUUAUAAAAAAAUUGUAAUUAAUUGAAAAAUAUCUAUAUUAUAUAAAAAAAAGGUUGCUUUACAAAAUAUUUCAAUAGUUACCUUCAUAUACAAAUAAAAAAAAAUUAAAAAAAAUCAUUAUGAGAAGACAAGUUAUGCCAUCAAACCAUCUCAAUAUCUGUUUAUUUAUUUGAUCUCUAAAUUCGUUAUAAGAGGAAUCAAAUGAUUUUAAAUAUUAAUUGAAAAUAAAUUAUCAAGAAUUAUAAUCUUUGAUCUAGUAUUUUGUUUUGCAUAGCUUUCUAGAUACAUAUUUUAUGAUAUAAUAUAUGUAUUUUUAUAUAAUUUGUUUUAAAGAAAUUAUUUAUGGUUGAAGAAUCAGCCCAAAAAAAUUGAUUAAUAGUUACAAUAAUUAUUGUAUAUAUAUUUAGAAUAAAAUUUUAAAAAGAAUAUAUAUAUUUUUUACUUAAUGUAGAUCAAACAUGAAUAGAUUAUUAUAUUAGGAUAUUAAACAAUAUAGUACCUUAUACUAUAAAAUUUUAACUUAGUAAUGAUAUUUAUUAUAAAUUUUGAAUGAUAAUAUUUAACAACUUUUAAAAAUAUAUUUUGAUUAAAAUAAAAGUAAUCUACAAACCUUGAUAUACAACUAUAGAUUAAUAAAAUAUUAUAUUAUAAUUUUAAAAAGCAUAUAAAUCUAAUAAUUUUAAAUUUAUUUUUUUAUAUUUUUUAUAUUUUUAUAUAUUUUUUUAAAAGAAUAAUAUUUAUUUUAGAAAAAAAUAUUUUUUAGAAAAAAAAUUAUAAGUAGAUUUGGAGAAUUUAUUGUUACUUGUUUUAUAGUUUUCACUAUUUAUCUUAAGUUCAUUAUUAAUAUUAUUAUUAUAUUUAAAUUUUAAGAUUUUUUUUUUUUUUUUUUAAUAUAUUUAGCUUCAUUUCUAACACAUUCUAGUAUUUGAAUGCUGUGCAUGUUAUUGUCAUCUUUAUCUACUUGAGUUGUAAUUAUUCGAAUUUUAUUUUUUACUCAUAUAUUGCUAGAUAAUCUAAAUGUCUAUUUGUUCAAGAAACUAGCAAUCUUGAUGUUGAUUAGAUACUAAAAUUUAAGUGAAACUUUAUUUUUGCUUAUAAUUUUUAUAUAAUGUUUUGUAUUUUUUUAUAUAAUUUCUAUGAUUUAUCAAACUCAUGCAUUGUUAUUGCUAUUUAAUCAUAUUAUUAUACCUACUAAGAAUUAAUUUAUUAAUAUGUGGAAGGAAAUUAUAUUAAAUUGGUAAAAAAAUAUUACUAUAAAAUAUUAAAAUUUAUUUAAAAAAAGAAUAAAAAUAGUAACAUGGGUUUAUGGAUUUUAUUAAAUAAAUAAUAACAAGACAAAGAAUACUUUUAGAAACAAAGAUUUGGUAGAAAAAAUAUUCUUUAGAAUCAUUUUUUCCUUAAAUAUAGACUGUUUACUAUUCUAAUUAAUAACCCUAUAACCAUACAUAUAUAUAUAUAUAUAUAUAUAUAUAUAUAAGUUUUUAUCUUCUUCUUUGUAUUGCUUAUUUAACUUCUUUUGUUGUAUAAUCUUUUUCUAAUAAUUAGUUUUUAAAGUAAAAAAAUGAAUUUAUAUUGAUCUUUCUAAAUAAAUUUCUAAGGAUAUAUUGGCUAAAUUAAGAAAAAUGAAUAAUUUGUAAAUAACAACAACCACAAUAACUUUUCAAGAUAAAAAAUUAUACUAGGACAUUGACAAAAUAUCUAUGCUAUUGGCAAGGAUUAUGCAUUCUUUUUUUAAAGUUUGUGAACAGUAGAUAACAUUUAAGAUUUUUUAAAAAAAAUAUUUGGUUUUGAUAUUUAUGUUUUUUUUAUGAACAUUUUUAUUGGUUUUGACAAAGCUUCUUGAAGUUUUGUAAAAACCAAUUCUUGGAAUAGACUUGAUAUUAAUUUUAAAAAACAGUAUUAUUCAUGGCAAGUAGGAAAAAAAAUGUAUUCUACUCUAUUUUUUCUUCUUAUGAUUUUUAGAUUAAUUUUUCUAAUUAUAAUACCCACUCAAAAAUGCUUCUCAAAUUCAUCUACCCAAAGGAUUUAAAAGUUUUCUAUCUUCUCUUCUAAAUAUCAAUACCCCUAAAGACUCAAGUUGGAUACCACAAACAAGUUGAACAAAUAGUACAAAGAAGUUGAAGGUGGUUUGCAUGAAGAGUAAGACCAGUGUGCAAAAUUGCAGAGAAGGUGUAUCAAAAGGCAAUCUUUACAUGAUAAAAUUUCAUAGACAUACGUAUUGUAACACAUAGUGGUCUAAAGCUUUUGGCUUGAUGAGUCUUGGUGAAGAUCAUAAGCCUACAUUCAUCACAUACAUUGUCGCUAAAAGCUGGGAAAGUGAAUACUGCAUCAGUGAAGCUAGCUUCAGCUGUGGCUUUCAAUGCAAACAGAAUUCAGUGCUUCCUUGUCAGAAGAAUUUGUCCAACAGUUUAAGUGAUAUUCCCCCAAAAAUCGAUGCAAAAAAAAACAGCCUCAAAGAGGUAUCACAAGAAACAAUCUAUGCCACUAGAACCAGCCAUGGUGGUACAAUAUUCUCUCAAUUUGAUGCAAUGCAUUCAUUCGAAGACCCAAGCCAUCAUCUUCACUUUUACAAUGAACUUCGACAAGUUCUUCGUCAAGGUGAGAACUUAUAACCGGGCAAUACUCGUCCUAACUCAAAUAGUCUCUGCAAUUGCAGGUACCCAUUAAUGCUGAUGUUAGCAUAUCAAGCUGUGGGUCAGUCGCUUACACGGCUUUUGAAUUGAUACAGCGAGCUCUAAUCGAGAAGGAACAACCAUAGCACCUGUCCAGUGGUAUUCUAUUAAGCUGUCAAUGUUAGAUUCCUUCGCUUCCAGAUGCGGUACUGUACGUUUGCAAUAUGGAGCACAAUACCGGUGGAAGAGAAUGUCAAUACAAAUUUAUAUGUUUCUGGUGUCAGCCUUUUGACGAGAGAAAAAUUACAUUCCCACACCUAAUUACAACCUUCGUGUGGACAACAGAUGGAGUGACUACUUUUAUAGCUGAACAACACGAGAAUGACCCAUCUGUGAGAUUCAGGAUUGUGGAGCUGAAACUCUGGCCCACCUGAAACUAUCCUACACUGAGAUGUCUUUCUGCAUUCUGAUGUUUGUUCGAGAAACUUCAAUGUUUUGCUGGAUGGAAUGCAGGUCUUGUUGUAGCCAGCCAAUGCCAAUUACAUUCUCAACGUCAAGUUUCAGUUACAUUUUCAAUAUUGAUUAGCAGAGGUAACGCCUUUAAAUCUGGUCGAAGUUCUCCAUCUUAAAAAUGCACACACGUGCAUUCAUUAUCAACGAGACGCCCUCGAAUCCCAUUUCGAGCAAUGAGAACGUUGAGCUAACACACUAGCACGUUAUUUCACAAAAUAUGGAAGUGUUGUGGCGAUUUCAAGAUGUUCGUCUACACCUAGUUCGAAGUUUGGAAUUGAGGAAGCUCGCAUUCAGCUACAGGGAAAAUCCGCUCCAGAUCUGCACAGCAAUUGAAGUCGUGUGCAUACGAAACCUGGAAAUCAUGAAAUAAAACAAGACUAUGUCUUGAUUUUUACCCAGACCUUGCAGACCUGACACGAUGGUUAUAAUCGCGAAGAGAGUGCCGGUUCUGGAGGGGGUAUGGAAAAUCCAACUAAGAUGCAACAAAUAUUGUUUUCAAACAGAGAUUUACGUAACAUCCAACAUCAGUGAAAUCCAGAAUUCUUCAGAGUCAACCUGGCUCAUCCUGCAGCAGUGAUCUACCCAUUCAUUAAGCAGAUCUCUUAUGGGUUCAUACCGAUUGUUCUACGUCAAACCAGUGUUUUAACUUCGAAUAGUUCUUCACGAAAUGAGUUGCUCUUAAAUGAGCACAGAAUGGAAUUAGCAUUACACAACGAGGAAGUACACUUCCAGUGCAAGUAACGAUUCAACUGGUGCAGAUUGAUUGCAGAAAAAGUUGUUUGCAAAUGGAUGAGUGGGUGAGUCACAUGUGGUUCUAGUAGAUGAUGUUACAAAUUGUUGCAAACAGAUCAUUGAUCUAGUGCCCAUGAUCUAGAACAAACAAAAGAGGAGGUCAUCUUUGAUCUUGCUAGUAAAAGUACUCUUGAAUCCAAUGUACAAGUACAUCUGAGGGAUGAAUGUAAUUCAUCAAUACAACAUAUUUCGUUGAUGAUAUGUGUGUGGGAUUUGACCUAAUAUUACAACAUUCCUCCACAAAUCCUAUUCUCUCAUUUCAUUUCCGAUAUAAGAACCACAAAUGUCUCAAUUUACUUUCUUGUAUUUUGUACAUGGUUUUGAUAUAAGAACCACAAAUGUGUUAGGAUUCAUUCUUGUGGAUUUGGCCAUAUUCAACUUGGAGUUGAGUCACUCAAAUAUAUUUGAAUCUUGGCUGCAAGAAAAGGUGUUAAUUGUGGUGGUAUCAGUAAAGGUCCAUUGUCAUAUAAUGUGUUGUAUUGCUUGAGAUUAUGCCAUGCACUAGGCUAUGAAAGGUGAUUUGGAAAUUGCAAUUACUCUAAUAGAAUAUUAAAUAAAUCUCAAUUAUACUUUAGCAAUUAUAAUCAAAUCUUAAUUGGUUAUUGAAAAAUCUUUAAAAAACUCUAAAAAUAAUUAUAAAGAAAUUACAAAAGUAUUUUUAAAAAAUCAUUAAAAAAUCAUAAUUAAACCUUAAAGAAAUAUUUAAAAAACUAAAUAAGUAUUAAAAUAGAUAUCCUAAGUUAAUUCUAAAUAAAUCCUAACCAAAUUAUAAUAAAAUCUAAAUGAAAUUCUAAAUAAAUUCUAAAUAAAUCCUAACCAAAUCAUAAUAAAAUUUGAAUGAAAAUUUAAACAAAUUUUGAAUAAAUUCCAAUGAAAUUCCUAUAGAAAUUUUAAAAUCCCAAUAACUAUUAAUUGAAUUGUCAAUUUUUAGAAUUUUUUUUUCAACCCUUCAAAAUUUAAGCAAAAAAAUAAGUACACAAAUUUUGAAUAAAAUUGAACUUACCUAUUAGAAAAAGUAUAGAAAUUCAAGCCUACUAUGCCUGCAAAAAAAAUUGCUUCAAUCAAAUCAGCAAAUAUCUUUAAGUUUACAAAAAAAAUCCUUUAAGAUCCUAAUUCAAUUAAACUCUAAUUUUCUUUAAUUUGACCAUUCAAUUGACUUAGGAUUAUAAAAAAAAAAAAAUGAAACAAAAAAAUUUACAAACCUACAAAAUUUCAUUGAUACAUUUGCUACAAUGCUAAAAACUUCUUCAUAUAUGUAAGCUAUUUUUUAUUUCUUAAAACCUAAUAUUAUUUAAAAUAUUUUUUACUUUAAAAAAGCUCUAAAAAAUUCAAUUCCAUCUAAAUCACUUGAAACCAAUGCUUAAACAAUCUUCAUAAAUUUUGUUUUUUAAUUAAUAAAAAAAUCUUGGAUUACCAAAGAUAACCAUUAGUAAUUUUUUAAUCUAAUUUACUUCUAUUUUUAGAGGCCUAGUUCUCUAAAAAAGUAAUUAAUUUUGGUGUACCAAACAUGCAAAGCUUGUUUCAAAUCAUAUAGUGCAUAAACUAGUUUAUAAGUUUGUCUUGAACUUGAAAAUCUAUGAGGUAUAAACAUGUAAAAUUUUGUAAGUAAUUCAUUUAAAAAUGGUAUUAUUACAUCUAAAUAUUUCAAAUUCUAGUGAUUUCUUGUUGUUAAUGCUAUAAUGAUUCUAAUAAUUUUCUAUCUCACUACUAGGGCAAAUAUUUUAUAAAAGUUUAUUCCAUCUUAUUGCUAAUUAUCUUUUGUCACUAUCUUAGCUUUGAGUUUAUAUAUAUAUAUAUAUAUAUAUACAUAUACAUAUAUGGUCUUAUUUUAGCUUUAAAUAUCUAUAUGAUAUUAAUAUAUUUCUUAUUUUCAGGUAUUUUAUCAACUAUCUAUCAUGUGUUAUUUUCUAACCCUAAUUCUACUUCUUUAUUUAUGGCUUUACACCAUCUAAGAUGAUCUAUACCUUCAUAAAAGAUUUGAGAUUUGCCUAUAAAGUUAGUAUUGGAUUUAAUAUUUUUUUUAUAGAAAAUAAGUAGUGAUUUCUAAAUUAUAUGCUUGAUUGCCUUUUCAUUUCUGGAUUUUUUAUUACUUCUAUUUGAGAAGGCAAUAGUAAUUUUUGAGAUUAUAAAAUUAAAUUUUCUUGAGAUUUGAAUGGGCUAAAAUGAGUAUCUUCUAGAGUUCUUAGAGGUAGACUAAAUUAUUGGUAUUUGUGAUUUAAAUAUGUAGAUGAUAUAGGUUUAGAAAAAUCAAACUUCUUAGUUGAUAAGCUUGGAAAAGAUUCAUAUUAUUGAUUUAUGGAUGAAUCAUCUUCACUCCAAUUAAAAAAGCCAAUUGAAUCAUCUUAGAAUAAAUUGAUUUCUUUGACCAUAUCAUAUUCAAUUUAUUUUUUGUUAAAUACUAUAUCCUUGCUUAGAUAAAUUUGUCUUGUUGCAAACUUGUAUACCUUGUAUACUUUUUUUUUGUUAUCAUAUCCUAAAAAAUUAAAAUUUAACAUUCUUUUUUUUUUAAUUUUGAUUAUUUUUCAUUAAACACGUGCAAAGAGCAAACUAAUCAAAUCAUCUUAAGAUGAUCAAUGCAUAGUUUUUUUUUGUAAUAUUUUUUUAUCUAGUAUGAUUCUUUAAUUAAUCCUAGCGGAACUUAAAUUGAGAAGCAUAUUGGUUGUAUUGAUAAUUUUUACCUAUAAAAAACCAAAAUAGUUGCUAGACCUAGUUCUUUAUAGACUUAGUUCUUUCUAUUAUAGUUUUAUUUCUUCUUUCAGAUACCUUAUUUUGUUGCAAAGUAUAUGCUUGUAUUAAUUGCCUUCUAAUCCCAGUUUCUACAAAAAAAAUCCAAAAUGCUUGUUUGUUUCUAAUGGAAUAAUUUUCUAAUCAAUCACAUUUUCUAUUCUUUCUUAGAAUUUUCAAAAAAUUCAAAAAAUUCAAAAAAUAUUUUAUAAAAUAUAUUCAAUUUUUUUAAAAUAGUUGUACAUAAAUGCAACAAAGAAUCUUGAUUUGCUUAAUAAAGGUGUAUAGAUUAGUCUAACUAAAUUAGAAUGUAUAAUUUUAAUUAUCUUUGUAGGUCAAUUUUUUAAUAAUUGUAGAUAUAGCUCCUUAGUUUAUCAUCUUACUAAGUAUUUUAUAAAUCUCUUUUGUUAUUUUAAAUAAAGAUAGUUCACAUAUUCUAUUUUUUUUAUAUAGAUGUUGUAAUCUUCUAUAGUAUAAGUGAACAAGUUUUAAAUGCCACAAAUGUAUGUCAAGAAUAUUGAGAUAAUGAGUUCAUAAAGCUCAAAUAACUUGCAAUAAUGGUUAAAGAAUAUUGUUUAUAUUGCUUCAAAAAUAAUUUUUUGAAAUAAUAAUGUUUAUAUUUAUUUCAAUUGGUUUUUGUUUAAACAUGUAUAGUUGAUUUUGUAGAUUUCUAUAACCAUCUACUAAAACUUUUUUAAUUAAAUUAUUAUCUUAAAAUAGAUAUUAUACUUUUGUAAAGAUGAUAAUGUAUCCAUCAUCAGUUAAUGAUCUUAACUAAUUAUGAAGUUUUUUUUUAAUACUAGUACAUAAAAAAAUUUAUUUAUGUUUAUUUCCUUAAAUCCAAAUAAUAUGCUUAUAAAACCAAUAGCUUCAAUUCUUUGAAAUGUAUUGUCAAUUAUAAUAAUAUUCCAUCUAUGUAGAUUUUGAUUUACUAAUAUUAUGUUUUCUCUCUAUUCAAUGACAUGACUUAUGGCUUUUUAGUCUAUGUACCAAUUUGUAUCUUAAUAAUUAACAAAGGCUCCUGAGUAUAUUUACCAAUUUGUAUCUUAGUAAUCAACAAAGGCUCAUAUUGUACUAGUAUCUACAAAGUUUACAUGAUAAUUGUUUUUAUAAAAGCUAUUACUUUCAAUGUAAUCUACUAUAUAAUAAAGAUCUUAUUCUUUUCUUAGAUCCAUAACCUUAUUUUACAAUAGAAGUUUGUUUAACACCAAAAAAUUACAAAAUCAUGGCAUUGUGGGAUUUAAGAGCUUUAACUUAUUUUAUAGACAAAGACUUUGUAAAAAAAUAAGAUAUAUCCUUAGUUAAAAAAUUCAAACUUAUACAUGUAGAAAUAAUAGAUGGUUGUUCAUUGUCUUUUGAGGAUACUAUAUAUAAAAAAUUUCUUAUAGAAAUAGCAAGUAGUAGUCAUAAUAGUUUAGUGAUAUUUAAUGUGAUUUGAUUUUUUUAAUUUAAUUAUUUUAAAAUUAUUCGGAUUAGAAAGAUAUAACUUUCAAAUAGACUAGAUUUCUUGUAAUCUUGAUUUUUUCCAUAGUUUAGCUUAAGAUUUUGCUAGGCAAGUAGAAACCUAUAAAAUUGAUAUAUCCAAACUAUUAUUAGUAGGUGCAAGAAUUUUAUGCAUGUUGCAAAAGAAGAGUCAACUUUUGUUAUAUACUCUACACCUAUUGUUAAUGGAGAAAAUAUUUUAAGUGGCAUUCUAAGCCGAUACCAAGUUUAUCAAGAUAUUUUUGAAAUAAAAAUAUAAAUAUUUCUUUACAACAUUGUCCUUGUGAUUGAUCCAUUGAUCUUCAAGAAAAAGCUCAACUACUAUUUGGAUCAAUCUAUAGCCUAUCACCAAAUGAGUUGGCUACAUUCAAGGAAUACAUUAAUAAAAAUUUGGCUAAGAACAUUAUAUGCUAUUUUAAAUCUCCAACUAGAACUCCUAUCUUAUUUGUAAAAAAAAAGAUGGAUCUCUAUGGAUGUAUAUGAACUAUCAAAGAGUCAAUAAGAUCACCAUCAAAAAUAGGUACCUUCUCGUUUUGAUUUGAAGACUUCUUGAUUAAAUAAAUCAAGCAAAGAUCUAUACAAAAAUAGAUCGACAAGGAGCAUACAAUCUACUACACAUUAAAGAAAGAAAUGAAUGAAAAAUUACAUUUCAAAUCACGUAUGGACAUUUCAAAUAUAAUGUCAUACCUUUUAGACUCACAAAUGCACCAAGUGCUUUUCAACAUCUAAUAAAUAAUGUCUUUUGUGAGUUUCUUAAAAUUUUUAUUAUUUGUUAUUUAGAAAAUAUCUUGAUCUACUCUAAAAACAUAGAAAAGCAUGAACUUCAUGUUUGUGGUAUAUUAUAAUAACUAAGAGAUAUAGGAUUAUAUGCCAAGAUAGAAAUAUAUAUAUAUUUUACACUAUUUAAGUUGAUUUUUUAGGAUACAUCAUUUUAAAUGAUGGUCUUAUGAUGGAUCUCAAGAAGGUCCAAACUAUCAUAGAUUGGAAGAUCCUAAAAAUAAUCAAAGAUAUGUAAUAUUUUGUGGAAUUUACUAAUUAAUAUCAGAUCUUUAUUAAGAUUUUUUUUUAUGUUGCAACUCUUUUUAUAUGCUUGACAUGUAAAGACAAACUUGAGUGGAUCAAAGAAAAUAAAAAAUAUUUUGAAGCUUUGAAGACAACAUUUAUUUCUACAUCAAUCUUCUAUUGCAUUGAAUUUUUGAAGGCAUUCUUUAUAGAAACAAAUGCAUCAAACUUUGUUAUAGUGUUGUUUUGUCAUAAAUGGGAGCAGAUGACAAGCUCCAUUUAAUAGCUUUUUAUUCUAAGAAAUUUUUAGCAACUGAGAUUAACUAUGAAAUCCAUGACAAAGAAUUUCUUACAAUUGUGGAUUCAUUUCAAAAAUAGCAUCAUUAUCAAGAAAGUACUUUUAGUCCAAUCACUAUGUAUACAAAUAACAAGAAUCUUAAGUAUUUCAUGUCAACAUGUGUUUUGAAUCAUCGCUAAGCCCAUUGGAACAUGUUUUUAUUAAAAUUUGAAUUUAAGAUCACUUAUUGGUCCAAAAAAUAAAAAAAUUUGUUAAAUGCCCUCUUUAGACAUUCUUAUCUUACAUCAAAAGAAGGAGAUGCAGCUUUUAAUCAACAAAGAAUAAUUCUCUUGAAGCUAGUGUAUUUUUAUCUUUAAGUAAUAAAAUCAAUAUUCAUUGUUGAUUCAAUAUUUUUUAGGUAAAUCCAAUUAAGAUAUGUCCUCUGAUCUUCUUAUUCAUGAUAUCAAGAAUAAUUCUUCUAAGUCUCAUAAUACUUCCAAUUUCAAGUUUAAAAAUAAUCUACUCUAUUUUCAAUGACAAUUAUAUACUUCAAAAAGACAAGCAUGAUUACAUAUUCUUUAAAUUUAUCAUGACUUUUUAGUAGCUAGAUAUUUUGGAUAGAAUAAGAUUAUGGAAUUAAUAUCGAGAGAUUUUUGGUCUCUUCAAAUAUAAAAAGUAGUUAAAGACUUUGUACAAUCAUGUGAUAUUUAUUGAAGAUCAAAAACUCCUAAUCAUUGAUCUUAUGGACUUCUCUAAUCAUUACUUAUUUUGGAACAAUUAUGGUCUUCUCUUUCUAUGCAUUUUAUUAUAGAUCUUCAAAUCUUAGAUUUGUGUAAUUUUAUAUUUGCAAUAAUAGAUCAUUUUACUAAGAUGGUAUAUUUUGUACCAUAUACAAAAUCUAUUAUAGGUAAAAAAUAAAAAAAAAAAAAAAAAUGGCUAUGCUUUUGCUUGACAACAGCUAUUGUUAUUAUGGAUUGCUCAAAGAUAUUAUAUUGGAUAGGUGGACUUAAUUUGUAUCAAGAUUCUAAAAAUUCUUUUUUAAGAUUUUAAAGGUGGAUAUAAAGUUCUCUUCAAUUUUCCAUCCUCAAAUUAAUAGACAAACGGAAUGGAUGAAUCAAGUUUUGAAGUAGUAUUUGAGGUGUAUCAUCAACUAUUAUCAAGAUGAUUACUUAAUUCUUUUGUCAUUGGUAGAAUUUCUAUAUAAUAAUUUGAUAUAUUUUUUUAUUCAAUAAAUACUUUUUUUGCCAAUUAUGAUUAUCAUCCACACCUUGAUACUUUUGUCUUUUUAAAAGUUGAUAAUCCUAUGGCAAAAGAUUUGGCCAUUUAUUUGUCAAAACUUCAUGGAAUAAUAAAGGCGUAAUUAAAAGAAGUUCAAGAACAACAAAAGAGUAAUGCAGAUGCCUAUCACAAAAAACAACCACAAUUCAAUGUGGAUGACAAAGUAUAGGUACUUUGUUGCAAUAUCAAAACUACUUGUCUUUGUGACAAGUUAGACUAUCGUAGGCUUAGACCUUUUCUUAUUUGUAAACAAGUCAAUCUUGUUACUUAUCAAUUACAUCUAUCAAAGUCUAUAAAGAUCUAUCUCGUAUUCCAUGUGUCUCUUCUUGAGCCAUAUAAAACAAUGAAUAUCUCAAAAAAAAGACAAAUUCUACUUCUACUUAUAGAAAUAGAUAUUAAUCAAGAAUUUGAGGUGGAAGUAGUUUUAGAUUCAAGGCAAUGCCAAAAUAGAUUAAAAUAUCUUAUUUCUUGACAAGGAUAUGGUAUUAGUAAAUGCAUAUGGAAAUCAACAAAAAAAUCUUAUAAAUGCAAGAAAGAAGAUUGAAGCUUUUUAUCAAUGAUAUCCAUCAAAAUUAAGAUAAAGAAUACCAAAUCUUUACUAUUAUAAGAAUAAGAUUUUUUUAAAAUAUUCUAUCUUUUAUUCUUAUUUGUAACUUUAUAUAUUUGUGACUCUAAAGAAAUAGAGAAUCAACAAGUAGUAGAUUCAAGACAAGAGCAAUUAUUUAUUGACUUAUCAAAUAAGAUAUUAUGAUUGUCACAACUUUCAAGACCACGUAAUCAAGAUGAAGAUCCUCAAGAAUAAUAUGUUCUUCCUCAAAUAACAUAUAACAUGUUUGAUAUUAUGACCUUGAAAGAGACUCCUAAUGUUUAGUGAUUUUAUUAGAGAUAGAAACAACUCUUAAUAGUGUUUCAAAUGUUUUAUUUGAAAAGAGUUAUGAAGGCUUCAAUAAUAAUCAAAUAACAGGAUGGUCUAUUUGCCCUAGUAUGGGACACAAUCAAUUGCUAAGAGGACCUAUCAACCAUCUUUAAAGAGAACAAGGAUCAAAGUAUGUGGCAAAUAUAAUUUGUCAUAUCUUGGAUUUUCUUAACAUAUAAUGACCAUUCUUUGUAGAAUUUGUUUCUAAAAGAUGGAAUAAUAUCACAAACAUAUGUAUUUAUUUUAAUAUAUAUAUCUAUAUGAUUAAUUAGAAGUAGAUAAAAGUAGAUUUAUUUCAUAAUAUUUCCUAGAAAAGGUUCUUAGAAGCUUCAUAAUUACUACUUUGAUUUUACAUGUAUUUGUAGUUAAUUGGUAGAUUAGAAACUUUGUCAAUAAAUUAACCAUAUGUUAAUAGCUUAUAGAAUAAUCUAAUUAUGUGGCGCACAUAUAGAAAACUUGCCUUACAAGUUAAGAUAUGUAUCUUGCAAAGUCAAUACGUUUUGGAGGUCUUAUAAGACCACCACGUAGCUCCUAAUUAAGAGUAUAUAUGGAUUUAAGAAUGAAGCUUUCUUUACUCUUGUUAAUGCCUUUCUAGUCCUUGGUCUUAUUUCAAGGCUUUUUAGUCUUUUUGUUUAUGGCAAUAGCCAUUUUAGUUUGAUAUUAUAUCAUCUUUGAGUGAUUUUUGAGUCUUUUUUACUGACACAAGAGUGUAUUGACAUUUUAGUUCUUUGAGGUUCAUGUCCUUGACAAUAUACAAUGUUUUGGUAUAAAUGAGAUGUAUUUAUAAAUAUUCACCAUUAAAAAAAAAGUAGUAAAAAAAAUACAUGAUUUUAAUAAUAUAUACAAGUAUAUAUUUGAUUUAAAUUUCAAAAAAUGUUGAUUUGAGAAUGGAUUUACACUUAUUACAUUUAAGGCAUUUUUUAUGUCAUUUAGAGCAAAUACACUUUGAAUCAAAAAAGAAAAAAAAAUACUACAUCUAAACAAAAAAUAAACACACUUAAAAUUAUGUAGUUGAAUAUUAAUUUCAAAAGAAACGUUUAUUUUUCCUACUCUCCAUUCUUCAGCCUUUCAAUUAACAUUGAACGCUUGAAUACAAGGUUAUUGUGUAGUUUCUUUUUUUUCUUUUUUUAUCAAGGAAGUUAGAUUUUUUACUUUCAUUACUCUUAGUUCCCAUGUUUGGAAUCCUCGAUCCAAAACUAAAACCACUUGGGCUGCCGGCAAACGAAAAGGGUGACAAAAUUUGACAUCGAGAAAUCUGCGCAGGUUUAGUACAAUUUCAUGGUCUCACCAGCCAAAUUUGAUCUCAUUGUAUGGUGAUUGCAACCACACGACCACCCACGAAUGAGGUCAGCAGCUUUUUCAACUCCGAGCUCGGCAAUGAAAGACGACGCCGGACUACUACGAGAUGCCGAAUAUAUAUAUUAUAUAUUUGACGUUCGCCAUUCAUUCAUUCAUCUAACUCACCGACGCUGCCAACAUUCAAUCACUAAUAUGGGAAGAGCUGUAGAUUCCGUUGCAACAAUACAGUGACAGGGAGGAGCGUUGGAUGAUAUGGGCCAAUCAAUCGAACUAUGUGCGUGAUGCACGCACCUGGUGAUUUGAUCGAUCAAGUUCCAGAUUAAUAUCACUGCGAACUGCUGGCCCACACACGGCAGGCAGGCAACACUGCUUCAUCAAAUCUUACACUGCUUGCUUUGUAAUCUCAACUUCCGUUAAUCUGCAACCCACCUCGUCAAAGAACCUGGUCUUGCACGUUUCAAUCUUGCUCUCGAACCCAUCGGAUUCAUAGGUCUACACAUGUUUUUCAUGCUGCAAGAGAGAGAGUCCCCCGUUUGUCGCCAUCGAAACAACGUCCUCGAAACGCUAGCUUACCACCCCACAAAUUCAUGCGAUGAAGAAGACCCAACAAUUGUUGUAGAUCCUAAUUGGGUCGCGUUUGACAGAUUCUUCCGUCAUUCAUCUAACGUCGCAUCUUGACGGGCCCGGUUGUUAUAAGAUGGCAAGGAUUUUGUUGAAUUUUAUUUUUAUUUUUAUUUUAUAUGUAUCAGAAUGUUUCUACAGAGUGAUCUUGAUGGUGUGAACGCAGAAUCCCACUAAUCCAUUAUUAUUCAGUUCUUGAGAAUUCUAAAGUUGUAAUUUGUUUCAUUUGAACAAUUUAGAAGGAAUGGAACAAAGCAAAGUUUGCAAGUUGUGUUACCAUUUAAGUAUUUUUUUUAAAGUUUCAAUUAGAGUUUUGGAAUUGAAGGUAGCUUUUAGGAAAGAAAAGACAUGUGUAGGGCAUUUCAAGUUCUUUGAAGCUUUGUUUUGUCAAAGGAUACGAGCUUGGAAAUAAUAGAUUCUUUUCAACUAGUUUGGGUUCAUUUGAAAUUACCAUUUAUAUUUAAUACAUGGAAAAAUAAAAAUAAAAAAUGUGAGGAAUUAGUUAAUAAAAUUAUUCAUCUGACAAAAUCAAUAAUAGGUUUAUAUGAUGAAUAAAAAUAUAUUUAACUUCUUACUUUUUUGAUGUUCCAUCUGUGUUGUUGUUUUUAUUAUUUUUCCAUAUUUCAAGACCAAGUAUAAUUUAUAAUUGUAAUACAUUUUUAUUUAUUAUCAACAUGUCUAAAGUUCUACUAGCAUAUGUAAUAAGUUAUUUAACUUGUGAUAUUAUCAAUAUAUACCAAAAUAAUAAUAAUAAUAAUAAUAAUAAUAAUAAAAUGAUAUGAUUUUAAAGUACAUGUACAUUCUAUAAUAAAAAUUCAUAGUAAUUUAGUUGAAACAUUAGCAGAUUGGGUUUUGCUAAUACUAGCACAAACUAUCCUAAACUUGUGUUGCAUACUACAAUAUAUUUUAAGGAGCACUAAAAUAUACAUCUACAAAGAAUGUGUAUCUUAUCCAUUGUGGUGUGAAUAAGCAAUAUUCCAUAAAGUGCAUUGUGAUAUGCAACACAAUUUUGGAAAGCUUAUGGUGGCAUUAGCAACAUCCUAAUGUAUUACCAAAUAAAUUUAUAUUCUAAAAAAUAUUUAUAGAUAUUAAUCCUCAUAAUACCACCAAAAACAUUACUAAAAUACAAAAGCUUGUAAACAUUAAUUUUAAAUUUAAAUAUAUUUUUAUUCAUCAUAAUUUAUAUUGUAUCUAAACAACUAUGUUUUGAGUUUCAAUUAUCUAAAAAUAGAAAUAAAUCAUUGAAAAAAACAUAUUAUUUUAAUGCAUCUUGUUGUCUUUAUUAUUACAUUCUUCCAUGAACGUCUUUAAAAUAAAAAAACGUGGUUCCAGUACCCAGUAACUCAGAAGCUCAAAAAUCUUCCACUUUCAAAGCCACUAUAAAUUUUCUAGAAAACAUUGAGUACCAUAGUUAAUUAUUCUUUAGUUUCAUCCUAUGAGAGAGGCAAGUAGCCUUUGGAUGGAUGUACAUCCAUCCAUUCAGAAACAUUCGCAGCAUACAUCCUUUUUACAGGAGGUAACAACGAUAUUACAACGACGUAAUUAAUUAUUUACCCUGACGAGGUUUUUGAGCCGUGGUCGUGUGUUUCCAGGGACCCUUGCUAGAGAGACGAUGUGGCCUCUGGCUAUGUCGUCUCCCGACCUUGAGCCUGCUCUCGCAAUCGUCGAAUUUCGUCGUGUUCUCACUCCCUGCUUCACGCGACCGGGGUAGUUCCACUCUGCGUCAGAUUAGGUUUCGAUUGCAUCAUUUCUCGGCGUUUUUGGUGAAGUAUAGCGUUGGAUCUAGAGCGUAUAGGACGACCUACGUGUGCGGUGGCGUUCUCGCGGAGAGGUGGUGUGAAGCGAGCAUUACAAUAUUGUUGGAUGUGUUGCGAUCUCAGCGUUUUUUCGGUUUUUUUGUUUUUUUCUUUGUUUGUUUGAAUAGAAGUUUUGUUACAUAAAUGAAAAUCUUGCUGUUCUUGUAUAGCGAAUAGGGGCUUCCUCCUUUUGCACCCGAUCGCGUCAAUAAGCUGAUAUUAGUGUCAGGAUUUUGAGUCUCUAUUUGAUUCUUAGUCUCUGCUCUUUUUCUUUUUCUUUUUUCUUUUUGACUCGCUGCGAGGUUUUCGUUAAAAUGUGGAACAUUCACUUGCUUCAGGGCCAAACUUACCGGACAAUGCACAUUCUGCUUGAGAUGCAGGUGUGCCUGCAAGGGGAGAUUAGGUUACUGCACUGUCGGAGCUUUUUUUUGAGCUGGUAAGUGAUUUCGAUGCGAUCGCAUGACUUGGUGAUCUAAAGGGGGGGGUUUCACGAUGAUUAUUCUGCCGGAUUUGCAGUGGAGAAUGUGAGUGAUGAUAGUAAAAAUGAUUCAAUUAGUUGUGUCAUAGUAAUUAUUAUGACUGGACUUGCCACAAUCGGCCCUCACUAAUGCUACAAAGCAUUUGUAAAACCACACGAUGAUGUGACUAUGAGCUGCGAACUUGUUUUUCUCUACACAAUACCUCCGAACUGAACUGUCGACUCCUGCCUAUCGAGUUGAAGCUUCCUAGCAUGAAGCCGUUUGAAGGUUGCAUCGUUUUGUGCCUCUUUGUAUCCGAAUUUGAUUCAGGGUUAAGGUUUUUGUCCAGGUCGAUCAUUUCAUUCAGUUGUAGUGGGGCAUUUAGAUGACAGAAUUGGACAUCGAGAUACAGAACCUCCUCAGUCUUUUGAGUGAUGUAAUGGCCUCCUACAAUGAAAUUGUGGGAUGUUUGCUGUUGCUUCCUUCAUUCUCAUUAGAUCCCAAUCCUGUGCUCCUGUUUUUUCGCAGAUGGACUGAUUGCGUCAGCUGUGAGGAAAUCUACUCAACAUGGAACCUGUCGGAGACACAGUUGUGAAGCCUAGCCAUGCAGAGGCUUUUGCGGCCCUCAUGGAACCCGGCAACGGCGACCCGGGAUACAUCUCGAUGCGUCGUCUGUUACUCUAUAGAAAAGCUCUCUCUAACAAGCUUGUUCGGCAGAAGUGGGAGCUGAAUGGAAACGGAUAUGUCGCCUUCCAUGACUACAUACGCCAAUUAAAGAGGCUCCAGAAUUCUCAAAACUCGCAACCUGCUAGCCCAACCAGCACACAGGCUGCCCUCGACAGUGGCCCCUGGGCAGCUUACGAGAGAGGAAGCUGGAGCUCCAGUAGAGGCGGGUCAAUGAGCGAGUCUGGGGCUCAAGAGAUCCCAUCCGAACCCGGCUACUCCUUCGUGGGCAUGCAUUGCGUUUUUGAUGAGUGCAAAGCCUCGGUGAACAUAGUAAAAUUUGGACAUAUGAGCUCUGAUCUUCUGGCAUAUGGUGCUUCUAACGGUCUCAUAACCGUAUGCAGUGUUCCACAGAUCCUGCACCGAAUGACUGGGCACACUAAGGAAGUGACAGACAUCGACUGGUCGUCGAAUAAUCAGUAUUUGAGUUCCUCGUCACUGGAUAAGAGUGUACGAGUUUGGGAUGUUCAGAAAGGAAUGUGCCUUAGGGUAAUCUACGGCACAGCUCCCCAGCUCUGCAUUAGAUUCCAUCCUGUAAAUAAUAACAUUCUUAUCGUGGGGAAUGGAAACAAAGAGAUAACGGUAUUCAACUUCAGCACGGGGCGCUUGAUUCAUAAGCUGGCGCUCGACAGCAACGUUACAGCUCUGGAUGUCGACCAUUCGGGCGCCAUCCUGUUUGCUGGAGAUGCGAGGGGGACUGUCCACAGCGUGACCAUAAAGAUGCACCACGGCAACUUUGUCAUGCGGAGCACUCAUCGAUCCAGCUUGAAAGGGCUGAUGCACAAAUCCGCCACUACAACGAUACAGUUCCGAACUUUCUCGCGGCUAGCAGCUGGGCCAGUGCUGUUGGCUGCGACGCAAGAUGGCCUACUUCGGUUCUUCAGCGUGGCUCUUCAAAUCGAAGGCUACCUUUCGCUUAAAUGCUCUCUGCAGCUGCCACCAAGAGCCAGAAACAUUCGAGCAUCUUUCUGUCCGCUGCUCUCGCUUCAAAAAGGUGAGUUUAUUGUGUCUGGACACGAAGAUUCAAAUGUCUACUUUUAUGACUUCACUCGUCCCAGGCACCCUUGUGUGAACAAGCUGCAAGGACAUGCUGUGCCUGUUGUUGGGGUGUCUUGGAAUCACGGCGAAAAUUUGCUAGCGUCCUCCGACUGUGAAGGUUUAGUAAUUGUAUGGAAACGAGCCAAAAUCGCCGGCAGAUAACAUGUCUCAAUUGCUCAUACAAAUUACCAUGUUCUGGCUGGUUAUGCUCGUCAUUAUCUUAUUGUUCAAUAAGUGCAGAAUUUGACGACUUGCUUACAUAUUAUUCAUUGCUGUUAUUCAUGGGCGAGCAAUUUCACACUUGCAGCACUGUUCAUACGUGCAAUUAGUAUAGAGCUAGUCGCCGAUAACGGUCAGGAGCGCUGUUGACAGCUUCAGUUGGCAGUACCUUUAAAAUUUUCAUCUUAUAGGGGUCAGUGGUCACUGUUCCUCUAAUUGACUGUUGAAAUUGUAAUAUAGUGGGAUUGAAGAUAUGGAAGUCUUGUUACUGUAGUGUAUGAAUGGAUCAUGAAAUUAGAAAAAAAAAAUUAAGUAUAAUAUCAUAAAAUCAGAAAACACAAGCACUUGUUGAAAAAAAACUACAUGGGAAAGUGGCGUUUCUUUGAACGCAGAAUGUAUGAUAAUCAUCAGAAAAAAAAUUUAAAAAUAAAAUAACAAAAAAACAAAAAAAGAAGCCUCAAGCAGCAAAAAUCAGCGGUGGUACGUCGAGAUCCAUAGCGAUCAGAUAUCCUAUUGACAAGGUUAAAAUGAGCAUAACUAACUCAACCUUCAUUUCUUUUAAGCAGAAGAGAACUAACCAAGUAAAUUCGCAUAAACUUACCUCACCAUCAAUUAUGGCGAAGUGUCCGAUACCAUUAACCAUGAACUACAUAAAGAUAUGAGAUAUGAUAGCCCAGUUGGUAAAUUAGCCUAGUACACUGUGGUCUUGGCCUAAAUAGAAGUCCCGCAUGCCAAGACCAGCGUAAAUUACACUAUAAUAUAGACUCAGCAAGCUACCCAUCAUGACAUAUGUUGCACCUGUGAAGUUGCUCAGAGACGCAGUUAGAAAACUAUCCCCAAUUUGGAUCAAAGCACAACUGAGCGUCGGCAAAACUCUCAUCCCUGUUUCACCACAUGCAUCCCCAAGGAUUCUUUGGAAAGGAAGGACCUUCCUCAACACUCAAAAGAACCUCAGACUGAGGUAUUCUAAAUUAUAGUUACUAGCCACGUAAAGCUUCUUGUCCAGAGAACAGAAAGUGAUUCGCUUGAGUUGAGAAAGCUGAAUCUCAAGCGUUGCACCGAGAUUGGACUCGAGAAUGAUGUAAAGCGAUAUAUUUGCAACUGUCGUCUAGGAUGCAGGAACAGCACAGCUUCAUGAAUUAGUGGCGUAUCUCAGACACUGCAAAUGAUUAUCAGCCUGAAAAUCGCUUCAAUAGUGCUUCACCGCAUCCACCAGCUAGUUCACUAGUUCAUGAGUUCGGUUGAACAAAUCUGGAGUCAGAUAAUGGACGAAGUUUUUUCGUUCUAGACUGAAAGCACUCAAAGAACGAUGCAGCUUUCGGAAGCCGACCACAUCCGUUCAUCCCUUGGUGCCACUCCUUAAGGUUGCUGCAAUGCUCGACACCAGAUAACGGACUUGAAAGUGAAAGUUUAAAAGGGUCAUCGAUUGUAAAAAGUAUUGAAUUUGUGGCUUUUCUCCGCGCUGUCUGGAUUUUCCGGCUGCUGAGAUCAAGUGCAUUCUUGGGAGAAGGUAGAAUAGCGAGCUCCUUCACCUCUGAUUGCGUCGCACUCGUUUCAAAAGUAGCUGUAGACAGCAGGUCCUUCAGCGUUUCUGAGGACCUGCACAUCACUGUGUCAUGUAAAUCGAACUUAAGUGAUCCUCCGUCCAUUUGAUGUAUGUGUCUGCUAGAUAACAUUGUGCUGAGCGGGGAGCGGAUAGUCAGGCACGGAGUUGACUGAUGGAAUGAAGCAGCCCGACACUGACGCUGCACUUCAAGAGCCUCACAAAGGGCUUCAUUCGAUGUGACAAUGCUCAGAUCGAGGGACUCCAGAAGGCGACUCAGAUCAACCCCACUCGUCCAAUUCUCCGGCUCCUUCCACUUAUGAAGUUUUAGACGACCCUGUUGAGUGGUGCCACCCCAAACAACUCCAACCGGUCUUGGCUUCUCUCCAGCUUCCCCUCUUACCAAAAUCAGGCUCCCGGUGUCGCCUUCUAACUCAAAAGCAUUGUUGUCAUCACUCACAAUGAGGAAAUCGUUGAAAAAACAGUGCCCUUUGUCGUUGUUGUAUUCCAAUGCAUACGCCAAAAUGCAGCCUUCAGUGAAACCAGAGCUUCGGCCGACUUUGAUCACAUGCUUACCAAUCAGGCUGUUCAAUGGGGCCUGCAAGUCCACCGAUAUCACCUCCCCGAUUUCCCCCACGCUCUUCACAAAUGGACUUAUAAAGUUCCUUACAUCUAGAUUGCUAUCAAAUGGAAUGAAGGCACCAUCUGCCCGCACAAAUGAUUCAGGGUUCGUGCUGGCAAAAACGCCAUACCACAGAUCAUCCCGUAUGAAAGUCGUGGUGCGCUCCACUGCACCCAGGUACACUCCUGGUCCGAGAUGAGGAGGAAGGGGAUGGAACAACUUCUGGACGGGGUGAUCGAGACUCACGGCGACGUGUCGAUUCGUCAGAAAUCCAACCUGGCAGAGACCAGUUCGACUUCGAACUAUUGCACUGAGCGUACCAUAAAGCUCAAAGCAUGCAACCUGUGAGCCUGAUCCAAUAGUGGCGUCGCCACCUCGAAGACCCUCCACAAGAUCGGUGUAAACUGGAUCCUGAGGCCGCUGCGAACCCAAUAGUGAGAAUUCAACGACAUCCACAUCGCACCAUACCCCGCCCGGACCUUCAAGGAUCAAGGGAAGCUCCUGGGCCUCUUGUAGCCAGUGCCUGUGCACUUUGCGAGCAACGAAAACAAUAAUUGCUGGUAUGUCGGUCUGCACACCGCCGCGGAUGCGAAAACCCAGUGCGGUCCCCAGACUGAAGCAUCGUAAAGUUUUGCUGUGAAGGGCUCGGAUUGUCAUGAGAUCUAAUAGAGUGGCUGCUUGGUGGCCUCGUGGACGCUUCGAUGGACAUGACGUUUUCUUUUGUAAGCUGCUGAAGUGGGUGGCCCUUUGCUCCGCACGGCCAUUUUGUAACCGGGGUGUUGGCCAUACCUCAAAGCGCUCAUUGCCUUUAGGACCUCCAGUACAUUGUACAGCUGACCCUUUCGUAAGCUCUGACUCUUUUGCGGGUUCCGACUCUUUAGUGAGCACAGAUACAGAACCGUCGCCACUUGGAGACUCAUACUUAUCCAUGGCUCAUGCUGCGCUUGAGCACACACCGCUGCUUUUGCCUCUCGCCGUGAAGAACUCUACAGUUCAACCUCAUUGCCAGCCUUGAGUCCCAUACUGCUACCCAACAAAUUGAAUACAACAUAGAAUGUACUUUACCGCUGCCACUAUCUCGAAGCAUCUACGUAUUGAAACGGAAAGACUUGAGCAGGUGUGAGCCCCAUACCUCCAUGACCUGCACUGGAAGCCUCGCCUUACUGACAAAGGGGUAUUGUAGACGUCCUGAUGCUUGCAUACAGCAAUAUAAUUCUAAUCUACAUGGUCAGAUGACUGCGAAUUUAGAUCAUACAAACUAUAAUCCUCAAGCUACGACCAUACCAUCAAGUUGGAGCAGAACAAUACGCAUUGUACACAGAUUAUGAUUCGCAAAAUAGCACAUGCUGUGUUUGAGUACAGCAUCGAAUAAAAUGGUGUUUCAUUUGAAUGCAUCCGUCCUUUGCGACCAUUCUCUACCUGCGAGACACAGAUGACCAGGCUCUUAUCAGCGCUGAGUACCACGCGCACCACGAUUGAAGAAAAUUGAAGGAAAAUAGCUUAUCCUGGAACCCUAAACUCAAGGAGCCUACAUCCCAUAAAUCGGAGCUGAAGGGUCGAACUUCAGGAUUGGACAACCAGUAUUGGCAGUAAACGCCUGUACAGUGUUAGAGGUUCCACGAAAGAGUCUCGAAUACACACCAAAUGUUCCAACGCUGCAGACCAAAGCCCAGACACUUACUCUCCUUAUGCAAUAUCAAGCCAUCGACCAAUCCACAUCCACACUUUCUACCGUAUCAUAGAAGUGACCACGAAAAUCUUUGAAGGGAAAGACAAAAGGAUAAACACGAAAAAGCUAUGUAAAAAAGAGCAACUGGAAGGUUCAUUCAAAUCUAAUCGUUCCUGCAGAAUACACCAACUCAGUCCGUAACCUGUGAGCUGGAUGCUCUUUAUGCAAAUGGCGCCCAAAUGGCCACCCACCACAACCAUAGCAUCCGUCUAAAACAACAAAAAAGGACCAACUGGAUAUCCCGCCCUAUAGCACGUAGGAAGAACGCCAUAAAACAUCGUCGAACUGCUGGACGAAAGUUGAACUCGUGCCACUCAAUCCUUCAAACUGAGGAGGAGGGGGGAGGGGGAGUGGGAGAGAAAGAGGGAAAAAAAAAAAAAAAAAAAAAAAAAAAACACACACACACACACAUCUGUCACGCAGACUUUAUCACUAAAGUGAGCAAACCAAUGCUCCAUGUCCACAGCUCACUACUCUCAACCGAAGCGUCACUGAGGCAACAGCAAGGGAAGCCGAUUACCUCCGAAACACCAUCAUACCCCAACAGCAACAACGCCGCUCUCGCCCACCCAACCAUCCCCUCCCCCCACAUACCGUCCCGCCGAAUACUCGCCUCAGCACCAAACAACCAAGCGCCCCGCUCAAUUACACCCCCGACCCACACACACCCAUUCCUCUAUAUCCCACCCAACCCCGAAAACCCGAGCCCGAGCGAAUGCGUCCCACCUCACGAGCUGGGAAACAUACUCCCUCUUCCCUGCUCGCGCGUCACAAAUUCGGAACCAACGCACACCACCAACCCCAAGGAAAAAUAACCACACCACACGCCCACAUACCUGUCCUCCCCUAGCAGACUCACGGGAAGCCUGUGCAUUUCCCUCAUCCCCCGAUGAUAGACAAUUGCCUCCCCACAACAGUAGAUAGCGGUGCACAACACAAGCCAAAGGUAGGAAGCAAGAGAAGAAGAGCAAGCAAGAGAUUGCAAGAGCGAGAGAGAAAGAGAGAAAAGAAGGAAGGAAGCAAGAACAGACACAGUGUGGAAGAGAGAUCGAGAUGCACCACCACCACCACCGAGGAGUAGGGAGGAGGAGGACGAAGAGGAGGAAGAGAAGGAGGGCUGUGAGCGAGCGUCGCGUCCGCACGGGGGCCUCAGCAGCGCCGCGAUAACGCUCCGCCCAGCCUCUUGCAGCAGGCAGAAAUUCUCACUCACACUCUUGCAGGCAGAGCAGGGCAGGCACCACCACUCUCCUCUACAGCGAACUGGCGAACGAGCGAACGAAGACUCACUCGCACAGCCAGCCAGCCAGGCACCACCACUCUCUCUAGAGCGAACGAACGAUCGAACGAAGACUGACGCCAAGCCAGCCAGCCACGCCAAGCCGAAGCCAAACCAAGACCAGCCAAGACCACAGCCAAGACAGAACCAGAGCCAGCCCAGCAAGCGAGAAGAAAGAGAGAAGAGAGAGAAACUAGAAAGAGAUAGAGUAGAGAGAGAGAGAGAGAUUGGGGCAGGGUCGGGCAGCAGCGGGAUGAGUGGGUAGGGCAGCAGGGAGGUCCGAGGAAUCGCGGGUGGGCGGCCCGGUGACACAAAUAUAUGUACAUACAUAUAUCUAUAAAGGUGUGUGCGAGUGUGUGUUGUUUAGACGAAAUACCGGGGAAGUUGGGGGAGAGAGGAGGGGUAGGGGAACGGUGGUGCGCGGAGGAUGGCGCUGUUCGCAUCGCUGCUAUUUUGCGUUCCCGUGCGCGUUCCCUUCCCGCCUGGCUAGGGUGCCUGCACCCUGACACUUUAGCCAUCCUCCACUAGGGUGGCGCGCUUUUUGGUUCCCUUUUGUACGUUCACACCUAGGGAACGAGGCCCUUUUUUUACUUUAUUCCCAAAAGGUGAAAAGGUGAUUGAGGGGGGUGGGGAAAAAGAAAAAGCGACGUUUAGAAAUGGGAACUUGUGCUUUUUUGGUGGUGAAGAUCUGACCCCUUUGAUAUGACAUUCUUGUCUUUGCUAAUCUAGCCAUCGUAAAAUUGUAAUUAAAAAAUACCAAAGUAUGUAUGAAAUUAACACAUUAUUAUGUUAAAAUAAUUAAUAUGGUUUAUAUAUAUAUAUAUAUAUAUAUAAACUUUGGCCCAUGUUUUCAUUGGAAGUCUUCAUUUAUUUUUGUUUUUAAUGUAAAAAUUUGUGAUUACAUGUAUAUUUCAAGAGCAUGUAACUAGACUAAGUGUGAAAUAAAUUCAAUGUAAGUGCUAUUUUGUAUGUCUUUUUUUUCUUAUUAACUCAUUUUUGAAGAAGUAAAAUUGCUAAAACAAAUGUAGGAUUUUCACAAUCUUUGAACAUCUUUGAUAUUCUAAUCUAAGACAAUUCCACUUUUGCGAAUGCACUUUUUUUUCAGAUAAGAAGCCAAUAUCUACUUUUAAUAUUUGGUGUCCAACGUUACAAUCGACCAAAUCGUUUACAUAAAAAUGUUGUAAGUUUGAGGUGCCAUUAAGUAACCCUUCUUCAAAAUCAUGACAUUGCCAACCUUCUCUGAAAAAAAAAACAAAAACAAAAACAAAACAAAACAAAAACUUGAACACCAAAAGUUUAAUUUGCUUUAGGCACCCAAAUUAUGUUACAACUUAAAAAUGUCAUAGUGUCUUAUAGAUAAUCACAAAGUGAAUUCUUUUUUGAUAACAUUGUAACAUGGGUGUUAUGUAGUUUAUGUUGACUAAUGCUCUGCAGAAAUGUAAAGAUGGUACAUAAUUGAUGAGUAUCGUUCCAUAGCGAGAGAUUAAACUGCAAAAGUUUUGUUUCGGAUUAGGCAAUAAUACCCUCAAAAACCACCUCUCCAACAUUCAACAAACAAUUUUAAAGAGAAGAUUUGUAUUCGUAAUUGGCAGUUGGUGGCACCACUUGAUCACAAUUUAUGGAGCUUCAAUCAACCAAUAAUUCAGACUUGUGCUGCUUUUAAGGCUUGUUUUGAUUGACUGAUCGACGACGACUCCUCGUACCUCUCGAUUCCAUCUUGUCAUCGCCAUAGCCAGCGAUCUGUGCAGCCCAAAAUCGAUGCUGAAUACUUAAUGCGACUCAGCAAAGGAAUCGCGAGGGGCAUGGAGGGGCCCGAUUCCUGGUGAGUGAAUAAGUGAGUGAGUUGCAAUCGUUUCUUCUCGAGAUGCCGAUGAUAACUGCCGUUGAUGAGUGGGGAGGCAUUGAUUUUUGCCUUUUACUGCUCACACUUCAAUACAAGAUCUGGGAGGUAUGUUGCAGAAACUUCUGCAAAGACCGUUGCGAAGACCAGCUUCUGGAAGCCUCCCGGUGUUUGAACGGGGUCGAUGAGAGCUUGAGGCUUGCCAAUCGUUGUCGAAAUCGACCUGGAGAGCUAAAGUACGAUUAAUGCUGUGGUUCAUGGACUAGCAACAGCAGCUGUUGUUUUACAACAUCCAUGUGCUGAUUAGUGAGCUUCCUUCCCGAGUCUGCGAGAAUAUAUAUCCCUAGAGGUUGACUGGGUAGUGGUUGUUGCGACCGUGAUCAGCGUCUUUUCUCCUCCUGAAAUUGGGAUUUUGUGAUUGUGGGUUGAGAAAACAUGGAGUCAUUGUUGCAGCAAUUGCAUGCUCUCUCUCUCUCUCUGAGGUACAAUGUGUGAUGGCUGGCUGUGUGCAGCGCUUCGACACAGGAAAGGUGGGGGGAUGGUGACAGCGUCGGAGAAGUCGGAGUUUUCAAAAUUGGGGGACCUCGUGAAUGGCGUUCGGAUUACUGCGCGAGCACGCCAUUUGUUCCUGGAGGUGAGAAAUACGAAAUACACAAAAAGUUGAUGCUAUGCGUGUUGGUUACAAGUAAGCCAGUUGAAGUGAAGAGUUGAUGCCGAUGAUACCUUCCGCGACCACGAUGGAGAGGGACCCUGAUAUUGCAACUCGACCACGUGCUUGGCUUUUUUCUCCACUGUGUCUGUACGACGGUAGCUCUUGUUGUACGCUACAAGACAUGAAAACAGUGUCUGGAUCUCCAAGUUUUGCAGAGAAUUUGUCGCAUCCAAGCUAACCUUUUGUGACGCUUAACAUUUUUAGUAAAUCCUUUUAUAUGUAUGUACAUAUAUAUAGAUAUAUAUAUAUAUAUAUAUAUAUAUAUAUUACCUGAUGAAAUAUUUUCUAUGCUGCAUAGAUAUUUAUCCACCUCCAGGACAGGGGCCACUCAAAAACUACCUUUAAAGUUGUAUCUUGUAAGUAGGGAGGAUGAAUGAGAUUAGUAGAUUUUUCGCUUGAUAAAUAUGUAUUAUUUUACAUGUGAUCACUUAUUUUGGUAGUACAAGGGUAAUGAACUUAAAUGAAGAUACUUGAAGCUACAAAGUAUCAACUUCCAAACUAAACAGUAUGGAAGGAUGUAUGCUUGGAUUCAAUGUUUAUACAAUUGAAGGAAUUGGUCUAGUCUAUAUUUUAUUAACAAAUUAAAAAUUAUUUUUUAUAAAAAAAUUAUGUAACAUUUUAAAUUUUUAUACAAACUCUAUCACUUAUCUACCUUCUUCAUCCUUUGGAUUUGAUAAUAUCGACCAGCAAAAUUAGAAUUUAAAGUGAAUCAAUUGGCUACCAAUUUUGAAGAGCCAAUUAUAAAAUACAAACAAUAUUUACAUCUCUGUCAAAAAAAAAUCCAGUGAGUCUUACUUUAUUUACAUACUUUUUCAACUUGAAUACUAUUUUUUCUAAUAAAAUGUAGAAAUUAUCAAAUUUAAAAUCUUACAAAAUCGGUAUUACAUCUAUGCUCAAUUCAAAGUAAAUAAAUAGAACGACUCAAAUUAUAAAGGAUAAAAUUAUAUUUCAUCUAUUUACUUAAAUACUUUUUGCAAAAUUUUGUUGAAAAACAUUUGAGGGAUAAAAUUGGCUAAAUAGACAAUGUAAUUUUUUUCAUAUCUUGGGGAGGUAGAACAUCCGUACUCUAAAAACAAUUCCAAGUUGAUUUCCCAUUCCAUGAAGGUCGCAGGUGGAUGGCAGUUCUCCCCUUGUGUAGCGCGAGAGAAGAGGUGAAUAUGGGUGGCGAAACCACGACCACGAAAAAAAGACAAAAACUUCUACAAUUGUUUCCACCAAAUCAGUAAAUUAGUUGUACACAAAUGUCGAUCUUCGACCUCCUAAAUUAUUUACCCAAACCAUAUGUAUGAUACAGCUCAUGCGUACAAAUUUUCUCAGGGAAAUGGCUUGUGUUCCUGCCAAGAAAUAUACACAUACAAACCUUUUCCAAGCCCCUUAAAAGCACUUGCAUAAAGUACCCCCAGAUCAUAGCCAUUAAUCAAUUAUUGCUGGCGUCUCCUUCGACCAUCUCCAUAUAACCCGGCAAACUGAUAUGCUGUGACGUCACUCAGAAGAGAAGCGUUGUUGUGGAAGCUAGCACACCACAGCAAGAACGGCAUAUCCCACCAAUAGUGAUAGUUCAGCGAGUUGUACAGCGCCAUCUUCCUUGCAAUGUCGCUCUUUUCAUUAGCCUGCCUCUCGAAUAUUACUGCACCUGUCGUCAUUUUACGCAAGGCAGCGGCCUUAGUAAAAGAAUGGACUGCUUACGACCAGCAAGACUGCAUUGAAAUGAUGUUCAGAACCGAUAAUGAAAUCUCUUAUGUGUGUAUAAUGUGUACAAAGCUAAAACAAACCAGGAUGACGUUACAAGUAUUGGAUAACUCUCAUAGCGAUGCGGUUUGUGUGACAUUACAUGACAAGACAUGAAAGGAGAAAGAUCUUGUCAUACCCCACUCAUUUCCAGUCGCUCGCGCCUUUCUACUUCCAGAUUUUGGUGUUUGAGGUCGACUUUUACCGAGCAUUUCAACGAGAGAGAGAGACGUAACUGUGGAGAUCAACACCACAAGAGGUACACUCUCUUCUGGCUUCACCUAAUGCAUCACCGACAGACUCCACGUUAGUAACUGCUGUAAAAUUUCUACAUGAAACUAUCUAGCAAAAACACUUCACCACGCACGAGAGAGGAAAACUCAAUAUUAAACACACACCGAUAUCUAUUCGUACCUCCAUAGCACCAGAACUUGUAUUGAAAAGGGCAGUAGCUUUGCCCGCUGGAGCAUCAGGAGUAUACCGAACUAGUGUUACAAAUCCAGCCUCCUCCUCCUCAGUUGAGCCAUUUACUUGAUAAUCUAACCGUUUUCCUGGAACUAAAGCUACCUGCCAAAAUUCCAGUGCAUUCUCAAUGCAAUUCCACAGCUUCCUGAAGUCACAAAUGACCUCAAAACUUAAUAACACGACAACAUUGCAUGCAUUCAAUCCUCAGCCUUGUCAAUCCUUGAAGAUUAAUAAUGAAAGACUAACUUCAGUCGCUAACGAGUAUUAUGCAUUUAAGUGCAUUAUAAGAAGCAAAACUAAUGACCAAAUCUUGGCAUGCACGAAGAAAUUAAUAGUUUUGAAGUGUAGGUUGAGUCUUACUGGGUGGCCAACUUUUCCUUCAAGACUGAGCUCGGGCCUCAAGUGCCACUGAUUGUCGUCGGCUCUCUUCCGGAUAGUUAGUUGGAUGCUGUUGUCAAACAAUUGCCAAUGUCUUGCAUUCGAUUUGCCUGAAUCUGAUUUAACUAGUGGUUGAGCUCGACCCAAGAGAGUACCUGCUAAUGAUAUACAAAACUUGAGUGAACACGAGUGAAGCCUUGAGGUACUGAAAAUGACGUUAGAUCUACAAAAACCGCUGCUUGUGAUUUUAUAGUUUAAAUCGAAGCUAAAAUUUCGCUGGGUAAAGAGUCGUCAAUGCGGCUAUGUUUUAGGAAGUCUCGCUAAGUUUCUUGAGUUUCUACAAAGCAUCUUCUACAGGUAAAGAAAAUUCGGACCUGAAUUCAUUUUCCUCUUUGUAAAUCUUGACUUCUUCUGUGCGCCUUGGAGCACCCGUACUUCUUGUAUCGAGGAUGGUCCUACUUUAAAUGAGCCUUCACUGUCAUAUCUAUAAAAACCACAUCAUAUUACUCGUUACAAGCCAAAAAAGGAAAACCCAAGAAAGUACAAUAUUCACCAACACGCAUUCUCCACUCUUUCUCCAUUAUGUCAAAUCAUAGCAAAGGCAAGAUCCACAGGAAGCGGAUAAGAAAAGUAUACUUACUGAAUGUGCAACAUAAGCCGCUCGUUGUCAGCAUGAUCAAAAACAUUCCUAAAUGAAUAAAAAGACCCCUCUUUCAAGACCCGGUCCUGAGAAACUUCAAGGGUCCGCAAUAAGUAUGGGGCUGCAACAGGUGGUGUGAUCGAAGCUGAAACGUGCAAUGAGGGCGGAGGCGAAGAUUUUCCUUUAGUCAAAGUGAACCAUUUCUUUACUGAUAAUGUCGGUGAAGACAACAAUGUAUCCCAUGUGAGGAUCAUCUCCCCAAGCAACUUUGAACAUGAUGAGAGGAUCCCGCUAGAGGUGGAACGAAGUUGAAGAAGCAGACCCUGUGUUGAGGUUUCAAACUUAAAUGUAUACAAUUGUCUCCAAACGGGGUCCGAGUACGUGGGUACUUCAUAUGUGUCCAACUUGAAGGAUGGACACCUCUGAAGGAGCUGGAUACGAACAAAUAGAGUAGGCCCUGCCUUCUUCACAGAAACAUCUCUAGCCCCAAGCAACGCCAAGCAGACCUGAAAAGACAUGCACACGACAUUCUUGCUUACUUAUAGAAUUGAACUCAAAAUCAAGAAGUAUUCAACAGAUACCGAAUAAAACAAUUGAUAGGUCAAAAAACAAACAACAACAAUAACAACAGUAAUAAUAAUAUGCCAAUUGGAAAUAACUCCAUACAAGAACAAAAAAUUAAGGAGAGCACUUAUAGAGCAAUGCUAAUGACAAACAAUGACUUAAAGCGGUGCUGACGCAGUGAAAAGAAAAAUAUGCACACGAGCACCAUAACUCACCUGAGCUAGAGAACUUCGCAUUAAAAGCCACUACUAUAUCCUAACAUGAGUAAAUUACAAGCUUCUGAAGGGAAUGCCAAAUUUCAAGUUAUGAUACAUUUCACAAUUGAAAUCACGCCAACAUACCUCCAGGUUGAGGAAAGCUUAGUUCAAGAAAAUUUCUCCAAAUGUGAAAUACAUCACAACACAAAAAGAAUAAACUGCAAGAAGAGGCACAUGUCCUAUACCUGGACAGUUUGUCUCUGAGUUAAAUAAGUACUCUGUUCGUGAACAUUCGACGAAACCGAUGCGUCAUUCAACGAAGCAUUUGAAUUCACAGGCAAUGGUUCAACGGGGACAGGCAAGUCUCCUCUCCACAUGCAUCCUGCCUUUGCGUAAAUUUCUCCGAAGGUUUCUUCCCAUAAUUCACAAGUGUCCUUAAAACCUGUGUUGAGUUUCUGACCAGGAUUUCGAUCACUGUCCGUAUCAUCGUGGUUCAAAACCUUGUUUAAAAUAGCCAUACAGUCCCGGUCGUAAGCGGACGGACACAGCUGGUGAGCAUGCCUGAACAUGUGCAACAGCAAUUUUAAUAGUUUCAAAGUAAACGUUGCAGAUUAGAUGUAUUCAUGGAGGCUCAUUUUGAUCAAAUUCACAAACUGGACCCAAAUUCAUCAUACUAUGUCUAUAUCCAAUCCCAAAAAGACUAAAUCCGAUUUUUCCCAACCACCGAGCCAUUUUCUAGCUUACCACAUGAUGUCAACAUCGUAAGUUGGAACGAGAAAAAGUCCCUUAUUCAAAGUGAAUAAAUAUAGAAAGCCCUUGUAACGUUGCUCUGCAGAUUUCAAGUAACUAUCGGUUCGUACAAAUGGUUGAGACACCUGUAAAGGUUAGCAAAAAUAAAAAUUACUGUGAGUACAUUAAAAGUUCCACUCUCUGUGAGUGACAACCUCCCCGAGAAAGAUCUUCGCAUCCUGCAAAAGCAAUCCUCUGAAGAACUCUACUUUUUAUCGUACUCAAUAAGCCUAUUGUGUUCGAUCAAUUGACUCACUAAGACAAAUAAAAUAACGAUUCAAAUGUGCAAUCCUCAACGUAAACACAUCGUCGAAGAGAAUUCACUAUAGGACAUCAGAUGUGGUUCACUGAAAUCCAUGUACUUUGAACACUUACUUGAUAGAAGAACGUCUUUUGCCGUGAGACGGCAGCCUCCAGAUCAUACGUGAUUUUUCUUGAAUCAGACGUGAUAGCUAGCUGCUUAAGGCUAGAGGAGAUUCCACUGCUCUCCUUUUCUUGAACAGCUUUGUUAUCAGUCUGAACGAACUCUACGUUGUAAGGCUCAUCAACAUAGAGGGCGGACCAUAAAUCCUUGGUGUGAUUAACAGCAACAGGCCUGUCUGAUGGGUUUAUAAUCGGUGCAUCCAAUAUUCUUCCAUAUAACUCCUUACAAUCUUUUGCAUACCUAAUCUGAAUUCAUAAAAUACAGAACACAUGUAUAUAGUAAACAGUGAGAUCACAAUAAAUAGUUAACUAACAAACUGGUAUUAAAGAGCACCAUAAAAUAAGUAUUCAACGGCAGCAGACACCGGAACAUUGAUGUGAAGGACUACUCAGCCUAAAUUCUCCAAAGUAAACCACUCGCAUCGUUGAUCUAGAAACGAACAACUUAAACGACAAUGCCUGUGAAGGAAAUUUGAUUGGGAAAAAAAAAACAAAAAAACAAAAAAACAAAAACAAAAAACAAAAAACAACAACAAAUACAAACAAACAAAACAAAACAAAAACGAAAAAUAAAAAAUAAAAAAACAAAAACAAAAUGACAUAAAACGCUGACACUCACGCACUGUGAAGAUCAUUUUUUCUUAAUUCCUUAAAUGACGAUAUACUUUGAGGGAGAGGAAGGACAAAACACUCACUGGAUUUAAGCGAUGGACGUGCCAAAUCCAACCACAAUCAAGGGGAGGAACUAGCGGAGGUGAUGCCCCUUGAGAAUCAUCCCCUUCUUUAGCCAAAAGGGGCAGCCAACAUCUUUCAUACCUGUAUCAUGAGGCAUAUUUUUGAAAAAAAUUAGACUUAAUUACCUGAAUCAACUCAACCAAAACGCAAUAGAUUAAGCGCAUCACCACUUCUGAGGACAAUAGCAGGUAAUCGAAUCUUAUGUAAGUGUUAAGAGCUCACAACCAUCGAAGCGAUCUCAAUGCUAAAAAAACUGGCAGGAAUUCCAGCCAGAUGAUUUUCCCGACUAGAUCCAAAAAAUUCCGAAACACUAGAACCAACACUGCCUUGAUUUCCGGAAGGUUCUUGGAAUCGAAUUGCCAAUAGGAUAGCUCUCCACCUCAACAUUGAAUCUUUCAUAAUUUGACUGCUAAAGCUCUAAAAGGGUGCGAGAUUUCUAGUAUAUCCAGAUUGAAGAAUACUCACGGGUAUUCUACACAGCUGAGUUAUAACAUCAAGCUUCAAAACGUCUUGAAAAAAAUUCUCAAAUUACAGUUGCACCAUCGAUAAUUGCAGAACAAGAGUCCAAGUACCUGUCGAUUGCUCGUACAACUGCAGGUCCUUCAUAAUAACAUUGAAACCGAUCAACUUCUUCAAGCAUUCGAAGCUCUUCUGUUGCAGCGGCAACUAGGUCUACGGAUAUUGGCAGCGCCUGUGCGGCUUCCCACGCUUUCAAUUGAGCGUUAUUCAUAACGACCUUUGCACGAAAAUUCAGUGCCCGAAGCAAAAGGUGUAAGUCAAAUUAUCAAUUAUUACACCUAGUACACUUCCCCCUGAUGACCUCCUACUUCUCGCAAUCGCGAUGCUCCAAAUACAAAGGCGCUCCGCGCAGCAACAGUAAUCAGUGGAUUAUAUGGCGUAAACCACUGACCAUAACUAUCUUCCCCUUUUAUUUAAAUACAGAAAUAGCUAUCAGUAAUCAGGAAUUACGGGAAUGAAAUUGAUUGCGCAGAGAAGAAAAUCUCAAAAGCGAAAACUCGACAUCCACCGACAUCUACACCACUCCGUCCUGCCGAGAUAAAACUCCUCAGCCAGAACAAGCUUGGUCCGUUAUUAAAACCUCAGGAUCCACGGUAACCGAAGAAACUCAACCGACUAGAAAGUAUGCCCCGGUCAAGCGAGAUGACGGUCUCUGAGAAGUGUAGCUCCGCCAGCACAUCCAAAGAGAGCUUCAACCGAGACAAAUGGGACCGAACAUGAUGCAACCGUGGAAAACAGACAGGGCGAUUGAUGCAAACGGAAGAAAAAGCGAUGCGUGUCGUGGCAGUUGGCAAGAAGGGAGCGGGAGUAGGAUUCGAUGAGUCCGUCAAAGUACGGCAGUCGGCAGCAGCAGCAAUGACAGGAUGUCAAACAGCGUGACCAGUAUGAGUCCAGACGCGCCAUAGCCGUCACCGCCGCGGAGCUUCUCCGAGCAUCACCGGGAAGACGACUCAAGUCUAUGGAUGGAUGUAAUGCGGAGAUGAAAGUUCGCCUCCUGUUUUCCGUCUCUAUAUGGAUGAAUGAAAUCUAACGAUGAAAGCUCGUUCCCUAUUUUCUGUUUAACUGUAUAGAUGAAUAACAUCGAGAGAUGAAAGCUCGCUCUCUAUUUUCGUUCAUCCCUUUCAUGAAGCCUCUGUUGUUUGUGACUUGUUUCUAGAUCUCAAAAUUGCUUCUUGUCACUUCAAUGUUGGAGUAUUGGUAAAUGGUUUUUUUUUUUUUUUUUUUUUUUUUUUUUUAAAGUUAAGAUGAACUAGUUCAUUCUUAAUUUUAUAUUAAGAAUGAACUAGAUAAUACUAAAUAAUUUUAACACAAAAUACCUCGCACACAAUACUAAGUAUAUAAUUAACUUUACUCAUGAUAAUGCAUUGCAUAAAAAUAUUUUAAAGGAUGUGAAAUUGGUUUAUUUUUUAUAUUUAAAUUUAAUAUUUUUUUCUUCUCACACAAAAUUUUAUGUUCAAACUGCAUAACUAACCAAAUUUUAAUUUAGUUGAAUCUACCAUAAUUAUUAGAACUUAAAAAAUAUGAAAUAUAUUUUAGUCAAUGUCUUAUCCAUUUAAUUAUAUAAUAGUUUCAUUUUCACAUUUAUUAUUUUAAAUAUUAUGCUAAAUCAUUAAAUAUGGUUUUGUUACUUAUUUGUUUGUUUACUUAUUCAUUUCUUUAUUUAUUUCUGUUCAAGUCUUACAUUGACAAGUUCUACAUUCAUCUUGAGUUAUUGUAUAUAAUUACUUUUUUAUGUGAUAAUAAUAGAAUUAGAAGUUGAAACAGCAAUGUAUUUUGUAUCUUAACAAGCCGUUUAAAGAAAGGACUAAAAAAUAACCUUACAAAUAGUCAGAAGAAGAAUGUUUCGAAAAAAUAUUAAUUAUGUGUGAUUUUCAGAACUAAAAUCCGUUGAUAAGAAAUUGGUUUCUUAAGCAAUAGAAAAUACACUGUUUGAUUGUGAGCAACUUUUUGAAAUGAUAUACUAACAAGGUAUUGGUAGACAGACAUGUUUUUUAGCUGAUGAACAAUCUAAGAAAAAUUCCUGUGACUUACUAAAGAUAUCAAGAGGAGCAAAUACAGCGAAAUUUUGUUGUUCUUAUGGUCUUUUCUUAUGGGUUAAAAUUCAUUUUCGAUAUUGCACUUUAAAGUCACUAAUGCAAUAAGAGAAAGUAAUUACGAUGUAAAAUAAUUUCACUCUAAUUUUAUAUUCCCACUUACAUUACAUAUUUCUAUAUUUCCACUGUUGAAUUAGUGCAUUGGCGUUCCACGGUUAAGUUAUAUAAUCCAAAAUAGAAUGAAGUAUCAAAAUGUCGACUGGGCAGAGGGCAUGAAAGACUUGAAAGACCUGAUCUGCGAAAUUAAACUACAACAUCCGGUGUGCUUGGCAAAUUCAGGUCUGAAUGCUGAACCAAGUAAACAUUGUAGAGCAUCUGAAGGUCCAAAACCUUCAAUUUUGCAUGAAAAGGUCUGGUCAGUUGUUCAAAGUAGAACUAGGUGCUUUCAAAGUAGAACAAAUCAACCUAUGUCAACUGCAUUCAGGAUAAGGGAUUGGCCCCGCCCAGAGAAUAGAAGAGUAUUACUUGUGAAGAAAACUAUACUGAACCUCAACGAGGCCAAAGUCCAGUUCUCAGUACUUGCAAAUCGUCCGUGAACAGGGAAUCUAGUGCGCACUGACAUGGGAAAUUCAAGAACCCUAAAUGUAAUGUACACGGCAUAGGCCUGUCUUGGCUUAUGUAAAGAGUCAUUACUCUUCACAACAACAUAAUUGUAAUGUUUCGUACCACCACCCUGUUUCAAGCUGAUAUGCUCACUGGGUAACGAAGCCACCGCCCAAAGCUGGCCUUCGGAGCAUUGGGUACCGGUCUAAGCACUUUGUCAUCGUAACCUACGGACAUCAAGUACAGGCCGUGUGCAGGUGCAACUGGAGAAAUUUUAGCUAGCUCUCGGCGAUCUUCCGUCAGCAGAAUCGUCCUCACCAUGCUUGGAGGCACUAGUUCUUUUCCAACCUGAACCAGUAAUCCGACCUGCACAACGAACUCCAUGAUUUAGAAAACAACUCCUGUGCUCACACUAAUUUAAAAAACAAAGAUAAGUUUCUUUCGAGUUGACACCUUAAGAUAUGUCAGUGCAGAACUACGUUGUGUUCGAAACAGUAAUAACUAUACUUUGAUCAAUCUGCUUUCACUUCAGAAAAAUCCGCGACGUAAUCAAGGAACUGCUUGUUUCCUUGUUCCAUGUAUCAUUCAGGUAUAUUUGACUCAGCACUAAAUCGACUAGAAGCACGAACUAUUAGACCUAAGGCUACAAGUGUGCUGUAAAUGCCCAUACCAUAUUACGCACUUGCUUGUACAUAAAGGAUUUCCCUUCUACUUCAAACAACAACUGCGGUCCCUGCACCAAAACAUUGAAGCAUAUCACAUUGUUAAAGAGAUGUUUCUGUUCAAUAACAUGAUGAUUGUCUGCAUUGUCGUCAGUGGCAGGUAUAAAAAUUAUAUGUAUACAUAUAUAUGUAUUCACAUCAAAAAGAUUCUGUCAUGAAUGUGUAUAAACCAAGCCUGGAAAAAGUUUAAAAUAAGCGUGUCCAUGAAGGAAGUGCGUACUAUGGAUGAAACGGUAAAACUUAAAAGAUCGCGAAGAGUGUCUCGCGAUGCGGUGUCAGCCGAAUGGUUAGCAAAUGCAGAGAAAUUGUGAGUGCCAACAAAAUAUGAGGCAGCCUCUUCCAUUGCAGCAAUAUUGACGGAAUUUUUGAUGUGAUACGCGUAAGCAUGUUGAAAGGGAUCCAUCACUGGCGACACAUAGGCUUUGUAUUGAUAUGUUUUGCGGCAUGCCGAAUACCGGGCGUGGAAGUCCGGCUGGACAGAGGAUACUUCUAGUAUUCGAAUGUCAGGCGGGAGAAUGCCGUUCAACGACGUGUGCAACGGUUCCAAAUCACAGAAGCAAGUAGGUGUCGUGAAAUGCGCAACCUGAACGUAGAAGCAUCAUCACAAACAUCUGAGAUGCUCCACAAACACGGCGAGAAGAGCCUUCAAGAAUAUAACAAGAGGAGCAAAGAGAAUGAUUGACGCAAGAAACGAUAGGCGGAUGAGACCUUGGGAACAGUUUUCUGGAGUUUGCAAAGUCUUGGAGGUUCACCUGACCCCAGGCGUGGACGCCGGCAUCAGUGCGACCUGCUCCCACAAGUUUCAGCUCAUCGCGUGGCAACCGCGUAAAUUUUGACAGAGCAUCCUCGACCUUUUCCUGAAUGGAGACAUAGUUCUUCUGAAUUUGCCAUCCUGCAAUACCAGUAACAAGUCAUGUUCGUGUAACAACCAUUUCCAGGUUUUCUGAUGACAACAACACAUGUUCCAACUCAAGUUAUAUUUGAAAAAAAUCUGAAGCAAUAUCAGAGAGUGUAAGAACUCAAAUGAAUGCAGGGAGACUCGACCUGAAUACUGUGUGCCAUCGUAUGAAAUCACCAAUCGCCAUUUCCAACCGGGCUGCGUUUUCUCCACUAAAUCAUCCCGCCUCUCGAGGCUACCAGAUGUAGAGCAAUUUCGAAACACGUACUUCACAUAUGGACGCACCUGCUUCUGCUCUCGGAGCUGCAAACGCAAACGUUCGACAUCUUAAAUUGAACGCAUUGGACGCAUUCCCCACUCCUGCAAAGACACGAAGCAUCUCAACGAAUUCGAGAACAGCCCAGACAUUAUCAACAUUGCUUUGAGAAACUGUGAUCAAAACCCACCGGAGCACACACAUGCGAAGGUUUGAAACGACCGCACCAGAGUGGGCUGUCGGCGACACAAUUCCGCAUCACCGUUACCAUAGCUGAUGCCCUGCUUUACUGAUACCAGCCCCUAGCUUAAGCACUAGCACACAACCGCAAAACCCUAAACCUCCAAACCACACAAUCCUCUCCCAAGCACAUCGAAUUUGGGCGCAUCUUUGUGGUGGGUACAAACGGAGGAUUCAUUAUAAUUCUCUAUUGCUAUUAUGGAAAAAUCUCGCCAUCACCCACCCAUUGAAUUCCCACAACAAACGUGUGAGACUGUCGUGGAUAGUGAGUGCCCUUGCAAACUAAUUCUGUGAAUCGAAGCCUGUCUCGAAUUCCGACAACGAAGCGAGGAUUUUACAUACUGUGUCUUACAUCGUUACGUGCACCAGUGCGCGAGAGUGACAUUCCGCCCCCUUGGGCCCUUCGCUUCUUCACAGCUCUCUCGCACCUUCAAUGACAAGCUCUGGGCAAUGGAGUUGCAGCUCGGUGAAGCUUUGCGACGAGAGGCCCUGCACAUGAACUACUUUAAAGUAGCACAAACUAUGGUCUAGGAUGUUACUAUGACUUGUAUGAAUAUGAGGUUAGCUUUUUUAGUGAAAGGAUUUGGCAUUGCUUAUUUGAGAGUGGAAAAUUGCUCCAAUUAAAGUUAUACGAAUUGAGAUUUCUUUUUUGUUACAUUAGAUACAGCCGUGAAGAAAUGGCCACGAAGCUCUCUUAACAUCUCCAAUCUCCUUUACAAACAAAAUAGGUCUUCUUGCACUCUACCUAUGGUUUUACGUAAGUUUGUGAAAAUUUAAAUGUAAUUUUUUUUUCUUGUUGUGUCAUAAGAGUAUUAAAAAUUCUAAUAUGGAAAAUUUAAAUGAAACAGAUAAAUAUUUGGUAUAAAUGAUUUUUCUUUUCAAAUCAACAAAAAUUUAUUGAAAAGAAGAUUAUAAAAAGAUCAUUCAAAUUUUACAAACAGAAAAUUCUAUUCAAGUACGCAUCAUUUUUAAAUUAUUUAAUUCAUUUUUAAAUUAAUAAUAUUUUUAAUAUUACAUAAUUUAAGGAACCAAGUACAAAUUUAUGUACACCUUUUAGGUAAAAUUGCAUGUUUGUGAAUAAGAUUUUUGGAAGUUACAUAGUUUAAACUAGAAGGUUUCUACACAUAAAAUCUUAAAAAAUAUGUUUCUUUUUAUCAUACUAUCAGAAUACAACACAAAGUUUGAUAAUAUUUCAUUCCAACCAAAUUACUAUAAAAAAUUAAUAACAAAAAUAAAAAAUAUAUAUAUAUCAACAAUUUAAAACUUAUGUUUUUUUUUUUUUUUUUUUUUUUUUUUUUAAUCUCUUACAAGUUCCUAAUAUUAUUUGAUACUUGAUAAACUAUAAUUUUGGAAACAAAAAAAAAUCUAUAUUUAUCAGUCACUUAUUUAGUAAGAAAUGAUUUUCUUAGUAAGUUAUGCCUAAAAAUAAUCGCACAUAUAUAAUAAUAGUAUCAUAGAUUUUUAAAAAUAAUUUAUGUUCAUUAUUUAAUAGAUUAUAAAAAAUGAAAAAAAUAAAAAAACAAUAAAUUAUCAAUUAUGUAUAUAUAAAUAUAUAUUUAGAUACAUACAAGAUUAAAGUAAAUGUUCAUAUGUGUAUAUAUAUAUAUAAAUGAAUUAAUUAUAUUUUCAAAACCAAAAAUUGAAUUGCUAUCAAAAAAAUCUAUAAAAAAUAAAAGAAAUAAUAAUAUUUUUUAUAAUAUAUUUUUUAAAAUAACUUGUGUGUAAUUUUUUUAAAUAAUCAUUUGAACUACGUAAAAAAAUUAUUAAUUUAAAAACAUUCCUAUGAAGUUUGAAUUUAAUUUUUAUUAUUGAGAUUAGUUUACAUCUUUGACUAUUUUUAUUAUAAAUAUGUGCACAAGCUUGUCAUCAUUGCUAAAUAAAUAUAAAAACUUAAUAUUGAUUCUUUUAUAUAUAAACUAGUGUUUAAGUUUGACAUCAUUACAAAAUAGAAUUGGCAACUUCACAUUUUUAAUUUAUAUUAAUUUAUAAAGAUGCUUAAUUUGAACAUUAUUAUUAACUAAAUUGGACAAACUUACAUCUUUGACAUUGUUUCUCAUAAGUAGGUGUUCAAGCUUGAUAUCAAUGCUAAGUGAUUUAUGCAAUCUCAUUGAGCAAUUUCUUAUUGCAUUUGAUAUAAAGAUGUAUUUAUAGAAUAGAAGUAGAGAUAAGUUAUUACUAUUAUUAUUAUUAUUAUUAUUAUUUAAUUUACAACAAUUUAUUGACUUACUUCAAAUUUUGGGCAAGAAUUAGAGUUAAUUAUACUUAAUUUAUUGAAUAAUGAUUUUAAUAAAUAUACAUUUCAUUAAUAGGUAGUUAUAUCUAACUAUUAAAAAUAUUAUAUCAAAGAAGUUUAAAUUACCUUUAUCAAUAAAAUCAAACAAAGAUUGUAAUUUGAAAUGUCUCUAAUGGAUAGUAUUUUUUUAAAUUCAAAUGUUUGUUUUGUUUUGUUUUGUUUUUUUUUCUUGUUUUUAAGUCUUUUUUAUAUAAAAAAUAUUUUUGUAGAAUUAUAGAGUAUAUUGGCUCCAUGUAUUUGUUGGUAUUCUUCAAAUAGUUUAUUACUGUUUUGUCAUUUAGAAUUAGUUGGAUUAUGAUUUAACUCUAAAAGAAUACAUUUUUGAUAAUAUAUAAUGUUUACAUAGAAAUAAUUUAUUUAUAAUUAUAAUUAUAUAUAUAUAUAUAUAUAUAUAUAUAUAUAUAUUAUAGGAGUUUUUAUAAGAAGAAAGACAAAGACAUUACUUCACUGUUAGUGUUGAUAUAUUCAUGAUUGAAAAUUUAAGAACUUGUCCAUAAAAAAAUUCAAGAACUAGAAUAGGUAGAAAUAAAAAUAAAAAUAAAAACUAUAAGAAAGUAGGAAGAAUGUGGAUAAUGUUUAAUUUUUUUUAAUUAAAGAAAAAAUCGAAUAGAAUUAAAGAAAUAAAUACGCCAUUUCAGAUUAAAAAUAAAUAAAUUAGUAAUAUUAUUAGAAAAAAAUAACAACUAAGUCUUUAAGUUACUUUCAAAUGAUAGAAGAUAAAAGAACAAAGUGAGAACCAGUGGCUUUAGGAGGACAAAUACAUUUUAAAAGAUUAAAUACUUAAGUUAUAUUUUCUAAUCAUUUGUUUAUUUUACAUAUUUUCAUUCAACAACUUAAGUAGAACCAUAAAAAUUCUCUAAUAUCAUCCUUUUACAUAUGUUUUUUUUACAAACAUAUGGUUUUAAAUUAAUAAAAUAUUUUAACAACCAAUUUGUAUUAAAAAGAGUCAAUUGGCAACUACAUAACAUCCUUAUGUUUAAACUUAUUAUCAUGGCUAUAAAUAGAUAUGGAUAACAAAAAAAAUCUUGUACUUGAUGAUGUUGCCAAAGAAACGGAACCAAUACAAAGAAUAUUCAAGGACUAAUACAUUGGUUUAAAUUAAUAUUUCUUUGAAAAAAAUAGAAAAACGAAUUGAUGGACCAUAAGAUUGGCUUAAUCCAACAAAAAAUAUAAUUGUAGGACACAAAGUCAUGAAGAUUACAAUUCCAAUUGAUAAUAAAUACAGUAUAUAGAAAAAACUCAAGAGAUUAUUUAGCACAAUUAAAAGUACUGUAAAACAAUUCAAACAUAAGAGACAUAUGAAGUAUGAAAAUGAUCCAAUUGAAAAAAACUCUAAUUUAAUUUCUUAAAAGAACUCUAUCAUGACUAUUAUGAAACUUUUAUUACAUCAUUUCAUAAUUAGUCAAUAAAACAUCAAUCAAUGACUAUAAUAUAAUGAUAAUAAUAAUAAUAGGUCAUAUUCAAUAGUAAAAUUGACUAUGUCUAACAAAAAUAGAAGCAAUCCAAAUAAGUAUGUGUGUAAAUUUCUAAUUAUCCAUAAUGUUAACAAAAUUAUAAACAAAUCUCAUUUGGGGCAAAGAUAUGAAUCUAAUCAAAAAGUUAAAAAUGAAUUAAAUUUAUGUAUCAUUUAGAAGAAAAAAGUAAAGAAAAUUGAAACAUAUUUAUAAUUGAAAAUAACUAUAAUUUGUUUUUAAAUACAUGGAAGCUAGGGAGACUUAAACAAAGACCAAAAUAUCAUAAAAGCAUUGAUAAGAUUAAGAGAAGCAUUAAUCUUGCCUUGGUACACACUAGCUACCAUGGUUUAAGAUGUAGGGGUUUGAGAUUUUAGAAACCUAGGUGAAUGAGUGCAUGGCUUAAUCCAUGGUAGGACAUGAUUGAAUAUUUUCUAAAAUUUUAAAAAUCCUUUGCAAAGGCUAAUUAAAAUUAAAUCAUUUUUAGAAUACUAGGUGAUAUAUAUAUAUAUGUUAAAUUUGAAUUUCCUAAUCUAUUUCCUUGCUUAUAAAUAUUUUUUAAAGACAAAUUAACAUCAAACAAAACAAAACCUUCUUAAAAAACCUGUUGUCAGAUUUUUAACAAUCAAAUUUAAUUGUGUAUUAUAAUGUAGAAAGAGGGGAGAAUGAAAUAUUAUUAUCCUACUAAAAAUACAUUCUUGCUUCAAUUAUAAUGUCCAUGUUACUUAUAUUUUAAAAAAUAUUUUUAUAUUUAAAUUUAGAGGAUUUACAUUCAAAGUUGGUGAUUUCUGAAGCAACCAAGGACUUGAUAUUUAAAAACGUUUUGAAAUUGUUAUUCAGACAUACCUUUGUUAUUUUCCGAAGUAUAAUAAUUAAGGAAUGCAAGAACAUCUCUGCAAUGUGCUAUUGUUAUAAAUGAUUUGAUUAUCCAAUUGAAAUUACGAAAAAAGAAUAAAACGAAAAUAGAAAGAAAAUAAAAUUACAACCAAAAAGAAGAUUAAAGGAUGUUAAAAAGGUGAUAGUCUUUAAAAUCGAGAUGUUUUCUCAAUAAACUUAUCUUAAAUUCGGAAAGAGAAUAAAAAUUUAAAACAGAAAAAAACAUGUUAAAUUACAUAUAAAUAGUGAGAAUACAUUUAUUUAUUUAUUUAUUCAUUUUAAAUUAAAUUUAUAUGUUAUCAAUAAAUUCAGUUUGAAAUAAUUACAUGUUUUAUAUUCUCCAAGUGGCAAUUUUAGUUUUUGAAUUAUUCAUGUUUUAGCAAUGCAACCCUUCUCAUACAAUCACAUUACAGAACAUGAUAAAUUUUUAUUCUAUAACCCCUGAUAUUUUAGAAAUAUACCAAAUGAUAAUUAUGAAACCUAUUUUGAUAUCACCAAAAUGAAGUUUAAUCCCCUGAGCCGAUAACCGUGGAUCACAUUAGUACGUUCUGGUAAUAAAAUCCAAGUGCUUCCGAAAUAAAUAUACAUAUGGAAGGAGGGGGAACAUUCCAAAACCACUCUACACUUGAUACAACACAAGACAAAAAGAAACAAAAACAAUACGAUAAAAUAAAAUAAAGAUUAAAAGUUAAAAGUUGCUGGCUAAAAGUUAAAGUUGUUUCAAUAACACCUUUAAGCAAAAAGAACGGUUCAUAUGGUCGAAUGGGAACCCAUGCAUGUCCAAGCUUCAUGUAAUCAGAAUCUCCAACCCCUGCUCAAUAUGACGUGGAGCUCAUUUAUUGGCUAUUACCCCUCUAGUCUCCCCAGCUGGCAAGUGGCUCUGGACAACUAAACAUACCCAGUUCCACGUGGAUCAAUUGAACCUGAUUCAACAUUCAUCCAUAUAACGAAUCGAUAUACACAUUCAUCGACGGCGAAGACAGAGAGAGUAUCCUCACACUUCUGACUCGUUUAUUGUUACGAUUCCCUCCAGGUGUGAACGGGGAGGAUUGGUGCACAGUCAGCAUGCCACGGCAGCAGGAUAAGACAGUGGUAACAGAAGCAAAGGCGCUGAAGUGGUCGCCUGCCAUGUGGCCGCUAACGUGGUUGGCUGUGGGAAUCUCCACGCCGAGCCGGCAUCCGAGGCUGCGUCUCGGUGGUGCCACUACCACGUGAGCGUAGAAUACAGGUACAACUACUCGGGUCACGGUGAUAGGGUGAGAGCGUGGAAAAAGCGCGACUGCUCCUUCGAGAUCUGUCCGUCGAUUCCUCUGGCUAUGGCUACGUGCGCUUUCCAUGGCCAUGGUGGUGGUAGUGGUGUUGGUGGCGUCUGCUCGAAAUCUGCGUCUCCGAAUUGGCCCCGAGUUCUGUUUCGAUUCAUUCUCCCUGCGGGAGUACCACGCACGCCAUCGCUCGAUUGCCUCGCUUUCCAGCGAACCACCGCGCGAUUCCGUCCGUUGCGCGACCGCAAUUUCGGCCUUCCGGAGCGCGACCGACGCCACUUUUGAAAGCCCGUGGGCUGGUCUGGUAGAGCUAGUGAUGUUAGCCCCCCGGAAUUGAGAGGGAGAGACAUUUUGGUAGCAUAAAUGCACUGUCAUUUCGGGCACCGAGAAUCUGCCUUCUCUCGGAUGAGAUGUUCUUGAAUCCGUGAAUCUGUCUCUCCUGUUUCGGUGCGCCUUGUGGUUGGAGUGGAGUUGAGAUACUCAGUCGGAAGUCCGCACCCUUUCGUGAUCCUUCUCUCCCUGGGUCUUUGGUUUGUGAUAGAUUCUGGUGAGACUUUUGGUUUCGAUUUUUGUGGAGGAAGAUCGCGGAGGCGAUUUCAAGCGUAGGCAGGGACUCGCGCUGAGAAUUGUUGUCAGGGAAAGAUUCCCUUUCUGUCUGAGGCCUUGUAAUAUUUGUCGUUUGGGAGCUUAGCGAUCGGGGAUUUGCCUUAGUCACUUGAUUUUGUACAUAAGGAGUGUUCUGUGGCGUCCCGCUGUUCAAUUAACUUAAUUUGUAUAUAAAACUUGCCAACGCUUCUCUCUGUUGUACAUAAAAGAGUUGCGCCUGGAGAAAACUAAAUCUGUCGAAAUCUCUUGUCUUGGAGGUUAUUGUAUGGGCUCGAUUCGUGAAUAAUUCUUUUCAUGAACCAGCUUUACAGUUGUUCAGCUCUUCUUCACUACGCUGUGAUUUUUAUUUUUAUUUUUAUCUUUGUGUAAAGAUUCUUCAAUCUCUGCGUAGCCAUGGAAGUCCUUGCAAGCGCAGUGACCAUGCGCAUUUCAGUUCUAUCACCUUCUCCCACCGAUUUCUGCCCAAACGUUCAUAGGAGGUGUCAAGCAGCACCGUAUAGGAAAAGCACAGGAGGAUUCAACUCUGUCCUCGCGCGGCACCACGAAGGUUUGCGGUCGUCGUCUGCGGUGGAUGUCUUGCGACCUUUAUCUCUAUCCGAGGGCUUUGACGUAGCUGUUAAUUCGCACCUGGCAACGGGGAGAAGUAACGGACAGCAGAGUCGCGGAGUCGUCACGGCAGUAUUCGAGAGGUUUACCGAGAGGGCGAUCAAGUCCGUGAUGCUGGCGCAAAGGGAAGCCAAAGCCCUUGGAAAACGGGAAGUCGGCACAGAGCAACUGUUGCUGGGGUUGAUAGCGGAGGAUAGAGGCAGCGAAGGCUACCUCGGCUCUGGUGUUACGAUUGAGAGAGCCAGGGAGGCCGUAAAGAGCUUGUUGGAUGAAUCCGAUGGCAGCGAUUUGCUUGGACCAGCUACAGAUGUUCCAUUUUCUCAUGGAAGCAAGAGAGUGUUCGAAGCGGCACUGGAACACUCUAAAAAGAUGGGACAUAAUUAUAUUGCUCCAGAGCACAUUGCGAUUGCUCUGUUGGCCGUGGAUGAUGGAGGUGCUAGCAAUGUCCUGGACAAGUAGGUGUCUUCCCUCUCUUGAUAGUAAUUUAAAAGGAAUUCCGUUUGAGUAGGAAAACAUGUUGCAUGGCUCUGAGCUAUGCGUGUUCCAUAUCAGUAGUCCUUGGGCAUCUACAUUUGCACUUGAUUAUUAGAGACUCACAUUGAUGAUCCUGACUUUGUAUUCAGAUCCUGUAAUUGUAUGACCGUGAAGAAGUCUUUCACUUGGUUAGUUCCACAUUCCUGCUGAUGCAGGAACACAUUGAAAUAGUCUACUGAUUUUGAACUGUUCCGUUAUGGUCAUCAGAUUGGGUGUGAAGAAGGGGAAAUUACAGUCAGAGGCUGUGGCGAAGCUGCAGGGUGAGCUGGAGAAGGAAGGUCGUGCAGCAUCGUCAUCGGUUGCCAUGCCACAGAAGGCAGCCGCUGGCGCCGCCGCGUCUACGCGCCCAUCUUCAAGAAAAGGUUAGUUUAUUCGUUUGCUUGCUGGUUCACCUCUGUGCAAAUCUGAUCUGUGUAGUCGUUUGAUCAAAAUUAGGUUUAUUUCCUGCACAGAAAUCAGCUUACAACUGGGGUGUGAAGAUUAUUGUGGGGGUUUUCAGUAAGGUGAAUCGGGAGCCUAUACUACACUUGCAAAUGUUGCGUGGCAGCAUUUAUUCGACACCUAGGAAUAUGGGACUUUUACGUAUCAGUUGAUGAUGAUGUUUGGGUGGAAUUGAUAAACAGAAAAAGGGGCUUUGCACGAUUUCUGCGUUGACAUUACGGCUCAAGCUGCUGAGGGCAAAAUUGAUCCAGUAAUUGGUCGCGACAAAGAAGUGCAGCGAGUGGUUCAAAUCCUUGGCCGACGAACGAAGAAUAAUCCAAUCCUAUUGGGAGAACCUGGUGUCGGAAAGACUGCAAUCGCGGAGGGACUCGCGAUGCGAAUAUGCAAAGGCGAUGUCCCUGAUUUUCUGAUUGUGAGUCAUUUUGGAAGAUCUAUUUGCGACCGUCGCAGAUUUGCUUCAGCGCUGGUUUCUGAACCUUUAUCUUUUGCUGUGGUUGCAAAGCUGUGGUCUAUUUUACAAUGGACCAUUAGCAUGUUGCGCCAUUAUGAAAGUUGGGUUCUUAGUCUUUAAGUUCCUCACAUGGAUCUGAAGUUCUUUUUAGGCGAGGUUUAGUAGCCUAUGUCUCUGCUUGUGUAUUUGUCUCAAUAUAGAACACUUGCAGGAUAAGCGGGUGAUGUCAUUGGACAUGGGAUUGCUGCUUGCUGGAGCCAAGGAACGUGGUGAAAUGGAGACACGGGUGACCAAUCUAAUUGAAGAGACUCGAACUGCAGGUAUGAUCCUGGACAUUUGAGUGUGGAUAUCGUCGGUACUAAGGGUCACUGUCAUUGCGAAUCGGAUUGGUUGUGCGUUGAAAGAUUGCUAAUUCUUUGUUACAGCAGAAGUUUGCUAGCGUUGAAUACGUGCGAUUUUUGCCUAACAACGGUGUGUGGGUAUACGUGCAGGGAAUGUGAUUUUACUAAUUGAUGAAGUGCACACACUAGUGGGCUCCGGUUCAGUCGGAAGAGGAGGUAGUGCAGGGGCAGGUUUGGACAUUGCUAACUUGCUGAAACCUGCGCUCGCAAGAGGAGAGCUUCAGGUGACCAUCUCAUAUAUGGCUUUGAUGAGUACUGAUUAUCAUGAACAUUUUGGAUUUGCAAGUAUAUGUGGGGUUUUUCACAAGAUCUGACUGUUUGUGGUGGUGUUUAUGUGAGCAGUGUAUUGGAGCAACUACCUUAGAUGAACAUCGCAAGCAUAUUGAGAAAGACAAGGCCCUAGCACGUCGCUUCCAGCCAGUAAUGGUAUUAGAGCCUUCACAGGUACAAUCGUGUGUCUCAAGAUCGUCCAUUACACCCUAGGACAAUCAGAUGCUCACAACUCUGAUAGUGAAUGAUGAUCACCUUCUUUGAACUUGUUGUAGAGGUUAGAAUGGACUUGGUCUGUUAUAUCUUGAUUUUUUUCUUUACAGCAAAGCCUAACUUGGUGGAGAUUGAGAGGACGAGGAGUAGGUGUUGUAAACAGAAGGGAACCAACUACCAGCUCGUUUAGUAUGCCAUGAUGUAACUCGGGGGACUAACAAAGAAUGAUUACCAAUUUCUUCUCUUAGCACCACAUAAACAAUUAAACGAUGUUGUUGUAGUGCUUCCUUAGGGCUGCGUAGAAGUGAUGAAGCCUAACCGGCUACCUUUUGAAUGAGAUUAUUGAGAUGUAACACCUGAUAACAAGAGGCGUGCUGAAGGCUGAUAUGCUUUAUCGCCCAUUUCUUACGCGUAGUUCAAUGUCGGUUUUGCAGGAGGAUGCAGUGACUAUUUUGAUGGGGUUGCGUAGUAGAUAUGAAGAACACCACAAAUGCCACAUAACCAGCGAGGCAGUGGAGGCUGCCGUGUACCUAGCCUCCCGGUACAUUGCUGACCGGUUCUUGCCCGAUAAAGCAAUCGACCUUUUGGAUGAAGCUGGCAGCCGAGCUCGGAUAAACUCUUUUAGGAAGAGGAAGGAGCGGCAAACUAGCAUUUUAACCAAGUCUCCUAGCGAGAUUUGGCAAGAGAUUCGUGCUGUACAAGCUUCACAGGAAGCGGUAAUUUGAUUUUCCUGAAACCACGUGCGCAUCUAGCAGAUUGGGCUCUGUUUGGUUCGAUGAUGUGUAUAAAUGCAUAUUUAGGCAGAGAUUCUGGUGUUUUGAGAUACCUAACAAAUUUUUAGGUUAGUGAAAGAUGGGUUUUAGAGCGUUGUCAGCAGCAUUUUGAUGUAAUUGUUGUUGUGUUCUUGUGUAGGCUCUAGUCACAUCUUCUGGAAAUAAGGAUGUCCUGACAGGUGAUCCGUCCAGCCUAUCAACAACGGAAUCAAGAAUUGGGGACAUGGACAAUGAAUCAUUAUCAGUGCCAGAUAAUGACGCUUUGGAUGCGAGCAUCGUCAGUGAUGAUGAGGAGUUUGCAGAUGGGUAUAGUCAUAACCAAAGUGAUGCAAAAAAGAAAUCGAAGCUCACGUGACCACUUUGUGUGAAUACUGCAUGGGCAUGGAUAAUGUUUGGGCGUGGUUUAGAAUACAGUUUCGAAGCGUCUUUGUUGUCAUCAGUGACUGGGUUUUGUGAAUCCCGUGGCUCAUUUUUGAUGGAAUUCUAUCGUCUCUUGAUUUCAAAGAGCUUACGAUUUGUUUAUUAAUUUAUUUUGGUAAUGGUUGCAGACCUGUGGUCGUCGGACCUGGUGAAAUUGCAGCGGUGGCGUCCAUGUGGUCUGGUAUACCGGUGGAACAGUUGACAAGCGACGAACAAAUGAAAUUAAUGAAUUUGGAGAAAUCUCUCCAGACCCGUGUUGUGGGCCAAGACGAUGCUGUGAAUGCAAUCUCUAGGGCUGUGCGGAGGGCACGCGUUGGAUUGAAGGAUCCAAACCGGCCUAUUGCUGCGAUGCUUUUCUGUGGUCCUACUGGGGUUGGAAAGACGGAGCUUACCAAAGCUCUGGCCCAGCACUACUUUGGAUCGGUGAGUACUUAAAAAUACCUGGGUGCAUUCUCUGGAUGUGUGUUAGAGAAGAUCAAUCGAUCCACACCGUGCUUGGAGAGCUGAGAAAUAUGGUUUGGUUCUGAUAGGCUGGUUCUGCGAAGGGAAGGAAUGAAAUGCUGCUAUUACUGUCUUAUAUUUUGGAAUGAAAAUGGCACCUCAUCUUACCACAUGUGAUAUGGUUGCUUUUUCAUCUUCAUGUUUAGUGACUCUUUUGUAACGUAUAGAACAUGUCGGCUUUGCAGGAAGAGUCCAUGAUUCGUUUGGACAUGAGCGAGUACAUGGAGAGGCACACAGUGAGCAAGCUGGUUGGGUCUCCUCCAGGGUACGUAGGAUAUGGCGAAGGUGGUGUACUCACUGAGGCCGUGCGUCGACGUCCGUUUACAGUUAUUCUUAUGGAUGAGAUCGAGAAAGCCCAUCCGGAUGUCUUCAAUAUGCUGCUUCAAAUCUUUGAAGAUGGUCACCUGACCGAUUCGCAGGGGAGAAAGGUUUCCUUUAAGAAUGUUCUGAUUGUGAUGACAUCUAACAUAGGCUCACAGCAAAUUGCUAAGGGGGGCAGUAGCAAAAUCGGGUUUAUAUACUACAACUCCGACGAAGCAGAUGGUGGAAAAUACUCACAGUUGAAAGAACUUGUGAUGGAUGAACUGAAAGGCUACUUCAGGCCAGAGCUGCUGAACAGGCUGGACGAAGUUGUUGUGUUCAGGUCGUUAGAGAAAUCUCAGGUACAAAGUUGUUUUAUCCUGGAAAGUUCUCUUUUACUUGUGUUAUACGAGGAUCGGGUUGCAGGCCGAAUCAUCUGUUGUAAUGAAUCAAUUGUUAGCUUAUAUAUGACAUGAGUCGAUUCAUGUUGUCAGUAAUGUCUUCAUUCGGAAUAGUGUGCCAAGUGUUGGCUCGUGAGUUAGUUUAAUUGCCUUUGUUUCUUUGCAUAACUCUUGGUUGCGGUGACUGGUGUGUCGUUGCAAAACAGGUGCGAGCUAUUGUGGACAUUAUGCUACAGGAAACGAAUUCGCGGUUGGCUGCUCGAGGACUAAAUCUGGAAGUCUCGGAAGCUAUGGUGAAGUUGAUAUGUGACCAGGGAUAUGAUAGAAGCUACGGUGCCAGGCCUUUGAGGCGGGCAGUGAUGAGUUUAGUUGAGGAUAACCUCAGCGAAUCGUUGCUGCAGGGCGAGUUCAAGGAAGGGGACACAGCUCUGUUAGAUAUUGAUGAGACCGGAAAUCCGAAGGUCUUCCGGAUAGAGAAACCUGAUGUCUGUGACCAUGGCCUGUGCUUGCCCGAGUUGAAGACGGUGUCUAUUUCGUCUCCCACAGACUGAAGUUGAUACAGACAUGCGUGGUGAAUAUCACUUUUCUUGAGUUACAAUUCGUGGAGGCAGGUUGAGUCAGUGCGUUAAUGGAACAUGGAAAACACUUUUCAUUCCAGCAAUCCUGGAUACGUCUAGCAGAUGUGUUUGGUUUACUUAGCAGUGUCAAAACUAUUAUAUGAUCGUACAUUAGUUUGUCAACAGAAUGUAGGGUUCCGUUGUACAUAGACUUCGUGUAUACUCAAGUACAGUGUUUGGAUAUUGAUUCUUCGUGCCAACAUUUUUUCAAUUUGCAGUGAAAGCUAUCUGUCAAAUGGCCCUAUUCAUUCACCUGUGUUGUUAUUCACCCUUAAUCCAUUCCAUUAGUAGAAGUUUUUAAUUUAGUGCUUCCUAAUUCUUUAAAAUAGUUAGGUUGUCCUUUGGCACUACAGCUAAGAUUAUUGUCGGUGGUUGUUUAUUCAUUUGAUUAAUAUGAAUACAAUGUCCCUAUUUACGAUGAUGAUGAUGAUUACCAGUAAUUUCCACAUGAAUGUAUUUCAACUGCAUUGGUAAAAAUAAUGUGAAUAGUAGUAUUUUUUUUGAUAAUACUAUGGAGAUAAUUUCAUAACAUAUAAUAUUUACAUUUUACUUUUUUUUUCUUCCUGGAAGAACGACAAAUAAUGAUAGAAAAUUCACUUUGCAGACUAAUUCAAGUGGUUACAAUUUUAAGUUUUUUCAUAAGUUUAUUUUAAUUAAAUGUGGUAUUUCUUUAGGGCUAAUUUGUGUGUAGUGUCAACAAAAUAUCAAAUCAACGUGCAAUAUAUAUAUCAGUGAUUAUGAAAUUGUAAGAUUGGCAAACAGCUUAAAUUAAAUAAUUUUAUAUUCUUAACUAUUUAGUUAAAAUAAACAUGUAUGUCCUACUUUAUUUCAUUUGAAUGUUUCAUUGAAAUUAUCACUUAAGCAUUGUGAAGAAAUUUUAGAUUCCAUUUCUGCUACCUAUUUUUGUAAGUUACAUGUCUAUAAUCAAAGAUUUUUAUUUUUAUUUUUAUUAUUAAAGUUGCCCUUAUUCUAUAGGUAAUGUAGAUAUGAAACUCUAUAAAAGUUAUGAAAAGCUACACAUGAAAAAAUUAGACAAACAACUUGACAAAGGCAUAGCAUAGCUUUGCAAUUGGGAUAGAACAUGGAUGGCAAAGAACUUAUUAGGAACCAAUGAAGAUAAGACAAUUAAGUAAAACUUAAAAAUUCAUGAGACAUGAUUAAUCAUCCCCAAAUUAGAAGCACCCAAGAUAGUGUAUAUUUAACAAAACAUACUUUUAAAAAUACAAAUAUUAUAAAAACAACAUAAAUUUUGCACUUUAGUUUGCUCUUAACUAAUGUGUUUGGGCUAAGGAUUGCAUUGUAACCACCCUUUACCAUUAAUACAUAAGAUCUACCCCACUUGUGUUAAAAAAAGACAAGAAUGUACAAAAUCAUUUUUUUUUUAAAAAAAAAAACUUUAAAACAUAUUUAGCUUUAUUUUUUUUGUUAGUUUUUUUAAAAAAUAAAAAAUAAAAAAUAUUCCAAUAAAUGCUUUUAAAUAAAACAAAGACACACUUAUACAUAUACAUAUAUAAUUUUAAAAACUUUAAAUAUAAACAUUAAAAUUUAUAAUAAAAAAUAUAUCAUUAUAAAGAAUUUACAUCUAUAACUAUGUUUACAUGUUAUAUAUUAACAUGUUAUCGUUUAAAAAUAUGUGCACAAACCAAAAAAAGAGUGCACAAUAAAAAAAAAUUAAAUGCCUUCUAUUCUAAACUAACAAAUUGGAAUGGCAUUAACUAACAAAUUAGAAUGGCAUAACUUGUAUUUUUAAGGGACAAUAUCACAUAUCUCUCUGUAAUAUAUUGAAAUAUCAAGAAUACCCCUACAUUCUUGAUAAUAGCAAAUAUAUCCCUAAAAGUUUUAAUAAUAGAAAAUGUAUCCUUGAGAAUGUUAAGCUAUCUCAAAUCUGACAAAAGCACAGCUAUUCUCAUGGAUUCCAAUAAAUGUUUUUAUUUCACAUGGGGCACAAAGCUCGUGCGCCUUUUAUAUUUUGUUUGUUCUGCUGCGGCUCUCUUGCCCGCAGCCCCUCGUCAUCCAUUGUUGUCAUCCGUCACCGAAGCUCGCCGCGCUCGCUUCUCCCGCAGAGCACUUGGUUCGUUUGUGGAUUAGUUCCUCUAAUUGCUGCUGAAAUUGUUAUGUUUCAGAAUUGGGAGUUUUUGAUGUGCAACAAGGACAAACACAGAAUCGAUGUUUCCGGCGCAAGGAUUUCUAGAAUCACAAAAUUUGUACUCGUAGAAGUACUCAUUGAACCAUGGGAAGCAUGCGAUGACUAUUGGAAUGCCUCACACCAACGAAGCAAAAUGAGACAAACGACCCUGAAACGAAAUGAAACGAACAACGUGCCGUGUUGCUAAUAAACACCGUCCAAGCAAGUAUCUUAUUUGAAAAGAAUGCAUAUGUACAAUAUAAAACCUGGAAAAUUGACCGAGUGGCUGAUAAGGCCUCUACACACAACAUCCUCGACAAAAUCUUCGGUAGCUCAACGUUUACAGAAUUGACUUCAGGGAUUUUGCUUUCACAAAAUUUUGACGCUUAAUAUCAGGCAGCUCGUCGUCAGAUUCAAUCAUACUGACAUCGAUUGAUUUAUCCACUUCUGAAAUGGGAGAUGUCUUAACACCAUCGUUUGGUAUAGGGUUUGAAGGCUUCACUGGACUUUGUUCCUUUGACUAUUCCUCGAUUUUCUUAGACAAAUUUCGGCCCGGCGGAUCUAAUCUCAGUGGCACUUGCUCAAAGAAAAUCCUACUUCCGCAGGUUGAAAACAUCUCUAUCCCUUCUCAUCAUCCCGAUUGCACCGGGGUCCACAUAUUACAGGGGUAUAUAUAUAUAUGAUAUUUUUCUUAUUUUUAAUUCUUAAUAUAAAAAUAUGUAACAUCAAUUAUUGCUCUGAUAUCUAUGAUAGGGAUAAUAAUAUGAAUGAAAAUAUAAUGCGUUCAACCAAAAUCAAUCUCCAAUUGUACAAUUUGAGCCAUAAAUCGAACCCAAUAUGUACUAAAGCUUGGUGGAUCUAAUCCCAUUCACAUGGGCACAUGUCCAAUUAAGCUAGCAACUCUAUUGUCGGAUGAGAUCUUAUUAGAACAAAACAAAAGGUUAUACUGCAACUUGUAUUUUCUAUCCACAAUGGAUGACAUCAUACAAUCUAUGUCCAUCUGUUAUAUAAUACAAAGAGACAAAGAAGUCUUUUAAUUGACCAUGAAGAAGAAAACUUAAAAUUCAAGGAAAGGGGAGAAGAAGGGAAUAUGGAAAUAUGGAAAUAUGGAAACUAGAGCACAUAAGAAUGUGAGAAUAUGGGAACUAAGAAAUAUGGAAAUAAUGGAGCAAGGAUAAAAAAAAAAGGAUAGAUGUGCCAAAGAUUGCAAUAUCCAACGGCCAAGGUUUUUGCUAGUCUAACAUGUAAGAUAACUUGGAUUUAAUAAAAAGAGACAAAGAAGUCUUUUGAUUGGUUGCAAAGAAAGAAACUUGCAAAACUUGGAGAAUAUAGAAACAAGAGAAUAUGAGAAUGAAGGAAUAUUUGAAUAAGAAAAUGCAACAACAUGAGAACUACGGAAUAUUAAAAAGUAGAAAUAAGGAAGCAUGAAAACUAACAAACAUAGUAAUGAAGAAGCAUAGAUGAAAACAACUUUCAUAAAUAUAUUACUUUCAAAGUAAAACAAGGAUCUUAUAUAUAUAUAUAUAUAUAUAUGCAUAUAAUCUAAAAGUCUUUUUUUUAAUUUAUUUAUUUAUUAAUAAUUUUUUAAUAAAUUUAUAAAAUUUAUGGUAGCCAUAACAAAGGCACAAUAAAGAAAAAAUUGACAUUGCUUGAUCUGCAUCAACACUUGAUGCAACAUCCCUAAGAAGAAGAUUUUUUGCACUUAAUGUAGCUUACAUCUAAUGCCUUGCUUGACUACUUCUUGUACUAAUAUAUUGAUCUUUCUUUAGCUUCAAUCCUCUAAGUGUUGAGUUUGGUGCUCUCAUAUUUGCAUUAUGCUUGAACCCAGUCUUGACUCUAAUAACACAAGGUUCUCUAUGGAGGUUGUUAUGUUAAAGUCCACCAUAUUUAGAAAAGCCUUGGAUUCUAGCUAAUAUCCAAACUAAACAACAAACUUAUAUUUUAAAUAUGAAUGCAUAAUAAGACCUACGGAAUAUAAGUUGGACAAGCUUUGCCAUAUGAAUUGAUUAAUUAGAGUGAGUUUUAAAUAUUGAGAUUGCAUGUAGAUUUAUUCAUUGGAUUUAAAGCAUGUAUUUAGAACUUGUUUUUGCAUGAAGAUAGUAGAGGUCUUAAAAUCACACCAUGAAACUAUGCAAUGUUGAGAAUUAUAGAUUAUUCUUUACUUGCACCAAAAAUAACAUCUUAAUGCAUGUAGUGUCAAAAUUUUCUUCUUGUACAAAGUUAAUUGGUAUAAUCAAUGAAUGGAGAUGAUGCUCUUUUCUUUAGGAUUUGUUCUAGGUUUUGUUAUGAUCACUAUUACAUUGCAAUAUCAUUUAUUUAAUUAUUUAUUUCUUUGAUGAAUUUAAACAUUGUUUCUUACAUAUGGUAAUAUUCCAUACAAAUAAAAGAAAAAAUACCAUCAAACAUACAUCCAACAAAGAAUAUAUAUAUAUAUAUAUAUAUAUCAAAAAUUCAUAUAGGACCAAAAUUCUUUGCCAUGCUUAUUUACCUAGGUACCUCAAAGGCAUUGAUGUUCAUAAGAUAUAUUUAAGAUGCAUUAUUUCAUAAGGAUAAAACAUGUUUAUAUUCAAUAAUAAUACAAAAAAUAAAUAGAAAGUUUAUUUUUUUCACCCACUUAGGUUUAGAAUCUAAUAUUGUAUUUAUAAUGAGAAUCUUAAUUAUCUCAAUUAUAUCAAAGUUUCCAUCAUUUUUUCUACUUCUUUCUAUUUUUUUAAUGGCAAAGAAUAGGUAGCAACCUUGAGCAUAAGCAACUUGCAUCUUUUGAAUUCUAACCCUAUACUAUGACUAAUAUGUAUAGAAUGCAUUUAUUCACUCUCAUGACACAUCAAGCAAUAACUAGCUCCUUAAAUACUUCUAAUUGAUAGACAUCUAUUAAACAUGACAUCUUUUUAGAGAAUAUUAAUAGAUAUCAUAUCUAAUAUCAUAUCUAACUUAUUAUUAAUAUGAUAGUAGUGUUAAAGAAGGUGACAACUCAAUUGCAUCUAAACAUGAUAAUUAUAUUUGAAGUAGGUCUUUAUCUUAGAGUCAAGUCUAAAAUUGAACUAUAUUGUUAUUAAAUCAAAUUUCUAGGAAGAAAGUAUAUCUAAAGUCAUGUUUGAAUUAGACAAUAUGACAUAAGAAAGACAUAUAAAAAUGGUAUACACAAAAGAAAACUUUGUAUAUUUUAUUUUUCAACUAAGAAUCACAAAAUCAAGCUCUAAGUGUCAAUUUCACCAAUCAAGCUUAACAUGGUCAAAAUUUGGUGUUGUAGAAAGAAAAAAUGCAAGAUGUGCUCAAUGACAAUCUAAUAAUCAUGUUUAACCAAAAUCAAACUAUACAAUUUGAGCCAUAAAUCAAAUCACACAUAUACUAAAACUUUGUAGAUCAAAUCCCAUUUACAUGGGCACGUAAUCAACUCAACUAGCGAUCCUACUAUUAAAUGAAAUUUCAUUAGAAUUCAAGAGAGUUUUGCAUUGUAGAUUGCAAUUUGCAUCUACAAUAAAUGAUUUCAUAUAGUCUUAAUCCAUCUUUUAUACAAGACAUCUUGGAUAUAGCAUCUUGGAUAUAAGAAACAAAGAAGUCUUUUGAUUGGCCAUGAAGAAGGGAAUUUAGAAAACUUGGGGAAUACAAGAAAUAAGAGAAUUUUUUAUAACAUCGGAAUAUGGGAAUGCAAAAGCAUGAAUGAACAAGAAAAUGUAUGAAUGUACCAAAGAUUGUAAUGUCCAACAAUACAUGUUUUUGCUAGUCUACUUUAAAAUACAACUUGGGUAUAAUACAAAAAAGCAAAAAAGUCUUUUGAUUGGUUGUGAAGAAAGAAAUGCAAGGAAAGCAGGGAUGCAAGAGAUUGUUAUGUCUUACCUCAUACGUUUCUGCUAGUCUAUUAUAUGAAACAACUUGGGUAUAAGACAAAAGAGCAUUAUCAUUGGCCAAACAUGAGAAUCCUUUCUAAAAUAAACGGGAGGAGGAAACAUUUAGAACAAUACCGACAGUGCAAUGCUGAGAGUCGCACCAUGAAAUUGAGCAAUGAUGAGAACUAGCGAGACGGCGCUUUAUUCUUCACUUGCACCAGUAAUAACAGAAUCUUCAUGUAUGUGGUGUCAGAAUUUUCGAAGUAAAUAUCUACGCGGCGGCUUAAUGAUGUCGUGUGCCCAACAACAACCGUGAACAGAUGCCAGAGUUGCACGUUGACGACGCAAGGUCUUACAAAAUCUGUGCGACCGGGGCACCAGAGCAUGAAGUGCGUGUUCUCAGCCUAAGUUAGCAUAUAAACUCCACAGGGCAACUCUAAAAUUCAAUGUUUUGUGACACUUGCAGUAGGCGAAUUCCUUCUUUGGACAUUGUACAGCUCGCUCCUAUAAGAAUAGAACAUCGUCAAUUACUCUCUCAAGGAGCAGCAAUGGUGAAAAUUCUACUUAACGAGGACAACUUCGGAUACGGAUCCGAGAUUUUCAUUCCCAAUGUUAUUUCCUGUGGCGCUGUGGCCGUCAAGACCAAGAACGGCUUCAUAGGGUUUCACUUCUUCCCGACCACAACCAGAGAACAGAUCGUCGCUGCCAUGAAUUACGCAGCAAAAACGCUCCUCCCUGUCGCCGGCUCGGUGGAAGCUACGGCCUUCUUUGUGGACAAAAAUGUAUUUGGAACGGACAACGUUAACAUCGUCAGGGACUCUUUUAAGGCUGCUUUCAAAGUAGACCUCAAAGUCGUCGCAAAACCAGCGGAUGUGAUGGCAUAUUCAGCAGAUCUGUGGCUUCACGCGCCCGUAGACACCAAAGGCACCAGCUCUUGGUUAGGAGUGCGGAAACACACGAAUGUCAAGCCGGUGACACAGCAAAUUCUCAAUCCACAGGUGUUGAAAAUCAAGAAUGACGGCGGAAUUGAGAAGGCAGCCAUCCAGCAAUCACCGGGUGACGUUGGAAACGAGGACUACAGGGGCACACAUAUGCAUGUUGAAGUGUGAGAGAAGACAUCGUGGUUACAAUCUUUGGUAUCUCAGCACAAGAUAUGCCAGAUGGAAGCUACCUUGACUUCCCAUCAGUGCCGAUUCUGCGCUGCAAUUUUUAUAUAUCCUAGUUGCUAAUACGUUCGAGAACCAAUAUCAUGUGCAAGCUUUCACUGUAAUGCACUCGAGGUGUGUAAAAUCGCCGACCUGGAGAGGACAAAUGCUGCUCUUGAGAGGUUUCUGCAUUGUGAGUGCCUCCACUUGAACUAAGAGACGCCCUGAGCAUUCUCUCUGUCGUUGGGUCAAUAGAAUAAAAAUGAUAUCCUGAUGCAUUGUUCUGUUCAAGCUCUCCGUGGCUCCCAGAACCGAUAUGUUCAGAGUUGCUGUAAUCAGAUACAUUCUCGCUCAAUAAAAGCUCGCACUAGUUGCCUUUCCGCACAUCUGCGUACAAUUUAUAACAAGUUUGGUGUUGGCAUCUUUCUCGUUAACAAAGUCUGGAAGUGCUGCAAAUGCGAGCAUUGGUACAUCGAGAGUUGAAAUGAGUUGCGUUUUGUCGUCUCCAUCAUGUCUAGCUGUUCAUCAAAAUUCCCAGGAACAUCUGAAGAAUCACACCGUUUAUGAAUGGCAUUGCAAAUUACAUAGAACAUCGAGCUGCGUUUACUCCAAAAAACGUAAGAAAAAGUAGAAAUCGCAUUUUAGAAAAAACCCAGAGUGGAAUCUUCUACAGUGCUCAUUCUACAUCAUCUACUUGCAAGUUUGCGGAGCAGAUCGACAGCAACUUGCGGCCGAGGUUCUGAGAAUGUUGAAUUCGCAUGAGGGAUCGCAACUGCACUCAUCUCUGUCACCAUCAAUGUUACAGUUAAAAGACCUCAUGGGGUCCUCGAUUUACACUAGGUCGUAGUGAUUAACUUAUUUCGAGUGUGAGCUUCUCUAGAGAUCCCUUGUCCAUGAGUAUACUUGAACUGCACCUUGUUCUAUCCAAUUUCACUACUAUUUACUAGCAGAUUGUCUGGUUAGAAUGGGUCACACCUGAGGGCUUGACUGUUGCAACAGAUUACGAUAGUGGAGUUUUUUUCGGACCAGAUUAUGAUAGACAGAUUGAAAGUGGAUCAGCUUGGUGCAAAGUUUCGUCUAUUGGCGGCAAGGAAAUAAAUAUUGGCGCUCGACCCAGCUGCAAAGGGACAAGUGAGACAAUGUAAGAAUACACAUGUUGAUGGGAGAGAUGUAUGAGACUGCAAAAGCGUCAAAUUGAACUGUUGUUUAAAUAAGGUGAAAUCCUUUUAUUAAAUACUAUGAAAUAUUAUAUAAAUAAAUAAAUAAAUAAAUAAAUAAAUAAAUACAUAUUCCCAAUCUUAGUAUUUGAACUAUAUUAUAUAAUACAGCUCCCACUACAAUAAAAGAAUUGGAGCUAUUAAACAAUAAAAUAUAAAUUUUGAAUAUCAAAAUAACAAUAAUAAUAAUAAUAAUAAUAAUAACAACAGUAUUUAUUAUUAUUAUUAUUAUUAUUAUUAUUUUUAUUGUAAUUUAAAAGUUUCAGGCGCCUAAGGAUUGUGUUCUCAUUUGAAUCCGAGAUUUGUUACCAGCGUGUUUUUUUUCACUCGGCUGCUUGGCCAACUGCUUGUUCAAACGAGCUUUUUCAUUCAUAACGCAACAAAUGUUCUAGAACAUGGUACUGAUGGGGAGCCUGUGGUGCGCAGAUUGGAUUACCCAGGUGUUGGUCCAGAGCACAGUUUCCUGAAGGAUGUUGGUCGAGCAGAGUACUUCAGCGUGACUGAUGAUGAAGCCCUGGAAGGUAAGAAGAACACUGCAGUAGAAUUUCACUUCAAAUUCGUCAUCUCGUUGUUUUGAGCUUUCUCAUGCUUCUAGGUAAGGUCAAUUGCAGCAGUUCCUGAUUACAUAUCAUUAGUCUCAAAAGUUUAGAGGUUCCGCGGCAUUCAUCAUGGAGACACUGUAUGGGUUAUAAACACUUCCAAGUUUGUGUUCUCUCAUCAGCUACCUUGCUAACGGUACUGUCGCUCUUUUUUGUUGCCAAUGCAGCAUUCCAGAGGUUGUCCAAGCUGGAGGGUAUCAUUCCGGCACUGGAGACAUCUCAUGCCCUAGCUUUCUUGGAAAAACUUUGCCCUACACUUGAAGACGGUACCCGAGUGGUCCUCAAUUGCAGUGGUCGUGGUGACAAGGAUGUCAACAGCGUCAUUGGUUACUUGAAAGGAAAGUACUGAAUCUCAGUAUGAAGAUUGUGGGGAAUGUCUCACUUCAAUUAUUGUCAUUCCACGUUUUUUUGCAAUGAGUUUUUCCAGCCUCUUUAAGAAUUGGUAAGGCAGAGAAGAUGUCUCGUCUUUGCGGGCCAUUGUUGUAAUCGAGAGCAGUGCAUUAUCUGCGCUGAACAGAUAUCAGUCUGGAGGUAUUUAGGUUUAAUACACAGAACAUGGAGUUCUUUUAUAUCCUUUUUCUGCCUUAAGGAGCAUUCACUUGAAGAAUGUUGUUGCUGCAGUGGUUCACAAUGCCUUACAAAGAUAUUGAAGCUGCCCCCCUUAUCCACGUAGUUGUGCAUGUGUUGCUGGCUACAUGCGCCAGUUCACAAUUGACUACAACCUCCUUUUCCAGAGAAACAGAGCUAAGAGCUAUGGAAGCACAUACGAGUGGUUUCUUAACAUGGAAUAUAUAUACAUAUAUAUAUGUGUGUGUGUGUGUGUAAUGUGUGUGUGUGUCCUUCAAAAGGUUCAUUAUAUAUAAAUAGAGACGUUACUGGGGUUGAUACAAGUCAUUAAUGGCAUCCUAAACAAUAUAAUUCUAGACAUUACCAACUUUAAUGCAUAACAAUCUUAGUUGUCACCACAAGAUUUCAAUGUAAAUUGUUUCAAUGUACAAGUGUUUUGGCAAUACACAAAAAUGGUGAUCAGCACUAUAUGUAAUUACCCAUUGCUGGAAUUAUUUAUAAUAUUGCUCACACUGAUUUGGCAAGGUAGCGGAACAAUUUGUGUUUUAUCAUCAUGUAUUCUUGCAUUGUUUCUAAUUUUCUUGUCGAUAAUACAAAAUGUAGCCCACAGUAACUGCUGGUAAAUAACGAUUUUACAUUUUUCCUUCCUUGAACUAUUCGCCCAGCAAGUGAGUCAUCGCUAGUUUCGCAACACACAGCAAUUAAUGAAGCGAAAGGUUCCGCACCGACUCUUCCAACACCAACGCCUCCGCCGUGGAAGAGAAAUGCGGCCGUGGCUCCAAGUUCCCCGACGCGAUCCUAUGCGUCGAUGCAUCUGUGACCUCUUUUAUCUUCUCCAAAACGCUUCGAUACAAAUUCCAAUGCAUACACCCUGCAGCGAUAGCCGGCAUCCCAAUCGGAUGCAUUCUCACAAACUCUCGCACAUCCGCCGCAUUUCGCAGAUGCGUCAAAUACCCCACCAAUCCCUCUGCCAAGAAAUUAUCCUGCUCAUUGUAGGUGUACGGUUUCAAGAAAAUUGCCGUGUGAGGAGGAUUGAGUAGCGCUUUAUAGGGAGUGUCAUCAAUAAGGAGAGUGUUGGUCUCAUUAAAUUCGCCGUCAGGGAAUCUCGACCAAACUUUCGCGAGCUCCUUCAGAAACAGCGGCUGGCGUCUGUUCGUAGGAUUCUUAAACCCCGUGGCGGUGCAAUCGCCUUGAUGCAUGACGAACAUUACCUUGUGCUGCAAACCCUCACCGAUGUAGUCAAGGAUCUUGCGCACGUUGGCCUCCAUCCUGGAAGACCACACGCCGACGUGGAAAUUCUCGAAGCAAAAAUCGAUGAAGGCGAUGCAGAACGGCCGCUUGAAUACAUAGUUCAUCCCCACCAAUGCUCCGGUCUAACUUCUUGUGGCAGGCCACCAAGAUACCGUUCAAGUCGAGGAUCAAGAGCUUCUUCCUCGCCGGCGUGCCGAGCCUCCACGCUUGCGCCAAUGAAGCCCGGUUCUCCUCCAAUGCACUGCUAGAAGCAUAGUUUCCAUUCGCAGUAUCCAAAGGUUGCAAUUCUUCCUCUGCUUUAGCAACUGUUUCGCAAGACCCGGAGCUUUCCUCACCACGUCCACGAAGGACAUCUCUUACAGCGGCAGCGCUGGCCUCGCUAUUCUCCAUGUCAUUAGCGACACCAUCUGGAGGUUCAGCAGCGAAAGGAGAGAUGACGAUUACAAAAGUUUCUAGGGUUUGAAGAUUGAAGGAACAACACAGGAAUGCAAUCCAUGGCGCAAUGGGGCGAAGGAGAGUUACGCACCUUGAAGAGCAGGAGGAGGAGGCUUCAUGGUUGGGCCUUCUGAGCAGGGGGGUGUGUUGGACGUUGCGAUUCCAGGGCAGGGUGACUUCAAUGUGAACCCCUCUUUUUACCACGACCGUGCCCUAGCAGGAGGAGGAGGCUUCAUGGUUGGGCCUUCUGAGCAGGGGGGUGUGUUGGACAAACUGAAACAAAGAUGGGUUGCUUCAGGUUGUUGAGUUUGCUGCUCGUUUGUAGACAUGCUCGACUUUUUUAAAAUCCUUUCGCCUCAAACGCAAGGAGCUUGCAGAAUUUGCUGAACCAUUUGUGCGGAACAUACAAGAUCUGCUACCAUUGAAUGUCGCAAACCAUGCCCUGACCAAGCUUGGGGCAAAAGCAACAUACAUGGCUUCUUGGAAGAGUUGUGAGUUGAGCCAAAAGCAUUUGGUAAAGGACUCUACCUUGGGUUUCAAAAGCUUGUGCCAUUACUUAUGAGAUUGGCUGCAACAAAUCCUAGUAGCAUGACUACAUUUGACAAAGAAUAAUUGGCAAUAGUGUGUCGAACCUCAAUGAUCUAGAUGGAGAAGGUUACCUUAUUCAUAUUGCUUCAAAGAUUGUUUCUAUUGAAAAUAAUGAAAAUUGGACAUGGUAUUUUUACUAUCUAGUAAGUAUCUUAAACUUUGCAAGCCUCACAUUUAUUUAUCAGAGAUUGCAAGGUGUGUAAAUUUUUGAUGUUCAAUCUCACAUUUGAUUUUGCAUUUAAUUUUGCAUUGACAACAGUGAUAUGUCUAAGGAGUUCAGAAUGGGAAUGAUGCAAAUAUUUUGUUUAAAAAUCAUUGUACUUGCAUUUGGCACAUCAAAAAGAACAUAAAAUGGCACUACAAAACAAAGUUGAAUUGUAAUAUCUAGACAAAGGCAUUGAUCCUAGAUACCUAUGUAACUGCAAUGGUAGAUAUCUACGAGAUAUAUGUUGCUACAUUUGAAAACCUUGUUGUUAUUCCAAGUCAAAACUAGAUUGUUAGUUUUGAUAGGUCUCCACCAUUUGGAGUCGUUAUUUCAAACAUGUCAAAGGCAACAAACUCUUGGAUCCUUGAUAAAUGCCACAUGGAACCUUUUGAUGUCAUUCUUUAGAUUAUUCAAAAAAUUGAAGGCCUUUUCUACAAUCAACAUACCAAUUAUGUAGCCAUCCCAAUACACAUUUUUUCUAAAAUCACCUCAAAUACAUAGUAUCUACAAGCUGCUCUGAACGAAGUUUUGCCGUCGCUCACAACUCCAGAGCGCUAUUGAACAAAAACAUACUUCACCAGUUCAGCCACCUGAAUUUAGCAUCUUUAGGUCGUGUGCACAUUUUGCACACAAACAAUGCUUCACUUGCAUGAAGGAAAAAAAAAAGAAUAAAACUUUGUUGAAGUGGCUCUUCUCGUGUUCUGAUAGUUGGAUCAGAACCAAGUCAUUCAAAACCUGAAAAAUUACCCAGCGAUACAUCAAAUAUAGCAUAUCUGAAGAUAUUUCUUGUGUAGAAAAUGUCCCGCGUCCACUUGGCCACACAUCUUUGUGGUCAUAAAAAUAGGGCAGAGGGAGCUUCGCCUAGUAAAAGAUGAGUGUGCCUGCACCCCGGAUAAUAGGAUACCUCCUAGUUCUAUGAAUUAAACUGAUUUGUUGUCCUACUAGAACAUUUAAGUUCAACCAGAGUAAAACUUUGGAUUAUGUUGAGAUCAUUAAAUGUAGCCGACGCUCUCUAUAAUAUUUACUAUAGACUACAGUAAUUACUGUAGCUACAGUAUUUAGAGUCUAAUAGAGAAGUAUUGUUCAUCCUCUUAUCUUCGAGGAUGUACGAGACACAACUAGAUCAAUAGAUUUUUGUGUGUGUGAAGCUCUCUCUCCUUAGAAACCCUCUUGUGUGUAUGACUUACUACUACUCUUGUGUAUGUAUGACUAACUAUUACUCUUGUGUCUUUCUAAACAUUCUCAACACGUUAUCAGCACGAUUCUCUUCUACACACUAUCACAAUUAUUUUUUGCUCUAGUCUUUGACUCUUCAAACCUGUUGCUACCCUUGAUUAGUGUCUAGGUCAUGGUCCUGUUCUUCUUGCUGGCCCUUCACACAUUAGCUGCUCCACUCUCUACCUUGCUUGCUCUGAAUACUUGAUCCAACUCAACUCCACCCUCUGCUUGUUCCUUGCUCCCUGCUGCGCCCCGAACUGUCGCCAAACUGCCGCCAAACAGAUGCCGAAUCCGUCGCUGCCACCCUGUCGUCGCUGCCACCGCCGCCCCCGUCGCCGUUGUCCGCUACUGUCCAUCGUUGCCACCCACCAUUGCCCGCCGUUGCCAGCUGCUGCUGUUUGUCGUUGCCCGCCGCCGCCCGCCGCUACCUGCCGCUGCCACCUUGCCGCCCUACCACUACCUGCUGCCGCCAUUUUAUUGCUAUUUUGCUGCCUUAAUCUACAACUCUUUUUUCUUAAAAAAAAUAAAAAAAAAUUAUAUAUUUUAUUUUUUUCAUGUUCAAGUUUAUCAUUUUAUUUGACUUUAUAUUUUAAGGUACGUUUUACUCAACUUUUCUACUUGAUCUUAUAUUUUCUUUACAGAUUUAUUUAUAAUGAGUGCUUCAACAUCUUCAACUGCUUCUACUAUGGUUCCUACUAUUACCAGUGCAUCCCAACAUUUUCAAGCUCUUUUAUUUCCACCAUUGACUGUGGAUGGAAACAAUUAUCUAUUAUGGAUAAAAAUGCCAAAAGCAAAUUUAUUUGCAGAACAAUUCUCGGAUGCCAUUAUGUUUGAAGAAUCUCCUACAACAAGUAUUUCUAUAUCUCCUGCUAUUCAUUGGAAAGCACUUCUUCUCCUUCGUCGUCAUCUUGUACCCGCAUUACAACAUCAAUAUUUGGAAAUAGAAGACCUUGUAGAACUUUGGAAGAAUCUUAAAUCUAGGUUUGAUCAUCAAAAGACCAUUUUUCUUCCACGUGCACAUCACAAUUGGACACAUUUACAUGUCUUGGAUUUUCCAAAUUUAAAUGCUUUCAAUAGUAAAAUGUAUUGUAUUGUCUUACAAUUACGAUUAUGUGGACAAAGCAUUUCUGAAGAAGAAAUGAUUGAGAAAACUCUCUCUACAUUUCCUCUUGCAUCUGUUGUGUUUACACAACAAUACAUGAACAUGAAAUUUCAGAGUCAUUCUGAUCUCAUGUCCUAUCUACUUCUUGCGAAGAAGCAAAAUGAGCUAUUCUUGCACAAUGCGGAAGCUCGUCCUAUUGGAACUACGAUUCCUGAAUCUCAUGCACUUAAUAUUUCAAAGUCUAAGAAGAAAUUAUAUAAACAUGGAAAAUGUGCUCAUAAGUAUCAGGGUAGUCAUAGUCAAGACCAUUUCUAUCCAUAUGGAAAGAAUAAAUAUUCUACUAUUAAUUAUAGUAAAAAACAAAAAUCAGAGAUGCAUUCUUGCCAUAAGUGUGGAAUGAUUGGAUAUUUAGCACAUGCAUGCCGUAUUUUAAAAUAUUUUAUUAAAAUGUUCCAAGAAAAUAAGAAAUUACGAGCUGAGGCUCGUGAAGUUCAUACCAUAGAUGCGUCCAUGGAUUCAAUUGGUGUUGAUGAUUUAGAGGCUUAUAUGACUGAUAGAACCUCUAAUGAUGAAUCAAAUGAUGCGCUCAUUGAUUCUGCAACAACACAUACUAUCUUGCAAGAUAGACGAUUUUUUAUUGAAAAAUCUUCAACUUGGCAAACUAAAAAUUUGAUGACCAUGGCUAGAACAAAUGCAUUUUGUUUCCAAGAGGGCAGAGAGAUGGUAAAAUUACUUACAGAUUCCAUCAUAAAAUGUAAACAUGCGAUGUUUACACCCUUAGCACCUCGAAGUUUGAUCAGCUAUCGAGAUGUGCGUAUUAAUGGUUAUCACCUCUCGACCGCCACUUUAAAUAGAAAAGAAGUUUUGGUUCUUACGAAGAAGCAUAAAGUUGUUGAAAAAGCUUUUGCUACAGAAAAUGGUUUAUACCGAAUUGUGAUUCGGCCUCCCAUUACAUUUAAUUUUGCAUCAUCUAUCUUAGAGAGUUGUGUUUCUCUUUGGCAUGGACGAUUGGAACAUCCACGAUCCACAUUAUUUAGAAAGAUCAUUCCAUGUAUAACUGGACACAAUUUAAAGCCUAUAGAUAUAGACUUUAUGGAAUUAUGUCGUGCAUGCAUGCGAGGUAAAAUGAUUACUCAACCUUCAAUUUGAAAACUUCCACAAGAAUUACCACCAAUGCUUGAAAGUUUACAUGAUGAUAUUUGUGGUCCUAUUAAUCCAAUAUCAGAACCAUUUCGUUAUUUUUUGGUCCUUGUUGAUGCAUCAGGUAAACAAUCACAUGUUUCAUUAUUAUCAACUUGAAACAUGGUGUUUGCUAAUCUUAUAUCUAUACUUAUUUGCUUUCGGGCACAUUUUCCUGAUUAUCCUAUAAAAACAUUGCGUAUGGAUAAUGCAAAAGAAUUUGCAUCAAAAUCUUUUGAAGACUAUUGUACUGCAACAGGAAUCGAGUUGACAUAUUGUGUUCCAUAUGAACAUGCUCAAAAUAGACUUGCAGAGUCAUUUAUAAAGCGUAUACAACUCAUUACACAACCACUCCUCCUUCACGCAAAUCUACCUACAUCUAUGUGAGAUCAUGCAGUUUUACAUGCUGCAGCAUUAAUAUGCCUCCGCCCUUCUUUUCUUCAAAUUGUUUCACCACAUGAGCUCAUUUUGGAUCGUGUUCCAAAUGUAUCUCACUUACGAGUAUUUGGUUGCCGUGCUUGGAUUCCAGUACUAGAACCUCAACGGCGUACCAUUGGAGCUCAUCGAUAAGAAGGCAUAUAUGUUGGUUUUGAUUCACUAAGCAUUAUUUGUGUUGUUGAUCCAUCAACUGGCACAUUAUUACGUGCACGUUUACAAAAUUGCCGUUUUGAAGAAACUGUAUUCUCAUCUCUUCAAAGAGGAGUAUCCAAUCAACAAAGAAAUAAAAUACUCAUAUUUGAAGCACCAAAAACGUUUACAAUGAAUCCCGAUCCUAUGACAUCUUUGGCAGAAACUGAAGUUGCUAAGAUUUUGCAUUUAAAACGGAUCGCGGAUGAAACACCUGAUGGCUUCAAUGAUGCACCUAGAAUUACAAGUGUUCCUAUUAAUGAGGCUUAGAAUGCACCUGCUCAGAUUGCAGUGCCAUUGACUACAAUACCUCAAGUUAUAACAACAACAACUAAAAAAACUCGUGGACCAAAUAAGCAACCACAUAAGAAGAAAGCUAUAAAAUUAACUAAUCCUGGUAUUAUUUCUCAAGAAAUUGCCACUCAUCUUACAAAACUACCAAUUCAUGAUGAUAUAUCUAUGUAUAAUAUAUCUUCAAUUCCUAUGAAAAAUAAUCUUGGAAUUAGAAGGAAUAAGAACAAGUUGAGUAAAGAAUUAUCUAUUCUGUAUUGUGCUACAGAUGGUAUUUGGGACAGACCAUCUAUUACGGUAGAUGAAUCAUUUGCAUAUAUGAUUAUAGAAGCCUUUUCUUGCGAAAAAGACGAUCCUGAACCUCAAACCAUCAAAGAGGCGAUGCGUCGCUCUGAUUGGUCAAAAUGGAAAACUGAUAUUGAGGAAGAGUAUGCUUCUUUGCGUAAGAGGAAAUUCUUUGGUCCAAUUAUAGACACUUUUACAUCUCGCCCUGUGGGAUAUAAAAUGGUAUUAAUAUGCAAGCAAGAUGCUCAAGGCCAAAUAAUCCGCUAUAAAGCUCGUCUUGUUGCUCAAGGAUUUACUCAACGAUUUGGCAUUGAUUAUGAAUCCACAUAUUCUCCAGUCAUGGAUUCAAUUACAUUUUGAUAUAUUAUUGGAAUGACAGUUCAUACCACCCUUGAGAUACAUCUGAUGGAUGUAGUUACUGCAUAUCUAUAUGGUUCUCUUGAUGCAAAUAUUUAUAUGAAAGUUCCACCUGGCUUAGAAAUAAGAAUUCCAAAUCAACCCGCUUUAAGAAAAUAUCGUGGUAUUAAAUUAUGUAAGGCCUUGUAUGGUUUAAAACAAUCCGAACGAAUGUGGUUACAACGUCUUCGAUAUUAUUUAAUUAAAAAUAAUUUUAUAAGUAAUCCAUUAAUUCCUUGUUUGUUUAUCAAACGAGAUAAAACUAGUUUUGUGAUCAUCUGUCACGGCCAUAAUCAUGUAAGCUAAUAAUUACAUAUAGAAAUAGGUAGAAGUAAGUAAAAGUAGAUAAAAGUAAGUUAAUUGUAUAAUAUUUAAUAUAGAAGCUUCUUAGAAACUUCCUAGAUGCUGCUUUGACUUCAUAGGUGUCUUUAAUUGACUUUUUGGAUUAGAAACGUGGUCAACAAGUUGGCCAUAUGCCACACAUGUUGUUAGCUUGAAGAUCAAGCUAACUAUGUGGCCCACACGUAGAAAAACUUGCCUUGUAAGUCAAGGCAUGUGUCCUACAAAGUCAACACAUAUUGGAGGUCCUAUAGAACGUCGCCACGUAGCCCCUAGUUAGAUAGUAUAUAUAGAGACAAGAGUGAAGGCUUCUUCACUCUUGUCAACUCCUUUCUUGCUUCUAGUCCAGGUUCAAGAGUCUUUAGUUUCUUGUCUUGUGGCAAUAGCCAUUCCAGUUUCCUUUUAAUAUACCUACUUGUUUAUAUUUUGACUUAUUAUAUCGAGAUAGCCUUUUGGUGUAUAUUUUUCCUCAUCGAGUCUUUGUCCUUGACAGAUUGACAAGAGUACACUUACAAUAUCAGAGCUUUGUUUUUUCUUGAGUAAGAGUGGAUUACCCCUUUCUCUUGACAAGACAUAAGCGUAUUAGAAGUUUGCGGAUUACCCACUUCUAAACUGAUAUUGUUCUUAGUAUCUUCUUUGUUAUCAAGUCUUUCUUUUCUUUUGUCUUGAGCAAUAUCAAACAAAUUUUUCUUCUUAGUGUCAUUAUGGCAGAGCUUGUUGAAAUGAAGAGUGCAAUGGUACAAAUGCAAGAGCAAAUGAGGGAGUUAAUGCUUGCGAUGCAUCAACUCAAUUCACCAACACAGGAAAGAACAAGAAUAACAGAAAGUGGAGAUAUAGAGAUGAUCGGAGCUGCUUCAACAUCUACAACAAAUCACGUUCCUUCUUCAAUUGGACAACACCCUAUAAGCACUAGAGAACCAAGAAUUGCCUUACCUGAGAAAUUUGAUGGUACGAGAUCAAAGUUUCGAGGGUUCAUCAAUCAAGUACAAUUGGCAAUUGAACUUCAACCGCAAAGCUAUCCAACUCCAGGAUCACAAGUCAGGUUUAUUGGCACUCUACUUUCUGGUUCUGCAUUAUCGUGGUUUUCGUCUUUUCUUGAACAACGAAAUCCAAUAUUGGACAAUUUGGAAGCUUUUUUGGCAGAGUUUCGAUCUAUGUAUGGUGAACACGAUGCAACUCGUGUUGCAACAAAUAAGAUCCGAAUUCUGCGACAAGGAAAUCGCUCAGUAACAGUAUAUGCUUCAUAAUUUCGAUAACUUGCAAUUGACAUCAAGUGGGAUGAUGCUGCACUCAUCAGUCAAUUUCUUUAUGGAUUGCAAUACGAAGUAAAGAAAUUGAUGCUCAACUUACCUGAUCCUCAAACUUUGAGUCAAGCAAUCGAUUUUGCGGUAAAAUGUGAUAAUCGACUUUUUGAAUUUCGAUCUGAGAAUCAUUCACGGGAACCUCAACGUUAUUACUCAAUGGCAACAUCAACAUCUUUGCCAAACGUACAUUCGGAAGUAGAAGACAUGCAAAUUGACGCGGUACGUUUUAAACCUCUAACUGAGCAAGAAAAGAUUCGUCGUCGUCAAGAAGGAUUAUGUUUAUAUUGCGGAGAACCUAAGCACACUGCUCAACAUUGUCCAAAGAAACGACGCAACUAUAAAAUGAGGGGUACGACGGUCAAAGAAGACAACAUGUCGGAAAACGGAUUCGUCCAGCUACAAUAGGGACCGUGCAGCUGGAACCUUGUACAAUUCCUAAUGAAGGUCCUAUCCUCUCCUCAGAACCCUCUCCUUGUUUUAUAAUAGACUUAUAUUUAGGACCUAAGAAUUAAAAAGCCUCUGCUUUAUUAGAUUCGGGAGCCUCAGCAUGUUUUUUAGAUGAACAAUUUGUUAAAAGUCGUAAAAUACCCUAUGUACAGAAACCUAAACCAGUACAUGUAGAAGUCAUAGAUGGUCGUCCCUUGUCUUCUGGAGAUGUCACUCAUGAAACUCAUCCUAUAAAAGUAACAAUAGACGGUCAUGAUAGCUACAUAGCUUUUAACAUAAUUAAAUCCCCGUCCAAUCCAGUUAUUUUAGGUUUAUCCUGGCUAGAAAAAUAUAACCCUCGAAUAGAUUGGAAUUCGCGUAAACUUGACUUUUCCAAAAGCAUUAUUAAUAGUUCUACGAACCAAGUAAAAAAUUAUAAGUCUAGUACAGUAAAACCCAUACUGAUAGGUGCAAAAGCAUUUAUACACGCAGCAAAAGAAGGAUCAACUUUUGCUAUUUAUGCUGCACCUAUUUCUGAAAACGUAAAGACUUCAAGUGGCAUUCCAAGUCAAUAUCAGGAGUAUCAAGACGUUUUUGAGAAAAAGAAUGCAGAUAUUCUUCCUGAGCAUCGUCCAUAUGAUUGUUCAAUCGACCUCAAGGAAGGAACUCAGCCACCAUUUGGACCAAUUUACAGUUUAUCGCAAGAUGAGAUGGCUGAACUCAAGACAUAUAUUGACGAGAAUUUAGCGAAGAAUUUCAUACGCCAUUCAAAAUCUCCAACAGGAGCUCCAAUUCUAUUCAUAAAGAAAAAAGAUGGAUCUUUACGAAUGUGUGUUGAUUAUCGAGGACUCAACAAGAUCACAAUCAAGAACAGGUAUCCAUUACCUUUGAUAUCAGGACUCCUUGACCAGUUGAAUCAAGCUAAGAUCUAUACAAAAAUAGAUCUAAGAGGAGCAUAUAAUCUAGUACGGAUCAAAGAAGGAGAUGAAUGGAAGACUGCGUUUCGAACCAGGUAUGGACAUUUCGAAUAGAAUGUCAUGCCCUUUGGACUCACGAAUGCACUAGCUGCUUUUCAACAUCUCAUGAAUGAUGUAUUUCGUGAAUUCUUAGACAAUUUUGUCGUCUGCUAUCUAGACGAUAUCCUGAUCUAUUCCAAGAACGUCGAAGAACAUGAAAUACAUGUUCGUCAAGUAUUACAAAAACUCAGAGAUGCAGGAUUGUACGCCAAGAUGGAAAAGUGUGUAUUUCACACUACUCAAGUUGACUUUUUAGGAUACAUCAUUUCAAAUGAUGGUCUCAUGAUGGAUUCUAAGAAAGUCCAAACAAUCGUGGAUUGGAAGAUUCCAAGGACAGUAAGAGAUGUUCAAUGUUUCUUGGGAUUUGCCAAUUACUAUCGGAUCUUCAUCAAAGAUUUCUCACGAGUUGCAGCUCCACUUACACGCUUGACUAGUAAAGAUAAAUUUCAAUGGAAUCAAGAAGCGGAAGCAGCAUUUGAAGCCUUGAAGACAUCGUUUGUCUCUGCACCAGUCUUAUAUCGUGUUGACUUUUCCAAGGCAUUUUUUAUGGAAACAGAUGCAUCAGAUUUUGCCUUGGGUGCAGUUUUAUCACAAAUGGGAACAGAUGACAAACUCCAUCCAAUAGCUUUUCAUUCAAGAAAAUUCUCAGCAGCCGAGAUCAAUUAUGAGAUCCACGAUAAAGAACUUCUUGCGAUCGUGGAUUCCUUUCAAGAAUGGCGUCAUUAUCUAGAAGGCGCUUCUAGUCCAGUUACUGUGUAUACAGAUCACAAGAACCUCCAGUAUUUCAUGUCAGCACGCGUGUUGAAUCGUCGUCAAGCUCGUUGGAGUAUGUCUUUGUCAAGAUUCGAGUUCAUUAUCACUUAUCGGCCAGGAAAACAACAAGGUUUAUCCGAUGCCCUAUCUAGACGUUCUUAUUUUGCACCAAAAGAAGGAGAUGCAGCUUUUGAGGAACAAAGAACGGUCCUCUUGAAACCGGAGCAAUUUCAUCUCCGAGCAAUGAAAUCAACAUUGACUGUUGAUUCAACUUUUCUCAAGCAAAUCCAGUCCAGUAUGUCCUCAGACCCUCUUGUUUAUGAUAUCGAGAAUAAUUCUUCCAAGUCUCAUGAUCCUUCUAAGUUUGAGUUCAAGAAUAAUCUAUUAUAUUUUGAAGGACGCCUAUAUGUUCCAGAAGGAGAAGCACGUUUACGUGUUCUUCAAGCACGUCAUGACUUUCCAGCAGCAGGGCACUUUGGAUAUAAUAAGACUUUGGAACUCAUAUCAAGAGAUUUUUGGUGGCCACAAAUGUGGAAGUCAGUCAAAGACUUUGUACAAUCAUGUGAUAUUUGUUCAAGAUCAAAAAUUCCUCGUCAUCGACCUUACGGACUUCUUCAGCCAUUACCUAUACCAGAACAACCAUGGUCUUCUGUUUCUAUGGAUUUCAUCACAGAUCUUCCAAGCUCAAGAUCUUAUGAUUCUAUAUUUGUGAUAGUAGAUCGUUUCACCAAGAUGGCACAUUUUGUGCCAUGUACAAAAUCUAUCACAGGUGAAGAAACAGCUAAGCUUUUCAUUGAUAAUAUCUAUCGCUAUCAUGGAUUACCUAAAGAUAUCAUAUCGGAUAGGGGAACUCAAUUUGUGUCAAGAUUUUGGAGGACCCUUUUCAAGAUUUUAAAAGUGGACAUAAAACUAUCUUCGGCUUUUCAUCCUCAAACUGAUGGACAAACAGAGCGCGUAAACCAAGUCUUGGAGCAAUAUUUAAGGUGUACUAUCAACUACCAACAAGAUGAUUGGACAACCCUUCUGCCAUUGGCAGAGUUUGCUUAUAAUAAUACGGUACAUUCUUCCACGCAACAAACACCUUUCUUUGCCAAUUAUGGCUAUCAUCCACGACUUGAUACUUUUGAUUUUUCAAAAGUUGAUAAUCCUGCAGCAGAAGAUAUGGCAAAUCGGUUGUCAGAGUUACAUGCAAUAAUGAAGACACAAUUGAAGGAAGCUCAAGAACGACAAAAGAUAAACGCAGAUCUAUAUCGUAAGGAGCAACCACAGAUCAACGUCGGUGAUAAGGUAUGGCUACUUCGUCGCAAUAUCAAGACUACUCGACCUUGUGACAAGUUGGACUAUCGUAGGCUUGGCCCCUUUUCUGUUUCUGAACAGAUCAACCCAGUUGCAUAUCGGUUACAUCUACCAGAGUCAAUGAAGAUCCAUCCUGUAUUCCACGUAUCUCUUCUUGAACCAUAUAAGACAGUGGAUAUACAAGGAAGAAGACAAAUGCCACCGCCUCCUAUAGAAGUAGAUAAUAAUGAAGAAUUUGAGGUGGAAGAGAUAUUAGACUCAAGGCGGCGCCGAAAUAAGUUGGAAUAUCUUGUUCAUUGGCGCGGAUAUGAUAUUAGUGAACGCACAUGGGAGCCAUCCAGGAAUCUAGCAAAUGCAUCAACUAAAGUCAAAGUUUUUCAUCAACGACAUCCAUCAAAACCAAGAUGAAAAUCUCUCUUAUAAAAGAGACAAGAUUGAGGCAAGACAACAUUCAAUUUCCUAUCCUUGUUUGUAACUUCUUUGCAUUUGUGACGCUAAUUAGAUGGAGAGCCAACAACCAGCAGAUUCAACUCAAGAACCUUCGUUUGCUGACCUGCCGGACGAGACAUUACGAUUGUCACAACCUUCAAGACGACGCAAUCGAGAUGAAGAUCUUCAAGAACGACAUGUUCUUCCUCGAACAGAUGGUGAGAUACAACGCGUUUGGUAUCACGAUUUGGGAAGGGACUCUCGAUGUUUGGUGAUUUUGCUAGAGGUAGGAACAACUCCUGAUGGUGUUCCGAAUAUUCUAUUCAAACGAAGUUAUGAAGGCCUCAAUAAUGUUCAAAUAACUGGGUGGUCUUCCCGCCCUGGUAUGAGACACUACCGAUGGUUGAGAAAACCUAUCAAUCAUCUUCGAAGAGAACAGAGAUCAGAGUAUGUGGCGAAUACAAUUCGUCGCAUCAUAGAUUUCCUCAACAUAUGAUGACCGCUCCUCGUGGAACUCGUCUCUAGAAGGGGGGGUAAUGUCACGGCCAUAAUCAUGUAAGCUAAUAAUUACAUAUAGAAAUAGGUAGAAGUAAGUAAAAGUAGAUAAAAGUAAGUUAAUUGUAUAAUAUUUAAUAUAGAAGCUUCCUAGAAACUUCCUAGAUGCUGCUUUGACUUCAUAGGUGUCUUUAAUUGACUUUUUGGAUUAGAAACGUGGUCAACAAGUUGGCCAUAUGCCACACAUGUUGUUAGCUUGAAGAUCAAGCUAACUAUGUGGCCCACACGUAGAAAAACUUGCCUUGUAAGUCAAGGCAUGUGUCCUACAAAGUCAACUCAUAUUGGAGGUCCUAUAGAACGUCGCCACGUAGCCCCUAGUUAGAUAGUAUAUAUAGAGACAAGAGUGAAGGCUUCUUCACUCUUGUCAACUCCUUUCUUGCUUCUAGUCCAGGUUCAAGAGUCUUUAGUUUCUUGUCUUGUGGCAAUAGCCAUUCCAGUUUCCUUUUAAUAUACCUACUUGUUUAUAUUUUGACUUAUUAUAUCGAGAUAGCCUUUUGGUGUAUAUUUUUCCUCAUCGAGUCUUUGUCCUUGACAUCAUCGCUGUAUAUGUUGAUGAUCUUAACCUAGAGGGCACUACAUCUGCAUGUGUUACAACUACAAACCUACUUAUACGUGAAUUUGAGAUGAAAAUGCUAGAAAAAAUAACUUUCUGCAUUGGUCUUCAGAUUAUGCAUCUUACAGAUGGUAGCAUUUUUCUCUACCAAUUAACGUAUAUUAGACGAAUUUUACAAAGAUUUAAUAUGAAUGAUGCUUAUCCAUUGUCCACACUAAUAGUUGGACGUGGUCGUGAUGGUCAUGAUCCAUACCGUCCAUGCGAAGAGGAGGAGGAAAUAUUGGGAGACCAAUAUCCAUACCUCGCAGCGGUUGGAGCACUUUUGUAUUUAACUACAUUUAUAAGACCAGAUAUUACAUUUGCAGUUAGUGUUCUUGCAAGACAUAGUGCACAUCCAAGACUACGACAUUGAAAUGGCAUCAAACAUUUAUUACGUUAUUUAAAAGGUACUAAAGACUUGGGAUUAUAUUACACAAAAUCUACAGAUCCAAAAUUGGUUGGAUAUUGUGAUGCAAGAUAUAAAUAUGAUAUUGCAACAGCUAAAUUUCAAACAAGAUAUGUAUUUUUAAGACAUGGAGCUGCAAUAUCAUGGAAAUCAGUGAAACAAACAAUAACUGCAACUUCAUCUAACCAUGCAGAAAUUAUUGCCUUACAUGAAGCAUCCCGAGAAUGUAUUUGGUUGCGAUCAAUUAAUAAAUUUAUUCAAACAACCUGUGGAUUUUCAUAUGAUGAUUCUCCAACUAUCUUGCAUGAAGAUAAUAGUGCUUGUUUUGCACAGAUGCAAGUUGGUUUCAUUAAAGGUGAUAGGACAAAGCAUAUUGAUCCAAAGUAUUUUAGUUAUACUCAUGACUUGAUUACUGAUCAAGCACUUAUAAUUAAGAAAAUUGAAUCUACAAAUAACCUUGCUGAUCUCUUUACCAAAGCUCUCCCAUUAAGCAAUCAUCGUCGACUUACUUAUGGCAUUGGUAUGUGACGACUUGCUUUUCUUGAAUAAGAAAGUUAAUGAGCUCUUUAAAUAAUUAAAGAAAAUAAUGUUAUACUCUUUUUCCUUCAUCUAUGGUUUUGUCCUUAAAUAAAAUAAGGUUUUGUUAGAUAAGGUUUUAAUGAGGCAACAAUUCUUCAUCUUAAAAGAUCACAAAAAAGUAUAGAUCAUAAAUCUAUAUAAAUUUUAUAUUAUGUAAAUAUUAUGAUGAACAAGGAGGAGUGUUGAGAUCAUUAAGUGUAGCCGACACUCUCCAUAAUAUUUACUAUAGACUACAAUAUUUAGAGUCUAAUGGAGAAGUACUGUUCAUCCUCUUAUCUUCUCUCUUCUUAUGUACGAGAUACAACCAGAUCAAUAGAUUUUUGUGUGUGUGAAACUCUCUCUCCUUAGAAACCCUCUUGUGUGUAUGACUUACUACUACUCUUGUGUGUGUAUGACUUACUACUACUCUUGUGUGUGUAUGACUUACUACUACUCGUGUGUGUAUGACUUACUAUUACUCUUGUGUCUUUCUAAACAUUCUUAACAGGUUCACCCAAGUGGAGCUGAGGACGCUUUGAAAGAGAGCAGUGUUAUCAUGCUAAAAAAAAAUGGACUGUUCGUCGAGCUUGUUGGGCUAGCCCUAAAAGAUCACAAGCAAAGAAAAUGCGAUGUAUAUCAGGCCACAGGGAUAAGCCACCAAUGACCUGUGUUCCUCUGCGUGAGGCACGAGAACGUCCAGCAGACUUGUACAUGAUCGAGUGCACCAUAACACUGUUAAACUCCCCAGGACAUAUUUAAGUACCCCCUGCACAGCGCACCGAGGAGAUAAGAGCCUUGGCCUUAUUGGGCCAAAUAUGUCAAUAUGAUAAGUUUGUGAAAAACAAGACCACAAUCACGUCACGAAAGCAAUACCAACAAACUAGAGCCCGCAAAAACAAACCAACGACACUGUUGACCGACCGAAUUAAUUAAUUGCAGAUUAUUUACUUUCUUCAUUACUCCUUAGUUAAGAGUGGGAUGAAAUGGUGACUCACCUUGGGAGGAAGAUAGAGAACGCAGACAGCAGAACCAUGAAAAUUUGACAAUAUCCCACUAAGCUAACACAUCGAUAGAAGUCGAGGCUCCCAUUUUUCCCAGCCAACAGAUUGAAGACUAUGUACAGGUAUAUAGAUGCGAGCGUGGUCCACCCUAAAAUAACCCCGAAGUGCACUUUACCUCCUAUAAGCUGGCACAGGCCAAACAACAUGUAAAAUAUAAUAGGUCCUGAUAGAUCUGCAUCCUCAUGAGGGUCUGGGUUGAUCUGGAAAGGGUUCAGGACAGUGAGCGUUCUUCCCGUGAUCUGAGGGAUGCUGAUCCCAAGUUCUGCCCAGAAAAAAAUAAAAAUAAAAAUAAAAAAUCACUGAGUUUACACUAUACGUGCCUGGGACUAUUUAGAUCAAAGAUUAGGAAACUGUAGAGGGAGUUUGUAAAUCGGAACUCAGCAAUUAGGGUCAACAAGUAAACAAGAGAAUUUUAUAUUUUCUUGAAAGGUCCCAACCUUCAAGAAGUGGAGGUUCAUCUUCAAAGGCACCGAAUCCACCACCAGAGUAACCCAUACUGCUCAUUCGGGGAGGGGCAGACGCGCUCACGUCCCCUAAAUCGAAUGACAUGAAAAGGCAAGGAUGAGGAUCCCCUGGGCAUCCCCGCAGGCACUCCGCUCACACCCCAACCUCUCAUAUUCCCCCCCUCUUCGGUAUGGAUCCGCACCAUCGAACGACAACGCAACGUCAUCCCUCAUGGCCACGCUUUCUCAAUCUCCCCCACCUCCUCUCUCCCUCUAAUUCACACUUCGCACGUCGCCUUCCAGACCCUCAAGCUGCCAAUCCUUCCCUUCUACAGCUGCAUUCACCCCACAACUUCAUGUCACCAACCCUAACCCUCCGAGCAAUCGACAGCUAGAGCGCUACACCCAUCAAGUAUGCCCCCUUCAAAAUCUCGCACAUAUUGCGCAAUUCACAAGGGUUGAACUAAAAAACGGGCAGACGAUCGCAAUGUUAAUUUGCCGCCAACACGAUCUUGUCUGCAUCAAGUGAUGCGAGCGAUAUGAGUGGCGUCGGUCGAUGCGAUGUUGAGUGACUGCGAUGUAAGUGAGACCGAGUCUCGUGAGAGAAAGGCUCCUCCGUCGGCGAUGGACGACGAAGAUGGCGUCGAUUCUCACCACUCCCACGAACUAAUUCUCCUCAUGUGGGUGGUAUUAAAAAUGCAAGUUUUAGGGCAAGAAAGGGGACUUGGGUAUGUGACAACUUAUAAUUUCAUGAUUGAAUGAAUGUUUGUUCCACCGUUGACUAACUUUUGAUGGUUAUUUUCUGUGAGAUGUGUUGGAGUUGCUGCAAAUUUAACUUGGUGAUAAAAAUGUAAGUUUUACAAUGAGAAAGGAAUUUAGUUUUGUCACAUCUUCAAAUCGUGUGAAUGAAAGAAUGAUUGUUUGAGCUGUACUGGUCUAACUUUACAUGCUUGUUUGUUGCAGAAUGCAUCAAAGUUGUUAAGAAAUUGACUAUGUGAGUGGUGAUAAAAAAAAAACACAAGUUUCAAGUCAAGAAGAGAAUUUGAAUUUGUUAUAACUUAUAAAGCCACUUGAUAUGGAUUUGGGAUGACCUUAGGCUAUUAAAGUAUGGUUAGUGAUGCCAAAAAAAAGCAUAUGUGUUUUUAAUAAAAAGUACCAUUAAGAAAAAAUUAUAUAUAAAUAUAUAUAUAUAUAUAUAUAUAUAAAUUAUAAAAUCUUCUAUACAAUCUUUUUUUUUAGAAAGUUUGUACAUAAGCAAAACAAAGACCAUUCUUUAUCUAGCCAACUUUCUUUUUGUACUCAAGUCUUUAUAUAACACUUUAUAAAAUUACUUUACUUGGCAAUAGCUACUUAAAAAAUUAUGGCUUAUUUUAAAUAAUCUAAAUAUUUCAAAGUAUAUUUUAAUUAUUAACUAUUAACAUAUAUUAUCAACUAAAAAACUACUUUCAUAGUUGCAACCUCGUAUGUAUAAAUUUUUAUUAUCUUUAUUUUUAUUACAUUUUAUUAUAUGUGUUGUCCAUAUUUUUAAUUAUAUUUAUAUUUCUUCAAUAGAUAGAAUAAUUAUAAUAUAAAUUUUACACAACAAAUAAAAUUAGAUAACAAUAAAUUCUAAAUAAAUAAAUCACUAAAGAUAAUAUUGGUUUAAAAGAGAAUUAUUUCCAAUCUUUAAACUAUUUUGAUAAUAUAUAUAUAUAUAUAAUAUUCUAAUUUUUAUCGAAAAAAAUUAUUCUAAUACAAAAUAUUUUAGUCUUUUGUAAUUGCUAAUGACAUAGACCUUGUGUCAAGAUCAUAUAUCACAAACAACCAAAAUAUUAAUAUACUAUUGUUUCAUUCAAAAAGAAUAGAUAUUCACUCAAAUAUAGUCUAAUAUUAAAACUAGAAUAGCUGUUGCCAAAGACAAAAAGACUAGAUUCUUAAAACAAGACUAAGAACAAGGCAAGCAUUGACAAGAGAUAGAAGGCUUCACUCUUAUAUCUACAUAUACUAUCUAAUUAGAAGCUAUGUGGUGACAUUCUUUGACCAACAGAUGUCCAACUUACAAAACAUGCAUCUACCUUGCAAGAUAAGUUUUAUAUAUGUGUACUAAAUGGUCAACUUAUACCAUAAGUUACUAAUAAGUGCAACACAUGGCCAACUAUUGUUGGCCAAAUUUUCAACCUAUUAACUACCUACAAACACAUAUCAAUUCAAAUAUACACUUAAGAAGCUUCUCUACUAGAUAAUAUCAGAUGUAUUUGCUUCUACUCACUUCUAUAUGAUUCAUUUACCUUAAGUAAAAAUGUAUAUCCAUGACAUCUUGAUAAAUUUGUUAAAAUAUGAUAUAUUAAUAUACCUAUAAGAAUGAAGAAAUAAAAUUAAAAAGGAAUAUAUCUACUAAACAUGAAGUUGUCAAAAUAAUUUUAGGGCUUAUUAUAGACUAUGAGACUUGCAUGCAUAGAACUAAAUUUAUAAGAUACUUCCAUAAAACCUCCCUAAUCUAUUUAAUUUUUAUAUAAAAAUUAUAUAACCAAAUGUUGUAGCUAAUGACUCCUAAAGAUCUAAUCCAAAAACAAUUUCAUUGUUUAUAAGUAAAGAUGUUUUUAUCUAACUAAUCCUUGUUACAUUUACUUAUUUAUUCAAAUAAAUGUCUAUACCUGAUCUAUAUCUGAUCUAUUCUAAAAAAAACAUGUACAUGAUUUAGAAGUAAAACUCAAAGGUUUGUUUUAACAAAAAGUGAUUGCUGUGGAGAUAUAUAUCUAUAUAUAUAUAUAUAUAUAUAUUCUCAAAAAUGAUUCUCCAACUAUUUCUCAUGAUUUCACAAAAAUAUAAUUUCACAUAUUAAUAUGUCAUCUGUUGUCUAUAACCAUCUCAUUUCCACCCUGAUAUGAAAUACAAACUAAACCAACUGACUGCUUCAGACCUCGCAUAUCAGAGCAAGUGUUGGACACAACAACCUUAACAUACAUAACUGAAGGUUUUCCUAAGAUAGUGUACAUGCACGCUUCAACAAGAUAUACAUUUUCGAACACACCCACCGAUGGAGAAUGAUGGCAACCUGUGCGCCUACCGCCUCCUUGUCGAUCCCGUUUGCAAUGUGUGCCUUAAUAGAUCUAUGGAAAGUCACGGUGGUGUUCACAUAAACAACGUGGUUGGCUAAAAGGGACUCUACUCAGACCCAAGUGCAACUGCCUUCUGUCUAUCAAGGUCCUCCACAAAUCCUGCCCCCCCACCACGCGUGAAUUCUAUAAAUGUCACUCAUGCAGAGGUAUCUUUUCAUCUGCCAACUUUCUAGUCUCCAUGCUCUCCAACUCUUGCACUUCUCUUCGACAUGCCAUGCUUUCACAUGCUAACCCAAUCCAUUCCUGCAUAUAGACUAUAAAGCUCCGUUUCAACUAUACUUCGUGGGAACGGGUGCUGUCUGCCGUUUGUACUCUUCCAUCCGAGGUGUCUUCACUAGAAGCCUCGGGACUUUCACUGCUAAGACGCGCUUGAUAAACUCAUAUGAAGCGAAAAAAAGUGCCCCCUGGGUGAUGUAUAUCAAUAUCCGCGGUACUAGUCCCCUGCAAGUGUGUAAAACCUUUGCUCUAAGUUCCAUUUCAAUGCCCCAACACUCUUGGCCAAUUGCACCGAUGCCUGCUGAUGUCCAGCUUCUCAGAGGUUUGCAAUUAAACCCGUUAUAACAUGCACAUCGAGGACGCACUUCCGAGACAAAUGUGCAUAUUUCAGAAAAAUCGCAAGCAUGUAAAAAAAAACAAGUCGUUGACGCCAAAAUAAAGGUCCAACCUAUCUCAAGUCUCAAAAACCUAGAGUUGCAACAAAAUCGCAUACAACUCACCGGUAUAAUCCAGCGACACCCUCGGUAGUGACAAUGCUCUGGAAAACGUGAAUAACCCCAGUGUACUGCUGAGCUGUCCCAGGUAUCUGUCCACCCAAAAUCAGAUUAGUCAAGCCGAUUACAUCCUAUUCGUCACAUCCUACAGACUCACCACCGACUCUCUCAUGUGCUCGACAAAGAACAAAUGCACACAGAAUCCCUUUUCAUGGAACACCCACGAAUCUCAAUACGCACAAUACAAACAGUACAAGUCAUUCCAGAACCAGCUCAAAACCUGCGUUUGCAGCCGAGUCUUGACAACAUCGAAAGGAGUACUGAAUAAAGCAGCAGUCGAGCCAGCAGCACCGCCGAUAACCAGCUGCACAAAAACCAGCGUGUCAGUAUAAAACAUACACGUCCUCAUCAUGUGCAAACCAAGGAGCGAAUAUGCCAGGAAUUACACAUCCACAAACCCAAGUUACAGAUCAUCUUCUUCCUCUCAUUCCACACUGUAACACCACAUCCUCAUUUCACACGAGUCAGCACCCCACCAGGACUCCAUACUUUGCCUUGUCAGCCCAGAAGUGACACAUAACAAUGUCGUGUAACCGGGCAUUAAGUCAGCAGCUCAACAACAAAAACAACACCUGACGAAACAUACCGCUUGUGGUGUGCUCAAAGGGGUGUCACGAGGCUGGCCACGUUGAAUGCAGCGCUUCAGCCCCUCAUAAGUGUAGAACUGUGCAAUCACCACAACACAUCCCAUUAUUUUUCAGAAUCUCCACACAUCACCAAUCCAAAAGUCGUGACUACCAUGCAAAUGGACCGCCAGAGGCAAUCCCCACAUUCAACACCAGAAAGCCACCCACAUCGCAUUCGAUACAAAGACAGAUCCUCCGCCAAACAUUACUCGCAUCGACCCAAUCGCGUCCAACGGCUUUGCCCGACCCUGUCUCAUUUUUGCAAAACCUAUAUACCUACCUCGACACUUGGAAGAUGCAUACCUUCACCACGGAUUGCGGAACAUUGCGACAAAGAACUGCUCCCCAACCCUUGUACAGCGUCGGCAGUCCUUCUUCUUUCAGUAUCGAAGUGAACGCUUCCCUGAGUUAUUCCACAACAACUGCUCAACACCAAUAACUCGGAAUCUUCACAUUUCAGGCAAAUGCGGACCCGAGGAUGCUGGAGAAGCCUUGAGGACACUCCUCACGUGACAGAAGAUCUCAACCACAUUUAAUGUAAACUAUGUGCAAAAACGACAUGGCCAAGCCCACCAGCCCGAGCAUUUCAAAUUUGAAACAUCCGGAUAUUGAACCGUACCAGCUAUUUUCAUACAAUCCGUGCACUUGCAUCCGCUGUUUCACACAGUCACUCGGUGUGUACACGAAGGAGGUGGCUACACUUGCACAUCCCCCAGCAACGCAAUGCGCCAGUGCGGACAUAUCCUGUUUGCAUUCAGUUGACAUCAAGGCGCACAGCCAUCAAUGGCGCCCCCCUCCUUUACACAACACAUUCCAUCGAAAUCCUCCCACACCUCACCCCAGACACACAUGACACCACACCGCAAGAUCGGAAGCUUCAGAACACACUUCAUGUGUUCCAAUAUCAGUAAAGCCGUACCUCUGGAAUGUGGCGGAGCAGACCAGCUUUGACGGUUUCAUAAGUGAGCGUGUAGAUAGCUGAGAUUGGAGCUGACACGGUUAAGUUGCUUCCCAGGCCCCGGUACAAACCUCUCAAACCUGCAGGCAAGACGUCCUCACUCAAGCAAGAUCUACUUAGAACUCUGAAACUCCACAACGAUAAACUUGACCGCAUUGGAUAAAUGUAAAGGCAAGGGCUAUGAAACAGUCACACUUAAAUGCAUACCUCUUUCAGAGAUAACCGCAGACAUAAUGGGAAGGAGGUUGCGGUUGCCACCGGCCCGCGCUUGCACAAGCGUCUUCAAAGUGUCAACGGGAUGCAAGCAAAGGCUAACAACCCCACCUGCCAAUGCUCCAGCGCCUGCAUUCUGCCCCAUCCGAGGGUUCCGUUUCGUCGCACCAUGGUUCGCCAUCAUAGCAUUUGUUGCCGUUGGGACAAGCCCGUUCUCCACUGCUGCCACUGCAGGUUGAACUGCAAAAGGCCACCAGUCGUGAUGCUUAAGUGCAGUGACGCUAUUCUGGCUGGAUUUGACAGCAGCGACAGCUUCACUCACAAAACUGAAGGCUACACAAUUUUUCAGCGAUUUGAUAGUGAGGUUGGAUACUUGGGUCACUCUGUCUAUCAUUUGAGGCAAGAUUUCAGCCGUAUCGUGGAGAAUGGAAGUCUCCAAACACUGCCGAUCUUUGCAUCGCUUUUUGAUCUCAGUAUUAAAGUUGAUAGGAGCCUUCCCAGCAUCUCUACUACCAGGAACAGAGUCGAUGGACCACAUUGAAGGUCCAAUCCCAGUGGUUCCUUUGAAACCCCGAGCGUCUUCUUCUGUCACGUUUUCCUCUACAACUCCACCAGUGCUACCACUGAAACUGUCUGCAAAUUCUUUACUUUUGAAUGCGGCUCGACUUUCCAAAGGAUUGGCACCUCCAAACUUCUGCACGUGGGACCAUAUCUUGGUUGGAAUCUUCGGUGAGCCGGAAUCUUCUAUCACUUCAAAGUAUGCAUCAGGAGCGCAUUUAGAGAUACUUCCAUUAGGGCCAUUCAGCAUGACAGACGCUGCCAACGGGAAGCCCCAUUGGUACCGAACCUCUGGGCAGUAGAAAGCCUCAUAGUAGCGCUGAUCGAGGUCUUCCUCAGAAACGAAAGAGUCACAAACCACGCACUCUGAACAUACAUAACCACAGAAAUCAUGGUUGCGAAUAAAUUUACAGCACCCCUCGCCCUCACAUUGACAUGAAUUUGAGGCUGAGUGAAUUCCUGCCAGACGCAUGGAGACGCCGCCAUACCUACAAGCCCCAGCUCCUCCGAGAGGUUUGGCAAGGUCUGGAAGAGCAUCUAGAGUGGUACUCCUGUUGAAUUCGAAAGAGGAACCCGGACCAUUCCUGAAGUCCUUCUGGGGCUUCUUCAAUGAGAGGAGCGACUUCAUCGCUUGGGUCAAGCCGAAUGCCUUGAGCUGCACAGGAAGAGAGUCUGCUCUUUCAGGCGACAGUAUCAAAGCUGUCAGACCUGAAGGGAGCCAAUCCAGAGGCUGCCCUGGUCCCCCGUUUGUGACGUCCAUCGCAAAUUGUGAAAGCGGCACAACUCUCUGCUGGAUCACAUUAUGGAAGCUCAACUGCCAACCUCAAAAUAAGCCGAAGUAAACUAAAGCGCCAGACGAAAACAUCAGAACACUCUAUUCCAGCUCAUGACAUGGAGCAUGGCGUUGCAACAAUGCCAACGACACUCACCCUCGUCAAGGGUACUUCACACAGAUGCUUUCUCCGAACAUACCCACGUUUAACCUUCAUCUUUACAAACCAGGAAAGCUCGCCAACCUUUCAUAUCGGGUGCACAAUUAGAAUGAAACCUCUGGCUCACAAGGCAACUCACCACUGCCCUACUUCCAGAACUCAAUUACGGCAACCCACCGAGACCUUCGGUAGAUGCAAAACCCUAGAGAAUCGAAAUGAUGGCUCUUUCUAGAGUCCACAAUGCUUCAGAAACCAAGCGGACAUCUCAUGUCCAAUGAAGCUAAGGCAUCGCCGGGGAUGGAAACGAGAUUCUCCUUCAUCCUCAAUUUCGAAAAAAACAACUCAGAAUCCAUCUGAGUUUGCACGGUUCGACAUUGAUCGAGUCUCCACACAUGAGAGUCUUUCUCAAACUGCUUACCAGCGAAACUAUGCCGCCAAUCUGAUUUCAAAAUACAACAACAGAUCAACUGUACAGCUCUGCUCCUUUCGACUCGUCAUCACGAUGCGGCGAGGGUUUUGAGAUAAUCAAUUAUCUCAGCAAUUUUGGAAAAUCGUAUUUCUUAAUUGAAAAAGAAGAGACAGUCCCUUGCGGAUGAAACUCGUACACUCUUGCCGAGACCCGCGGAGUUGGGUCACACUCGGAAGAGAGGCUAUCUCGUAGCGACCCUCGUCACCACGCGUCUCAAACCUCCCAACUCAAUCGACUAGCUCGAGAUAUCCCAGCCGUCAAUUGACGUAGUGACGAGGGUCCACGUUUAUGCGUCCGCCACCCUGCAAAUUCAGUCGCGGUGCUUGCACUGGAACAUCUCGCUCCAGACUCAUUCCAAUUCUCGUAGCUCUGUUUUUUCCUACCACCAUCCCCUCUUCCAUAGGGAAGCUAUUUAAGUUGGAUAGGCCCCUAAGAACAUUGUCCUUGCGCUUGUUUGCAAGUUUCAAGAGCUCUCAAAGAGGUGGGUUGCGCCGCUGUGCAGUAUUCUUGUGUUGUAGAGGUUUAAGCAAUUCGUUCGGCUUCCGCCGCUGUGUGAUCUUGUAGAACUCUCUCUUUAAGGUUUUCGUUCCUACUACUGCCCCCGUCUCAUCUUUCACCAUCUUUUGUGCCGAGACUUGUGAUUUGUAUGGGUUUUUUUUUUUUUUUAACAACACGAGUGCGUCACCGUGGUGGUGAUCACGCAUUGUGUGAUGUGUUCUCUAGUUCUUAGCUAGAUUUUCUCCAUCUUCUUCUUUUUGUUUACUCUCUCUAAGGUCGGUUAUGAUCCUUCUCGCUCUGCCUUGUCGAAUGCUGGUAUAGGGUAUCCAGGUAUUCUACAUUUUUCGCGGUGGUGAUUGUUACGGUGGUCUUAAAUAAGCAUUUGUGUUGGCUUCUGAAUGAUAUUGGUCUGAUUCUGCAUUUCAGGAUAAUUUCUGAAUUAUCCUACAUUUCUUUCGACUGUGAGCAUUUGUUACAAAUUCUUGCUCGAAAAUUUCUCAAAAUGUAUCUGCCCGAUGGUAGGUGGAGUCUUCUGCUACAGAGUUCAUUUGCUCUGCGCAUGACCUGCAUUAAAUCUCUGAAUCUCCACAGUCCUCUUGGAAAGUUGGUCUAAUUUUCCUCAGCUAAACGUUUGUAUUUAGAACCUACAUAUUCUCAUUUUAGUUCUUUUCAUUGCAAUUCGCCGUCUCUGUUGGCGCUGGUAGAGGCUCUCUGCCCUGAUCUCUUGUCCCCUUCCAUGUCGCUUGUCUGCAAGCUUUCUCUCGAGUUGAGAUCAAUUUUAACUUCUCAUGUACUUGAAUGAUGUUACAGCUAAUUGGAAUCGCCUCCUCUGCUAUGGCUAUGGCGGCAUUGGCACCAGCUCAAGCCACCAGCCCCAUCGCUUCAUGUCAAGCUGUACUCAAACCCUCGGCAUUGAAGGAUGCGAGGCACUCAAAGAUUAAUGCUUUGUAUUCUUCUCUGAACGGGACUGCGUGCGUGUUUACAUGCGACUCGCCUCUUAGGAAGGGAGCUUCAGUUUCUCAUGGCCAUGUGCGCUGCACCCUUGCGGAGGAUGUGCAUACCAGGGAUCGAGAUGAUGUCCGAACCUACAAAGGCUAUGAACGUCCUGACUCCUUUGGGAGAUAUGGUGUCUAUGGAGGGAAAUACGUCCCUGAGACCCUUAUGGCUGCUCUUAGUAAUCUGGAGGUAGCAUAUCGUGCAACAAUCAAGGAUCCCGAAUUCCAGGUGAUAAAUGUUACCUCACUCCCGAGCGGAUUUGCGGAGUGCUUUUCUAAAGCGGAAUUGUAAUCCUGAGUAAAUUGCAUGGAUGCUGAGGGCCGAGCUAAUAUGAUUGUCUUAGCGUUUUACAGAAGGAGCUUAAUGGCGUGCUUAAGGACUACGUGGGCAGGGAAACCCCUCUGUACUUUGCUGAACGCCUAACUGAGCACUAUAAGCGUGACGGGAAAGGUCCCUUGAUUUAUCUUAAGCGGGAGGACCUUAACCACACUGGCGCUCACAAGAUCAACAACGCCAUUGCCCAAGCUUUGUUGGCGAAGCGGAUUGGAAAGAAGCGCAUUAUUGCUGAGACAGGGGCAGGUCAGCACGGUGUUGCCACAGCUACAGUAUGUGCUCGCUUUGGACUCGAGUGCAUUGUAUACAUGGGUGCCCAGGAUAUGGAAAGACAAGCUUUGAAUGUAUUCCGAAUGCGUCUUCUUGGAGCUGAGGUAUGGAAUUGCAUGACCCUGCAAGUGAGCUCGAAUGUGAAUACUUAAGAAGCAAGUAGAAUUUAGUAAGUGAGAAAGACAUUGGCACAGAAUGCAACUGGGGUGCUUUAGAAUGUGGGUCCUGAUGGUUAGAUGGAGCGGUUAUUUAGUGCAUGCAGUUUACCUAAACCCUAAUCUCAUGAUGGUUCUUCCUUUUUGAUGCAGGUUCGUCCUGUAAAUUCUGGCACUGCCACCUUGAAAGAUGCAACCUCAGAGGCUAUUCGUGACUGGGUUACGAAUGUGGAAACGACUCAUUAUAUUCUUGGCUCAGUUGCUGGGCCGCACCCGUACCCUAUGAUCGUGAGAGACUUUCAUGCAAUGAUCGGAACUGAGGUUCGUCGCCAGGCAAUGGAAAAGUGGGGUGGAAAGCCGGAUAUUCUUGUCGCUUGUGUUGGGGGAGGCUCAAAUGCAAUGGGGUUAUUCCACGAAUUUAUCGAAGAUGAAGAAACUCGUCUCAUUGGUGUUGAAGCAGCUGGCUUUGGUACUAAUACAGACAAGCACGCUGCCACCUUGACCAUGGGAGAAAUUGGUAUCUUACAUGGUGCAAUGAGCUAUUUGCUCCAGGAUGCUGAUGGCCAGAUUAUUGAACCACAUUCAAUUAGUGCGGGGUAAUCAUCUUCGAAGAGACCUAAGGAUUGUGUUCUCAUUUGAAUCCGAGAUUUGUUACCAGCGUGUUUUUUUUCACUCGGCUGCUUGGCCAACUGCUUGUUCAAACGAGCUUUUUCAUUCAUAACGCAACAAAUGUUCUAGAACAUGGUACUGAUGGGGAGCCUGUGGUGCGCAGAUUGGAUUACCCAGGUGUUGGUCCAGAGCACAGUUUCCUGAAGGAUGUUGGUCGAGCAGAGUACUUCAGCGUGACUGAUGAUGAAGCCCUGGAAGGUAAGAAGAACACUGCAGUAGAAUUUCACUUCAAAUUCGUCAUCUCGUUGUUUUGAGCUUUCUCAUGCUUCUAGGUAAGGUCAAUUGCAGCAGUUCCUGAUUACAUAUCAUUAGUCUCAAAAGUUUAGAGGUUCCGCGGCAUUCAUCAUGGAGACACUGUAUGGGUUAUAAACACUUCCAAGUUUGUGUUCUCUCAUCAGCUACCUUGCUAACGGUACUGUCGCUCUUUUUUGUUGCCAAUGCAGCAUUCCAGAGGUUGUCCAAGCUGGAGGGUAUCAUUCCGGCACUGGAGACAUCUCAUGCCCUAGCUUUCUUGGAAAAACUUUGCCCUACACUUGAAGACGGUACCCGAGUGGUCCUCAAUUGCAGUGGUCGUGGUGACAAGGAUGUCAACAGCGUCAUUGGUUACUUGAAAGGAAAGUACUGAAUCUCAGUAUGAAGAUUGUGGGGAAUGUCUCACUUCAAUUAUUGUCAUUCCACGUUUUUUUGCAAUGAGUUUUUCCAGCCUCUUUAAGAAUUGGUAAGGCAGAGAAGAUGUCUCGUCUUUGCGGGCCAUUGUUGUAAUCGAGAGCAGUGCAUUAUCUGCGCUGAACAGAUAUCAGUCUGGAGGUAUUUAGGUUUAAUACACAGAACAUGGAGUUCUUUUAUAUCCUUUUUCUGCCUUAAGGAGCAUUCACUUGAAGAAUGUUGUUGCUGCAGUGGUUCACAAUGCCUUACAAAGAUAUUGAAGCUGCCCCCCUUAUCCACGUAGUUGUGCAUGUGUUGCUGGCUACAUGCGCCAGUUCACAAUUGACUACAACCUCCUUUUCCAGAGAAACAGAGCUAAGAGCUAUGGAAGCACAUACGAGUGGUUUCUUAACAUGGAAUAUAUAUACAUAUAUAUAUGUGUGUGUGUGUGUGUAAUGUGUGUGUGUGUCCUUCAAAAGGUUCAUUAUAUAUAAAUAGAGACGUUACUGGGGUUGAUACAAGUCAUUAAUGGCAUCCUAAACAAUAUAAUUCUAGACAUUACCAACUUUAAUGCAUAACAAUCUUAGUUGUCACCACAAGAUUUCAAUGUAAAUUGUUUCAAUGUACAAGUGUUUUGGCAAUACACAAAAAUGGUGAUCAGCACUAUAUGUAAUUACCCAUUGCUGGAAUUAUUUAUAAUAUUGCUCACACUGAUUUGGCAAGGUAGCGGAACAAUUUGUGUUUUAUCAUCAUGUAUUCUUGCAUUGUUUCUAAUUUUCUUGUCGAUAAUACAAAAUGUAGCCCACAGUAACUGCUGGUAAAUAACGAUUUUACAUUUUUCCUUCCUUGAACUAUUCGCCCAGCAAGUGAGUCAUCGCUAGUUUCGCAACACACAGCAAUUAAUGAAGCGAAAGGUUCCGCACCGACUCUUCCAACACCAACGCCUCCGCCGUGGAAGAGAAAUGCGGCCGUGGCUCCAAGUUCCCCGACGCGAUCCUAUGCGUCGAUGCAUCUGUGACCUCUUUUAUCUUCUCCAAAACGCUUCGAUACAAAUUCCAAUGCAUACACCCUGCAGCGAUAGCCGGCAUCCCAAUCGGAUGCAUUCUCACAAACUCUCGCACAUCCGCCGCAUUUCGCAGAUGCGUCAAAUACCCCACCAAUCCCUCUGCCAAGAAAUUAUCCUGCUCAUUGUAGGUGUACGGUUUCAAGAAAAUUGCCGUGUGAGGAGGAUUGAGUAGCGCUUUAUAGGGAGUGUCAUCAAUAAGGAGAGUGUUGGUCUCAUUAAAUUCGCCGUCAGGGAAUCUCGACCAAACUUUCGCGAGCUCCUUCAGAAACAGCGGCUGGCGUCUGUUCGUAGGAUUCUUAAACCCCGUGGCGGUGCAAUCGCCUUGAUGCAUGACGAACAUUACCUUGUGCUGCAAACCCUCACCGAUGUAGUCAAGGAUCUUGCGCACGUUGGCCUCCAUCCUGGAAGACCACACGCCGACGUGGAAAUUCUCGAAGCAAAAAUCGAUGAAGGCGAUGCAGAACGGCCGCUUGAAUACAUAGUUCAUCCCCACCAAUGCUCCGGUCUAACUUCUUGUGGCAGGCCACCAAGAUACCGUUCAAGUCGAGGAUCAAGAGCUUCUUCCUCGCCGGCGUGCCGAGCCUCCACGCUUGCGCCAAUGAAGCCCGGUUCUCCUCCAAUGCACUGCUAGAAGCAUAGUUUCCAUUCGCAGUAUCCAAAGGUUGCAAUUCUUCCUCUGCUUUAGCAACUGUUUCGCAAGACCCGGAGCUUUCCUCACCACGUCCACGAAGGACAUCUCUUACAGCGGCAGCGCUGGCCUCGCUAUUCUCCAUGUCAUUAGCGACACCAUCUGGAGGUUCAGCAGCGAAAGGAGAGAUGACGAUUACAAAAGUUUCUAGGGUUUGAAGAUUGAAGGAACAACACAGGAAUGCAAUCCAUGGCGCAAUGGGGCGAAGGAGAGUUACGCACCUUGAAGAGCAGGAGGAGGAGGCUUCAUGGUUGGGCCUUCUGAGCAGGGGGGUGUGUUGGACGUUGCGAUUCCAGGGCAGGGUGACUUCAAUGUGAACCCCUCUUUUUACCACGACCGUGCCCUGUCUGGAUCUUAGUGCCAUGAUGAUUCAGAAUUGGCGCCGUUGUCCCCUUCAGCUUAUGGCAUUGAUAUAAGGCCGAUGUACAUUGAGGGGCGUACUUGCAAAAAUAAUCACAAGCAGGGGCACAAAUCAAAAAUAUGUACAAAGAGAGGUGCACGCACAAAUAUAAUUACUAGCAAGGGCAUAAAUUGGAAAUAGAAUUUAUAGAGAGACUCAGACAUCUUCGUUGAUUUGCUUGGCUUCACUUUCGCAUAGUUGAGGGAAACGAAGGUCACCAGCAAGACAAGGAGAUUGGACACUGACAACUUGGAAUAGAAUAGUUAUUGGAACAGUGGUCCCUGCAGCCAAAGAUGCCCGUGGUACUUUUGCAAGCUAUUAUUUCCAAGUCUUUGCUCUUUAUCAAUUCAGACCCAAUAAACCCGCAUGCAUGAGCAUUGUAUGCUCAAUAGAGUGAGAGAGGAAUAUACAAGAAUACAAAUGGCAGGUGCAUAUUCUUUGUUGCAAUCAGCCAGUGCAAAGCUGUCAAGUUUGCUGCUCAUCAGUAGACAUGCCCGACUUUUUUAAAACCCUUUCACCUUAAAGGCAAGGAGCUUGCAAAUUUUUAUGAAUCAUUUGUGUGGGACAUACAAGGUCUGUGAUCAUUGAAUGUCACAAACCAUGCCCAAACCAAGCUUGGGGCAAAAGUAACAUAUAUGGCUUCAUGGAGGAGUUGCGAGUUGCACCAAAAGCAUUUGGUAAAAGAAUAUAGUUUGGGGUUUCAAAAGCUUGUGCCAUUACUUGUGAGAUUGGCUAUAAAAAAUCCUAGUUGCAUGACUACAUUUGACAAGGAAUAAUUGAUAGUAGUUUGUCAAAGCAUUUCUUUGCCUUCAGGCUUGAAAGAUUGUAGCUGCAAGCUAUAACCUUGUGUUCACUACAAAUGCAAUCUAUUCAAAGUUAAGAUACCAAGGUAUCUACCUUAGCCUCAAUGGAGUACAUAGAAAAGGUUACCUUGUUCAUAUUGCUUUUAAGAUUGUUCCAAUUGAAAAUAAUGAAAAUUAGACAUGGUUUUUUCACUAUUUAGAAGAUAUUUUUCUUAAACUUUGCAAGCAUUGUAUUUAGUAGUGAUUGCAAGAAGGUGUGUAAAGUUUUGAUGUUUAAUUUUAUAUUUGAUUUUGCAUUCAAUUUUGCAUUGAUAACAAUGAUAUGUCCAAGGAAUUCAAAAUGGAAUUGUUGCAAACCUUCCAUUUUAAAAACCAUUGUGCAGACAUUUGGCACAUCAAAGAGAACAUAAAUUGGCACUACAAAACUAAGUUGAAUGUGAAGUUGUAGACAACUGCAAAGGCAUUGAUCUUAGACACCCAUGUAGUUGCAAAAGUAGAUAUCUUCAAGAUGCAUACUACUAUACAUAAAUAUCUUGUUGUUAUUCAAAGUCAAAACUAAAUCCUUGGUUAUAAUAGAUGUAAUACAGUAUGAAGAAGAUAUUGGUAUUAUCAACACAUAGAGAUAGGAAGUUGGAGCCAUAUUUAGGAAGUUUCUAGAACUUUUUAGAAUUUUUUAGAAUUAGGGCUAAAUUAAUCGUUUAUGUGGGACUUAUCAUAGAACAUUCUAGAAAGGGCUUAAGGUGGUUAUUUAUAUGGGAUCCUCCAUUAAGAACAUUCUAAAAAGUUUUAGGAUGCUUAGAUAAAUUAUAAAUAGGACUUGCCAAGGCCAUUAGAAUAGUUGGUUAAGUAUGGCUUUGGUUCCUUUCUUUAAGUAAAAUUUGGUUUUGCACUUUUUUGUUCAAUUCUAUUUUAUUCUCUUUUACUCUAUUAUGCCUUUUACAUUCCAUUCUAUUUAGUUUUAUUCAAUUUUGUUCUAGUCUAUGUUGUCCUACAUUGUGACAAAAUUUAUAUUGCUAUGGAUUAGAAGGAUCUUAGAUCUUAGACAUAAUCCAAUCUCGUUUGAAUAGUUCAUCAUGAUUUAGAGUUCUUAUUUCAAACAUAUCAAUAGCAAUAAAUUCAUGGAUCUUUGAUAAAUGCCACAUGGAACCUUUUGAUGUCAUUUUUUAGGUUAUUUAAAAAAUUGGAUGCCUUUUCUACAAUUGACAUUUAAAUUAUGCAGCCAUUCUAAUAAGUAUUUUUUUUAAAUCAUCUCAAAUGUAUAGAGGUGUGUAAUUGAAGGAUGAACUUGUUAGGUCAUACAAAAAGAUGAUACUCUCUUUGAGGUCAUCAACUAAGACAGUAAAGUUUUUGGCAUUGUCAAAUUAAAGAACUACAUAUAUUCUUGUGGCAACUUCUAACAAUGUCAAGUAUCUUAUGUUCAUGCCUACAAAGGUGUAGUGAAUCUAUGCCAAACUUCGAAUUGUUCAUGCAUUUUUUGUAUACCACAAGUGAGCUAGUUUAUACUAGUGUUGUUAUCUCCAUCAAUAGAAGAACAAUGGUAGCUUAUAGUAUCUUGCUGCCUUUGCUUAAAAUAAAACAAGCAUGACAACCAUGGAAAAUUUGCCUAUGCAAACGUGAUAAAACCUACUUGGAAAAUCAAAUUAGGUGCUCAAAAUGUGGCAAAAAGGGUCACAAUUUACAUACAUGCAAUCAAUGAUGCCAAGUAUAAUGAAAUUUUUUAAGAUCAAGAAGGUAAUAAUACUUGGUGACCUUUGGUAUUCAUGAGCUCUACAUGUGAGAAGCAACAAUGACAAAUUAUGCAUGUCUUUGUAAUUAUUUUCAAUUUGUGUCUCUACUUAUAAUUAUUUCUUUGGAUGCACCUCUCAAUAUAAAUUCUCUUUAACAUGAUGAUCUUAAUAUUACAAAUCAUCAUAAAUGACGCAAGUGCUAUCACAUAUGUAUCUCACUUGAUUUUGUAUAAUCAUAUUAUUAUUAUAAUAUAUUAUGUCUAUUUUAUUUAUUUAUUUAUUUAUUUUAAGUAAAUUAGUUGUAUCAAAGGUUUGUAAUGAAUUAUAAUUGUCUAUACUAAGAAGUAUUUUUUAAAUAGUAUUUUUAUUAUAUUUAUUAUUUUCAAUUAUAUUCUACUAUUUUGGAAUAAAUGCAAUAACAUCUAAGCUAUAUAGAUAUUUUUACUAUCAAAGCAUUGUAACAACAUAAAGGCAUUGAAAAUAAUUGCAAACUAUCCCUUAGAAUCAAUAAGGUUGUAAGAUAGAUUGAGUUGGUAUGGCUUCUGUGAACCAAUGAAAUAUUUGUUUUCUAUUAUGUUAUUACUACAAUUUAACUAAAAUAUGUAGAAGAUUGGAUGGAAAUGCCUUCACUACUUUAAAAUUUAUGAAUUAAAUUCUAUUAUUCCAUUAAAAUUUUAUACAUUAUCAAUCACAAAUAAGAAAAUAAAAUAAAAUAAUAAUAAAUAAAUAAAUAAAUAACUCUAAGGCUUGAAAAGAAAAAAUUGUUCUAUAUUUCACUCUCUACUAUUGAUGCCCCACAAGUCUUUAGGACUAAAUUAAGGAUCCUGUUGUAUUCUUGAAAUUGCAAAAAAUCCUUAAAAAAAAAGUACACAUGAAUGGAUUACACUUCUCAAGUAUAAGAAACCUAUAAUGAUAGAAUUAAGUCUUUAAUUAAUAAAACAAAAAACAAUCAUACAGUGGUAAUUAUGAAGCAUAAGUCUAAAAAUGCUCUUGUGCAAGUUAUGUCUGUUGAUGACAAAGGACAUCCUAUUAUGACCUUUGCAUGUAUAUUACUAGACCUCAAAUUAAUUAAUAGACUUUGGAUACAAGGUCUUUAUUUAGAAUUGAGUUUUCAAAUCAUUGUUUAUCAAAUAUCAUUUGUCGUUGUUGAGAAUAUUUUAGAGAAAGAGAGACAAUAGGAGUUAGAAGUAAUAUGAAUACAUAUGUAAACACACACAAGAAGUGAGUUUAUUAAUAGGAUUAUAUUUCUUAUACAAAAAAAAAGAAAGAAGAUAAAUAAAGUUUUCCAAUACAUUCCAAACAAUAUACCUACAAUAAAUACUAUAGACUACAAUAAAUAAUAUGGAGAACUCCAACUACAUUUAAUGCUCUCAAUACUCCUCCUUGCUUGUCAUAAUAUUUAUAUGCAUAGAAUUAUAACCUAUAAUUUUGUGUAAUCUCAUAAGAUCAAAAAUUGUUGCCUCAUUAAAACCUUAUCUAGGAAAACCUUAUUAUAUUUAAGGAAAAAACCAUAGAUAAAAGAAAAAGAGUACAACAUUAUCUAAAGAGUUUAUUAACUUUCUUACUCAAGAAAAGCAAGUCGUCAUAUACGAAUGUCAUAAGUAAGUUGACAAUGGUUUGACAACAAGAGAGCUUUGAUAAAGAGAUCACCAAGGUUAUUUACAGAUUCAAUUUUCUUGAUCUUAAGUACUUGAUUAGUAACCAAGUCAUAGAUAUAACUAAAAUACUUUGGAUCAAUAUGCUUUGUCAUAUCUCCUUAACUGAAACCAAUUUACAUUUGUACAAGACAAGUGCUAUUAUCUUCAUACAAGAUAAUUAGAGAAUCAUUAUAUGAAAGUCGACAGGUUGUCGGAAUGAGUUUAUCAAUUUGUUGCAAUCAAAUACAUUCCCAAGAUUCUUCAUGUAAGGCAAUAAUUUUUACAUAGUUGGAUGAAGUUAUAAUUAUUGUUUGUUUCAUUUAUUUUCAUGAUAUUGCAGCUCUAUGUCUUAAGAAUAUAUAACUCAUUUGAAAUUUAGUUGUUUUAAUAUCAAAUUUAUAUCUUACAUCAUAAUAUCCAACUAAUUUUGAAUCUACACAUUGUAUACAAUAUAAUCUCAAAUCUUUGGUGUCUUUUAAAUAACAUAGUAAAUAUUUGAUGUCAUUCCAAUAUCGUACUAUUGAAUGUACAUUAUAUCUUGCAAGAAUACUAAUUAUAAAUAUAACAUCUAGUUUCGUAGAUGUGGCUAAAUAUAAAAGUGCUCCAAUUGCUACAAAGUAUGAAUAUUGUUCUCCCAAUAUUUCUUCAUCCUCUUUGCAUAGAUGGUAUGGAUCAUGACCAUCAUGACCACACUCAACCAUUGGUGUAGACAAUGAAUAAGCAUCAAUCAUAUUGAAUCUCUAUAAGAUUUGUCUAAUAUACGUUAGUUGGUAGAGAAAAAUGCUACCAUCUGUGAGAUGCAUAAUCUAAAGAUCAAUACAAAAAGUUGUUUUUCUUAACAUUUUCAUUUCAAAUUCACGUAUAAAUAGGUUAAUAGCUACAAUGUAUGUAAAUCUAAUAUCUACUAGGUUAAGAUCAUCAACAUAUACAACGAUGAUCAGAAAACCAAUUUUAUCUUAUUUGAAAAAUAAACAAGGGAUUAAUUGAUCACUUACAAAUUUAUUUAUAAUUAAAUAAUCUUGGAGACAUUGAUACCACAUGCAUCUAGAUUAUUUUAGAUCAUACAUGGCCUUGUAUAAUUUAAUACUAUAAUAUCGUCUUAGAGUAAAUGCAUUUAGAAUUCUUAUUUCCAAACCACGUGGAACUUUCAUAUAAAUAUCUACAUCAAGUAAACCAUACAAAUACGUAGUUACGACAUGCAUGAGAUUUAUCUCAAGCGUGGCAUGAAUUACUAUUCCAAUAAUAUAUUAGAAUGUAAUUGAAUCCAUGAUUGGAGAAUAUGUGGAUUCAUAAUUAAUGCCAAACUGUUCGGUAAAUCCUUAAGCAACAAGACAAACUUUAUAACAGAUUAUUUUACCCUUAGCAUCUCGCUUGUAUAUUAAUACCAUCUUAUAUCCCAUACGGCAAGGAGUAAGAGUGUCCACAAUUGGAUCAAAGAAUUUCUUUUUAUGCAAAGAAGCAUAUUUCUAGAAAAGAUAUAUCCUAGAAUUUCUUUUUAUGCAAGUGAAGAUAUAAUGUGCAUGGACAUAUUGACAUUAAUUGAUGGUUCGCUAAGUUUAGUAGGACCUUCCACAAAAACAACACCAAAAUCACCACAUGUUAUAGCUUUCUUCUUUCAUGCUUGCUUAUCUGAUCCACAAGUCCUUUUAAUUGCUAAUGUUUUAACCUGAGGUAUAUUUGUUAGUGGCAUUGCAAUCUGCAUGGAUUCAUUCUAAGCCUUAUUAAUUAGAACUCUUGUAUCUGAGGUACAUCAUUGAAGCCAUCACAUGUUUCAUUUGCAAUCUGUCUUAGAUACAAAAUCUUGGCAACUUUAUUUUCAGCCAAAGAUGUUCUAGGAUUAAGAUUUAUUGUAAAUAUUUCUAGUACUCCAAAUGCAAGUAUUGUAUUUCUUUGUUGAUUAAAUACUUCUCCUUAAAGAGAUGAAAAUAUGUUCUCUUCAAAACAAUAAUUUUAAAAAUAUGUAUGUAAUAAUGUGCCAGUUGAUGGAUCAUGUAUACAAAUAAUGUUUGGUGAAUCAAAACCAACAUAUGUGCCUUCUCGCCAAUGAGCUCCAAUGGUAAGCUGUUGACGUUCUCAUACUAGAAUCCAAGUACGACAACCAAACACCCAUAGAUGAGAUACAUUUAGAACAGAACCUGAAAUAAACUCUUGUUGUGUAAUAAUUUCAAGAAAAGAAGGACGAAUGCAUAUUAAUGCUGCAACAUGCAAAAUUGCAUGACUCCACAUAGAUACAUAUAAAUUUGUAUGAAGAAGGAGUGGUCGGAUAAUGAAUUGUAUAUGCUUUAUAAACAACUCUACAAGUCCAUUUUGAGCAUGUUCAUAUGGAAUACUAUAUGUCAACUUAAUCCACGUUGUAGUACAAUAAUGUUCAAAGGAUUUUGAUGCAAAUUCUUUUGCAUUAUCCAUACACAAUGUUUUGAUAUGAUAAUAAGGAAAAUGUGGUCGAAAAAAAAUAAGCAUAAAUAUAAGAUUAGCAAAUAUCAUAUUUUGAGAUGAUAAUAAUGAAACAUGUGAUUGUUUGCAUAAUGCAUCAACAAAAACCAAAAAAUAAUGAAAUAGUCCAGAUAUUAGAUUAAUAGGACCACAAAUAUCACCAUGCAACCUUUCAAGCAUUGGUGGUAAUUCUUGUAGGAGUUUCCAAAUUGAAGGUUCACCAAUCAUCUUGCCUUGCAUAGAUGCACGAUAUAAUUCUAUAGAAUUUAUAUUUACAGAUCUUAAAUUAUGCUCAGCUAUUCAUGGAAUUAUCUUUCAAAAUAAUAUAGAUUUUAGAUAUUCUAAUUGUCCAUGCCAAAGAAAAAUAUGACUCUCUGUUAUAGAUGAUGCAAAAUUAAAUAUAAUAAGAGGUCGGAUUGCAAUCUUGUAUAAACCAUUUGUCACAACAAAAGCUUUUUUUACAACUUUAUGUUUAUGUUCAAGAACCAAAACCUCUCGCAUAUCUAAAAUUGCAGUUGAAAGGUGAUAACUAUUGGCACAUAAAUCUUGGUAGUUGAUUAGACUCUGAUGUACUGAGGGUACAAACAUUGCAUAUUUAUAUUUUAUGAUAGAGCUCGCACACAAUUUACCAUUAUUAUUUCCUCUUAAAAUUAGAACACAUUUGUUCCAACCAUAGUCAUCAAAUUUUUAGUUUGCAAAGUUGAAGAUUUUUCAAUAAAAAACUAUCUAUCCCAUAGGAUAAUAUGUGCUGCUGUAGAAUCAAUGAGCACAUCAUGUGAUUCAUUAUUAGAGGUUUUGUCAUUCAUAUAAGCCUCUAAAACAUCAAUACCAAUAGAAUCCAUGAACGCAUCCAUGGUACGAACUACAUGAGCCUCAGCUCGAAGUUUCUUAUUUUUUUAGAAUAUUUUAAUAAAGUAUUAUAAAGUACAAUACGCAUGUGCCAAAUAUCCAAUCAUUCUACAUUUAUGUCAAGAAUACAUCUCUAAUUUUUGUUUUCUACUAUAAUUAGUUGUAGAACAUUUAUUCUUUCCAUAUGGACAAAAAUGAUCACAACCAUGACUAACUUGGUGCCUAUGAGCAUUUUUUCCAUGUUUAUAUAAUUGUUUUUUAGACUUUAGAAUAUUAAAUGCAUGAGAUUCAGGAAUCGUGGUUCCAAUGGGAGGAGCUUCUACAUUGCACAAGAGUAUCUCAUUUUGUUUCUCCAUGAAAAGUAAAUAGGACAUGAGAUUAGGAUGACUUUGAAAUUUAAUAUUUCUAUAUUGUCAUGCAAGCAAAGCAAAUAAGGGAAGAAAUGUAGAAAGAGUUUUGUCAAUCAUUUCUUCUUCAUAGAUGAUUUGUCGACAUAAUCAUAGUUGUGAGACAAUACAAUACAUUUUAUUAUUGAAAGCAUUUAAAUGCUCUCAACAGUCAUCACUACAACACUAAGGUCUAUUAUUGAUGUAUACAAAUUUAUACUAAAAUUCUGUGAAUAAUUUUAUGGCAUGUUUCAAUUCUAUGAGUGUUCGUGUAUGGGGUGAGAGAAGGGACUAUAAUUAGUCAAGUAUUUCAUAUGUAGGAGAGCUCUUUAAACCAUGAGAAAUUACUCACAUCUGCAACCCCAGAGUGACCAAGUUUUUCACAAUGUUCAAAGCUUGGGAUUGCUCAUGGAAGGUCAGUUCCUCGUCAUACAACUUUGGAUUGGUUGCAAUUGACCCCAGUGACCAAAGACUUUGAAACUGAAAGGUGAUCUCAGGAGAUAGGGAGACUUGUGAGUGAUAAAUUGUCUUAUAUUUCAACUCCGAGUGCAGUAGGAUUUCUGGAGGAUUAGGCACCCUACCCGUUUGAAGUAUGGCCGCCGGCUUCUUGUGAUGACCUUGUGCACAAAUUUUUGUCAUCAGACACAUUACAGUAUUCACAAAUAACUUGAAGGCAUCAAUUCUAACUAAAACAAAAUCGAGGUAAGAAUCGAUUCUUGGAGCAAAAAGGAUGGCAGCAUCACCAACAAGGGACAUGCACCGACAGAAAUCAUUUGAAGUUCAAUUUCAACAUGCUCCAAUUCUGUCAGGGGAUGUGCACAACCAGCAGGAUUCCUCGACUCCAGCAUCCUUGAAGUUUAUCAAGUUGCUAAACAGGGGGUUCACUGAUCCUAGCAAUAUUUGAUAAGAAAUUUAUUUUGGACCGGCUUUGUACCUCAGAAACAACCUCGGUACACUGAGAAUGAUAGCGUUAAACCACCUAUAACGUUCUGACUAUUGCAGUUAAUUCCUAACUUGUGACAUCAUGAGACUCUGUUGACUUCAUCAGUCUUCUGUUUCAAGAUCUUGAAGUUGAUCAAGUCAAUAAUGUUUUGUCUUAUGUCAUCUCGCAGAUAAUCAAAUGUCCGUGGCGGGAAUUUUAUCUCUUCCUUUUGCUUUUCAGAAAGAUCGGCAUACCUCAGCGAAUUGACCAUCGGUACGAUACGGCAAGAGCCACGGCGGUAUCCCAGACUUUUCGGGAUUGCAACAGGGGUCGCUCCUCCGCUAGCUCCUCCAUCAGGCCCCAGUCCACUGUCCGGUUUACGCUUGUGAAGGUUAGAAGAGUUGUUCCCAAUCAUCUCAUCAUCUGGCCCCAGCCCAUCUAUCACUGCAUCACCUUCGGAACUAAUACUCUCCAUCGCCACCUUUCAAAGACGCUUCCUUUUUAUUGGUACAACUUUGCAAUACACCCUUAUACUCUUAUUGAUUAGAGACAAACUAUCUCGCCAGCUCCACCAACCUGCUGAUAACACAAACAUGGGGGUAAGAAAUACGAAGUGGUUGCACCUCUGAAAUUCCAACGAGGAUCAUCAACCCAUGAGAUAACAUGCCUUCACUUGUGUUCCAACUCAAAAUUAGAAAAAAAUGACUGUAUCAGAAGAUACAACAACAGUCUAUGUGUUGGUUAAAUAUAUCCAAGAGCCACGAAAACAUGAUCGAGGUACCGCAGAAUAACCUCGCUCAAAAUACUUAAAAGAUCUUAUAUAGAAGCAAGACACGAAAGGAUAAUUAUUCUACGCAUGAAUUGAUCACUGAUGAAAUUGAGACAUAUUUUUUAGAGAUGGCAAAUUGAACGGAUUCUUUGAAAAAACAAAACAAAAAACACAAGUAAGGAAUAACACUAACAUUAAAAAUUAAAGCAGAUGAAAGGAUGAAAAAAAAUAGAUAUUCAUUCGAAUUGGCAUCUAUUCAAAUAACACUGGUCACCAUGUCCAAAAUCCAUUUUAACUUUAACCAUCCUGGAUGCUUUGUCUACGCAAUAUGCGGUGACUGCAUGGUGCUAACCUUCCCUCCAUGCACCAACCUCCUGGAAGUAGGUCGUCACCAAGAAGAGAAGCAUCUCAAAUUGCAAACGAAUGCGACUGAGCUCGCACAAGCGAGUUUUCUCUUGCCAUCACCGAGUUAAUAGCCUCGUCUCAGUUGUCAUUCAUCCAACGAUGCCAAUUGCAAGAAUCAGACCACAUCUAGGGUAAUAACCGGAAACCCACCUCAGAAACAACAGCGUGCGUCGCAAGCGCCCGCUUCAAUGCACUCCAUUCUCCGACGCUCCAAUGCAUCCAUCGUUUAAAUCCAAAAAUCGACACCUACACUCAGCAGCAACAAAAGAAAAAACGAUCCAAGCGAAUCAAUGCUGUUGAACCGAACCUCUCCAGAGCAAUGAAGGCACAAAACGCACAGAAUUGCAAUCCAAGCACACCCACAAAAAAGGGCCAAGGGGAUCCGCUUCGCUUCGCAUCGUCUUACCGCAAUCGCGCCAAAUGAUACCAAGUACGGCAGCCGGAUUCGAAUUUGCAGAUUCCGGUGGGUCCGCAAACACCGUCGCACCCGGGCGAGGGCUCGUUCGAGGUCCUGAUAGGCGUCCCAGUGGCAUGCUAAGUCAGCCCUGACUCUGAUCCACGUGGCCUUCUCGGACGGUUUCGGGCUUCGACGUUCGAAUCCUUUGCGAAAGGAGUUGCCAGGUGGGUCCUCUAGAAUCUUCCAUUGAUAACGUUAUCUCGUUUUGCUUUUCAUGCUAUUAUUAGUAUUCGUAUACGUCUAAUCAGGUGUGGCAGUUGUGAAAUUAUGUCUUCGUCAGAACCCAUUUUAGCUCCAUGUUUAAAAAUAUUUAGAUUUAAAUGUAGAUGUGUACAAAAGUAUAGAUAUAUUCUAUAUUUAUUGAUUUAUUACAUAAAACAGCUUGGGUAUACGACAAAGAGACAACAAAGCCUUCUUAUUGGUUGAACAUAAGAACAUGAGAAUGGGGGAACUUGGAUGAACAAGGGAAUAGAUGGAUGAGCUAAAAAUUGCGGUGCCUAAUGGCACAAAUUUCUACUUUAAUUUUUAUAUAUAUAUAUAUAUAUAUAUAAAUAUGAGAAAUAAAAGAACAAGAUUUAGUGUGAUACAAAGUUCCUUUUCUUGUUUGAAUUUGAAUUGAAAAAGUUUUUUUUUUUGUUUAUAUGUUUAUUAUUUAGCACAAAAUGAUUAGACAUGUUAUAUUAAAGUGUGAUGUGGUCUUGCUGUAUUUUUUAAUAGCAGGAAAUGUGAUUUCUUUGUGAGAGGAAAUUCAGAAUCAGUUCUUCAAUCUAAUUCUUUGUAGUAUCAUAUAAUUAUUUGUCUGUUGGUGUUCUAAGCAAUUUAAUUGUUGGGCUAAUCUCAUGAAUCAAUAUAAGGAAAACUUUGAGAAUUUCACUUGUUUUUUUAAAUGAACUAUCUCAUUGAAUUUUAAAAAAUGUUAAUUUGAAAUAAACAUUCUUCUGAAAAAGUGGCUUAAGUCCUAAGAAGGUUAAAUUAACUAUGUAAAAGUUAACAUUACUCUUGAAAACAACAGACAUAUUAGGUGUCUUAUGUACACAAGCAUCCAUUUGUGUGUGUGUAGAUAUAUAUAUAUAUAUAUAUAUAUAUAUAUAAUAUCAAGUUGUGUAAAUUGCAUGUUUUAGAAUGUCACAAUUAUUUAACUAUUCUUGGCAACUAAUCAUCCUUUAUAUAUACAAAUAUAUACCAAAUAAUCACAAUAGUGGAAUUUUAUUUCAUAAACAUAUGUAAUUUCUUGAAAAUAUUUCUUUAUAUUAAUGUUAAUAUCAAUAUAAAAAAAUUAAUUACCAAAAUAUUAUUAGUAAUUAUAUUGAACAAUUUGAUAUAUACAAUAGAGAAGAAAUUUCUAGAGUAGGUUUUAAUACAUGGUUUACGAAUGCAAAGCAUUUUAUAUAGUUCUUUCAUCAAAUUGAAGGAAUAAUUACUUUAAUCUAAUUAAAAGUUAAUUUUGCAUGUGUAUUAGAGUUCAAUUUUAAUCUGUUUUGAAAGUAAUCACACAUUUGAUAGUAAUGAUGAUUAUUAUUAUUAUUUUUAUUUUACUUGUUAAUUUAAAGAUAUGUUAUAGAUUAAAUUGUAACAACAUCUAUUUUAAAGAAAUAAAUAGUAUUAAAAAUACAAAUUUAAUUUAUAGAUGUUUAUUACUUCUUAAAAUAGAAAUUAAAAUAUGCAUUAUAGAUAUCAUUUAAAUAACUUAAAUUAUAAACAUUAAAAUAUAUGAAUAGUAUUAUACAAGAUUUAUUGUAAAAUAAGAUUAAUUAUUAGGAUAUCUUAUACUUGUGACAUUCUAAUAAGUGCUUAUCCUUUAUAAGACAUCCUAAUAAUUGCUUAUCCUUUAUAAGACAAUUAUAAAAGUAAGUGCUUAUCCUUUAUAAUACAAUUUUAUUUUUUAUCAUAUUAUAAUUAUUGUUUUAAUAGCUAACCUUGUAAAAAACUAUUGAAUCUAAAAUUAUAUAUAUAUAUAUAUAUAUAAUUCACUCCAAGAAUUAACUUUAUAGAAAUAAUCAAGCCAUUUUAAUAGCCAAUGGUAUAUGAGCAUGUUGAAUAAAUUUUCAUAGAAUUAAAAUAAAAAAUAUAUGCACUUAAAAUGAUGUAUUAAUAUGUACCAAAUACUUGAAAAUUAUCUAUUCAAAGAAUGGUGAAUUUUAAAACUUGACUAUUAAUGUAAUUUACUUCAAAUUUCAAUUCAAAUAUUAAUAAUGUAGGUGUUGUAAGAAGAAGUAAAUAAUAUUAUAAUGUAGUUUUUUCCACUUAUCUAUUUGUAAGCAUGCCAUUAGAAAACUUUUAUAAUAUUUAUAUUUUAUAUUCUAAAACUUGGUUUUAAAAAUAAUCUUUGUAUACAUCUUUAUAUUUGAACAAUAUAGAUUUGCAGUGAAAAAUAAAUUUGAAAUAGUUAGAAGUAUUUAUUGUAUUAAAUUCAUGCAUUAAAAAAGAAAAAAGAAAAAAGAAAAAGUGUGUGUUCUCAAUGCAAGUAUAUAUAUAUAUGUUAAAUAAUAAUAAUAAAAUCAAAAUAAAAAUCCAAAGAUUGAUGUAGCAGUUUAAAACUAGACUGAAAUUAGUAUCCAGAGUUUUGAAAAAUGGUUAAAAAGAAAGAAUGGUUUGAAUAUACUGGUUACAAUAGAUCAACUGGAAUUGCACUGUCCAUCAGAGUUGGUAUAUAGAUUAUGCAUAAGUUGUUUGACCUUCAAUAAUUAUUUCAAGUCAGACUUUAGCAGAUUAUAACCUUAGGAAAAUACCAAUACAUUAUGUGUGUAUAGUGGGUAUUGAAAAUACCAAUACAUUAUGUUUGUAUAGUGGGUAUUGAAAAUACCAAUAAAUUACGUGUAUAUAUUGUUACUGUUAUUUUGAUAUCCUAUUUUCAAAACAAUAGUUACAUUAUAAUUCUUAACUUUGAAGUUAUACAUUUUUUUAAACAAGAUUCCUUUAAGUUUAUUUGUAUCUUCAAAUAAAUUAAGCUUUGGGGUUUAGAAUCAUACAAGAGCAAAGUUUAAAUCUUGCAUUCCUAAAUACCAAGGCUCAUUAUAGCAUGAGGUAAUCACUCCUCAAUUAAUUCCAUUCAAGUAAUUUUCAAAAUAUGAUUCAUUGUACACAAAAGUCUCACUAUUUUACCAAAUAAUAAAGAGAUAGAAAAAAAACAAUGGAAUUAAAAGUAAAAGAGAGAGAGAGAGAGAGAGAGAGAGAGAGGAUAACUGAUACUUUUCUUAUCAAAAACUCGUUUCUACAGGCCAAGAUUGAGUAUGAGAUGAAAAUUUUGCCACCCAACGACAGCGACCUGGCAGGAAAACGCGGGUGGGGAUGUACCGACAUAAAACCCAGCCCGUCCCAGUCGGCGUGCCCCGCACGAGCCUGUGGCCAGCUUCGCCGAGGGGGCGCCGUUUAAUCGAGGACGAGGCAAGUGCACGAGAUCAUUCAUUCAUGCGCUCUCGGACAAUGUGACGACGACGACGACGAAGAAGAAGCUGGCAAUGACGUGCAAUCCCAACUCGCCGUAGCAGGCAGGAAACACUCAUCGCUACUGCCACUUCCAGACUUUAAGAACGUCGCAUGAAGAGGAGCGUCGAGUACUGCUUGUCCAUGGUGAUUGUCUCACAAUUGAUUGCUCGGUGCCAGGCGGUGUCGCGCCUCAGGGCCUGAUCGACCGUUGCUGUUGUUGUUGAAGUUGGAGCAGGCGAUGUGACGAACACAGCGAUUGCUGCUUGAAGUCAAAAGUGAGUUCCGAGGAGGCUAGUAACGCGACCGUCCCGUCUAGAGAAGGUGUAGAGCGGCUGGUAUCAGUUUUUCGGAAGGGAUGAGGCGCGUCGCGGCCUUGACGUAUUGUGAGACUCGAUCGGUAGUAGUAUUGGGGUUGCUGAUUCUGAGCUUGAGUGCCGUGGUAGUGGUGGUGGUGGAUUCGGCGCGACUAGUGGAGGCCGCCUCAGAACAGCCCAGGAAGUUGACGACGCCUGAGUCUGUGCAGGUCUUUGUCGAGCCAGAACUGUUACCGCAGCGCGUGAAACCUUUUUCUACUGGUCGCUUCGGAGAUGGGGAUGGGGACGAUGCGAUGUGGGAUAUGGAGGCGAAGCCGCCACCUUCGCAUAGACUGCGGGAUCGUACCCUGUGGGGAUAUUCCAAACGUGUCGUUCCGACAGGACCCAAUCCGCUUCACAAUUAGGCUUAGUAGCUUGGUUCGGCAUCCAGGAGGAGGAGGUUUAGCGAACGGACACUAGAGGUUGCUUUUCAGGGUUAUUCUGUGACGUGUUCAGCUUGUGCUGCGACCGCCUUCUUCCUCUUCAAUUAGAAACCGUAUUUCUCUGCUUCAUCAACAGGAACAGAUAUCUGCCCCGGCGCCGCCGAUCUCAAACUUGCCCUCCCUUGUUUCCAUUGCGUCGGUGACUUCGACUCUGCGCAAACUUUCAUGCAAAUUAUUGUUAGUCUUAGUACUACUACCAUUAUAAUUACUCUCAUUAUUCUGGCCGCAUGAUUGAAAUACUCUAUGAGAUGGCUUUUGGGAAAGGCUAUUCUCACCGCAAGGUUACUCAGUCGGCUUGAUUGCAGUUCCAACCGGAGUUUUCGCUGAGCAAUCCAAAGUAUUUGAUUUAGGAGACACGUUCACCGACUGACGGGGUUCUGAGCUGUAGAAUAGUGAACCCAGAGACUAAGUCCCUUCGAUUAUACGAGUGUUCAAACCUGCAGAACCUUGUGAGGUACUGAAGCUAUAGAGUACACUUCUCCAUCAAAGACAUACCAUCAAAAUAGCGGUUUAGAAGAUUUAUGUUUUAUGCGCAACCAUGAUUGAAUCAUUCAAGCUAUGCCAGCCUGUAGGACGCGAUCGAGCACCAUCAACAAAGGACUUGCUCGACGAUUCAACGCUGGAUGGUUGCGGGUAUUCAAUAACAGGGGCAUAGUUGUUUAAAUAUUAUAUACUGAGUGCAGCUUUCCAGGCUCGAAAGGGGUUGGGGAACGCCACAUUGAAAGUUGGAUCACAGUCGGGAUAUCUUAGGAGGGGGAGCGAAUCAUUGCGAUUCAUAGCUGCCAUUAAAAUUUAUUGCUUUCAGUAGGACAUUUAUCAUCGUGAGUUCGUGUGUAAAGAAUUGCAAAUAAUUGGGAGGAUGUGAAUGCCACGGCUGUACUCAUUUCUUUCCUUUCACCUUAUAUCUUAGAGGUCACUACUUGUGACUGAUCUUUUGAGCUGCCGGAUUUUGUCCUAAAUGGCGACUGCGUUCUCAUGUCCAUCACUGGUGCUGCGCGAAAAAAAUAGCACCAUAGCUAUCACAUCGGCGUCUCUUGCAAACAACAGUGUCCAGUAUAUUGCAUGACAUCAGUGCUGAAACUGUUAUUUCCAAUCUUAAUAGCGCAGAGAUGUUUUCAUUAUGAGAGGCUGUGUUUUAGUAGUUUCAGAGGUUUCCUCUGGCGGCUUGUCUCUACCCUUGCAAUGCAAUGAGAUAUAUUUAAUGCCAGGAAAGUCGAAACUGAAAUGCAGAUCAAUUAUGCAUUAAGUCCUGAUUUAAGAGUUGGGGUAAUUGGAACAUAACCUGCAGUUAUCUGCCGUGAUCGCCAAAAGCUGAUGCACAGCAACAAUCCAAUGUCCUUCACUUUCUAGAAGAUGUAGCUCCAGAAUCUAGCUUCCAAUUGCUACUAUCUCCUAGAGGAGUGCGUUGAUAGGUUCCCUUCUCUUGGACCAUUCCUCGAGAGAGCUUUAUAUUACCAUUGAUAUCAUAAUCUUAACACAACAAUCAUUCGGAUAUGCAGACGGGCUGAAUGCGAAACGUAGGUUAGAGGAUUUAGUGAGCAACGGGUUUAUUAUUUUAUUUUAUUUUUUGCAUAUCAAUGAAAUCCGUGGGACCUGGAGUAAACCACCAGCUGACGACAGGUUGCAAAACAAAGCAUUUGACAGGGGUGCAGAGUUUUUAGACCUCCAAGACGGGGAGGGAUCUCCAGUAAUGAACUAUCAGUCCCAAAACUUGCGGCGCCCAUGAAUGCACUUCCAUUGACGCGUUUCGGUCCCUUCUUCGAUCCCUACAUUCAAUCUGUACCAUCUGCUCAAUCAAUUUUUACGAGCCGGUCGGGGCCUGUGGCUGUCCAAAAAAAUCUAAACUCGUACAGCGAGACUGUCCUCACCUCCGGACACGGCAAGAGACAAGUGCCUCUUCGUUUGUCACGAAGUUUUUUCCACGCUAUACUACAGUAACAGUAGAAGGUUGUCAGCCCAGGUCUCCAGAGCAACCUUUUCCUCCUGAAGAAAUUCAAUAUCAAAGGCGGGGUUCGUAGCAGACUUUGACCUAGAAUGUACUGCUUUGAUGGACAUGAUCGGAGCUAGGGGGUGCCGUGUCCGGCAAAAUUCGGCCCCCGCCAAUGGUCUAAAAUUUUCACUCCCAUUUGAGAAAUCUCCUACUGGUCCAAAAUUAGACAAGUCCUCAUGCAUCCGAAACAAUCUUAAUUAUAAAGACGACGACGACGAGGCUGUACACAAGGACAGCCAUGGGUGGGGACCGUAAGCUGUAUUUGGCUCACUCCUAGUGCUGUGUACUACACAAAACGGGUGCAGCCAAGACGAUGAACUUCGUUCUAGAAGAAGCUCUUUGUUGACCUGCAUCCGAUCACCAACAACCUAUCCAUCUGCACAGAGCCAGCCUGCUGGCCUCCAGCAAAGAUUCUCUCCAAGUCCGCCAAUAAAACGCCCCCCACCUUCUCUGGUCUUGCAACAUGAAUGCUACCCACGUUAACGUCCAACUUAUCGAACGAUCUGGCAAGCAAUACCAUCAAAACCUGAAGGUAAAAAACCCAGACUAGUCUUCGGCAAAGUCAAGUAUACUAUCACCAAUAGUCUACAUUGUGGGUAGGUGGGUGGGUGGCGACAUUGUGGCAAAAAAUUCCUCAUUUCAUCAUGUAUUAGUGUAUGACGUCGGAGAAGAAGAGGCGCUGUAUCCAGGACCUCAAAGUCCAUGACAUGAGGCUCUCUAAUCCGCGACACCCAUGGCUCCGACCAGCAACGCGGGAUGCAUUUAACGCAAUGCUUGAGCAUCACGCGGCGAGGCACGCGACAUGCAGGGCCCGGAUCCCUGGCACCUGGCCCUUAUUCGCAAUCUCCUUUGGAUGCUGCGCUGGGAAAGUAGCCCACUGUAAAAGCCGACGACGACGACAACGACAAAAUGGGUCAAGUGGUGUCAGUCUCUGCCACAAUCUACACAGGAAUUUCGACCUCGCCAGGGCGCUUCCGCAACACGUCGAAAGAUGUAAUCCGCAAUCACCCUUCAGCAACAACCGGAUCAAAGGUGGAGGCUUUGGUUGCAUGAGGAUGGUGAUCAUCAAUCAUCAAACAUUCAAAAAAACAAAAAAACAAAAAAACAAAAAAAAAACCCACUUUCCAUGCUUGUUAAAGAAUUGGUAGAGUGUCUUGCAAGUUGCAAGUUGGUGUGGAGUUGUCAAAUAUGGAGUUGUAUCUUUUUUGAAACUAUUGUGAAAGGGGUUUUUUAUAUUCUGGAAAGAAGUUGCAAGGUUAUGGUAUUUUUUAUUCUUUUGUUGGCUGAUAUUAAGAUGUAGUAUUUAGUUGGUAUGUUUUGUGUUAAGAAAAAUCAGGGCAAAGGCUUUAAGAUGACAAGAUUAGAAUAUACUAUUUUUCUUUCAUGGCAUGAAUAUUGUUGUGUCCUAAAAUUUGCAGUAGAUCUACCUCAAGUGAGUUUUAGAGAAAUUUAGAGAAAUUUUGUCAAAAACUCAUAGUUUUUUUGAGUAAUAUAAAACAUAUAAACGAUAUAUAUUACAAUUUUUAGAAUUUAUAAAUAAAGACACACGUUGAGGCUUAUAAUAAAAUAAUAUUUUGAUUCAUCUUAUGGUCUCUUACGACCGUGUAUUAACUCUAAAAGCCAUAGCUUCUAAAAGAAUUUUCCUCUUUAUAAGCAAUUGACCUUUGUAAGGCUUUUGUACUAUGGCUUUUCAAAAUGGAUUUUUGGAUAUAUUGACCCUUUUAUUUAUUAGUGGAUUUUUUUAUUAUUGUGUAAUAAAGACUAUGCUUCUAUAAAGAUUAAGAUUAGUUAUAAUUUAUUUAUUUAUUUAUUUCUCUUGUUUCUUUCAACUUGGUCAAAUAGAACGUAGUAUAUUCUGUUAUAUUAGAUCUUUUGUGUUUUUUUCUAUAAAAUAUCUAUUUAAUUAAUAUACUUAAAGUAAGACAGCAUUAAUGUUAUCAAUCAUUGACUUGUUUUCAUAAGAAAUAAGAAUAUUUUAAUUAAAAUCUUUCUUCUUCUUUUUUCAAUCAUUGUUGUAAAACCAAUAAAAGAAAUUUAUUUUGUCUGCAUACAAUUAUUUUUUCAGUAUAUAUAUUUAUAUAUAUAAAGAUGAAUAUUCUUUGUAAUUUCUACUUUACAGAUAGAAGAUUCAAUUAUUUUAGUAACAAUUUUUUAAAAUAAAUUAGAAAUUGACUAUUUCCUUAUUUAAAAAAGUAAUGUUACUGAGUAAUAAAUUAUCAUAAAAUUUAUCUUACAAGAACUAGCCAAUCCUAUACACUCAACUAAUAUUCAAUGUAAUAAAAUUAUUGCAACCAAUUUGAAGUAAAAUCUAAUUAAAAAUAAUUGAAGAAAAAAAUUCCUAAUUGCUAGUCCAAUAAAGUAACAAGUUAUUUUUAUUUUAUCUUAAAUUAAAUUAAUUUUUUAUUUAUUUUAAAAACUAAUCUAUUUUUUGUUUUAAACCAAUCUCAGUGAUCUAUAAAAGAGAGUUUAUAUGAAUACAAUCUACACAUAUUUAUGUAUACUGAAGAUAACUAUUAAAUUUAUAUAUUUUUAAAUCACUAACUUAAUCUACUUUCAAGUUGAUGUAGAAAUAUUAUACAUUAUUUGAUUCAUAAUUUCGAACCAAUCUAUAGUAGAGAAGUCAUUUUUAUCUAACUAUAUUUUUAUGAGUUAGAAUCCUAUGCCAAAAUGACUUAGUCAAGGUCUCAUUAUACCUUUUCUGUAUUUUGUUAUACAAUAGAUUUUUUUGCUAUGAAAAAAUAAAAAAAAAUCUAUAUUUCUUAAAGCUAACCAAGUAUUCUAAUAUUGGAAAUAUUUUUAAUUAUCCAAAAAAAAAAAAUGCAAUCAUUCUUAUCUUUAACUUCUACAAUUAUUUAUAUAAAUUAGAUAAGAAACAAUUUGUUUACUUCUAAGUCUUGACUAUCUUGUCUUUUCAAAAGCUUCAAAGAUGUAAUAUAAUCUCUACUGUAAUUCUUCAGUAAAAAUUUAAAUUUUUAAUAAAAUAUAAUUGACUCUAUCAUUCAUUUACCUUUUGAAACUUAUAAAUAAUAUACUAUUAUCAAAAAAAUAAUUUAAUUUUUAUUAUUUAAUUUGACUGUAUCUAUAAAAAUAUUUUUACAAGUGGAUUGUUUUUAUUGGUAUUUAACAUGUAAAUAUGUUUUGAAGCUAUAACUUAAGAAGAUGAUAUUUAUUUUAUUAUAAAAUUAAAAUUAUGUAAAUAUUAGAUUGUGUAUCUAUUUUAUUGUUUUAACUAAGUUAAGUCAAUCACAUUGAUUAGGAUUGAAUUUGUCUUUUGUAUCUAAAAAAAAUCAAAUUCUCUUUCUUAUUUAUAUUUUGGUUUAUGUUUAAUUUCCUUCAAAAAUAUUAUCACAUGAAUAAUUGAAUACUUGUCUAAUUUCUUUUUAAAAUAAUUCAUCUUAUAGUAUUUUUUAAAGCUUCACCAAUUGAACUACUAACGAAAUCUAACAAACAAAAAACUUUAAAAGUAAUAAUGAUAUAGAUACUCGAAAGUCUUAAAAAUAUGACAGUUUAUUAAGAUUUCUUAGUUAUAAUUAUCAAAUUCUUAUUUUAAUAUUUAAUCAAAUUAUUAUUUUAGUUGUAAUUUAAUCAAAUUAUUAUUUUGUUAUAUGUAAAAUUGUUUUUUUAAUAAUUUUAUAAAAAUAAAAAAAUGAAUUUUUAAUUUUUAAUUUUAAGUAAAGUUAAGUCGAUUUUGUUUGGAAAAUUAUAUCUCUCUAAUUACUAACUAAACAUAAUAUUUUUUUUAUCAUACAUGUCUUAAAGCAAUACAAGAAUAAUUCUGAGAAAAAUUAAAUAUUUUGGUAUCUUCUUGCUUAAUAGGUAUAUGUUGUAUUUUAUAAGAUUAAUAGUAGCAUGGCCUCACAAUCUAUUCAGAAAAUUAAAGCAUGCUUGUUGUGAACUUGUAUGCUUUAAGUAUAUAAACAUAGUUUAUCUGCCAAGUGCAAUACAUAUUGAAUUCAUUGUCAUAGAUAUAAAUAAAUAAAAUACAUAAAAACAAAUUUUAUUAUAUAUUUAAAUAAUAAUAAUAAUAAUCAAAUAUAUUAUACAAAGAAACAAAAGAUUUUGAAAUAAUAUAGAAAUAAAAUAGAUAUAUUUUUAACUAUAUAUAUAUAUAUAUAUAUAUAUAUAUAUAUUCUAAUAAUUAUAAAAGACAUGCAAAUACUUUUUAAGAACCAUAAGACUUAGACAAGAAGUGUUUUAAAUUCUUUCUAGACAUAGAUUGCCUUAAUAAACAUGCGGAUUUACAAAAAUAUAUAUAUAUAUAUAUAUAUAUAUAUAAAUUCAUAUAAUUUUAUAAUAAUUCUAUUGAUACAUACAAUUUAAAUUUUAUUUAUAAAGUUUUACACUGUUCUACAAAAAGAUGUUACUUAUUUGAUUUAUAUCUACUAACUUCUAAUUAUUUCUAUUUAUUUUAAUAAUAUUAAUUACAAAGUUACUAUUGAGUUGGAUUUAAUUAGAAAAAAUUAUAAUAAACUAUAGUAUAUCAAAUUUAUCUUUUGUAAAUUAUUCUGGAGAUAUUGAUAAAUACAAAAUAAAAUAUAUAAUUAAUUUAAUAAUGAUGAUAAUAAUAAUAAUAAUAAUAAUAUAUUUAUUUACCAAGCUAAGUUUUAUAUUUAUUAAGACCUAAUUUGGUAAUAUACUAAAAAUUAGAUUAUAAUUUUAAAUGGAUUCAACACUAAAUAGUUGAAUUUUAUAAUGCAAGAUAUACUAGUAUCCAAAACAUUUUAUGUGUUACACAUGUACAUUGUAAUUUGUGUCAGCAACUCAAGUUCUUAGAUUCAUUAUCUUCAAAAAAACAGUGUAUUCGUUAAUUUUGAUAUAAUCAUAAAUAAUUUUAAAAAAAAAUUCACGUAUUUUUAGUUCAAUACUGGAUAUUAUUACAGAAAUACUAAUUAUUUUAAUUAGUUUUCAGUUAUAAAUUUUUAAUUUUUAAUAUGUAUAUUGUGAAAAAUAAAGUUUAUAAUUUUAUCCUUAUUAAAUUAAUUAAUUUAGCCAAUUUUUAAAUUAAUAUGACCAACAGCUCAUAGCAUCUAAUAUAUAUAUAUAUAUAUAUAUAUAUAUAUAUGUAUAUCAAUUUUGUGUAUUCUAAAAGAUAAGAAUAAAAUAUUGUAAUAAUUUCAAUUAAAAAACCUACUUUCUAGGGAGAAAUUUGAAUUACAUAAAUAAUUUUCAGAUAUAUGCAAAAAAAAUUGAAAAAAAUAUAAAAAAUAAAUUAAAAUCAUAAGACUCAAAUAUAAUUUUUAUUUUUUUCAAAAAUAUACAAUUAAUAUAUAUAUAUAUAUAUAUAUAUAUAUAUAUAUGUAUUCAAGUAUGUAAUUGGUAUUUUUUAUAUAGAGAGAUUAGUUAAUGAUAUCAUUCUAUCUUCAAUUACAAUAUAGUUUCUUUUCUAAAGUUUUUUUAAAUAUUACAAAUAGAUACAUAUAUAUUUUUUAAAUAUUAGAUUUUAAUAGUGUACAAGAUUUUCUUUUACAUAGAAAUAAUAAUUUUUUAUAAGAGUAUAGCAUAAGAUACUUAAAAUAAUAAAAUCUAAUACACAUUAUAUAUAUUAUAAGUAGUUUUAAUAUUUUAUUAUAUAAAGUAAAUAAAUUGAAGUUGAUUUUCUUGUACAUGAUUUUCUCUAGAAACUUAUUUGAUAGUAUAUACCUUAAUAUAUUCAUGAAAUGAAAUAUUUUAAUUUUUAACAAAUUUACAUAAAACUAGUUUCAAGGGUUUAAAUUUAUUUUCAUUUUAAAUUUAAAAUAUAAUAAAUGAUUUGAAUUAUAUGUGUUCACUUAUAGAUAUUGAUUGUUUUUAAAGUCUUUCAUGCAUAUGUAUGUUAAGAAGUUAUUUGAAUCGUGUUAAAAUUAUUUUGAGUUUUUUAAUAUUUUAAAUUAUAUAAAAUUUUAAUAAUUUUCAAAGAUUUAACUUUUUUAAAUCAUUAAAAUUAAAAAGAAAAUAUUGCAUGCUAUUGUUGAAUUAAAAGUAAACUUUAAAUUAUUUUAAAACAUCUUAUCAAUUAUUGGUCCUAAGUUUGAUUUCAUAACUUUAAAUUACAUUUGAGUAAAAUAAUCAAAGAAAAGACUAUCUUUAUAACUAUUAAAUUCUUUCUAUUUAUCUAAAGUGAUAAAUUAUAGAAUGGUAUUUUUAUUGUAUUGAAAAGAAUCAAUAAUCUCAGUUUGAAUUCUAUCUUUGUUACAAUAUUAUUAGUGAUAGAAAUAGUUUAAAUAUUAUAAAACAUUUAUCAAAACAAGAUCAUGAUUCUAAAAUAUUUGUGGUUAUUACAUUCAUUAGGAUUCAUACUUAAUUUUGAAAAAUUGUUGAAAACAUAACAAAUGCUUGUAUUAAUAAUAUGUAUAAUAAGAUUAUUAAAAAGAGAAGUUGGUUUCUAAAUAAACCUUAAAGAAUAUUACAACUAGUGGAAAAUGUAUAUAUAUAUAUAUAUAUAUAUAUAUAUAUGAAAUUAAUGAUUGUAUUUUCUAAUGAAGAUUAGAUAUCUUUAAAAAUACAACUAAUAUUCACCUAAAUAUUAUUUUUGAUAUAUAGUUAAAUACACAUAAAAUAAAUGAAUAAAAACAUAACAAAUUUUUAGAUCAAUAUAAGAAAAUAUUAGAGAUAGAAACCAUUUUUUAAUUUUUAGUUUUAUUAUUUUUAAUAUAUAUAUAUAUAUAUAUAUAUUAUUUUUAAUAGAUAUAUAUAUAUAUAUAUAUAUAUUUAAAUAUUCCUUUUAAGUUUCCUAAAUUCAACUCUUGUGAAAAAUCUCUUAUAAACACUACAAAAACAUUAGAAUUAUGGAGUCAUUACUUUGAAUUGCAAUAUUUUUAAAUUUUAAAUUGAACUAAAUUUAACUUCAUAAUUAUUCAAAUUUUGUCAAACCUCUAAAACAAAAAAUAAUAAUAUAAAAAUUGUAGAAAUAAAUCAUAUUCACAUGCGUCAUAGUAAAGACCAUUCAAGAACCUUACUUGAUUGAUUUGAAUACAAUUACACUGAAAUGUUUGUUACAAUAAAUAUACCAUCUUAGUCUUUGUCUUAACAAUUAAACUCUGUUGAUAUUAUUGAUUAUACAAGACAUACUCUCCAAAAUACGACGCCAAAAAGUCUAAACUAAUCGGAGGUGUGUAUGAAAAACCUGUAAUGAGAGCUUCAACUGGCACCUCAAUACAUGCAACCCAUGCGCUGCAAAUUGUAAGAAUGUUCAAACAAAUAGACAACCUUCAGUUUAUCAUAAGUUUCCAUUCGAGGUUUUGAACAAUUGGAUUGCAAAUUCUCCGGACUUCAUUGCACUGCCGUCAUGAGUAAAUCCGUAGCUCCAAAGUCUGCUCCAUCUUUCCACAUUGUUCAGACUGAAUGAUUUCAUGUAAAAAGUUCUCUAUCUUCCCUUCUCUUCGUCUUGCAACUUAAACAGAGUUGCAAUUUUAGAUUCGAAGCAAAGUGUUGAAAUUUACAAAUCAACUGACCCCUUCAAUACCAAACCAGUGUAACAUGAUACUUUGAACACCCACUUUGAAAUGCCACUCUCGAAUAGAACUACCACAAAAAUACCGUUCUACAAACUACUCACAUCAGUUUUCUUUACCUGUAAGGUCGGAUGAAAUGAGCAAGACAAAACGAACUUAGCUUCUUCCAGUUUGUCACGGUCACUCUGAGCUUUGCAAAAACAGUGUCUUUUGUUUUUUGGUAUGCGCUAAAUAAUGGUCGUUUAAGAAGAAAGCUCGUUGUAUUCCCCCUGCAUCGAGUAACAUCACGAGGAGCAUCAGAAUAUAUCAAUAUGAUCACUUUCUCGAACAUAGACUUGGUGAAUUAUGUUGGUCGUGACCCGCUUCAAGCUCCGACAACAAAUAGAUUUCAUCUGCAACUCGCGUGCAUGACGUUGAUUAUUGCUGCAUAACGCCUCCUUUUCACUAAGUAAUAUUAAUUGAUUACUGAGAAUGUCUUGAGCCCAUCAGACGGCACUGUAAUCACUUCAUGACUUCGUGAUCUUCAUCAUGGUACAUAAUAAGAAAUCCAAGGAGAAGAGACUAGGGCUUUGUGGGAAGAUGCAACACAAUUUUAGAAUGCCGAUGUACUGCAACACUGGAAGAAGUGAAUUUAGUCUCUCGUAUUCUGUGGUUUAUAGGUCAGUCUUAGCAGCAACGGGCAUCGAAACAGGAGCAUCAUAAGCUCAUUGCUUCUCUGCCACCGACUGUGUCAUUUGGAUGCCUCACAUGAGCAUUAAUUUAGAUAAUCAGGAAGACGUCUUGAAAUGCUUGUCGAUGAUCAUAUUCACACUAGCUAUGAUUCUACAGAAGUGGCAAUCUCCAAAGCAAGUCCACAUGGUUGUUACUGAGAGAUAGAAUGCUUUCCAAAACCGCAACGGUGAAUGACCCGUAUAUUCAGAACCUACGUUUCCAUUCACAUUCUGAUGCUCUGAUUGGAACUUUGCCAAGGUGACGAUCAAUUUCUUGAGUGGUGUUCUUUUUGUUUCUUAUUACCCGGUCCUUGCAGCAGGAAUUGCUAUAUGGUGUGGCGUCAGUUUCCUGCUCAUCCCCAGCAACCACCCGAUAUCCUCAAACACACUCAAUCAGCCGUCAUUUGUACAGUGGGUGCUCCGAAAUUUUCAAUCUACGCUAACUCAGAUAAAUAAAUAAAAAAAACUAACCGCUGAGAUGCAAAAGACGAAUACCCUCCGAUGGACACCAAAUUAAGGAGCUCGUACUUGUCAAAAACCUUUGGAACAGAAUUCCCAGUUAAACCUGCUCCUGAAGUUACCCAUCGAUCCCAGCCCAUACUUCACAACGCUCCUGACCUGGCACUCACGGAAGUUUGAGCACAAUAGGGUACUAAAAUUGAAAUUUGUCUACAUAGAGAAUGCAAAGCAUCCGUCAAGAAGAUACAAAAUGCGAAUUCUGUAUCCAGACCGCAACACUAUUUAUACACCCUUUCAGUGACCCAGAACUGCGAGCAUGUAGAGGGUAUUUGAUAGAAUUGCAGUAGUAUAACGUUCCAAGAUUUCAUACCCUUCUCAACCUAUCAUACAAUGCUGGGUACAGUCUUCUCGGCAGUGAGCGUGGAGCUCAUUCAUGUGCUUAAAACUAACGCACCACCUUUCUAAGACGAACACUACUACUUCACACCUUCAGGAAUGAACCAUUGUUUCCCAACCGAGAAGACGGACACGAGCAAGGUUCAAUCCGAUAACUCAAGGAAUUAUUUUGCCCCCUCUCUUUCACGGCAGUGAGCACAACAUGAGAGAGGAAUGAAAGAGAAACGACGGCGCAUCCGAUCUGCACAUAGUGGUUUGAUUGAUCGUUUUUUAAUAAUAGGGGUUUCAAACAUGGCACUUUUGCAAAACAAAAUAAUUGGGAUUCAGCACCCGUUGUUUCCAGGAUCACUCAAAAUAUGUAAUCCAAAAUAUCACUGUUCAAUCUUUACUACCCCUUGAUAUUACCUUUGAUUCAAGAAAACUGAGGCAAGCAACAUGGUUUUUGAUAUUCGACCUAUUCCUCUUUUGAUAUUUCAAUUUCAAAAUCACCCAUGUUGCAAGGUGGGUGCUUUAGUGAAGUAUCAAGUGAUAUUUUGAAAUAUCACAAGAUACUUCAAGCUUGCAUCAAGGUUGAAAUAUCAUCCGAAAAAAACCAUGUUUAAAACUCCCUGAUGUUAAUGAGAAUAAUAUUAACAAAUAACCUCACUUUCACCUCUUAAAUACAUUUGCAAACCAACCUUCAGUAAGUUUACAUUAUUAUACAUAUGGUGUGUUAAUCCUCUAAACUCCAAAGAAUCAUGAACAAGAGUGACAUCACACAUUCAUUGUGAAAUAAAUUGAACGAAAUUGAAAGAAAAUCCCAUAAAAAAUGACGUAUACAUUAAUAAACAAACACCUUAGUUGGCUAUAUCUCAGUCAGAUUAUUCAAAAUAGCUUAAAUUGGAUUGAGAAUAUACCAAUUAUAAGCAACAACAAAAUUAGAUAUUGUUGUUAUUUUUGAAGUUAUUUCCAUCAGCACAUGUCGAAAAUAUUAAUAGCAAUGCCCAUAGGAUGGCAUGUCCAACACAUUAGUUAACAAUAGUGUUUUAUUCUUAAAACAUUCAUCACACCACAAUUUUUAUUAGCAUCCAUAAGCCACUACACAGAAUCUAACUAACAGUAAACAUAUAUUUCGAAAUAGUAAUGUGUAAACAAUUCCACCUUCAGAACAUGCAAAAACAAUACAAACUCAGUAAUAGUUGCAUGACAGCUGUCGGUAUCUAAAACCCCCCUUUCCUCGCUCUUUCCUUUCGGGCCUUCGUUUGGGGAAAACCAAUUUUCCUUUUCUUUUUCCCUUUCCGAGAAAGGCACCGAUGGCGUGUGACGUGGCCACCUUGCUUAUCGCUCCUGCCAAAGAUGCCACGCGGGACCACUCCACGUGGAACUUAUGACGUGGAUAAUGAUGUGGUCGUCCAACUAGGAUAACUUGGCGACGUGGAUGCCAGCACAGCACAGGACAACCAUAAACUUUCUUUAAUUACCCGGAUUAGUGGGCCAGCCUAGUUACUUUUAAAAAGUCGCCGUUCACACGGGAAGCGCCGGUGGGGACCAGCCACACCGGACCCGACUCAACCCGACCCGAGUCGGCCCCGCAUUGUUAAGCGUGCAACGUUAAGGGUAUCAAUCAAUGAGUCAAACAUCUCCCCGGAUACGCGAUGAUCACAAGCUUUGGAUGGACUGGACCACAAGAGCUCUGAGAUGUACAUAGAGCAUUAAAGAGCAUUCAAGUGCAUUAGAGUGAUGCUGUCUGAAUAUUCGUUGUUGAGGGAGUGUGUUGUUUAAACCACAAUUUGAUGAAUGACGGUAGAAAUUAUGGAAUGAAUGAAAUAUAUCAUAUAAAUAUGUGUGUGUGUGUGUGUGUGUUUAUUUUAAUAGUAGUUUAUAUUUAAUCUCUAGUGUUACAUUAUUGUGGCAUAAACUAUGACGAGAAAUGUGGUUUGUUGGACAGUCACAUAAACAAUAAUAUCCUGACACGAAUACAUCAAUUGUUGACAAUUAGGUAUGAACUAUGCCCAUCUACCAAGAAAAUUAAAGAAUACAAAAUAGGUGAACUUAAACGUAGAUAUAAUUUUGAACAAAUUGUAUGCAUGUAUGUAUGUGUGUGUGUACGUGUAUGUAUAUAUUGAUAAUAAAAAAUUAAGAACCUUAAUGUAUCACCACGUAUAAUUUAGGGCAUGGGUAUUAUGGUACCCAGUUCCAAACACUUUAAGAUUGUAACCCUUGGGAAUACAACUAAAUACUUGUGCAUAAGUUCCCAAGUUGAAUUCCCACCCUCAUGGUUAGAAAGAGCCUUAAAAGUUAUCAAAAUAUUGGGGGUUGUUGGGGAGCACCAAAAUAAUUUUUGGUGAUGAUAAGUUACCCAUUCUAAUUUCAAUGUAAAUUAUUUAUAUUUGCAAAUAAUUAAUGUGUACAUAAAGUGUUCUCUCUUAGCAUCCAUAAGCACCCUUUUUUCUAGUUACUAAAAUUUUUAGUUUUAUCUGUGUAUACAUAUGUACACACAUAAGUAUGUGAACUUAAAUGUUUUGAUAAUAUUAUUUUUAGGCAACAGCUUAGCAAAAGAAUUUGUUCACAAAGUUCUUAUUUUGAAAUAAUACAUCAAAAAACUUGCAAUCAAAGGAACCACAAUAUUGAAAACCUUUUCUUCUUUUUUUUGUUCAAAUUCUCUCUAAAAUUCAAUAGAACCACUAAUGUUUCCAUUCAAAAUUUGAAGCACUUCCUAUCAAGGGGUUUCAAACAUGGCACUUUUGCAAAACCAAAUAAUUGGGGUUCAACACCUAAUAUUUCUAUGAUAAUUCAAAAUAUCAGAUCCAAAAUAUCACAAUUCAAGCUUUAUUGUCCCUAAUAUUACCUCCUGAUUCAAACUUUAAUACUCCUUGAUAUGGAGUCAAAGAGGGAAGAAAGUUGAAGCAAACAAUGCAGUUUUUUAUAUUUGACUAUAUUUGACCAUCCCCUCAUUUGAUAUAUCAAUUUCAGAAUCACCCACUUCACAAGGUGGGUGAUUUGGUGAAAUAUCAAAUAAUACUCUAAAAUAUCACAAGAUAUUUUGAGCUUGCAUCACGGGUGAAAUGUCACCCAAAAAUGCCAUGUUUGAAACCUCUUAAUAAAAAUUUCUGUAAAAUGCACUUUUGAGCAAGUCUAGUUGUUCUGACUAAAAAUUCAGUAAACCACUUAGUACUUACAAACAGUUAACCUGGAAUGUCUGCAGUCCUAUCUUUGUGAAAUAAACAAGUCAACAACUGUAAACUAUUUUUUAUUAUAAAAUUUUUGGUAUUCAUUUAUUUUUAUCUGGAGUUCUUUGUUUUGCAUUUGGAGCUUUCCAUGUAACAGGCUUAUUUGGCACUGGUAUUUGGGUAUCCGAUCCUUAUGGAUUAACUGGAAAAGUACAACCUGUUGUUCCAGCUUGGGGAGCUGAAGGUUUUGACCCUUUUGUUCCAGGAGGGAUAGCUUCUCACCAUAUUGCAGCAGGUAUUUUAGGUAUACUAGCUGGUUUAUUCCAUCUUAGUGUUCGUCCUCCUCAACGAUUAUAUAAAGGAUUACGUAUGGGGAAUGUUGAAACUGUUUUAUCUAGUAGUAUUGCUGCUGUAUUUUUUGCUGCUUUUGUUGUUGCUGGAACUAUGUGGUACGGUUCUGCUGCAACUCCAGUAGAAUUAUUUGGCCCUACUCGUUAUCAAUGGGAUCAAGGUUUUUUUCAACAAGAAAUCGAUCGUCGAAUUCGUGCUAGUAAAAGCGAAAAUUUAAGUUUGUCAGAAGCUUGGUCUAAAAUUCCAGAAAAAUUAGCUUUUUAUGAUUACAUUGGUAAUAAUCCAGCUAAAGGUGGAUUAUUUAGAGAGGGUGCUAUGGAUAAUGGAGAUGGAAUAGCUGUUGGAUGGUUAGGUCAUGCUGUUUUUCUCACUAUAAUAAAAUCUAUGGAAGCAUUGGUUUAUACAUUUUUAUUGGUAGGUACUUUAGGAAUAAUCUUUUUUGCUAUUUUUUUUCGUGAACCACCUAAACUUCAAACUAAAGAAAAAAAAUAAUUUUUUAUUUUGAUAAAAAAUUACGAACCUUCCCUUUUUAUUUUAGGGAAGGUUUUUAAUAAUUAAUUUAAUCUUCAUGCUCUUCAAAAGGAUCUCUAAGUUCUUUAGAGGGUUGCCCAAAAGCUGUAUAAAGAGCAUAGCCAGUAAAACUUACGAGUGAACACGAUAUAAAUAUAGCGACUAAUGUUGCAGUUUCCAUUUUUAAGUAGUUCCAAAAGAAUGGUUUAUUUUUAAUUAAUAUAAUAGUACACAAAGUUAACAAAUCUCAACUAAUGCAAUAAAAUUUUAUGGCUACACAAAUUAUUGAUGAUACUCCUAAAACAAAAGGAAAAAGAAGUGGUUUAGGAGAUAUAUUAAAACCACUUAAUUCAGAAUAUGGUAAAGUUGCUCCUGGAUGGGGUACAACACCUUUAAUGGGUGUUGCAAUGGGAUUAUUUGCUGUUUUUUUAGUUAUUAUUCUUGAACUUUAUAAUUCUUCCGUAUUAUUAGAUGGAGUUCCUGUAAGUUGGUAAUAACUUAAAAAGGUUCAAUAAAAAAGUUUAAACUUUUUUAUUGAACCUUUUUAAGUUAUUACCAACUUUAUUUAUUUACUAAAGGUAGUUUAAUCGUGUAAUCAAUUAAUUAAAGGAUUUAUGGAUUAUGGGUGUGCGACUUGGUUAGAUAAAUGAAAUUUAAAAAAGACAAAAUAAUUUGUUAAUCUUAAAAAAAAGAUAUUUUAUUUUAUUAAAUGUUAAUAAAUUUAAUAUUUAAAGCAUAAAUUUCAAUUAAAAUAUUAGCAAUUUUUUUUUAAUUUAAACUAUGAUUAAUUUUUUUAAUUUACUAUUUAAAUUUCGUUACCAAAUUUAAGUGUUUUUACUCUUUAAAAGUUUAUAAUGAUUUUAAAAAUUAUUUACCUAUUAUAAUUUUUUUUUAGUCAUCGGAAUAUAGUAAAAAUCUAAAGUUUAAUUAUUUUUAAUAAAUUUUAAACAAGAAAAUCUUUAAAAAAAAAUUAUUCAUUUUAAAGAAGAAGAUCGCUCAAAAAAGCAAUUAAUAUAAAAAGCUAACUUGAGAUAAAAUAUAAAAAAUAUAUAAAAAUUUCGAUUUAUAUAUAUAUACUUUUUUAUUUUUAAGCCGUAUGAAAAAAAAUUAUCAUUUACGGUUUGUAGAGAGGAAAUACAUAAAAGUUUGUCUAUCUCAAUAGAGUAUACGAUUGGUUUGAAGAACGUCUUGAAAUUCAAGCAAUUGCAGAUGAUAUUACUAGUAAAUAUGUCCACCACAUGUGAAUAUAUUCUAUUGUUUAGGAGGCAUCACCUUAACUUGUUUUUUAGUUCAAGUAGCAACUGGGUUUGCUAUGACUUUUUAUUAUCGUCCAACUGUUACUGAAGCUUUUGCAUCUGUUCAAUAUAUCAUGACUGAAGUUAAUUUUGGCUGGUUAAUUAGAUCAGUUCAUAGAUGGUCCGCGAGUAUGAUGGUUUAAUGAUGAUUUACACAUAUUUCGUGUUUAUCUUACAGGGGGUUUCAAAAAACCUCGUGAAUUAACUUGGGUUACUGGUGUUAUUUUAGCAGUAUUAACAGUUUCAUUCGGUGUAACUGGAUAUUCUUUACCUUGGGAUCAAAUUGGUUAUUGGGCUGUUAAAAUUGUAACAGGUGUACCUGAAGCUAUUCCUGUUAUAGGCUCACCUUUAGUAGAAAUAUUAAGAGGAAGUGUUAGUGUAGGUCAAUCUACAUUAACUCGAUUUUACAGUUUACAUACUUUUGUAUUACCACUUCUUACUGCAGUGUUUAUGUUAAUGCACUUUUUAAUGAUUCGUAAACAAGGUAUUUCAGGUCCUCUAUAAAUUAUUAGAAUAUAAUUUUUACUAAAUUUUGCUGACAUAAUAAAUUUUUAAUAGUAAAUUUUUACUAUUAAAUUUUUAUUAUGAACUAAAUUUAUUUAUUGCCAUAAAUUAUUUUUAGUUUAACGCUUAAAAAAAAUUUAUGGAUUUUCUGUAUUUUAUUUAAACAUUUAAAUAAAAUAUAUCUUUAUUUAAAAAAAAAUUUUAAUUAUGGGAGUGUGUGACUUGAAUUAAUUAUUGACUAUGUAGAUUUUUUAUUUAGUCUACCACAUUAAUUAUAAAAUUUAAAUGUGUUGUUAUCCUAAAUUAUUUUAAUAAAAAUAAAAAAACUUAGGUAAAUUUUUUUAAACAAAUUUUUUUCUAUGAUUUAUUUUCUAAAUAGGCUUCAUAAAAUUUAAUAAAUAAUUAAUAUAUGUAUAUCUGUAUUAUUUCUAUAUGAUAUAUAUUAAAAUAAUGUGAUAAAAAACAUCAUUCAUUUCCGUUGGGUUUUUUAAUAUAAAAAUCAUAGGAGUAAAAAAAAAAUCUAAGGAAAAAAAAAGUUAAUAUACUAACAAGUUAAGUUUAAAUAAGUACAAAAUUUUAUAGAUAAUAAAAAAACUUAUAAAAACUAAGACUAUCCAAAAUGCAUAUUAUAAUAAAUUAAUUAUAAAAAAAUUUCAAAAAAGCAUACUUGGAUUUUGAACUUUUUUAAAUAAAUAAAAUUUAAAUAAAAAUAGUUUGAGUUGGAUGAAUAAAAAAUUCAUGUCCAAUUCUUUAAGGGGAAUAUUUUUUAAAUAGCCUAUCUUAAUAACAAAAAAACCUGAUUUAAGUGACCCUGUUUUACGAGCUAAAUUAGCUAAAGGUAUGGGUCAUAACUAUUAUGGAGAACCUGCUUGGCCUAAUGAUCUUUUAUAUAUUUUUCCAGUUGUUAUUUUAGGUACUAUUGCAUGUACUGUAGGCUUAGCUGUUUUAGAGCCUUCUAUGAUUGGUGAACCAGCAAAUCCUUUUGCAACUCCUUUGGAAAUUUUACCUGAAUGGUACUUUUUUCCAGUUUUUCAAAUACUUCGCACAGUUCCUAAUAAAUUAUUAGGUGUUCUUUUAAUGGCUGCAGUACCUGCAGGCUUAUUAACAGUACCUUUUUUGGAAAAUGUAAAUAAGUUUCAAAAUCCUUUCCGUCGUCCAGUAGCAACAACUGUUUUUUUAAUUGGUACUGUAGUAUCUAUUUGGUUAGGUAUUGGAGCAGCUUUACCUAUUGAUAUAUCAUUAACUUUAGGGCUUUUUUAAUAUUAGACUAAUCUAAUAGAUUCUUUUUUUUAUUAAUUAAUUAGAGUAUUUACUUCAAAGUAAAUACUCUAAUUAAUUAAUAAAAAAUAAUUUUUUUAAAUUUAAUUUAGUUAUUUUUUUAUUUAUUAAAAAAAAAUAGAAAAAGACUUGAUUAAAAAAAAUUUAAGUAAUAUAAUCAUAAAGUGAUUAUAUUAAUUUGUUUAACUAAUAAAAAUUUAUUAAAUAUUAAUUUUUUUUUUUAUAUUUUUUUAAACAAAAAACGGCGACAUGGCCAAGUGGUAAGGCAGAGGAUUGCAAAUCCUUUACCCCCAGUUCGAAUCUGGGUGUCGCCUAAAAAAGUAAAUUUAUUAAAAAGAGUUGGAUUAACUACUAUGUCAUGUUUUAAAUAAAAACUGUAUUGCUCUAUAAUUUACUUUAGCCUAGUACUUUUUUUUUAUUUAAACGCAUUAUUAAUAGAUAAUCCUAACAUUAAGAAUAAAUCAAAUAAAUAAAAAAAGCAAGUCUUUUAAUAUUUACAUACUAACUAUUUAUCUAUAUUUCUUAUAAUAAAAGAAUAUGAUAUAUAUAUAUGUAUGUAUAGUCUUUUUUUUGUUAUAAAUACAAAAACAUUAUAAAAAAAUAAUUUUUUAUUUAUUUUUCUUAUAAGUAUUAUUUAUAAUUAAUUUUUAUUUUAACAUUUAUAAAAACAUAUGGAUAUAGUUAAUAUUGCUUGGGGUGCUUUAAUGGUAAUGUUUACAUUUUCUCUUUCACUUGUCGUUUGGGGAAGAAGCGGAUUAUAAAAAUUAGAUUUAAAAUUUAAUGUUUUUUUUAUUUUUAUAUUUUUUUUAUUAAAUAUAAAAAUAAAAAAAAGCAUUAAACUAAUUAGAUUAUACUUUUACUAUUUAAUAAAUUAAUUUGUAUAAGAAAUAAAAAAAGUAUAAUCAAUUUUUUCCCACCCUUUAUAAAAUUUUUUUUUUAAUUUUAUUUUUUGAUAAUUUUUAUUUUUCUUUAAGUUUUUUUUUUGUGAAAUAAAAUAAUUAUUAUUUUUUUUAGAAAAAAUAGUAAAAUUUAAUUUAUUAUUCCGUAAGUAUAACUUUCUACUAUAAAAAAAAUGGCAGUUCCACUUAAAAGUAUUUGUGAUAAUAAAAGAAUUGGAUCUAAUCGCCAACCUUGAAAAAUAAGAAUCCCUCCACAUAAUAAUCCAAUUGAUGAAAAAAAUGAAUCAUAAUAUUAAGAUAGGUUAAUGUUUUUAUUUAUAGACAUGACCCUCUUAAAAACCAUACAUGAUAUUUUAAUUUCUUUAUGGCUUAAACAUUAAAAUGAAAAAAAAACCUUAUAAAAUUUAAAUGUUCUAAAUCCAAGUAAGUUUAAAAAGAAUUUUGAAAAAAAAAACUUUUUGGAUUGUCUUUUCUUGUUUGAUUUUAUUUUUACAACAAGUUUAUUUUAUUUAUACUUAAAUUUAUUUAACAUUAUCCUUAGGCUCAUUUUAUAUUUCAUGGAUUUAAUUAUUUUUAUUUCUAAAGAUAUAAAAAUAAAAUUAAAUAAAAAAAAAUAAAUUAUUUUUAGUUGUUAUUUAAUUAAAGUUCCAAUUUUCUUUAAUUUAAAAUUUAAGCAUGUUUUCGAAAUAAUGUUUUAAUUAUGUUCAAUUUUUAGCCAUAGAUUUUUUGAUAUAAUUUUAAAUUUUAUUUCAAGUUUUCUAUUUAUUAUUUAUUGUUAAUUUUGUUAAAUAGAAAUAAUAGAAUUAGCAAAAAAGCUGUUUGUACAUAAAGAAUUAGCAAAAAAGCUGUGGGGAUUAAAAUGAACAAUGCAGUAGCAAUAAAUGCAAGAAUAUUUACUUCCAUAUGUUUAUUAUAUUAAUGUUUAGUUUACAAUACUAAAAAAUAUCAUCUGAUUUUAUUUAUAAAUUUUUUAUUAUCAGUUUAAUUAUAAAAUUAAGCAGUUUAAUCAAAAUAUUUGAAAUCAAAAGAAUAUGAUUUUAUUUUUUUGAGUUUACAGGUUUAGGGUUUAUGUAAAUUUACACGUUUUUAUAAUAAAUUUGAAUUUAAAACAUAAUGAAACUAGAUAUCAUAUGUACGUUUUUUCAAUGAAAAUUUGCACUAGACUAUCAGUUCUUUGUGUAAAAUAAUGCAAAUUUUGAUUGUGAUUAUUUAUCCAAAACUAGUGAAUUCUUUUGUAUUUAGUAUUUAAUGUGCAUUUCACGUUGUUCUACAAUUCAUAUUCAAAACUUAGCAAUGAUUAUAAUUGGUAGUAUAUUGUGGCUGUAAAUGUAAAAUAAUUGCUAACAGAGAACGUAUGCAAAAAAAACAUGUACAUUGUUCGUCUGGACUUGUACAAGCACCGAUUUUAUAAUAAUAAAAAAUGUAGUUAUUUUAAUUCUUAAUUCUACUUUAAUAUAAUAAAAAUUAUCUAAAUUUGCUUCCAAUGUUCUAUGCCUACAGAAAAUUAUGUUGUUCUUUUUUGAGCAGAUCCAGGAUGGGAAACAUGAUAAAUACUUCAUCUAAUUGAUCUACUAACACAAGUGUGGCAUCUCAGAGAUAUCACAUGUAGAGGCUUAUAAAUAAUAUUAAAAGAAUUAAUCUUACAUAGAAGGCAAAAAUCUUCAUAUGUAUCAUCGUCAUUAUGAUUAAAAUGUUGCUUUUAACUAUUAUAGUAAAACCUUUAAAAAAUCAAAAUUGUAUAUGUAUGUAUAUAUAUAUAUAAAUAAACAGACACAUCAACACAAUUUCAUGAAAUUGCACUGAAUUGUAUAGUUGAGUUACUAUUGUAAAAAUGUGAUAAACAACCAAUUACUUCUGCAAUUGUCAGUGUUAUGUUCAAGGAAGUGAUAAUCAGUUCAAGAUUUUAAAGACAAUAAUAAUUUGAAGAUCUCACGAACACUUUCCUCUUCAGGAUAAAAAUAAAUAUGAAUCAUUAAAAACCAGAAGCAGGUAGUGCAUAAUAAUUUUACAUUUAAAGAAAACGUUUAACAAAAAAACUACAUUAUUGCUUUAAAAGUAAUAUAUUCUGUUUUUUAGUCAUCUUCUUUUUGUAUACAAUAAUGCAUGUGAUGGUUUUUGGGGGUUUUGUUAUUACUAUUGUAUUUGAAUAGGCACAAAGAAACAUAUUUGUUAUUACAGAUAUUGAUUCACUGUAUUUAAUUUUAUUUAAAGAAAAUAACAGUAACAAUGGUUGAUAUAUAUAUAUAUAUAUACAUAAACAGAACUGGCUGUUGUAAUGAAUAAUGAUCUUGGUUUGCAGAAUUUUAAAAUUUAUUUGGGUGUUUUGCCACAAAAUUGAACAAGUUUGAUUUUCAAGCUAAGAUCAUUUUAAAAUAGUAAGAAAAUGACCAUCGCAGGGGAACCUUAUCAACUUUUAAUUGAAAGGAUCUCAUGAAAUUGAGGAUUUUACUAAACAAAAAUGUAAUGAUAGGUGAAGAAUAUCCUCAACAUUCAUUUGUUUGUUUAUUCAAUGUUUUACAAUAAAUGAAAUUAAUAUGCUACACUAUAAUUCCUUAAACGCACACUAUAAACGAUUAAGAUAUUAUCUAUAGAAAUGCAUUAUUUGGACACACCUUUCAUUAUUUAGCCUUUCAUAGACGAAUAGAGCACGAGGACAAUUAAAUGGAUGAAUGAAAAUACAUAUAUGGAUGAUAAAAGAUGGAUGAAAUACCAGGGUGGCAGAAAAUGAUUUCCCGCGCACACGCGGGAAAGGAACUUGCGAUGAAGGAACGGAAAGUCAACUUCAAUGGAACACACGACGAGGCCACACGGCACUCCAAGACCUCCACGUCAUUCAUCCAUUCGCUUUAGUGGUAAAGCUUGAUUAUGGUCACACUGUUGAAAAACGUUCACGAAAGUAAAAAGUAUGAAAAAGUAUAUAAAAAGAUGUUACUUUUAGAAGAUAGAUUCGGUUUCAAACCCUACUUUGAUUGCCAUGUAGGGUUUGAAACCGAAACUAUCUUCUAAAAGAUUUUGGUAUUCAAUUCGCACAAUUGUAUUCUUAUCCUCACUAGCAAUGGGGACGAAUCAACAUGUUGUAUGCUUACAAUUCUUUAAACGUCAAAAAGCAUGACACAAUGCAAAAAGAUGACAAGUAGUAGUAAAAUAUUAUUUCUAAACGUGCCUGUGGAUGUUGUUCGAUAAAUAUUAAAAGAAAUAAACUACACCAUGUUGUUGUUUAAUAAAAAUGAUAUACUUUUGUUUUGAUAAGAAUGGAAGAUUCGAAACUUGUUUUUUACGUGCACUUUUAUGUUCACAACGUGGAGCCAGAGAAAAUAUGUUUUGUGGCUGUUAGCAAUGAAGGUACUCAUUUUGAAAACAUUUUUUAAAAAUACUACUUGCACAGGAAAUAUUGAUUUUAUGAUUUCAACAUUGAAUUCUGUAGAAAUUUACAAAAGCAAAAAAAUGAAAAUGUCAGAACAAGAUUUGAAUAAUUUUAUUCAUUUAACUCAGUCAUACCUCUCGUGGUUGCUUAGGGUUUCAUGUGGGCAAUAUUCAAACAUAAAAAUGAACUAACAUUAUUUUUGAAUUUGCUAUCGUGUAUUAUAACAUGGUCACGUUGCUGUAUAUGGGAUAAAAAUGCACAAUUUCUAUAAUUGUCUUAGCAUGUUACAACAUAAUCUAGUCCUGUAUUUUAAUUUAAUAUAUUAAAUCAUUACAAAUUCAAAUCAGUAAAAAAGUAAAAUAAAGACAUACUUAACUUAUCAAAAAAACUAAUUGAAGGUAAAAGACGUACAAAUACUCCUGCAAAAUAAACCGAACAAUUUCGAUAUUAUGGGGUAAACAAUAGUUACAAAAGAAGAGAUACGAAUAUACACGAACGUACACACCCAGAUGGAGGAUCGCAUACGUACAAGUUCGUAUAAAUACGACACAUAUCACACACUCUCUGGGCCCGAAAGGAGCGAAAUCGAGCCCUCCACGUCAAACACUGCGCGCCAAAAGAGGAGACGGAUGGGGAGAGUGAGCUGUCAAGGAUCGGACGGAGAAACGGAACCAGGGCAGAUCGGACGGUUUAGAGAGGGGGCAAGGGGAGCGGGACUAGGGCUUGGCCCGUCCAGCUAGGAUGGGAUGAGGGGGGACGGGUAUGGGGGCUCUCCACCGUGGUCAGCGUCACAUCAGCGCCAUUUUGCCUUGUAGGACCAGCAAACUGGUGAUGGUGUGCUGCCCCUCGCGAGAUAGUUUUCGUGGCACAGACAAGUCGACGGAAACCAAACAGGACGGAAGAGACGGCAAGUCGUCGACGACGUCGACGGAGUUUGUGAAACGUUCAUGCAGGUGACGCACGGAGCGAAGCCGCUGCGCCACGCUUCCCGUCGGUGAGUGACUCGACUGACGCAAAGCUUGCUUGGUUUGUUGCAUCCAUUGGUGAAGAGAGAGAGAGAGAGAGAGAGAGAGAGAGAGAUAUAGGGUGAGCGAUGGUGGUUCAGGGGCAGUAAGAGGGAUUUUGCAGACGGGAAAGGGAGGACGUGGAAGGUCCAUUUGUCUUUUUCCGUUCGGUGUCUCCUCCUUCUGCGGCUUGUCUGGCUUGCUUGGCUAGUUCGGGCCUCCAGCCGGUUCCACAUGGUCUCUCAGUAUUGCUGCCUUGGCACACUUCGUUGCCAUUUCAUCUCCCGACUCUGCCAACUCUGCAUACUCGGCAACGCGUAGGUAUGCAUGUGUGCCACUCGGGUCGAGUGUCAUGUUCAACCCUCCCCUCCUCUCAUGUUGCCAGAUCUUCGUUUGUCGGUGUAUAACCCUCGCUUGUCCUGUCGUCUUGAUGCUAUUGUAGUGAAUAUUGUCCGGGGGUGGGUAUUUGUUUUCGGCGGUGCUUUUGUUGCGCUGUUGGUAUUGGUAUGUUGUUGUGUGUAGUCCGUUUCGAUGAAGUGCUAGAUAUUUGUAGCAGCUGGUGUUUGUAACAAUAAGGUGUUGCUGCGGUUUAGCUACUACGAUCCCUACGUGUGGCAUGUGUACGAAGCACAUCCGCCGCUUGCACUGCGGCUUUAGAGCUUUCUUUGCACCGUUGUGUGCGCUCUUGAAAAAACAAUCGAUGAUGUGGUUUGGACGAAGAGGGUCCGCACAGACAGGGGACAAAUUAAAAAUCGUAUAGGGAUUAAUGUGCGAGGUGAAACUUAAGCAAGAUGGUGAAGUAGCCGCAAAACGGCGGGAUGGGAGUUCUCCCGCCAACAUCGAAGCCGAGCUUUCGCACACCAAGCGUGCGCGCAGAUGUAGUGCUCAUUUCUCCCUACCCUGCUGCCGAGCUUCUCUCAGAUGAUUCAUUCUUGAGCAGUGUAUCAUUUGUCUCUCAACCGCAGGUUACAGGCCUUGAUGUCAACGUCAUGACCCGAGGAGCUUCCUGACAGUCAGUUUCGCGAGUGAGUGUUUCACGAAUUCUGAGAACAAAAAUUCGGAGUCGGCCGAGGUCUGAAGACGCACACCAGUGAUGGGGGCAGCAGGGGAGACGGCAACAGCCCCACCCGCCGCCUCCAAGGGUCCGAAGACCAGCAGCGGUCCUCCCACAUCAGGUGCGACGACGUCCCCGACGCCCAUUGCGUCGCAUGACCCGAACGCGCAGGCAGGCGCGGCGGGGUACAAUGAAUGGUUGGCAGCGUUCCAGGCGUACUACCAGGCGGGAGCACAACCUCCCGCGGGAGGGUUUCCGCACCCCUACAUGUGGGGAGGGCAGCCCAUGAUGCCGCCUCCCUACGGGGGGCCGCACCCUUCUUACGGCGCCAUGUACCCUCCCGGAGGAAUGUAUGGGCACCCGAUGUACGGGCAGUACGGGACUCCGACGCCGGAUGGAAUGGCGGGCGCGGAGCAGGGCGCGGACGGGAAGGCGGAAGCGAAGGGGAGCGAUGGCGGUAAAGCGGCACCUUUGAAGAGAUCGAAGGGCAGCAAGAGCAGCCUGCAGCUACUGAAAGUGAGCGACAGUGGAGGCAAGGGGAACGGGGUGUCGCAGAGCGUGAGCAAUGGCGAGGAAGGAGAGCACGACGGCGAGACGGGGAGCGACGAGGGCGGUUCGACGGAUGCGAGCAGGGAGGAGAAUGCGCAGAACCUGUUGGGAGGGAAGCGGAGUUUCGAGCAGCUGGCGAUGGAAGCCGUGGGAGCUCCGGCUUACAUGGGCACUCCGGGCGGCGCAGCGGGGGUUCCAGGGGGUGCAGUGGGGACGCCAGGGCCAGGAGGAAGCUUGGACAUGAGCUUGGACUACUGGACUGCAGGGUCAGUGCCGCAGGCGAAGGGGGCAAUGCGGGCGUCCGGGAGCCCGUCGACGAGCGCUCCGCCAGCGGAGAUGUGGCUGACGGACGAGAGGGAGGUGAAGCGGCAGAGGAGGAAGCAGUCGAAUCGAGAGUCUGCGAGAAGAUCGAGAUUGAGAAAGCAAGCGGAGUGUGAGGAGCUGGGCAUGCGAGUUGACUCGCUGACUGUAGAGAACGUGUCCUUGCGGACGGAGUUAAGCCGGAUGACCGAGGAGUGCAAGAGGCUGCAGGCGGAAAACAGCAGCUUGAUGCACAAGGUGCGUGGCAUAUCAGGUGCGGAGAUGGGUGGUGCGGCGGGUUCCGGCGAUGUGGCCUCGGCAGGCGGAGACAACGAGGCAGUGGUGUCAGCAAAGGAGAUCGAGGAGUCUCAGAGCAACGGGAACGGGCACGCGACGAAAGCAAGAGACGAGAAGUCAGGCGGUAAGGGGAACGGGAGUGUCGAUGUAGGGGUGAUUGAUCGAUGGAUUGGUGGACCGGGGGUUUUGUAGGAUGUGGGGUGUGCAGUGUUGAUUGGGUGGUGGAAGCUGUGGAUAGUGUUGGCGGUGGGGACUGGUGAGGAGGGUGUGAGAGGAGAGCAUUGAGGCGUAGAGAAGCGUGAGGAAGUGUUGCGCAUUUGGUGGGUGAAAGCGCGCAGCGGGCGUGGGAAAGGACGAUGGGGUUGUGAAGGUUUGUUUAUAGUUUUGGGGUGGUGGUUGAGGCUGGAACGCAUGUGUUGGGGCGUUGGUGUUAUGGUGGCGGCGUGCAGACGCGGAGGGUGAGGGGGUUGUUGGGAUGGAAAGGUCGGACAGUGAUGGGGAGUGACGCGGUGCAUUGGGGUGGGGCGCAGGGGUGAAAGGUCAAGAGGAGGCGGGUGCGGCUGCAUAGGCGUGGAGACAUUGGGUGGGGGGCGGGGGUGAUAGGAAUCGAUUUUGGUAUUUUGGGUGGGUUAUGUAGGAAGCGGUGACGGAAAGAAGUGGUGACAACCCUGCACAAACAUUACAAUUCUUCAAGGGAUGGGCGCGUCCUGUUCAAGGGGUGGUUGGUGACUGGGAGUGGGUGAAGUGAAGAGAGAAUUUCACUGGUGCUGCGCUGGUCCAGCAUUCUUUGGGAGUAGCAGGGAACGCUCGGCUUGAUGUUUUUAGGAUAGUGGUAGUUGGUGCGAUUUUGUGGUGCCAUGCUUGAGUGACGGGAGUUGGCUGUGUACAUUUGGAUACUCUUUGAACAACGGUGGUUUCACUGAAAGUUGAGAGUGAACAUGGGUUGGAAAUUAUAUGCGAGCGUUAUUUGCAGGCACAUGAUUACUCAGUCUUCACAGUCAUGUGCUUUAUAUUGGGUUCAAUUCGGAUAUUAGCUUUAGGGGUUAGACACAUCCUUCUCAACAAUUUCUUUGUCCAGGUCAUUGCACUUCAGCAGUCGGCAUUUGUAUCUAUCAUUUCAUGGAUUGGGAAAUUACUUAUCGAUUUAUUUUCAUUAUUCAAUUUGUUUACCUCGCAUGUAUUGUGGUGGUUUUCUUUUAAUUAAGCUCUUUUAGAAUCAGUAGUUUGCUAUGAUGAGUUGGUUUAUUCUUUGAUUGCAACGCGUCUCUGAUCUCAAAUGGUCAUCUGUUCAUUAGGCAAGGAUCUAAUUGUUUUUAUUUUUGCUUUCUCCAUCGCGCAGCGAUUCAAUCUGAAUUAUUAGUAUGCAGGGGUUUGUUACAAGCUUUUUGAGAUACCUCUUUCAGUUCAUUGGACAAGAAAUUUAGAAGCUGAAGAUGACGAUGUUGAUUACCGUAAUUGUUCUGGUUUCUGUUUUUGAUGACACUUAACUUCGCAACUUUGCGGGUCUAAGGUUGUGUCACGUCCUUGUUGCAUAUCGGCCGUGAAUGUUGACUGCAGCGAGCAUUGAAAGAUCGUAUGGCACUAUGUGAUGCACCUGCUAUGCCUGGGUGUAACAUUGACCUACAUAUUCUGGCGCUGCGGGAUGUUUUAUAGCGUAUAGUGACUUUUUCAUAGCAGUCUUGAUACGUCGAGACUGUAACCUCCAUCAAGAUCACUGCAUGAUUUUCAGGCGUGAGGACAUGAUGGAUAAUUGGACUGCAGUUUAUUAUCUCUUGCACUUUUGCGAAGUUAAGUGUGAAACUAACCCUGACAAGCCUUCACCGAUGCUACGUCGACACUGGUCACAGCUUCGCUGAAUAUUUUGUGACGGGUUGAGAAAUGGAGUCUUUUUGUGAAGAAACUGAUUCUCCAGACAUUUGACCACAGGAAUGAAAUGAUUUUAAUUGUGUUAAAAGUCGGAUGCUUUCGGCAGUAUCAUCAAGGUAUCCUAUAAAGUUACAUAAAAAGCGUGCCAGUCGCAUUCGUCAAUGACAAAUAGACGUCACAAUAGGACUACUUCCUGCGAUUGGUAAAAUUAAUUGAGACUCAUAACUGAAAUGAGCAAGCCUUCCUGCGAUUGGUAAAAUUAAUUUUGAGACUCAUAACUGAAAUGAGCAAGCCUUCCUGCGAUGGGUAAAAUUAAUUUUGAGACUCAUAACUGAAAUGUGCAAGCCUUCGUGCUCAACAACUAGCAUGGCUUACAUGCAGAUUAGCUGUCCAACAAGAAUCGAAUGUUCCAAGGCUUGAGAGAAACAGUUUGACUGUAAUCAACAAACCCUAGGGACAGACAAGAUGCUUCAAAAUCUUAGCCAUUUCCGCUCCUUUUCCUUGCUGUUAACUGCAUGCGUUGUGGUGGCAUGAGCCGCUUCAGCAGAUGCCAAGGCUUUCCGAGCCUCUACUAACUUUCGGCCAACAGCCUCAUAUACAACUUUCUCCUUGCGGUUCCGAGUAGCCAUCUCCUGCAAUUUGCUAACUUUGCUACGAAGCUCCUUAAUUUCAUCUUCAUGAGCUACUAUUGUUUGCCGAUUGGCCUUCUCUAGUGACUGCUUAUCACUGACUGAUCCACUACAGUUGGUUUGAGAACCACCAGGCCUAACCUUACUGGAUUUAGUAGCUGAAACCUGUUGACCAGUGAGAUGAUGAUUGAUGAAGUCAAAAACAUUUCGAGUUUCUUCAAUAACCUCCAUUUUGGACUUGGCUGCUCUUUGUGCGUUAGCCCACUUUUGAUCACGCUUCCUCUUCCCACCCCUGGACUUUUUUUUUUUAGCAGUCUUUUCAGCGUCCCCUUGUUCUCCAUCUUGGUUAUCCUGACCAAAUCCCAGUGACUGCUUGGCUGGUCGCAUCUGAACCUUCACUGGUUGUAUAAUACCUUGACCAGAUACACCUAGUCCCAUUCCCUCACGAAACCCCAUGCUAGCCAUCAUCUUGGAAGCCACUCCGCGAGUGUGCUUCUCCCAAUUUGCAAAAGUAACUGUCUCUGUUUGCACACCUGCACAGAAUGAUCCAAGAGUAGGACGUUCUUCUUCGUCCACAAAAUCAUCGCUUUCAUCCCCAUCUUCAUCUGAGGUGUCUGAUGCAUCACUAAGUAAUGCGUAUUCGGACUGUGCAAGGUCAUCUUUAUCGACGUCCAUUCGCUUUCCAUCAGCACUAAAUACAAUCGUGGCACGCUGCUGUCCUUCGUCCCACAACUCUAGCUCUGCAGCUCGCCAUAGCCCGUUUCCAGCUUCCGCCAGGACUGCAGAUCCCAAUGGUAUUUGCUUCCAUUCAGGAGCCUCGUAAUUGCGCAGAGCAUUCAAAUGGGCUUCUAAACCUGCGAACAGGAUGAACAAACAUCAUCAGAGAUCAUGAACAACGAGGCUCAAGUAACAAACGGCAUUCCUGGGCAGAAUACGCAAACCAUCUCAUUCACCAUCUAGUGUGUAGCUUCGCUGAGUUAAGCAUAGAUUGAAGAGCACUGUAACCCAAACAUGUUGAGGAAUAAAACAUAUUAAUCACAAAUGUAAAGCGCAGUACAUAGAGGAGAUCGAAAUUAGGAAGAAGGAAACUCGAGAAUACAGGUCGCGUUCAAUUAAACAAGGUCAAAUCCUGUUCACUUUAUCAGGCGUGCCAUGCGAAUGAAAAGCAUACGUUGCAGAGAAUGACUGCAUACCAUGAGAUAGACGGCACUUAUUACCAAAUCGACAUUGUUGCUGCAGGAAAAACCUGCACAUCUAUAUUUCCAUCGCACUGCUUUAAAAACUUGUCCUUACACAAAAGCCAACUGUCAUCCACAAGUGCAAGAUGACUUUUUUCUCUUGUGGCAACUGGCUCGAUAUUGAAGAAUAAAAACCGACAAGUAGGGGGACGUUGAAAAUCCGUGACUACGAAAUUGAGUACACUAACAUUCUAUGUUUAUCGUCCUCCACAGGGUUCCACUCUUCGACAGAGUUCUGACCAGAUAAAAGCUGCGACAGUUUUGAUGUCAAAAAGUCUUACCUGCAAUUUUUCGGAAGUUGGAUGUAGAAAAGCCACACGAGCGACAGAGUCAUCCUCCAUGCCAAGAAUACAACCAUUGUACCAUCUCCCAUCGCUAUGACGAAAACGGCAUUUAGAACCGACUGAGAACGGCUGGGGAGGGACCACAUCCCCCAUAUCUGACCUAGAAACCGACUGAGGCAGCUCAUCAGCCACCUCGAUUUGUCCCCCUUCAGAUGGAGAUUCCUGCCGCUGAGUCAUGGCAUCUACCUCUCGAAGUAGCCGAGCACGCUUGAGGUGUAACAGGCUUUCUUCUGCUCCCUUCACAGCUUGCUGUAACUCUUCCCGAAUCUACACAUCGGCACUUAACAGUUAAGUUAAUACUUAGUGAGCGUAUCACGGAUAGGAAUAAACCACAUGGUGCUCAUCGACCAGACCCUCUUUAAUAUGUGAGUCUAAAUCACAUCAAGAGCAUCAAGUUGUAGUAGGGUCGUAAAUCGGAAACCAAAGGGGAAAAUGCUAGAAGGAGAAAUCAAACACCGGGAAGUCAGAGAUGCUUGAUUUCUGAAGGGCAGGUUGAUGGUUUUCAAAGAUAAGAAGAAUACGGCAUGGGUUGUGAUCAACUUCCAACUCUUAAUCAUCAAAAGACUGUGGAAGGUAUUCAAAUAGUCUAAUACAUAGCAAUACAUACUUGUAGUAAUCAUUCGAAGACAAUUGAAACAGCAAAUUCGUGUCAUUGUAGAUAAAUUUCACAAGAAAUUCUCCACUAGCGCAAGUUCAUUCCUCACCAUCUUUCAGCUUCUAUACAAUUCAGAUCGAAAUGCCUCGCAAUUAGGGUCUCAAUGUAAGUCGUGUGUCCUUACAAUUUGUCAGCAAUUUCAAUGACUACUGCCAAAUCAUCCUCAGUGGCUUCAUUUCGCUGCACUACUGACCCACGGGCUUCUACUAAUCGAUCAACGACCAAACAGUCUAGAACAGUAUAAUCUGUGCCGAUUCCACUCAGAGCCUUAAUUUCACCUCAGAAUCAAGCUUUCGGGAGAAAAGGCAGGCAUGACGUAGGCCAUGCUCGUUUCCGUAAUCUAAAGUUCGGUAAACUUGCAGAACAUUGAAGAAAAGAGGAAAUACGAGGCUUCAGUAGACCAAGGACCUCAUAAAUCAAUCACCAUUUUGAUGCUCAUCGCCAAUCCCAGAUGCCAAAUAUUUUGCCAAGCAAAGAAAACCCACACUGUCUGAAAAUAUCUUCACUAAAAAUGAAAGUAGAAUAAUAAUACUGACCAUGAUUAGCUCGGAAUUGUUAAAAUCCACUGCAAGAGCUUCGUCAACGGCCUGCAGGGACGCCCGAUUCUCCUCCAAGUGGGUUUCUAGCUCUCCUUCCAGCGCGGUCUCAUCAUUCGCUUCGCCCAUUGCGACCAAACCCUAAUUACUCGAAAAAUCGCGCGUCGAGGCAAUCCGCAAGCACUAACAUGAAGCUGGCGGUCCAUGCAUCAUCCACGAUCUUCAAUUUUGCUCGUCAUCGGCCAAGACGCCGCAAAAACGAAAGUAGGGAGGCAAACCCAAACUCCCGGAUGAGCUCAAUGAUAUACUGCGUUCACACUUGCUAUGGGUGGUGAUGUUUGUACCCGCCCUUACCCUCCUAUUCCCGCCGUGAUAUGGAGGAGAGCAAAACAUGUUCCGGUCAUGUAGUUCUUCGCAAGGGUAAUGGUUGAUCAAGCGCAUUCAUGGCAUGUUUCUCAGCACCCAGAACAUCAUCGGUGAAGCUUCAAGUUAACCUGCAUGCCAUUGGCGAAGACCAUGGCCUUCAACUGGUGCGCUUGCCCUCAUUGUUUUCGAAGCGUAGCGUAAAUGAGUAACUUCUGUACUCAUGGGGUUAGGAGUCUGCGUAUUAUCUUCGAAGUUUGGCGCUGCAUUGUGAAGGAAUGAAAUACACUUUGUUGAGUCUAUUCUGAUCUUGAGGCGAAUGGGGACGAAUGCUCCUCGUAGCUUGUAAGUGUGAGGGUUGUAGCUAUUGAACGCAGACACAGUUUCCAUCGCUGUAGCGUAGUGCCACACGCAACCCUGGAAUUCAAGGGUUAUCGUUUCUGGCUUAGCUUACAAGAUAAUUUUUCUAGCCAGUAAAUGUCCAUUGUGCCGUCAGUAGACAACAGGGAAGAAAAGUGAGAAUUCUCUGUAGGAUUCAAGCACGAUCGCCUCAAAACCACCACUAUAUAAGACUGUUUUGAAUGAUUCUUGCCCAGCUUCUAUCACCGAUUCCUUGCUGCCUCUGAAUGCAAGAAUUUAGAACUAUAAUACCAACGUUCAAGGAGAUGGUAGGUGCAAUCGCAAGCUACUGAUACAGUUUUCGUCAUGAGGAUUAGGUCGAAAUUGCGUGAAGGCUAUUCUCGUGAUUGGAACCAUUUCGGUGGAUCUUCACAUGUGUAUUUUGGCUGUGUUCGUUGGAAGCUCCAGCUGUCUUCGGAAACCCAACCCUAACCCUAGCCCUAAUUUGGCCCUAAUCCAGGUUUAAAUGCGUCUGAAGAAUUCUAGUGAUUGUUUUGUAAGAAGUUGGGUGAUAAUGUAUUGUUUGGAGAUGAAGACACUUUUCGAAUCGGUUUGAACUUCAUAGAAAAGAAAGAGAGGAGUGGGUCAUGGAUAAAUCGCCUCCUGUUUCAAUAUGUGUAAAUUGGCUUUGUAUGUGUAUAUUUGUUUUGUAUUUUCAUGUAUUUUGUUAUUGCGAUUUAUUUGUAUUGAAGUUGGAAAUUGUUGAAAAGCAAUCUUGAUGUUUUUGUUUAUUUCAUAAACAUGGAAUUGCAAAUUUUCUGUGUGGAAAUCAUAAUUCAUUCUUUGUUUUUAAUUGAUUUAUGUCGAAUAAGUGAUUUAGUUAUACUAUUUUUAGUGUUUUAUCAAAUUCUUGUGAAAAAGGUGUAAUUAUACAUAAACAUAUCAUGAAAUCACAAAAAUCAACAGUAUAUAUGUGUAUACCAGCAUUGAGGGUGCUUGGUAUGCUUUGGGAGUAGUAUGUUGAAGCAUGGUAUUGUUGUAAAAUAAUAUACAAUAUAAUUAUAAAUCACAAUGUAAAAAAUGUAACUACACAUAUUUUUAUAUGUUUUAUGUAGUUUGUUAUAAAUCAUUGUUUAGAUUUCGUCAAUGCAAUCUCUCUCUCUCUCUCUCUCUCUCAAUAUACAUAUAUAUAUAUAUAUAUAUAUAGACAUGUGCACAUUUAUUACACAUAAGUAAUUUGCAAUGUUUUUUGAAAUAGCAGUUUCAUAAAUACACCAAUGACUUUCUUGUAAACCAAUCUUGAAUUUCAAAUAUUUUUAAUUUAUGAUUAAUGUUGAUAAAAAUAUUCUGAUGUGAUUCAAUUCACUUUCAUUUGAAUGUUAUUAUUAGUGCUUUGAAAUUGCAGACCUCUAAAACUAUGGUAAUAUCUUUUCAGUAAAUUUAUUGUAUAACUAUAAAUAUAUAGAUAUACAUAUAUUUUAAGCUCUUUUCUUCUUGUUAUUUAUCCCUUUUAAGAAUCAAAUAAUCAUGCUUAGGGAUAUGUCUCAACUUUGACUCAAUGACCAAAUUUUCUUUACCAGACAACACACAAGAAACUGUAACAUAUUUGAUGACAAAACAACCAACAACUGAAAUACCAAUUAUUACAAAUAACUUUAAUCAAAUUCUCAAAUACAUACUUUAAAACCCCAUAUUGUCUUGAUUUCCCUUGGAGCAACCUAUGCAAUCCAUGGGCAAACUUAGGGGCUUGAUGAAGCAUGUUAAGAACCCAACAAUCCUUACCCUCAUAGACUCAAGUUAAAUGAAUGCUUGAUGUUUGCCCAAUAGGGUAAUUCUUAGUAAGUGCUAGAAGCUACAAAGACCAAGCACACAUGCAACAAUCAAACACAAAAACAUAAAAAAGAGAAAAAAGUUUUUUAAAAAAAACAUAGAAGACGAGAUUGGAAACCAUGAUCCAAACCCCCUUUUUAAAAAAUAAUAACAAUUAAGAUCACCACACAUAUAGGCACAUUGUGAAGCACAAUAACAAACUUUUAUAAGCUCCAUGUAAUUAGCACUAAUUUUUUAGGAUCAAGGCUUAGGACAUAUCAAUAAAUGGUGGGUUACCCCUGACUUCGAAUCCCACCCCACCCAACCAACCAAUCCUCAACACAUUCAUCCACGAACGAACAGAACCAUUCGUGAACACGACAAACAGAUUAUCCUGUCUAGAUCGACUGAAUCAUCCAUCCAUCCAUCCAUCCAUCUAUCAACAAAGGCGACCAAGGUUUAGGUUUUAGGAGAAAGGGAGGUGAGUGCCACGCUAAUCGCAUCGCGGCGCGUGUCGACGAAGGGAAUGCCGGUGAAUGAGUGCCACAGCUUGUUGUAGAGAUGGAGGGGGCCAAGAGAAAAUAGAAGACACUGAGGGGAAUGCAUCGCAACGGAUUGAUCAGCAUCACCGGCAUGAUGCUAAAGCACAAAAAAGGGCUCCCUGACACGCUCUCGAACUCCAACUGUGCGGAUCUCUAACCUCGAGAGUUGUUCGGAAACGAGGGUGAUCGAUCUAUCACUCUGGGCCCGACCCAGCAUCCGUGUAUAGAUUCCCUGAGAUAUUCCUCGAUGCUUCCUUUGUUUAUUUAUUUAUCUGUGGCGAGUUUCGAUUACAAAAUCACGUCCUUUGGUCGUUCUCAAUGCAGCUCAUCGAUCGGUCCAUGCUUCUUCUUCUGCAUUCUCGGUCUCUCUCUCUCUCGCUCGCUCAAUGCGUGUGUAGGUUUAUCAAUUCAUGGUGGUUUUCUUUGUGACCACGAACUCUCAGCUGGGUGUUGGCGUUUUUGGACUUUUUUUCUGUAUUUCUGCUGGAAUGGUUGGAGAAACUAGCAGCCAAAAGCAGGGAAAGGAAAGCCCACGCUUGUCGCACCACGAGUGAUUGCGGAGGAUGCUGAUGUGUGGGUGCCUAUUUUUGGAAUCCCAGCUCUGAGGCUGCUGUUUAUGGCGUGGUGAGACGCGACUGGGUACCAAGCUUGGAGCUCGCAGGCCUCCUUGAUCGUCACUGGUGCUCGUGAUUGAACGGCAAGCUGCGUGUAUUGGCAGCACAACAGCCGCCACAAAUAGCGUGAUUGAGGGGCUCUGCCGCUGCCAGUUAUCAAGGGUGUUGCUGCGAUCGGCCCGGUGGUGUUGACAACCGAGGGACAGUGAGUGGGGAGGGAGAGUGAUCGAGAGGCUGUGCGGUAGAGGUGAGUUCACCCCCUUGGGUCCUUCUUCAGUGAGUCUCGUCAGAGAGGUUGUCAAUUGCAGCCGCGCAUUGUUGUUUGUCUUCUGAGGUGUGGUUUGAUGAGUCUCUGGUGGAUGGUUGUUUACUCAUUCCGCGCAUCGGUUGUUGUCGAGUGGGUCUUUCGUUGACAGUAAACCGUAUGCUCGUGAAGCUUUUGUAUUCAGAAUCACGUCUGGAUUCGUACUCGUGGUAGUGUUUUAACUUUGCGAUGUUUUCUGGAAUUGGCCGCUGCGCUCCUCUGCAAAUUUGUUUGCGUGGUAUGGCGUGCUGUACUUUGGAGAAAAAUCACAAAACAAACAAUCAGAUUUCAUUACUAUCGUUCCAGUUCGAAUUUUCAGGACAUUCUUGGUCAAGUACCUGGUCGUGCAGAAAGAUAAUUCACGCACCCAGCUGACGGGAAGGCCUGUGUGCUGUCUUUGUGAUCUCCAGCCUUACUCACAUUGCCCUAGACUCGAUUGCUCAGGACCUUAUCCUCGAAGAAGACGAGGGCUUUGCUGACAUGGGCCUUCAGCAUUAUGGUGCGCCUUCCUCCUACCCUUUUUUUUUUUUUUUUUUUUUUUUUUUUUGUCAAUGGGGAAGUACUCAUACUCAAUCGGUAUUAAGUCAGUGGGCUCUUUUUCAAUUGAGGUUACUCUGUUAUAAACGGAGUUCUAACAAUAUACUCUCUAUUGUCGUUCAAAUUGUGCAGCGGAUCUGGAGUCCUGCCUAAGUGUUGCGGUCGACGCCGCCAAGAGAGCUGGACAGGUAGAUGCGCAUAAACUUCAAUUGUGAUGAUUUUCGCUUCGCCCCCCCCAUUUGGUAUCAAUGGGAUGCUCUGUUUUGUAUUAAGAAGGUCGUGCUUAUAACUACUUCGGUUCGAUUUUCAGAUCAUCGCCAACAACUUCAAUACGGCGAAGGUCAUUGAGCACAAAGGCAUGGUAAGGAGAUUGCUUUCAGCAUACUAAGAACACUCUACAAAAUCCUCCAUGAAUUCGUUUCGUGCAAUCUGCUCCUUGUUAAUGUACUAACAGACCUGGUUACCGAGACAGGUAGACCUCGUUACCGAGACAGAUAAAGCAUGCGAGGAUUUGAUUUUCAAGCUGCUCAAGUCAACCUUCCCUUCUCAUGAGGUACUAAUGAAAUUCACCCAAUUUUUAUUUACUUAUUUAUUUAGGGAAAAGCUGCACUGUAACUAAGCCUCGCACAAACUUUGACAUUCCGAUUUCCAUCUCUCUUUGUAGUUGAUUGGAGAGGAGACAUCGGCAGAGAAUGGGACUCCACUUCUUACAGACGCCCCUACGUGGAUUGUCGACCCCCUGGACGGCACCACAAACUUCGUCCACAGGUUCCCCUUUGUCUGUGUCUCCAUCGGCCUUGUCGUCAACAAAGUCCCUGUGGUGGGCGUUGUCUAUAACCCCAUUCUGAAGGAGCUCUUCACUGCUGUGCAAGGAAAGGGGGCUUACUUGAAUGGCAAGCUCAUCCAUGCUUCAAGUCAGGACAAGAUCGGCAAUUCCAUUCUGGCCACCGAGGUUGGAACCACUCGAGACAAGCAAACGGUGGAUCGAACCACGAAUUGCAUCAACAAUCUUCUGUUCCAGGUGCGCUCAUGCUAGAUUUAUUCACGUCUUUGCCGUGUUGCAGCAUUCGGGUUCCUCGUAGCACUUCACGUAAAAUUGGUGAUGCAACUCAUUCAGCCCUUGAUCUUUUCUCAUGCAGGUGCGGUCUGUUCGUCUUUCCGGGUCAUGCGCUAUGAAUCUAUGUGGCGUUGCAUGUGGGCGGCUUGACAUGUUCUACGAGACUGGUUUCGGAGGUCCCUGGUGAGCACCCAUCUUUCAUCUGGUAUACAUUCAAUUCAUGGUAGCGGAAGUCCUGUGUCAACAUUACAAUGAUCUAUUAAUCUGAAGACAAUUCACGAGUUCUUGAUCCGGAAUGGCACACAGGGAUGUUGCCGGAGGAGCUUUGAUUGUGCAAGAAGCUGGCGGUCUUAUUUUUGAUCCGUGAGCACCUGACACUCCCUCUAUCGUUUACCUGCACAUGAGGCUUUUUCAGAUGCUGUAACAGUGGACUUCAAUUCUAAAUUUGGGUAUCAAUUAUUUUCUCUACAUUGAGCAAGUUUUGACUCGCGUGUAGAUCUGGGAAAGAUUUCGACCUCAUGUCUCGCCGCAUAGGAGCAUCAAAUGGACAUCUCAAACA
rnacentral:lncRNA from 1 species